rnacentral:lncRNA from 1 species
CCAGAAGAGCCGCUCCCAAUAUGUUGGCAUGAGUUUCCUAUGUUUUCCAAGGUAAUUACCUUCAGGAUCAAAGAAGAGAACUGUGCAAUACAAUGUGUAUCCAUCUCUCUCAACAACACCUGUCACUAAGUAGACUUUGUAUUUCGCAGCCAUUGAUGCCAAUCUAUCCACUUCAGGUCCUGAAAAUACAUUAAUAUGAGAUCAAAGAUGAAACAUGUAAGCUGAUGGUUCAUCACAAAGCAUAAGUAUAAUUUUUUUCUUGGUUCAUUCAUCAAACGUGUCUUGUUUCAAUAACUAAUUAAGUGGUUCAGUUCUUUAGCUAUUUAAGGGAGAAAGAGAGAGAUAACUGACCCGGCACAUUAAUGGCAGAAGCAUGGUACUUGCGGAAACUUUCUUUCCCUCUUGGCGACUGGUCGGCGAAGUUGUAUCCCCGGGGAUACCCACCGAUAAAUGCUUCAGGAAACACAACCAGUUGGGAUCCUAGUGCAGCUGCUUCUUUCAAAAACCUCUCAGCCUUAUCUGCUCUCAAAAUCACAUUGCAAGAAUUAAUAAUCCACGACUUAGAAAGUAAAUUAAUUGGUUGAAUGGAGAGAAUGAAAAUUAACUUUAAGAGAUCCCGAAUGACUUUUUGGUUGCUGAGAAAACUCAAGGAAAAACAGACCUAGAUGAAACUUGAAACUCUCAUAUUUUCAGCUGUUUUGUAACUAAGAAAAGAGAAACCACCUCAACCCAACUCAUCAAAAUAAUUGUAAAAGCAGUAAUUCCUUGAUUGGCAGCUGAAAAUAUGAUCAGGGUUCAAUCAUCCUUUUCUUUUUUUCAGUCUCUGAGAAACCAAUUAGAUCACAUAUUCCAUUACACAAGUUGCACAAUUGAAAUUAAUGGUACGUUACCUAGAGUGGCAGGAGUAUCAUAAAAGAUACUAGAAGCUUGAACAACGGUGGCUCUGACAGUUGAAGACAUUGCAGAAAUCGUAUGCUUUUUCGUUUCCCUUUUGUUUGAGGAUGCCUUACACAAAGUUCAGUAUAUAUAUUGCCCAUGAACAUGAGGUUCCUCUGCCAUUACUUGAACGAGACGAAGAGGCUGUGAAAAGUCUGCCUUGGUUUUCUAUAUUCAUUAUGAGCUUUUCUCCUCAUCACAAAUUUUUAAGUUAUCCGCAGACAUUGUGGACCAGCGACAUGACUUGUACAAAUUGAAAAUGACUGUCAUCUGUGAAAAGUAAUUUAAGAUAAAAUUCAAUUCAUGGUUUGAUAGUUUUAGACAAACAAAACAAGUCUUUUUUGCCUUAGAAAAAGGCCUCAACCAAUUAACACACAUACCCAAAUUAUUAGGCUUUUAUUUUCAUUUCUUUUAUAUAUAUAAUGCACAAAGAUAAAUUGUCUUUAGUGUUAAAGCUGAGGCCUUUUAUGACCUCAGCCAUAAAAGAAAAAAAGAAUAGUCAUUAAAAGCACAAGAUAUUUGUCAUUUUUUUUUACAAAAACGACUGAGUCGUACAUAGUGUUAUAGUUUUAGACGCCCAAAAGAAGUCUUUUUGUGCCUUGUAAGAAAACCUCAGCCAAUUCAAGAUGAUCAUCUUUGAACGAAAAGAGGGAGCCGCCCACAUGCAUGGAUUCCAUCCAUGACGUGUACUAUAUAUCUAUAAAACCCAGCAUAUAGCUAAAAACUGGGUCUGACCUUAUGUAUUGGUCCCUACCAAAAAUUAAUGAGUGAUUCCGUCACCCCAGAAUGAAAGGGGUGAUCUCAUAGUUCUUGGUCUGUGAAGAUGCGUUGUUAGGUGCUCCAUUUUAUUUUCCCAUUGAGGCAGAACCUAAACGUUACUAACAUGUUUACUUUCAUUGUGGGUAAUGUGUUUGGGUUCAAAGGCAGCUAUGGUAGAAAAAUAAAAAGGAAGAACUAUGCUUACCCUCACGUUGAUUCAAGCAAAUAUAUUUUUUAGGAAUUCUAAUUUUCAUAUUUCACCCCAAACACAUAAUAAAUAAAUUUAUUCUUCAAAUAUGUAUUUUAAUAACAACCAAAAUGAGAAUUCUAUAGUUAUCCCUUUUAAAAUCUUUAAUAUGACAAGUCAUCAUUUGAUCUAUUUGAUAGCUCUCCCACUUUUUUUUUUUCUCCUCUUCAUCACUUUCUCCAUAUAAUGUCUUUGAUAUCCUUUCCAUAUCAUGUCUUUGAUAUCCUAACUUUGACAUUUUUUUAUUUAUAUACGCUGAAGUGAAUACACUUUCAUAUUUCUUUUCAUUCUUUUAAUAUUUUCAUAUUUAUUAACUUAGUCAUUUUUUUGAAACAUUAACAUAAAAUUAUAAUAUAUGAUCAAUAACUAAUGAGAACAAAUUAAACAUAAAUAUAAGUAUGGAAUGGAGAGAAAAUAAAAUUUUAUCCUACAAAUAAUACAUAAAUAGUUUAAAAUAUUAAUUAUAGUAAUAUAUUUGAUACUUUAGGGUUUAGAUUAAAAAAUUAUGUUUUAUUUUUUAGAGGCUAGGAUAUAGGAUUUCCAUUAACCAAAGAUUUUUUGUAUGAAUCCUAAAUAAAAUGUGUAUUUAUUUUGCAAAUUCUUAUCAUAUAUAAAUAAAAUAAAAUAAAUAUAUUUUUAUCAUAUUAUUUUUAAUUUUUAUUAUUUUGUGUCAAAAUCAUAGUCAAUGAUAUUGGUUUUUGUUAUGAUAUUAGCUCUUAAAAGGAUGUUAUGAUGUAAUAAAUAUGAAGUUUAUUAUUUAUUUAAUGGUAUUUUGAUUUCACUUUUAUUAAUCUUUAUUUCAUUCAUUUUACCUUAUGAGUAUUCUAGCCUGACAUUUCUUGCACUAUACAUAACUUGGGUGCAUUAAAAAUUGCAUGAAAGAUCCAAGUUAUAGGUUCCUUGCAAGUGAAUGAUUUGUUCACAACUGCUUUGUGAACUUAAGCAAUCCAUUUGAUGUUGUAGUUCACUAUCUCUUCAUUAGAGGAAUGAUUGAUCUUGACUAUCGAGAUAGAGUUCUCAUGGUGAGUACACUAGUAUGAUGAGUUAUGAUGUAAACUUGUUGGAUAGUCAUAACUUCACUAAGUUGUUAUAUUGUAUUGUUUUCUCAACCUUGAGAGAAUAUUGAACUUGUGCCAAAGUUUGUAAUUAUUUAACCUAUGGGUGAGAUCAUAAAGUGAUUAUAUAUUCCUUACGAAUUGGGACAUAGUAGAUAGAAGUCGGUAGUAAUAAGUAUUUUCAAUAGAGACAUCAUGAUAUCUCAUGGAAUUUGAGAUAGUGUUGGGUGAUAAUAAGGACAUGUAAUCAUGAAGUCUAUGGUUGCAUUAAUUCUUUAAAUGAAGUUUGAUAUAUGCUUUUGUGAGUUAGAGUAUGUUAGUUGAUCAUAUAAUAAGAGAAUAUGUAACUCAAGGAUGGUAUAGGUAAUAUUGAAAGGCAAAUAACUUUCACCUUAUUAGAUUAUAAACACCAAUUCAUGGGGAGACUAUAUGCAAUAGAUAGCAGGUCAUGAAGUUAAGCAUUUUGUGUCUUGUUGUAAUACACAUAGGGCAUUGAAAUGUAAUUGACUUUCUAUAGUAAGAUGUUGAGCCAACUUUAAAAUUGGAUUAUAAAGGAGCCAAUACUAUCUUAUGGGUCUUAGCAGUCCUCGCUCAAGUUCAUUUAUCUCAAUGACAUGGUUUGUGAGGGUUGGAUUGACUCAUGAUUCACUUAUGUGCAAAAAGGCAUUUUGGCAAGUAUGCAUGAAUGCAUAAGAGUUUGUUGGGAUAAAACCUUAUAAAUCAUGACAUGAUGUAAUAGAUUUAGUUUCAUUAAUAAAUAUAUUUAUUUACUAUUCUAGUUCCCUUAUAUUAUCCCAUUGGCAUUAAUUGGUUAUCAAAGUAUUUGCGUCCAUAUCACUUGCAUUGUACAUGACUUAGGUGUAUUAGGAGUUGAACAAAAAAUCCAAGUCAUGGGUUCUUUGCAAGGUGAUAAGUAGUUUAUAGUGGGUUCAUGGAUUUAAGCAAUUUAGUAGAGACUAUAGUGUACUACCUCCUAAUUGGAAAGAUGACUUGUCUUAGUCACCGAGAUGACUUUCCCAUGAUGAGUGAAACAAUGUGUAUGGUUACACAUUGGACAUGACCUAUGAUGAAUUAUGACAUUAAUUGUUGGGUAGUCAUGAUUUACCAUGAUACUAUAUUGUAUAAACUCUCAACCUUGAGAGGAUAUUGAGUUUGUGCUGAAAUCAAUAGGAAACUUUGAUCUAUGGGUGAGAUCCUUGUGUGGUCAUGUAUUCCUUACAAAUUGGGUCACGGUUGAUGAAGAUUGGUGGCAACAAGUAUUCUUAAUAGAGAUACCAUAAUAUCUUAUGAGAUUAAGACAACGUGUCUCUUGGGUGAUCCUAAAGACAUGUGAUUAAGAUGACUACAACCAUAACAAUCCCUUAGUAGAAUUUGACAUAUGCUCUUUGUAAGCUAGAAUAUGUCAAUUGAUCACUUAAUAGGAGGAUUUGUAACUCAAGGAUUGGAGAGAUAAUUUUGAAAGGUUGGCAUCAUUACCUUGUUAUAUUACAAACACCGGUUCAUGGGGAGUCUACAUGCAGUGGAUAGUAGGUCAUAGACCUAAACUUUGCCUUGUUGUAAUUAUAUAGCAUAUUAGAGUGUAGUUGACUCUCUUUAGUAGGGUGUUAAGUUAACCUUAGAAUUGGAUUCAAAGUGAGAUAGUAUUUUCCUAUAGGUUCCAAUGGUCCCUGCUCAAUCUGGUGUCACAUUUGUUUGAGGGAUUUUAGGUUUGUAGUUAACAAGUGUGCAUAAGGGGGAAUUUAAUAAAAAUACAAGGUUGGACUAGAUCUUGUGAAUAGACUUUCUAGAUUGGCAUAAUUUAUUAAUUGGAUUCUAAUAGGGCUAAUUAAUUAAUUAGGACCUAAGUGAGCUAAACCAGGUAACCUAAGCCCAAUUUGGGCUCAAGUCACUAAAGUUCACAAGGAAGCUUAUAAAUAACUAUUUAAAGCCCAUUGGGUUUUAUGAGUAACUUAAGCUUGCCUUGGGUUUGGGUAACUUAUUAUAACCUAAAAAGGUUCUUAAUUGAGGGCUUAGAUUAAUCAAUUAACUUAGUCUAAAAGUACAAUUCACCAAAUUUAUUGGAAACUUUGAAUUACUCCAUUUCAUGACCCAGGAUCAUAUAGGGUGCAUGCAACUAUCCUUACGCUUCUCUAGAUCUAAUGCAAUGGAAAAAUAUGGAUAUAAAAUCCAUAAAAUGUACUAGAUUUAUAGAUUAGAACUCAUACCUAUGAUUUGAAUGUUUCUAAAUUAAAUCCAAUCCCUAAAAGACAUCAAAGAUGUUUUAAAAGUCAUUUAUUGAACAAUUUUCCACCCAAUCUCUCCUUUCACAGAUAGACCCUAGCAUAAAAGAAGGGUAGGCUUAUGUCCCUUCUUUUUUAAGGUAGCUAGGGUUUGCUCAUUCUUUUAGGGCAUCAAACUCUUAGACUUUUACUUUUUCCAUUCUCUCCCACGUGUCUAGAGAGAAUCUAGUCCCCACUCUUCUAAAUAUCUAACAUUUGAGUUCGUAGCUUUAAUGAUGAGCCAUCAAAUAGAAAACCAAUAGGUUUGCAAGAUUUUCGAUGACCCCUACACAUUUGAUAACCUCCUUGACUGCAAAAAUUUGAUUUGGGAAUAUCUAGAUCUUGGUAAAUACUUCUAAUCUAUAGAUUUAGAUCUAAUUUCUAUUUUAAAGGUGAUUUUUUUUUCAUUGCUAGGGUCUAGAUAAGCCUAGGAAAGUUUGCAUGCACUUAACGAGAUCUAGGGAUAGGGAACUUAGUGAUCUAUGCUUUCUUGUAGUUGUAGCUUUUUGCUUUUAAUUUUAACUUGAGUGUACUUUUGGCUUUUUCUUGCUUAAGCUUUUAAUUUUUUUUGAAUGAUGUACAAUGCAUUUAUUUUUUUAGAGGAAUGUAUUUAUUUUUCUUAAUGAUGUACUUUCUUUUUUGAAGGAUAUACUUAAUUUUAUAACAAAUGUAUUUAAUUUUUUCUAAAGAAUGCACUUAUUUUUCUAAGGGAUCUAGUUGUAUGGCAUAAGAUGUCCUCUCAAGCAGAGGUGGAGGUACUAUAGAUUUUGUAAUAGGCACAAUGAUUGCUAAGGUGGUAUGUGAUGGAGGGACUAGUAUAAAAGCCUGAAGUAAGGGUGUGUCCAAUGAUAUAAAUGGCUCAAGUAAGUAAAGAGAAAAUGGUGUGGAAAUUCAAGUAGGGAAGAAAGGGUUGGUAUGGAUUCAUCGGGGGAAGGAAAUGUAGGUUCCAUGAUACAGAUACCUAAAGUAAGGGAAUAGUAGAUAAUGUGUAAGCCCUAAGUGGGGGUUGUUGAUGCUAGGUCAACUGAAGAUGGAAUCCCUUGGUCGUGGCAGCAAAAAGGUUCUGUCCAAAAGUUGGAGACUGGGCUUUCACCUUCCCUGCACAAAGAUGUCUGGACACACUCUCCAAAACCUAAGUCAGACUUUGAAGUGGGCAGGAACCCUUAGAGAUAGAGAGAGAGAGAAGAUGAGAAAGUCCUUAGUAUUGCGUACCUAGGUUCUGGUUCCAAGAGGGUUUUUAUAGUGUCUAGGAUGGAGUCACUAUUGUGCUGAGUUAACAUCUUGACUUUUGUCGUCAUGAUGGCAGCACAGUGGAUGGCAGGGUAAUCAUCACCAUUUAAGCGGUUGGCAGGGGUUGCUGUGGGUAUGUUAUGAUGGUUUGCCUGUCACCUCAACCUAUUGGAGGUAUGAGGCAGUGUGUGAUAGUCGUCUGAUAUGAACGUGGAGACAAGGUAAGAUCCCAUCCCCCAUACUUUUUUUAGAAAAAAAUGAUUUCCUGCAGCAGAGAGAUAGAGUAACCAUCCGGAAUGCGCUGGCAAUUUAAGGGAGCCUAGUACUGCCGGUUGGUAGCAUGUAUAGUCCAGACUAGGACCUUCGAGUCUGAUGAUGAUCGUCCGGACAACAUUGAGAUGAACACCACAUGGGCCAGUAGUGGUUUGCCACAUGGGGGAAGAUCUCCACAGGGGUGACAAGGUUGGAAUGAAGGUAUCAUGGAAGAGGAAAUAUGAGUCUCUGACAGCUUUGACUUAUUUCUUAAAAUGAAGAUAUAAAUUGUUUUUAACUUUAAGUUACAUCAUUAAGUUCUUUUAAUAAAUAUACUUUACUUAAUAACUAAAAUUAAGUUAUUAAGUCACUUUAAGUUAUUAAGUUAAUUUACCAAACGCCUACUAAUUUUCAAAUUCUAAGUUUAGCUUUGCUUUGUAGUGAAUGCAUUUAGGAUUAUCAAAGAGGUCAUCAAGGGUUUCAAACAUAUUCUAUUGCUCAACUUCUCAAAGAGGGACUUCAGAAGAGAAGAUUCCAUAAUUCUAGUUUUGUAUUCGAUUGUAUGUAUCCUACCACAUGGAGACGAUUCCUCAGCAUGCUGAUUUAUUAUUAAGUGCAUGUGAAUUACGUACGGAAUUCCAAUUGAUAUGAACAUAAAAUUAAUUGAAUUAUGUGACAUUUUUUUUACGCAUAAUAAAACAUAUACAGUUGGAAGAUAUCUCGAGAUUCUGAUUUUAUAUCUGGCCCUCAAAAUUCUAUUUCACUGUCAGGUUGUGGAGCAUAUCCCUUGGCAUGCUGAUAUGUCAACUAUUGAAAAAUCUGCAACCAUUUUCUAUAUUCAUGAGCUUUUCUCCUGUUCGAAUUAGUUUUGAAGUUAUCUACAGACAUUGAUUGUGGACUAACUACAUGACUUGUACAAAUUGAAAAUUACUUCAGUCAUGUGUAAAAAAUAAUAAGAGAUAACAUUCAUUAAUUGUGGAUAAAUUGUCUAUAUGACUUUAAAGAAAAAAAGGUCAUAAAAAAACUGAUUGCCUUGUGGAUACGCCUACCAGUAGAUAGCUGAGAACAAGGUCUAACUCUCAACCUUUUGUACUGCCUCUACAAAGGAACACAAAUUUGAGAGAUUCAAAGGCAGCUAUGGUAUAAAUACUGUUUCAUAAAUUACUUUUCAAAUUUAAUUUGGUAGCAAAAAUAAAAAAUAUAAAAGCUUAAAAAAUUUGUUUCAUUCCCAAAAUUUUUGCAAAUAAAAUUUUAAAUAAAUUAAGACCUUGACUCUUUUCACAUCUUAUUCUCAUUUCUAUCAAAGCAAUGAUAGUAAUAAUAUCUUAUGUAUAAAUUUUAAAUGAUGUAAGAUCAUUGAAUUUUUAUUUUCUUUUAACUUCUUGUUAUGUAGUUAUCAAACAUAUUUUUUUUUAAGACAAGAAAAAAAUUAGACCAAACAAAUAUAUUUGAUAUUUAUAACAAUUGAAAACAUAAUUCGUAUCAUUUUAAAAAAUAAUAAAAGCAAAGGUGUAUCAAAACAAUACCUCAUUUGCGUAAUUAGUUAUCACAUUUCCUAAGUACAAAAGUAGGCAAGUAAAUUUUUGCUCAAGUUACAAUAGUGCUCAAAAUCCUUACCCAAGACUUAGAUCCUAUUUCACUUUUUUUCUUCCUUAGAACAAAAAACAAGAAAAUGUGUUUGACAACCGGAAAAUAAGGUUGUGGACCCCGCAUUUUGCUUGAUGCGUUCCCACUCGAUGGUGAAACUCGUUUUUUUUAUUUAUUUGGUGAAAAAUCGAUUUUUAGAAAAAGACUUGAAGUCGCCACUUAUUUUUGUUUUGUUUUUAAAGAGUAAAUAAAAUAAGAAAGAAAACCCUAAGUGUGACUCCUUAUUUUGGAAAAGAUGGUCUGUGAAAAACCAAAUAUGAGCUUGGGGGUCAGGUUACUUAUUGGGAAGGUACGGUAAAAACUGUAACACCCUUCUAAGUCCCUAAAAAUGGAUCUCUACUAAUAAAAUGAAGCAAGUGUGGAAAAUGAUUGAUCAAUUGUGGAUACCAUACAGUAAUCGAGAGUGUGAAAGCAAGACACGCGUGAUAACAAAUAAAUAAAUAAGCACAAUCGGGUACAAAGCGUACCUUAAUCGCAAGCCAAGAGUUAUCAUAAGAGACAAGAUUAGUGCACAAAUAUGGGAUAAUCGCAUGCAUGUCAUAGAGUGAGGCAAACCAAUCAAACAUAGCAAUCAAUCGAUCAAUGGAAAAUCUCAUGUGUUGGGCCCCACGAAAGCCCGAUUUAUCUUAGUGUAGAUUAACUCCGUAAAUUUCAUUAUUCGAAAUUAUAGAAUUAUUCAUGCUUAUUAAAAAUGUGAAAAUUAGAAAACUAUUAAAAAUCAAGGAGAAUUUAUGAAAAAUGUUUACCGGAAAAAAAUGUGGUGACCAAUUUUAUUAAAGAAUGGAAAAUAUUUAAAAUCAAGAAAAAAAAAAAAGAAAAAUAAAAUAAAAUAAAAUAAAAUAAAAAAUAAAAAUAAAAAUAAAAAUAAAAAUAAAUAAAUGAAUAAAAUAAAAGAAAAUAAAAAAUAAAAAAUAAAAAAUAAGAAUGAAAAUAAAAAAAUAAUAAUAAUAAACAAAUAAAAUAAAAGAUGCAUGACCAGUGGAAAGUGGUAGAGAUUGACUUAUUAGAAUUGGAUUUAUUUAAAACCAUGAGAGAAAAAUUGAAGAAUUAAAACCAUUUGAAAAACAAGAUUUUUUUUUUUUUUGAAAAUUGAUUUUUGAAGGCGUGUAUUUUCCUAUAGGAGAUGAGACAUGUGUCUUAAGGAUGGCCUAUCAAAGGUGGCCAUGCAAGGAUCUUGUGCACUGGUGGUCGAAUAUGGGAUACCAACAACUGAGAUGGCCCAGAUGACUACUGUGGGUCCGGAUGGUUCAGAAUGUCUCUUUCCUUGUGAACCCCUGCAUCCCUUUCCAGCCUAAGUCAACCCCCGAAGCUAUGCAAUUCAGCCAUUUGGGUCCCAAAAUCCUCCUUCUUAGUUCUGAUGCUGACAUCACCAUCUUCUUCAACCUCAACUCUUCCAACAUUGGGUAAACCAUAGCCAUGGCAGCGACCUACGGAUAAACGUUACCUCCCCACCCAUCCGGCACCAGAUUAAAGUCUGUAGAAUGCGGCUUCCCCUUCAGCGCCACUGACCGGAGCUCCGGGAGCCGCCUGAUCACUAUCCCAGGGCUCACAGCGUAGUAGUCCUCGACUCCUCGAUGAAGAUCCGUCAUCGGCUCCACCGCUCCACCUCAUACCACGAUUUGCACACCACAGAUAUCACGUUUCGGUCCUUAUCGGUAUGAAUGAAAGAAAAGACAUGCUCCAAAACCUCUUCCGGAAACGAGUACGCCAUUGAAAAUUCUUUCUUGGAGUUCCGAAUUCACAAACAAACCCUAAAUCGAACUUUUCGAAGUCUCAAAUCCGAGAUGUCAUUAACAAGCUCAGUUGCAGAAUACAUCUUUCCGUUCAUUUCCCCACUGGCUUUGUCCCUGAAGUAUUUGUAGUCCGACAGAUUGUAGGGGAACCUCACUGACAUAUUGUGUUCGGUCUUCUCACUCACCACGACAAGGCUAUAAAGAUAGAGUUGAAACGGCGAAUCAAGAGGCAGCUUUAAGUGAUCGAUUUUACAGAAAGAACCCGCUUCCUCCAUUCCUUCAUUGGAUGAAAUUUUGGAUAAUCAUUCACCAAUUCUAACUUUCAUCUUCACCAAGUCUCGAUGCUUCUUCUUUAAUGAGUGCAACGAAUCUGCAUGUCGGGAGACCAAAUUCUCACGACGCAUAAGAAAAGAAUUUGCACCCGCCGUUACCGAUCCUUCUCCUUUGAUACCAACUCAUCCAUAACUAUGUCAUUUAAUCACUUCUCCAUUUGACCAUCCAUUCCGAACAUGCCCAGAAAAUCAUUGCUACUUCCUGUCCAACACUUAAAAGAAAAAUGACGAUGCCGGGUGUGGUGUUGAAUACAGGACGAAAAUGAGGAGCACGAUGGUGAAAGUGACCAUGCAUAGGGGAAAAAGUGUGGUGGAGAAAUGGGAAGAAUGAAAACAGGUAGUGAGAGAAACGGUGUAACAUAAUGUGCCUAUGCUGUGUUAGGUUAUAUAUGUAAAAACAACUUUUUUGUUUUUGUUUUGAGUGGUUGUCAUGCUUCCACGUGGAGAGAUUUACACAAGUUAAAUCUCUUUGCAUCUGGUUUAAAUUCUGGUGUCUGUACAACAAAAAAGUGAAGAACCGAGAAUACAAAGUGAAAAGAAAUAGGGUCCUCUGUUUUUUUGGGACUGUCUUAACUCCUCUGUUCCAGGUCUGUUACAAGGUGUCACUCUUCCAUUUUUUCUUUCUAUAGCCUUUCUCUGUUUUAGGCUGAAACUGCAGCCAACAUAAUUGGUAUUAGAGCAACCCAUUUCACGAAUCCACCUCUCAAUCUAAUCUUCGAUCCACCUUGCUGUUUCCAAUAUGAUCUAAUCCACUUCUUCUUUUCAAGCCCUUUUAUUUCUUAAAACAUGCCUCUUGUGUAUGGAAUUUUAAGAAAUUUCCUCUGUUUUGGAAAGAGAGGAUACUAGGGUUUCUUUUAAUCUGAAGACCAAAAUCCGAACCUACAAUGUAGCUGAAUUGGUGAUGUUGCUGUGCAAUCAGAUUCUGUCUAGAAACCCUCAAUCCUGAAGCAGACGGACCAAGGACUUGAAGGGUAGAUCAAUGGCCAGCACAAGUGUUACAAGUAUGAGUUCUCAACCUUCUUCUAUUCCAUUAUUUGAAGGAGAAAAUUAUGACUUUUGGUGCGUAAAAAUGAAAACUUUAUUUGUCUCAAGAUGUUUGGGAUUUGGUUGAAAAUGGUUUUGAUGAACCUCCGGUUGAAAAAGAUCAGUUGAAAGAAUUGAAAAAAAUGGAUGCAAAAGCUCUCUUAUUUAUUCAACAAGGUGUUGGUAAUAACAUCUUUCCAAGAAUUAUGAGAGCUUCAAAAGCUAAAGAAGCAUGGGACAUCCUUCAACAGGAGUUCCAAGGAGACAAAAGAACCCAGUCAGUAAAGCUUCAAGCUUUAAGAAGAGAGCUGGAAAAUAUGAAAAUGAAGGAGAAUGAAACUCUAAAUGAGUUUUCUUCCAAAUUUAUGGAGUUAGUAAAUCAGAUGAAGUCAUAUGGUGAAGAAAUUAGUGAUAAAAGAAUCGUUGAGAAACUUUUAAUCAGUCUACCUGGCAAAUUUGACCCAAUUGUGGCUAUGAUUGAAGAAACAAAAGAUCUCUCACUGCUCAGUGUACAAGAGCUAUUUGGGUCUUUAAAAACUUAUGAAUAGAGAUUGUUGAGGCAUUCUGAAAAAUCAGUAGAAAGUGCAUUCCAAUAAAAAAUAAGCCUUAACUCCAGAAAUGUUGAAAGGAAACCUAUAAGCAAUGAAAAUAAAAGUGAUUCAUCUAGAGGUGGUAGAACUGGAUGAGGAAGAGCAAAAGGAAGAGAUGGAAGAGGUAGAGGAAGAUUCAGCUAUGGAAGAAAGUUUACUAACGAGGAAGGCUCAUCAUUCUCAAAGUGUAAUAUUUGUAAAAGAAGUAGUCAUGUUGAAAAAGAUUGUUGGUUCAAAGGGAAGCCUCGAUGCUUCAAUUGUAAAAAAUUUGGGCAUGUUAAAAAAGAUUGCAGAUUUAAGAACAAUCAACAAGCAAGUUGUGCUGAGGAGAAAGAGGCUGAUGAAAACAUGUUUUAUGCUUGUCAAAGUGUUGCUGAGCAAAAGAAUAAUGUGUGGUUCCUUGACAGCGGCUGCACAAACCACAUGACUGGUAACAAAAAUAUUUUCCUUGACAUGGAUACAACCAUCAAAUCAUAAGUCAAAAUGGGUAAUGGUGAUUUAGUGAAUGUUAAAGGGAAAGGCACAGUUGGUAUCCAAACUAAAGUGGGAACCAAGUACAUCAGAGACGUUCUUCUUGUACCAGCCUUAGAGCAAAAUUUGUUAAGUGUGGGACAGCUAGUAGAGCAUGGGUAUAAACUUCACUUUGAAAAUAAUGAGUGCACCAUUUAUGAUAAGGAGCAAAGAAGAAAUUUAGUGAAGAAGAUAAAGAUGGAGAAAAAUAGAAGUUUUCCAAUUGUCUUCAAAUAUGUUGAAAAUGUGGCUUUGAGAAUGGAAGAUGUUGAAGAAGCUUGGUUGUGGCAUAGAAGAUUUGGGCAUUUGAACUUCAAUAGCUUGAAGAUGCUUUGUCAAAGGAAGAUGGUACAAGGAUUGCCAAACGCCAUUGAAGAAAAGAAUGAAGUAUGUGACGGUUGUGCUCUUGGGAAGCAUCAUAGACAAUCAUUUCCAAAGGGAGUCGCUUGGAGAGCAAAGAAGGUAUUGGAGUUAGUUCACACUGAUAUAUGUGGACCCAUGUCUACACCUUCUCAAGGCAACAACAAGUACUUUGUAUUGUUUAUUGAUGAUUUUACAAGAAUGACUUGGGUGUUCUUCAUGAAGCAAAAAUCAGAAGUGUUCUCUAUCUUUAAAAAAUUCAAGAGUUUUGUUGAAAAGCAAAGUGGUUGCUACAUAAAGACCUUGAGAAGUGACAAAGGAAUGGAAUAUACUUCAAGCCAAUUUGGUAAUUUUUGUGAAGAUGAAGGGGUUGAGAGACAGCUUACUGUUGCAUAUACUCCUCAACAAAAUGGAGUAGUUGAAAGGAAAAAUCAAACGGUUAUGGAAAUGGCCAAAGCUAUGUUAUAUGAGAAGGGUUUGCCUAAAAUUUUUUGGGCUGAAGCAGUUAACACUGCUGUGUAUCUUUUGAAUAGAUGCCCAACAAAAGCAUUAUUGAACAAAACUCUGAUUGGAGUAUGGAGUGGAAGAAAACCAUCUGUUAGACACUUCAAAGUGUUUGGGUGCUUAUGUUAUUCACAAGUUCCAAAGGAAAGAAGGAGCAAGCUGGAUGAAACAAGUGAAAAGUGCAUCUUCAUGGGUUAUAGUUCACAGUCAAAGGGUUAUAGGUUGUAUAAUUUGAAAACCAACAAGCUGAUCAUAAGUAGAGAUGUUAUUUUUGAUGAAAAAGCUGCUUGGAAUUGGGAAGAAGGUAAAAUUCUGAAGAAAACAAUUCUUGUUGAUGAACUUCAAACAAAAGCACCAGUUGAAACUGGAAAUGGCAGCACUUCAACUUCAUCACCUCAAGAAUCUCCAAGAUCAGUUCCAUUAUCUCCCUCAAUUGAGUCUCCAACUUCAAGCUCGUCGUCACCAUCCUCAACUCCAAGAAAAAUGAGAAGUUUGACUGAUGUUUAUGAGAGAUGCAAUUUGUGCAUUGUUGAACCUCAAAGUUUUGAAGAGGCAAUAAAAGAUGAAGAUUGGAGGAAAGCAAUGGAAAAAAAAAUUGAUGUCAUUGAGAAAAAUGAAACAUGGCAGCUGGUUGAAAAGCCAAAAGACAAAGAAAUCAUUGGGGUGAAAUGGAUUUUUAGGGUGAAAUGGAUUUUUAGGGUGAAAUACCAUUCUGAUGGUAGAGUUCAAAGGCUUAAAGCUAGAUUGGUUGCAAAAGGCUAUUCACAACAGCCGGGUGUUGAUUUCCAUGAGACCUUUGCUCCAGUUGCUCGCCUUGAUACUAUUAGAACUAUUAUUGCAGUGGUUGCUCAAAAAGGUUGGUUGUUGUACCAACUUGACAUAAAAUCUGCAUUUUUGAAUGGAAAGCUGGAAGAAGAGAUCUAUGUUGAACAACCUCAAGGAUUUGUUGUUGAUGGAGAAGAAAACAAAGUUUACAAGUUAAAGAAAGCCUUAUAUGGUUUGAAACAAGCUCCCCGUGCCUGGUACACUCAAAUUGACAGCUACUUCAUUGAAAAUGGUUUCAUUAGAAGCAAAAGUGAGCCUACCCUCUAUGUGAAGAGCAAAGAUAAUUCCCAAAUCCUUAUUGUUGCUCUUUAUGUUGAUGAUUUGAUUUUUACUGGAAAUGGUGAGAAGAUGGUUGAAAAAUUUAGAAAUGAAAUGAUGAAAAAAUAUGAAAUGAGUGAUAUGGGAUUGUUGCAUUAUUUUUUGGGAAUUGAAGUCUAUCAAGAAGAAGAUGGUGUGUUUAUUUGUCAAAAGAGGUAUGUUGAACAUAUCCUCAAAAAGUUUGGCAUGGCUGGUUGUAAUCCUGUAUCUACUCCUUUAGUUGUGAAUGAAAAGUUGAGGAAAGAAGAUGGAGGGAAGAUGGUUGAUGAAACUCACUUUAGAAGUCUUGUUGGAAAUCUGUUGUAUCUCACUGCAACUAGACCUGACAUCAUGUUUGCAGCAAGCUUGCUGUCAAGAUUCAUGCAUUAUCCUAGUCAUUUACAUCUUGGAGCAGCAAAAAGAGUCUUGAGAUAUUUGCAAGGCACGGUUGAACUUGGAAUAAAAUAUUUCAGGAAUAUUGAAGUGAAGCUAAUUGGCCAUUGUGAUAGUGAUUGGGGUGGCUGUAUUGAUGACAUGAAAAGCACAUCAGGCUAUGCAUUCUCCCUUGGUUCAGGUGUUAUGUCUUGGGUCUCAAAAAAGCAAGGUUUAGUGGCUCAAUCCUCUGCUGAAGCAGAGUACAUUUCAGCUUCAUUGGCAACUUCUCAAGCAAUAUGGUUAAGAAGAAUUUUAGAAGACAUUAAGGAGAAGCAAAAUGAAGCAACACAUCUACUUUGUGACAACAAAUCUGCUAUAGCCAUUGCAAAAAACUAUGUUUUUCAUAGUAGGACUAGGCAUAUUGCAGUGAAGUAUCAUUUUAUUAAAGAAGCUAUUUCAGAUGGUGAGGUUCAAUUGAUGUACUGUAAAUCAGAGGAGCAGGUUGCUGAUAUCUUCACUAAAGCAUUGCCUUUGGAGAAGCUUGUUCACUUCCGAAAGCUUUUGGGAGUAGAGGAACAUCACAUUAGGGGGGAGAAUGUAACAUAAUGUGCCUAUGCUGUGUUAGGUUAUAUAUGUAAAAACAACUUUUUUGUUUUUGUUUUUGUUUUGAGUGGUUGUCAUGCUUCCACGUGGAGAGAUUUACACAGGUUAAAUCUCUUUGCAUCUGGUUUAAAUUCUGGUGACUGUACACAAAAAAAGUGAAGCCGAGAAUACAAAGUGAAAAGAAAAAGGGUCCUCUGUUUUGUGUGGGGACUGUCUUAACUCCUCUGUUCCCAGGUCUGUUCCAAGCUGUUACUCUUCCAUUUUUUCUUUUUAUAGCCUUUCUCUGUUUCAGGCUGAAACUGCAGCCAACAAGAAAAAAGGUGUUAAAACCCAUUUACAGAUAAUCCUACUUUUUCAAGCAGAGUAGUAGGAAGCCUAGAGAGUAUCGAUAGGAAACAUGCAAGUGAGAUGGGUUCAGUUACAUAUAACUGCUCAUGCCUUCUGCUCAUGUUCUGUCCACAGUAUUUAUGUUUAGUAAGCCAUCNNNNNNNNNNNNNNNNNNNNNNNNNNNNNNNNNNNNNNNNNNNNNNNNNNNNNNNNNNNNNNNNNNNNNNNNNNNNNNNNNNNNNNNNNNNNNNNNNNNNAUGGCUGGUUGUAAUCCUGUAUCUACUCCUUUAGUUGUGAAUGAAAAGUUGAGGAAAGAAGAUGGAGGGAAGAUGGUUGAUGAAACUCACUUUAGAAGUCUUGUUGGAAAUCUGUUGUAUCUCACUGCAACUAGACCUGACAUCAUGUUUGCAGCAAGCUUGCUGUCAAGAUUCAUGCAUUAUCCUAGUCAUUUACAUCUUAGAGCAGCAAAAAGAGUCUUGAGAUAUUUGCAAGGCACGGUUGAACUUGGAAUAAAAUAUUUCAGGAACAUUGAAGUGAAGCUAAUUGGCCAUUGUGAUAGUGAUUGGGGUGGCUGUAUUGAUGACAUGAAAAGCACAUCAGGCUAUGCAUUCUCCCUUGGUUUAGGUGGUAUAUCUUGGGUCUCAAAAAAGCAAGGCUCAGUGGCUCAAUCAUCUGCUGAAGCAGAGUAUAUUUCAGCUUCAUUGGCAACUUCUCAAGCCAUAUGGUUGAGAAGAAUUUUAGAAGACAUCAAGGAGAAGCAAAAUGAAGCAGCAUAUCUACUUUGUGACAACAAAUCUGCUAUAGCCAUUGCAAAAAACUAUGUUUUUCAUAGUAGGACUAGGCAUAUUGCAAUGAAGUAUCAUUUUAUUAAAGAAGCUAUUUCAGAUGGUGAGGUUCAAUUGAUGUACUGUAAAUCAGAGGAGCAGGUUGCUGAUAUCUUCACUAAAGCAUUGCCUUUGGAGAAGCUUGUUCACUUCCGAAAGCUUUUGGGUGUAGAGGAACAUCACAUUAGGGGGGAGAAUGUAACAUAAUGUGCCUAUGCUGUGUUAGGUUAUAUAUGUAAAAACAACUUUUUUGUUUUUGUUUUGAGUGGUUGUCAUGCUUCCACGUGGAGAGAUUUACACAGGUUAAAUCUCUUUGCAUCUAGUUUAAAUUCUGGUGUCUGUACAACAAAAAAGUGAAGAACCGAGAAUACAAAGUGAAAAGAAACAGGGUCCUCUGUUUUUUUGGGACUGUCUUAACUCCUCUGUUCCAGGUCUGUUACAAGGUGUCACUCUUCCAUUUUUUCUUUCUAUAGCCUUUCUCUGUUUCAGGCUGAAACUGCAGCCAACAAAUGGGAAUGAAAUGUGAUCAUGCAUGCAUGAGGAUAGAUGGAUAGCGGAGGAAGUAGGUUUAUAGGUGCUGAAAGAAAUGGGUGUUUAGGUUGAAUGGAAGGUGGAGAUGUGGGGCGUGGUGACGGGUAUGAUUGAUGGGCUCGGUGGGUAUGAGAAGAAGGAAGAUUGGAUAGUGGGAGAAAUGGGUAUCGAAGAUGGUCGUGUUUGCAUGAUUCCCAUGCAUGCGUGGAGCUUCAGGCACGUGAGAAAUGAUAGAAAUGAGGUCAAGGUUGGUUGGAUGAAUGAUGAGGGUGGAUGUGUUGGUUUUGAAACCAGAUAAAUAAAAGAAAAAACGGAAGCCAAAAAAAUUUUCUCAAAAUUUUUUCUCAAUGAUCAAUACUUGUAUUAAUUUAAUGAAAUAACAAAUAUAGGUAAAUUAGAAUUGUACCUUGCGAUUAGGCUGAUAAAUUUGAACUUCACCAAAAGGAUCUUAGAAUUCCAAAUCCUCUAAAGCACCAUGGAUCUUUCUCUAACGUUCUCCAAAUUAUGAUGAACUCAAAACGAGUGGGCGUUUUUCAUUCUUGGGUUUUUUUCUCACACAACUUAAUAUAUAUUGAAAACUUGUAUUCUCUUCCCAUCAUCCGAGAAACAUUGAGAAAAAAAAAAUUUAAUACCACGAAGAAAAAAAAAUAACUGACAUGUUUUGAAUUUUGAAAAACAUGGGAGAGAAUAUCUCUCCCCAUGAUCCCCACUUAAAAAGUGUUUCUUUGAAUUUUGAAAAACAUGGGAGAGAAUAUCUCUCCCCAUGAUCCCCACUCAAAAGGUGUUUCUUAGGGAAUACAAGUAAGUGUGGUUUUCACCACAUUGUAUCAAAAAAUAUUUUAAAUAAUCAAAUUAUAAAAUAAAUAAAUCAAAUCAAGAUUGUGUGAAAUUAAUUUAGAAUUUAAAAUUCCAAAACUAAUAAAAUCAACCCAACAUAAAAAAAUGUUCAUAUAAUUUUAAUGGAGCCGUUGAGAGGAACUAUGGACAUUAUAAUUUUAAGCUCCAAUAAUUUUGACAAUUAAUUAACAACUUAAUUAAAAAAUCAAAAUUAUUAAUUCCAAAAUUACUCCACUAAAAAUUUGGAAUUGCACUCUUAAAAUUAUAAAAUUAAAUAUAUUCAAAGGAUUUGAAUUGCCCAUUGAUAUAGUCACUACAUAUGAGUCAAUCCUCCAUAAACGGUUCAUAAUUAAAGCUAGGUUUUUCCGUUAACCUCUUUAAUUAUAUCUUUCUCCUUAAGUGCCAUUGGUUCUCUAAUGAAUAAUAUAUUUAUGGUCUAAUCAUAAAUUGAGCGCUCUUAUCAUUCAAGGCCCGAACCAAUACUUAUGGGAACCGUCCAUCUGACUUCUUAACGAAGGAAUGGAUUUCAUCUUGUAUAUUAAUAUUCCCGGCUAUUUAUUUUAUUAUACUUCCAAUACACCAAGAAUUUGACACUAUGUAUUUGUGUCAUUACCCGGUAUGUCAAAAAAUACAAUAGAAUAAAUAGGAGUCUAUUAAUCACUCAGAAUUAAGAUCAAUGCAUAUAUGACCAUCAUUGAUUAAUAUUAAAUGCUCUAUAUUAUAAUGGAAUUUAUCAGAGAUUCAUAAUUAAUCGUGUUCCAGUCCUAUAUAAUCAAAUUAUAUAAAGCGCUUUCAAUCUAAUAAUCUCAUUAUUAACAAUCCGGAUAAGAUCAUUUCAUUCAGAAUGUAAUGAACCGCGCUAGUAAUUUUAAAUUAAAGAUCCCAUCUUUAAUUUUUAAUUACGAACAUAUUAGAUUAUUUUACUUUAAAUAUUAUCCUCUUGUAUAUAACACUUAUAUACAAUAUUUAAAGUUUCAAUUAAAUAAUCUAGGGUUUUCGAUAUUUAUAAAGCAUCUAUAACAUGCAUGCAACAAUAAUAUUGAAAUAAUUCCUUAAAAAAAUAUUAAUAAUCAGCAAAAUAAAAAACAUCUCAUUUGUUUAUGGGCACAUAUUCCAACAGGAUGGUAUAGGAGAAACGAGCAUGGGGUUGGUGAGGUGGGUUAGUGUGGCCGUGUAUGGCCAUGCAAAGGUGGGAGGGAAUGAGAUUGAGAAGAGUGAAAAAGGGUAGAGAGAGAAAUGAGUAUGAAAGAUGAGUGAGUAUGUGAGGAUUGAAAAUGGAACGAGGUGAAGGUGGCCAUGUGCAUGAGAUUUUCAUGUACAUAGAAAAAUGAAGGAAAUGGGUAUUAGUGAGAGAAAUGGGUAUGGUGGAGUGAAGGAUGAAAGGGUGGCGGGAUUAGAUGGGCAUGGAUAGUAAGAGGUUAAAGAUGGGGAGGAUGGGUGUAGUGGUGAAACAGUGUGCAUGAAGGGUACGUGGUGUAGAGGGAUAAAUGGGUUCAUACGUUUCAAGGAAAGGGUGAUAUGCAUGGGAGGUUAUGAAAGAUAAGUAUGGAAAUGGGCAUGAGAAGGUGGGCAAUAUGGGUAGGAUGAGUUCGAUGGGUGUGAAGCGAUGGGUUUGAUGGAGGAUAGGACGGAUGAGAGAUGAAGGAUGAAGUGGGUUAGAGAGUAUUAAAGAAGUGGUGGUGCAUAGAAGGUUAGGGAGAAUGAGGGGAUGAGUUUGGGUGUGAGUAUGGUUACGAGCAUGGUGGAGUGAAGGAUGGAGUACAAAAGUUGCAGGAAUGAUGAGAUGAGGUGGCCAUGUGUAGGAAUUCCAUGCAUGUGGGUAGGAAACAAAUAGCUGGGCAGCAAGGUGAGUGACGACCUGAAAACUCUCAUCAUCAAGAGCAUGGGUGGCAGUGGAACAAAUCUUUUCCUCAAACCUUUCAGCAAUUUUCCAUAUCUCACAUAGUUCCUCGGAAUCAGACCUUAACUGAUCUAGCUGGCAACUCUUUGAAGGGAUGAGUCAUAAGGUUACAUACCAAAGAGAUUCUUAUGGUUCCACACCUCAGAGUAUAGUUCCCGUACCUAAGAACGCCUGAACAUCAGGAGCAGAGGGAAAGUAGCAAAGACGGAGCAUAGAUGAAGAAAAUAAGAUUAACCAUCAAAAGCCACACUUCGUGUCCUAGUCAGUGGGCUUAAAGAUAGGUGGAUUAAAAGAGUUUCUAAAUGGCGCGAAGGAGAUAAAAUGGAGUUGAAACAAUUUUUGAACACAAACAGGAGCAAUAGAGGAACUGUCAACUAUGAAGAAAAAAAAACCAUAAAUCAUCCAAAGAUCAACAGCAACACAUCUAAAUAAUAGUAGAUGAAAAGAAAAGAAAUAUACACAGUGGAAGACUUACUUCUGGGAAAAUGUUGGAGGUCCUUCUUCUCUGCUUCUUCUUUUUCUCUUCUCCCACAACUCAUUUUUCCCUCAACUAUUUUAUUUUUCUCUUCCAGAACCCUCCGGAACCAAAGGUGUCCCCCCCUCCAGAUACUACCCCUCAGUUCAAAAAUAUCUCAUGUCUCUCUGAACACACUCCUCUCUCUCUUCGAUUCCCUCUCAAUCUUCUCUGAAAAAAAAACUCUCGGCCCCCCUCCAAAAAACGCCUUUUUUUCUCUUCCCUAAGCUAUCUAUCCCCUUGUUACAACCCACAAAAAUGUCUUUCUUGUCAUGUAGCCCCAUUUUCUGUUCAGUUCUGUCUCCUCUCUUCAAACGGUUGUGUCUCCCCUUUUUGAAACAACUCACCAUCAGCUGCUUUUCUUCCUACUUUCCAUCCCGUCUAGCCACCCAAAAACAACUCAUUCCCAGUCCUCUUUGGCUGCCCAAGAACGGCUCACCCAUCAUCCGCUUUCUUCACCUUCCGUCUUCUUUGGCUGCCCGAGAACGACUCCUUCUCAGGGUGGCCAGAAAAAUAAAAAAAAAUAAUAUGAAACCCCUCCAUCUCAAGGGUCUACAAAGGUGUUUUCAAAAAACAUAUAUUAGUUGUUUUUAGUUUUCUUCAUUAGCUUGGUUGUUUUAAAAAAAUAAUUAUACAAAAAAAAUGAUUAAAAAUAUAAUAUUAUAUACAAAAAUUAUUUAAAAAUUAUAUGCAUGAGUUUUGGAAAGUCUUGCAAAAUAAGCAAAGCUAUAGGAAAAAUAUGCAAACAAAAAUUUGUAUUAAAAUCAUUGGGGGCGGACAAUAUUUGUGGAAAAAUAUUUUUUGCCAAAGAAUAUUUUUUAAAGAUCAAUUGAAAGCCUAAAGCGACUUGUUCCCAAAUGAAUUUAUUGAAUGGUGAAGAGCAUGUAUGUUGCGAUUUUUUGGAUUUGUAGGGGGUAUUUUAUAAAGCUUUUUUUCUCUUUGUGAAACUUCUUUUCAUAUGUGAAAUUGUUUUAUUUUUUUAUCAUUUUCAUUGAAGGAAGUUGCAGAUAUUUAUAGAUGAAAUUAAAAAAUUAAAUUUAGAAUUUCUAAGAUUUGAUUACUUAAUUAAAAAAAUUGGUUUCUUAAUUUUAGCAACUUGUCUUUUUCAUUAAGGAAGUUUGCUAACAAGAGAUUAUUUACUUCUCAUUUUCUUUUGACUUCAAUUGGAAGAUUUGUUUCAUUUGUUUAGAAAAUUUGCCAACGAGAAAAUAUUGAUUUCUAAUUCUUUUUUAUUUCAAUUUUUUGAUUUGAUUUGAUUUUGCAAGACUUUAUUGUAUAGCCUUCCAAAUUUCGCUACAUGCCAUUUUUUGAAUCAAAUGCCACAUGUUCAAUAUAUAUGACUCAUCACUUAUCAAGCCCAAAUUUUGUUGAGCUAAGGAGUUACAAUUUUGAAGACUAAUUUGGUAGUAUUUUAAUCCACUAAAAUUUUUUAUGUUUACAAAUGCCCUGAAGACAGAUCACACACAUACAUUGCCAUGUAUAAGAGGUGAAUCUUGAAGUUAGCCAUUUGAAUCUUCCAUAUCCUUCUUUGAUUUUAUUUUUUUCGAAGAAAUAUUUUAAUAGGAAAUUUCCUAUUCAAAAUACUUUUCUUCAACUUUUUCCAAACACUACUUUAUUUAUUUAUUUAUUUAUUUAUUUAUUUAUUUAUUUAUUUGCCUGGUAUCAAAGAAAGACCUUGUGUUAAUGGGAAAGCUUCUUAUUUGAAUAUCUAUUUUCUUUUCUCAUGGUAUUUUCACUUCCAAUUUGCCAUCCUACAAUAAGUCCUUCACCCUAGCUUGGUCAAUUGCAUCUUAGACUUGUUCACAUGCCUUUAACUUGUAAUUCAAGUUCCAUUUUUUUUUGUUUAAAAAAUAAUACAAUAUAUUUGAGCAAGACCUUAAGCAAGAGAAGAGAGGUGGAGGAUGGAGCACCAGCUAACCUUAGGGCAAGAUCUUGAGCAAGAGAAGUAAGGUGGAGAAUAGAGCACAAACUUCUUUAGAGUAUGGUAGGCAUGUCGUCACAGAGUUAUCUUCCACAUGGAGCAUGGUAGGGCAUUAUAUAUAUGAUAGGGUGUGCCAUCAUGUAACAAUGAAGAACAACAAUCCAUGGUGUACAAUUGGGAACAACAAUUCAUGCUAUCAAGAUUCACCUGUUUUUAUUUAUUUUUUAUUUUUUAUUUUUAUCCCUAUCUCCACCCUCGACUCCAUUUUUUUUUUUUUCAAGUUUCUAGAUCCCUUUUGAUUCUUUCUCAUUUUCUUUUUUCAACUCUUUUUUUCCCUCCUUUUUUAAGCAUUGUUCUUAAGGAAAAAAUAUAAUUUACGAGUACCUGGAUUCUAUUCGAAUAAAAAAGAGCCAUUCACAUGCAUGGAUUAAAUAUAUAUCUCAUGGAUACAUUGUACUUAGCCACGGCUGAAGCUUUCCACUAUGACUUAGAAACAAAAAAAGAAAGAUAUGAUUAAAAAACUGAUUGGCAUGUGGCUGUGCUUGCCAGUAGAUGGCUGAAAAGUAGUUCUGACCUUUUGUUUUGGCCUCUACUAAGGAACCCAUUAUUGAGAGAUUUAAUGGCAACUAUAUAUGGUAUAAAUAAUGUUUCAUAAAGUACUUACACAUCUUAUUCUCAUUUCUAUCAAUGCAAUAAUGUAGACCCCCAUGUGGGGCUUGAUCUGCUGCAGCACAUUUGGCCACGUGUCACUCUCCGAUUGGCCAUCAUGGAUGCUCUUGAAGGCCAAUCUGGGGUCGACACGUGUCAUCAUGGAAUCAGACAAAAAUCUUUUUUUGGCUGUUAUUUGAGGGAGAAAAGCGGCUGCAUGAAGGUGGUGGUCUGGCCGUUUUGAGGAGUGCUUUUGGGAAGGCUGCAGGGUAGUGGUGCAGGGGGUGUCGUCUGGCAGCUGCAUUGAGAGUGAGAGAAAAAGGAGGGGAGAGACUGAGAGGGCAAGUGUUCACUGUCGUUUUGGCAUUGGGAGAGGGGGGUUUUUUUUUUCUAGAGAGAACAGAGAGCUAGAGGGAGAGUAAGAGUUUUGCUGGAAGGGAUUCCUUGAGCUGAGGCUGCCGGAGAGAUAUUUUGAGAGGGAGAGGUUUUUGGUGGCUGUUUUUCUGCAGGUCGUAAGGAAAACAGCCAGAGAGCUAGAAGGAGAAAGGGAAAAGAAAAAGCUAAGAAAAACAAAGCAGAGAGCUUUAGUGAGAGAGAGGAUUCCAGAGAGCACUGAGAGGAGAGGUUGCAGAGAGGAGUCCAGGGAGAGUUUCCAUUAGAGAGAGAAAAACAAAGGAAGAAGAAGAAAGGCAAACUGAGAGAGAGGGAGGAGAGAAACAGAGUAAGCUACAGGAGGUAUGGAGCAGAAAGAGUGAAGUAGAGCAACUCGAUACCCAUCUGGUCUUGCAAGAAAGAGGUGUGUUCAGGAUUUGAGAGAGGAGCAGGUGGGAUUAGAGAGGGUUCUUUGGCAGCUGCAGGGAAGACAAGGGAGGAUCUCCAAGUAAGUUUAUCAUGGUUUUCCAGUCUUUUUCUUAUUAUGAUAAUUGAUCCAUUAUUCUUCCUGCUAUUUCUGGGUAUUGUUUGAUGGCUUGAGCGUGGAUGCCCCCCAUUGUUUGAUUUCUAUUGGUUUCAUGGUAUGAAUGUGGAUUUAUUGUUAUAGUUUUUUUUGUCUCUCUUUCCUCUUGGGUUUUGCUGGAAAAUAACCUCACUCUAUUUCAAUUCCACUGUGAAAUGCUUGAGAAUCAUGACUUGUUCAUAUUGGCAUGAAUUUUCCCACCUAGUUAGCAGGCUCCCUGAUAACCCAUGAAGUGGAGCCUCAUUUGAUGAUAACUUUAUUUUGUUUUUCUUUUAUGUUCUGUUUUCCAUGGCUUCUUCUUUCUUGUGGCUCUUAUCUAAAUGCAUGGGAUGUGAGGAAAAGACCAGGAUCUUCAAGAUCUCCAAGCUGAAGAUGUUAUCAAGGAGCAAGCAAGUCAGACUUCUGUAUAAGUUCCACGACCCUAGGGAAAUGGUCUGAGAAGGUCUCUCGUGAAGCUAUGUAAGGUUGGCCGGAAGAGUCUUUCUAUGUUUCAACAAGCAGUUUCUGUGGACUUAGUUGGGUGCUGGACUUGGGUUUUAAAUGGUGGCCAGUGGAGAGCUUUUCGAAAAUCUCUUUCUAUUCAGGAUAAAGAGGUGCUCAAAGCCCGGGAUUUUGUUUUGAGUGAGGCAAGGAAGUAUGAAAUCGGGUUCAUAUUGUCAUUAAGUAAUAAUUGGGGAGAAUAUGGUGGCAAAGCAUAGACAACAACAGGCUCCCUCUGGUCACGGUACUGCUGAAAAUAAGGAAAGAGUCUUUCCAUGCUGGCAUGAGUGUUGAUGAAACCACCAUUACCCUACUCUCGCAUGGCUAUCUAUUUGCCCAGUUUCUCAUACCCACUUUCAUAUUAGCCUUCUCAAACCUCCCAGCAUGCUGUUUUUUUUUUUUUUUUUUUUUCUUGAAAUCUCACGGAUCAAUUCAUUCUUCUAUGCCCUUUACCCUUCAUGCAUACUAUUUUACCACCACAACCAUUAUCCCCACUUUCAGCAUAAUACCGAAAAUGCCCAUCAAGCAUUUUUUUUUCAUUUCAUAUUAUCCCUUCCACUAAUUUCCCACUCCCUAUUCCACACCAUACCCCCCGUGGUAAAUAUAGUCAAUGUUCUGACCCAAUUUUUUUUUUUUUUCUUUUAUCCCAUGCACGGAUCCACCUUUAAUAGACCCUACACAAUCAUCCCUUGGGACCCGAACUCACAACCCGUUUUCACUAUCAUCCUUCUCGCUCCUCUGUUUGUAAGUCAUUCAUGCCACUUUCCAGUUUUGAUAGAAAUGGAGCAGUUCCAUUGAUGUUUGCAGGGCUGCAAAUAUUCAUACCAGUAGGUAACCAUGCUAUCUCAGGACUGAAGUCUCGGAUCUUGGAAGGGUUCUCGCAGCGGGGUUACAGCGUUUUGCUCUCUUCACGAUCCGUGACUGCAGCAUAGUCGUGGUUUCCAAGUACAAUAUGGCAAUGGAAGUCAUUCAAGGGCUUUUGAAUGCAUAAUCAGUCGAUGGAGAUAUUCGGAAACAUGCAGAAGAGAGUUUAAAACAGUUCCAGGAGCAAAAUCUUCCAAAUUUCCUACUAUCUCUUUGCUUUGGCAAACUUUACCGAUGGUAUGGAGCGUGAUUAUAUCAUGAGAGUUGUCUGUGAAGCAACUCUGUCUCCUGAAGUCAAGAUAUUAAUAAAAGAGGUAGUGAACAUCCAAAGCAAGGAGAUGAUGAAGACGCUGAUGCUUCAGAUGAGAACUACAAUGGUUGAGGCAGAAAUUGAAGAUUGGACAAGGGAUUAUAGCAUCCGUACCUUGCUGAAGUUGCCAUGGAUAAAGGGCCCCUCUUCCAUCAAUUCAAACAGGGAUUACCUUUUGUUCUUUUCUGAGAGUUACAGAUUUUAUGGGAUGCAAUUGGGGCCCGCCAUGCAGCAUUAUUGACGUCAAAUUCACAGCUACAUGCUGAUAGUUUGGAUGAUAACAUGUGCGGCACAACUGUAAUAACAGUAUUGAUUCGUGGUCGGGCUAUAUAUGUUGCUAACUCAGGGGAUCCCAGAGCUGUUACAGUAGAAAGAAAAGGGAAGGAAAUUGUAGCUGUUGAUUUAUCAAAUGAUCGUUACCAUCCAUGCAGACUCUUGGUGGAUGACAUGUCCAGGGAAGCAUUUCCAGAAUCCUGAUGUGUAAAGGUAUAGCAGGAGGGAUGGUUGGAGAGUUGCAAGGGUUACGUCGCCCACUCAUUUGAGGUUUGAACUUGAUGUGCUAGCAUUCUCUGGUGCUACUUUAAUAAGGGUUUGGGUCACUUUGCUCUUCCCCCAGUGAAGCUGUGAACUGCCAUCUGUCACUUCCUCAAGUCAUUAUAACCCCGGUCGUGGUCUUCUCUCCCGUGCUAGGUCUCUCAGACUUCCUCAGGGCAUGCCUUUUUUUCAUUUUGCCUAUUCCCUAUUAUUGUUACUAUUAUUAUUUUCAUUUCUCUUUUUAUUAUAUUAAAUUUAUUUCACCUUUUAUUAUUAUUAUUAUUUUCUUUAUUAUUAUUAUUAUUUUAUCCUUGUUGUUUUCAAAAUAAUCCAUCAAAUUCCAGCUUUCAAAGGGUUUUCCAAAUUCCAUUUUUAUAAAAUUUAUUUACUUUUAAUUUUCAUCUUUAGUUUUUUUAGAAUCCCUCAAAAAUCUCAUUUCAAAUAAAAUUCACCGCCAUUUUUUGUUUUGGCCAGUGACUUUCACAAUUCCUCUGAUUUUCAAAAUGUUUUAAAUAAGCUAGAAUCGAAUUCCGUAAUUCCUAGUGAUGGAAUUUAUGGAAUUAAUUCAUGCAAAAAUGAAUUGGGCUUUGGUGGGGGCCCUACAUAUGAGAUUUCAUGAUUGAUUGACUGAUUGAUUCAUUCAUUAGCUAUAUGUGAUUGAUUUACUCUGUUUCUUGAUAUACACAUUAUCCUUCUGUGUUUGUUCACUAACCCUGUUUCUGAUAGCGCGUUACGGCUCGCGGCCCAGGUACGCACUCUCUAUACCUAUUCUGUUUUUUUUUAUAAGUGUAAGAUGGAUUUGAGUAUCCAUUGAUUUUUCCAUUGAUUGUCAUGUCAGCUUCAUUUUAUUAGUAGAGACCCGACUUUAGGGACUUAGAGGGGUGCUACGGUCUUUACCGUACCUUCCCGAUAAGUAACCUGACCCCCGAACCCGAUCCGGUUUUUCAUAGACCGCCUUUUCCAAAAUGAGGAGUCACACUUAGGGUUUUUCUUUCUUAUUUUGUUUACCCUUUAAAAAUAAAACAAAAAUAAGUGGCGACUCCAAGUCAUUUUCAAAUAAUCAAUAAAAUCAAUUUUUCAAAAUAAAAAUCGAGUUUCACCAUCGAGUGGGAAACACAUCGAGCUCAGAAUCGAAAAUGCGGGGUCCACAAAUAAUCAUAAUCAUCUUAUCUAUAAACAUGGCCUAGAGCCACAGAGCUGCCUUUUCUUUAGUCCUCGAGCCAUUUCAGCUAAAAGUAGUCUUUCCUUAGCAUUUCCGGUUCUAAGCUCCCAUUUCUUUAGGCCUUGAGGCAUUAAUUUUCAGCCCAGAGCUGCUUUUUCUUUCGGCCUAAGCUGCCUUUCUCUAGCAUUUUCAGCCCAGGGCUACCUUUCCUAGGCAUAUUAGCCCAAAGCUUCUAUUUCUUUAGGCCUGGAGCCAUUUCAACCUAGAACAUUUGUUUCUUUAGGCCUUGAGCCCUUUUCAACCCAGAACUGUCAUUUCUUCUAAAUAACUUCUCUUUUAAAAAAACUUCAAUUUUUCUUUCCAAUCACAAAUUUUAAGGCUUUGUUCCAGGUUUCAAGAAGCUGGUAAAAAUCUUCUAUUUAACAUUUCAGCAGUGAAUCGAAUUCACGAAGGAAAAAAAAAAUCUUGACGGCAUAAAGUAGGACAUGGGAUAGUUUGAAAUGCGUAAUUUUCAUCAUUCAAAUGUAAAACAUAUUAACUCUAUUUAGAUACUUUAACCAUUUCAAAUACUACAUACAUGUUCUCUUCAUUUUUUUUCUCUCUCGCAUUUUCCAUCAAAUUUUUCAACAAUCAAACAUAACCUUUAAAAAACAGAUAAUUUUACUUAUUUUGAAAGUGCUUUACAUAUAGCUUCUAUGAAAAGCUGUUUCAUGUUAAUUUAAUGAUGCACUUAUAAUAUUAAGAUUGCCCUUUCAUAAUCAUGAAUUAACCUUUAGUUUCAACUUCUACAAGAGGCUAAAUGAACAAAGCUAUCACAGAGGAGGCCUCAGCCAAUGAGUCAGAUGCACUGUUGUACCAAACCAAGGAUUUAUUUAUAAUGAAGUGCAGUCUCCAUAUGCACAUGAGACUGCAUUUACAGCAAAAAGACAAGGAAAUUAACAAUGUUGGAAUUACUGGAAAAUCACACAAAUUAUUGAAGGAGGACCUUAGCUAGGUUGUCUCCUAAAUUGCCCAUCUUUUUAUAUCUUUGCAUUCAUCUAUCUCAUCAUCGUCUUUGAUUUUAGAUGGUGAGGAUGUGAAAGUAACAGGAAGCAGUGGACGAUUGUUCACAGUGAGGCUUAGCACAUCAGCUCUCGAAUAAUGUCCUACCACGUCAAACUGGAACUUUGCUUUAGGAAUCUCUCCACGAACAUCUGCAUAUCAAGUGAUCAUAAAAAUAUUUGAUCAGCCCAUGAUAAAUAUCAUAGAGUAUCAAGUCUUCCAUAAAACUAUGUUUGCAGUCCCUUUAAACCUAAAGAAUUGACUCAUUUGCCUUAUCUGCAUACUGAAUUAUUUGGAUAUAUAAUCGGAGAAGUUAGGGCCAUACCAAGAUCAGCUGUGAAGAGGCCUUCUCCUUCAUAAUUCGGUCCUGCUAGAAUUUCGCCAUGGGGCGAAAUGAUGACACUACCUCCAGCCCAAACAAUAGAAUCUGGAGUGACAUCUUCUUCUGUAGGACUGUAAAGAUACUCAGGUGGAGGUGGGUAAUCUUUCCUCCGACAGAACUGGAUGGGUGAAAGAACAUAGCAUCCACCCUCCAUAGCGAUGUGUCUCAUUGUAGCUACCCAUGUAUCCCCGGAAUCGGCAGUAGGAGCACAAUAUAUCUCAAUUCCUAUAUAGAAUCGGUGUUUUGUGAUCAAUCAAUCCCAUAUCAGAGCCAUAAUGUAUUUCAAGCCUAUUUAGGCUAAAACCCUAAUAACUUAAAAAAGAGUACUGAAGUAUUUCAAGCCAAACCAUACUAGUUAGUGAAGAGAAAGAAAUGGUAAAAUAUAUACCUUUGCCAUACAUUGCUGUCCUCAGAAGCGGCAUUCUAUUUUCCCAACAAAUGACUGAACCAAGUUUUCCAUAUGGAGUGUCAUAAACUGGAGUUGUCGAGCAAUCUCCGAAACCCCAGACGAGCCGCUCCCAAUAUGUUGGCAUGAGUUUCCUAUGUUUUCCAAGGUAAUUACCUUCAGGAUCAAAGAAGAGAACAGUGCAAUACAAUGUGUAUCCAUCUCUCUCAAUAACACCUAUCACCAAGUAGACUUUGUAUUUCGCAGCCAUUGAUGCCAAUCUAUCAACUUCAGGUCCUGAAAAGAUAUUAAGUGGUUGAUUCAUCAAACGUGUCUUGUUUCAAUAAUUUAUUAAGUGGUUCAGUUCUUUAGCUAUUUAAGGAAAAGAGAGAGAGGUAACUGACCCGGCACAUUAAUGGCAGAAGCAUGGUACUUGCGGAAACUUUCUUUCCCUCUUGGCGACUGGUCGGCGAAGUUGUAUCCACGGGGAUACCCACCGAUAAAUGAUUCAGGAAACACAACCAGUUGGGAUCCCAGUGCAGCUGCUUCUUUCAAAAACCUCUCAGCCUUAUCUGCUCCCAAAAUCACAUUGCAAGAAUUAAUAAUUCACGACUUAGAAAGUAAAUUAAUUGGUUGAAUAGAGAGAAUCAAAAUUAACCUCCAGACAUCCCAAAUGACUUUUUGGUUGCUGAGAAAACUCAUGGAAAAAGAGACCUAGAUAAAACUCGGAACUUUCAUAUUUUCAGCUGUUUUGUAACUAAGAAAAGAGAAACCACCUCAACCCAACUCAUCCAAGUAAUUAUUCCUUGAUUGGCAGCUGAAAAUAUGUUCAAGCUUCAAUAAUCCUUUUCUUUCCUUCAGUUUCUCAGCAACCAAUCAACUCACAGAUUCUCUUACACAAGUUGCAGAAUUGAGAGAAAUGGUACGUUACCUAGAGUGGCAGGAGUAUCAUAAAAGACACUAGAGGCUUGAACAACGGUGGCUCUAACAGUUGAAGACAUUGCAGAAAUCGUAUGCCUUUUCGUUUCCCUUCUGUUUGAGGAUUCCUCACACAGCGUUCAGUAUUUAUAUAUAGCCCAAAAGGUUCUUCUGCCAUUACUUGAACAAGACGAAAAGGCUGGGAAAAGUCUGCCUUGGUUUUCCAUAUUGAUUUAAGUUAUCCGCAGACAUUGUGGACCAGCCACAUGACUUAAAACAAAUUGAAAAUAACUGAGUCAUCUGUGAAAUAUAUAUAUCUGUGAAAUAUAUAUAUAUAUAGAUUUCAUCUUUUAUACUUGAAUCAUCUCCCCCCUCCUUUUUUUUUUCCUAGUUUUGGCCUUAUUUUUUAAAAAUAUAAUAUUUAUUUUACUUUUAAUCAAUGGCUCAUAUUUCGAACAAGUGCGCCAGAUUUUCUGAAGUUGUAUAUAUAAUAAUCUGAUAGUGAUUAUAUUUGGAUAAAAAGAGGGACCCGCCCACUUGCAUGGAUUCUAUAUAGGACACAGACAAAUUGUCUUUAGUGGCGGCUGAGGAGGCUUUCUAUGACUUAAAAAAUAAAUAAAACAAAAAUAGUCAUUAAGAAAUCAGUGCCAUGUAGUUAGUGUCCGCCACUAUCUACACUUUCUUUAAAAGAACAAAAUUGUCAUUUUUUUUAAUCUCAGAAAUCACUGAAUCGUACAAAAUAAUAUAAGAUAAGAUUCAAUUCAGUCUUUUUUGGCCUCAUAAGAAAACCUUAGCCAACUCAAGGUGACCACUCCAGAAUCAAAAUAGGUUUUCUUUUUCUUCAAAAAAAAAAAAUAUAUAUAUAUAUAUAUAUAGUUGGUGAAAGAGGGUAUAAACAAAUAUAUGCAAAAAAAAAUUAUGAUGAUUAUAUUUGAAUAAAACAGAGGGAGCCCCCACAUGCAUGGAUUCCAUCUAGCACCCAGAGGAAUUGUCUUUAGUGGGGGCUGAGGCUUUCCAUGACUUAAACUAUAUAUAUAGGUAAAAACUAGGUCUAACUUUAUGUAUUGGACCCAACCAAAAAUUGAGUGAUUGAAUGGCAGCUCUAGUAAAAAAAUAAAAAAGGGAGAACCAUGCUUACUGUCACAGAAUGCUUGAAAUGAGCCCCCUUAUGGGUUUAUAUAGAGUUCAAGAAGCUUCUAGAGACUCCUAGAGCCAUCUACACUAAGUCAUUGAUGGGAAGAGUGUGGAAGGUUCUAGAGAUGCCUAGAGAUGUCCACACAUCUCUACACUAUAGUGGAAGGCAUGAGAGGAGUCCAAGGUUUUCUAGAGAAUUCUAGAAAUCUCUUAUAUAUUCUUGUACAUAGGUUUGUAUAGGAUAUUCUAGAAUCUUCUUGAGUUCUAAGGAACCCUCCAAGGUUCCAGAGAGUUCCAUUGGUAUCUAUAAAUAGGUGAGACCCUCAUUUGGCCAAUACACCACCCAAGAACCUAAUCAACCAAGCAAGUGAGUUCUCAAAGCACUUGUAAAGGUUUCCUUUGAGCAAUAAAAGCUUUCAUUCUUUAAGAGUUGCCUACUACGCCUUCUAAAGCUUCCAAGUCAUGAGCAUCUUAGCCUAGCAAGCUAAGCAUUGGGAGUAACGCUAACUUAGCAAGAUCAAGUACCUUGACUUGUCUAAGUGCCACAUGAGCUUAGGAAAAGAUUAAGUCUGUGACAAGUGGUAUCAGAACACGACUACGAAGCGGGCAUAGUAAAGGAAGCAUGUCGGGUUCCAAUGUAGAAGAGACUAGUGAGCAAAUCCGUGGGAGGGAGACCGAGCCUGCUGCACGGGGCAGGGGCGGGGAGGAUAAGUCUCGUGAUGUCGUUGCUAACAUGGAGGCAAGCUUAGUUAAGGUGCAUCUAGACAUGGCGGACACUCGGGAGGGGUUGGACUUGAUCGAGCAAGGCAUGAAGAAGGGCUUAGAGGAUCUAAGGGAGUAGAUCCAAGACGUUUGUGAGGGGAUGUUAGUCUCACAAGUUCAGCCAGUGUCACAUGAGGAGUUUGUGUCCUUCCAAGAAAAGGUCUUGAGCAUGCUUGCUAGCAUGGAGUCAAGGAUAGAGGCCUUGGUCAUUUGAAUGGAGUCCCGAGACCAAGUUAGGCAAGAGUUGGCCAUCUACAAGGAUGCUGUGUUGGCACGGGUCAUGGCCAUCCAGGAGGUAUCUAAGGUGGAGGAGUCGAAACCACAAGAGUUUAGUGGCAAGUGGGAUGCCAAGGAGUUGGACAACUUCUUAUGGCAUAUGGAGAGAUACUUUGAGGCUAUCACACUAAUUGAUGAGGUGGUUAAGGUAAGAACUGCAACCCUUUACCUUACUGACACAACUACUCUAUGGUGGCGUCGGAGGUUUGCCGAUAUGGAGAAAGGCAUUUGCACCAUAGUGACAUGGAGGACUUCAAGAGGGAAAUCAAGAGGCAGUUCUACCCCAAGGACGUGGCAUUUGCACCAUAAAAAUAUUACCAUAUUCAUUUUUAUGUUGAAUUUAAAUGUUUAAUAAUUUGUUAAAAAUAAAAUAACGUAAUUAUGAUAUAUGAUGAUUUUUUUUUUUUGUUAAUAAAUAUGUUUUCAAAUUUUAUAUCAUUUUUAUUUUUAUUUUUUUUCCAAUUCUAUUUUUAUCUCAUAUUUAUUUUCUUUAAACCCAAAAUUGUUGAGAAUGGAGGAAGAAAGAAGGCCACAACCGGUUCUUUCCUUAAGUGGUUAAGUUGAAUUUUUAUUUCAAAUUUAAAAUGGAUGGCCAAGAUGUAAUCUUGGACAUCCAAUGGCUUGAAAAACUUUUUCGGUAUGUACCGAAGAGGUACCGUAGAAUUUUCUAUAUAAUAAUCUACAAGUUACGAUAGUGAUUAUAUUUGGAUAAAAUGAGGGACCCGCCCACUUGCAUGGAUUCUAUAUAGGACACAUAAAUUGUCUUUAGUGGCGGCUGAGGCUUUCUAUGACUUGAAAAAAAAAACUAAAAAUAGUCAAUAAGAAAUCAGUGCCAUGUAGUUAGUGUCCGCCACUAUCUAUACUUUCUUUAAAAGAACAAAAUUGUCAAUUUUUUUUUUUUUAUCUAAAAAAUCACUUAAUCGUACAAAAUAAUAUAAGAUAAGAUUCAAUUCAGCCUUUUUUGGCUUCAUAAGAACACCUUAGCCAACUCAAGGUGACCACUACAGAAUCAAUAGAGGUUUUCUUUUUCUUCACAUAUAUAUAUGGUGAAAGAGGGUAUAAACAAAUAUAUGCAAAAAAAUAAUCUACAGGUAUGUUGAUUAUAUUUGAAUAAAACAAAGGGAGGCCCCCACAUGCAUGGAUUCCAUCUAGCACCCAGAGGAAUUGUCUUUUGUGGGGGCUGAGGCUUUCCAUGACCCAAACUAUAUAUAUAGGUAAAAAUUGAGUGAUUGAAUGGCAGCUCUGGUAAAAAAAAUAAAAAAGGGAGAACCAUGCUUACACUCUCGUUCAUUCCAACAAAUAUAUUGUUUAGGAAUUCUAAUUUUAAUAUUUCACCCCAAAUACAUAAUCAAUAAAAUUAUUCUUCAAAUAUGUAUUUUAAUAGCAACCAAAUUGAGAAUUAUAUAGUUAUCCCUUUCUAAAAUCUUUAAUGUAUUUGAUAUCCUCUCCAUAUCACGUCUUUGAUAUCCUACCUUUGACAUUUUUUUAUUUAUAUAUGUCGAAGUGACGAGACUUUCUCUACUCAACCUUUUUCCUUUCAGAUUUCUUUUCACUCUUUUAAUAAUUUCACAUUUAUUAACUUUAAUAAUUUUUUGGACACAUUAAAUAUAAAAUUAUAAUACAUAAUAAAUAACUAAUUAGAAUAAAUUAAAUGUAAAUACAAGUAUGCAAUGGGUAGAAAAUGAAAAUUUUAUCCUAUAAAUAGUACGCUUGAUAGUUUAAAAUAUUAAUUAUAAUAAUACAUUUGAUAAUUUAGGAUUUAGAUUUAAAAAUUAUGUUUUAUGUUUUAGAGGCCAAGAUAUAAGAUUUCCAUUAACCAAAGAUUUUUUUUAUGUGAAUCUUAAAUAAAAUGUUUGUUUAUUUUGCAAAUUCUUAUCAUUUGUAAAUAAGACAAAUAUAUUUUUAUCAUAUUAUUUUUAAUUUUUAAUAUUUUGUGUCAAAAUCAUCAUCAAUGAUGGUAAUCUUUAUUAGGAUAGAACCCUUAAACGUAUGAUAUGAUGUAACAAAUAUAUAGUUUAUUAUUUAUUUAAUAAUAUUCAAGUUUCACUUUUAUCUAUCCUUAUUCCAUGUAUUAUAUCUCAUGAGUAUUCUAGCCAAACAUUUAUUGCAUUAUACAUGACUUGAAUGCAUUAGGUAUAGACCCCCCAUUUUGUUCUCUUAGCACAUGCAUUAUGAGGUGUUCUUUCAAUACUCCACAACAAUUCCCUAGUGUCCCAUUACUACUCAUACUUUUUGAGCCACCUUGGAGACUCUGGUCGAGGGAUUUAUAUGGCUCCUCAUUGUGACCAUUGGUAACCUUGAGUUAGAUUUAGGUUAUUUUUUUCCUUUUUCUCUCAUGUUAGCCCUUUUAGGUGCACUUUCCGUUUUUAGGAUAGCAUAUUAGGCAUUUCCUAGGACACCAUGCCCCACUUAAGCUCUUAGGCACGUUUUACAUUAGUUCACCCAACCCCCUUAGGUUCACUUAGAUAGAUUUUUUAGGCUUAAUGUACUUAGGUUUGUUUUUUGAGUUGUGAUGGCAUGAUUCUGAGUUUAUGUGAGUAUUUAGUUUGAUUUUUUUUUUUUGUUUUUUUAAUUGCUUCAAUAUUUAGUUAUGAGAUUUUGACAUUUCAUUUUGUUUCAUCAUUAAUUACACUAGAUUAACAUUUGAAUUUUGAUUGCAGUAUUUAGCAUCUAUAUUAUUAUUAUGAAUUAUUUAUUUAUUUUUUGUCUAUUUUUUAUAUUUACUUAUCUAUUUAUUUAUUUGUUAAAAAAAUGCAUGAGGUUGCAUUUUAGUUUUUUUUUUUCCAAAAAUUGCAUGAAUUGAUAUUCAAAUUUCCUUAUAGAUGGAUAUGAGUUAUUUUAUUUUAAUUGGGUUUGGGUUGUCAUUUCUCAUUUUUGGGCUUUGUUUGUUUUGCAUGGGCCCAAGAGUUUUCUUAGGGUGGAAGUCUUGAAAGCUAUAUAAAAAGGGCACAGAAGCCCUAGGCAAUAGGGAGGACAAUCAAAGAGAGAAAAGGUGUUGCUACUUUAUUCUUUUUGUGCGUGUGUGUGUGUGGUUUCUUUCUUUCUUGAUUGUAUAUUGUUGGUGAGAGAGAAUUUUUCCUUACUAUGUAUCUACUAUAGGGCAGUUCAUUUGUUUUUUUAUAUUGUAUUCGUAUGUUGGAGUUGCCUUUGGUUCGGAGAGUCUAGAUCGAUUUAGGGUGGCAUUCAAGUAAGUUAUUUCUUCUUCAUCUCUUUAUUUGUAUUAUGUUUUUGUUCUUUUUAGGAUUUCUUAGAUUUAUCUUGUUUUAUAUUUAUUAUAUUUGUAAGCAUUUUGGUAGUUGAAUAUUUUAGCCAUUUCAUUUAUUCAAUUCUUUGCCUAUUUGAGUUAUAUGUUCAUUAUACUCUAUAUUUUGUAUGUAUGCACAUUUGCUAAACUUUUUCUACCCAUCUAUAUGUUUGUCAUGUUUAUUUAUUAUUUUGUUGAUAUGUGUUGACAUGUGUUUCUAUAUGGUCAUGCGAAAUGAAACAAAAUAGGCUUGGUUGCAGCACACAAGGGAAACGUGAAAAGUGAUUUCGCAUGACCAUGCGAAAUUUUCGCACAGUCAUGCGAAACCCUCCAAGAAGAUGAAAAUGAAGCUGAUGGACUUUCCACUUCGCACCAUCAUGCAAAAUUGCUAGGGGCUCGUGCAAAAUGCAUUUUCUCCAUAUGUUGUUUCAAGUUUUCUAUAUUUGUGCAAUUCCUGUCCUAAAUUUUCUAUAAUUUUGUUUAUGUUAGUCUUGUUGCCUCAUUUUUCAUUUUGUCUUAAUUUUUGUAUAAUUCUAUUAAUAUUAGUCUUGUUGCUUCAUAUUUCAUUGUCUUAAAUUUUUUAUAAUUCUAUUUAUGUUAGUAUUUUUGUCUCAUAUUUCAUUUCAUGCCAUAUUUGGGUUUUGAUUUAUUUUUCUGGCUUGAGUUUUCUUUCUUUUUUUCUUUUUUUUUACUAUGCAAUAAAAAUUUCAGAAAAAUCAGUUUUAAUAAAAUUUCUAGAAAAAUAGUUUUUAAUAAAUUCCAAAACGGUUUUCUUUAAUUAAAAAUCUAGAAUUUUGUUUCCCAUAAAAUGCAAAAAAAAAAUUGUUUUAAUAAAAUAAUAUGGAAGAACCAUUUUUACUAAAUUCAGAAUUUUGGUUUAAUAUAAAAUAAUUCAAAAAAUCAUUUUUUUUUAAUAAGUUCAUAAAAUUCAUUUUUUUAAUAAAAUAAUUCAAGAAUUUCAUUUUUUUUAAUAUAUUCGGUAAAUGGUUUUUAAUUUAAUAAUCCAAAUAUUCAUUUUUUAACAAAUCCAGAAAAUUGGUUUUUUAAUAAAAAUCCUCAAAGUUUGUAAAGUCCUAAAAGUUUGUUUGAUGGAAAUUUUGAAAUUUGUGUUUUAAUAAAUGUUCUUUAGAAAAUCAUUUUUUUAAUAAGUUUGAAAAUUCUAAAAUUUGUGUUUUAAUAAAUGUUCCUUAGAAACUCAUUUUUUUAAUAAGUUUGUUAACUGAAAAAUUGUGUUUUAAUAAAUAUUCUUUAGAAAUUUUUUUUUUAUAAAUAAGUUUGUUAAUUGAAAAUUGUGUUUUAAUAAAUGUUCUCUAGAAAAUCACGUUCUAAUAAAAAUUAUGAAAAUUUGUAAUAUCCUAAAAGUUUGUUUAUUGAAAAUUCUGAAAAUUCUAUCUUAAUAAAUGUUCUUUGGAAAGUCGUUCUUUAAUAAAAUUAUACAUUAUGAAAAUUGUGUUUUAAUAAAUGUUCUUUAAGAAAUCGUUUUUUAAUAAAUUUGUAAAUUCUAAAAAUUGUGUUGUAAUAAAUGUCCCUUAGAAAAUCGUUUUUUUUAAUAAGGUUGAAAUUUUUGAAAUUUGUGUUUCAAUAAAUAUUCUUUAGAAAAUAAUUUUUUUAAUAAGUUUGUUUACUAAAAAUUGCGUUCUAAUAAAUAUUCUUUAGAAAACCAUUUUUUUUAGUAAGUUUAUUUACUAAAAAUUAUAUUUUAAUAAAUGUUCCUUUAAAAAAAAUCAUUUUUUUUAAUAAGGCAUAUUUAAUGAAAAUGCUUAAAAUAAGUGUUUAAAUAAAUAUUUUCAAAGUUUUUCUUCAUAAAAGUCGUGAAAGUCAUAAAAGUCAUAAAAGUUCUCAAAUUUGAUUUAAUUAAAAUUUUCAAAAUAAAUGUUUUAAUAAUUGUUCUCAAAGUUGUGUCUUUUAAAUUUACUUAAAGUUUGUCUCAGUAAAAGUUUUAAAAGUUUUAAUAAGUGUCUUAAUAAAUUCUCAAAAUAAGUGUUUUAAUCCUAAAAAUUCUCAAAUUUUGUUUUUAAUAAAUUCCCAAAGUUUGCCUUAUUAAAUUCUAAAAGUUGCUUAAUAAAAACCCUCAAAGUUAGUCUAAAAAUCCACAAAGUUGUUUUCUCGAAGUUAGUGUUUUAAUCAAUGUCUCUCUUUUCAAAUAAAUUUGAUUUAUAAAUAUUUUUUUCACAAAUAAAAGUUGAAAAAUUUUGUUUUCUUAAUGAAUUGAAAUUUGGUUCCUGUCAUUAAAAUAAAUAAACCAUUUUUCCUUGUAAAAAUAUUUUUUUUCCAAAAGUAGAACUGAUGUUUCUUUAUAAUUAUCGAAUCUUCCUUUUUUUUAAAAAAAAAAAUAAAGUCGAAGCCAAUAUCAUUUCUUUGUAAAUAGAAGAUCAAAUUGAGCUUUUCUUUUUAAUAUAUUUGAAUUCAAUCAAAAUUAUUUUAAUAAAAUCAAGAAAAGUCUUCUUUUUUUUUAAUUAAUUUUGGAUGUGAAUAAAAAUCGAGUCUUUUGUAAAUAAAUUGAAACUUUGUGAGUAAAUAAGUUUGAAAUCUUUAAUUUGGAAUUGUUCCCAAUAUAAAUAAAUUUCUUUUGAACUUCCUUUGAAAUGUUGCAACUUGAACAAAUAAUUAAAUUAUAUUUUGUGCUCUUCACAUUCAUUAAUUGUGUACAUUCUUGUGUAAUCUUUUUCUCAUCUCAUGACUUAUAUGUAUCUUGUUGUCCUGUUAUCAGUAUCCUCAAUAAAUUAAUCAAUUCAUACUGACUCGUUUUGAUUUAUGUUUGCAAUUUUUCAAGAUGAUUGACAUAAUGUGUUUCAAAGGAAAAUCAAAUCCUUCUCACCAAGUAUGUCUUAAAAUAAUUUUUUUUUUUUUAUAACUUCAAAUUAGAAAUGUCUUCUUAGCUUUGAUAAUGAUCUUUUGUAUUUUUUUUUUUAAAUUGCAACGAUUUGAAAACAUUAUAGAAUAGAGUUAUUUAUAAACUUAUUUUUAUGUACAAAUAAAUUAUACAAAUAUGUGAAAUUAAUUUAUUAAUUUAUUAAAUUAAAAUUUAUUUCUUAUUUUUCUAAUUUUUUUUCUUCAAAUGAACUCAAAAUUGUAGCUUUUAACAUGUGAAGCUAGAAAUGUUUGGAAGGUAUAUAAUAAUGAUAAAAUAGGCAAUCAUCAUUUUCCACUUGCAAGAAAAUCAUAAAAUAGGCAAUGGUCAUUUCAAGAUUUGUAUCAUUCAUCAAACUAGUAAAUUUGGAAAUGGAACUCCAUUAGAUUGUGAAAAAAAACUACUAUAAACCAAAAAAUAUAACAAAGAAUAAAGAAAUUAGAAUAUAACUUCCACUUUGAAACUAUUGCUUGUAUGAACUAUUAUCCACUUGCCAACUUAACAGAAUUGACAUAGCCAUAAACCUAAUAUAAAAUAAUCAUUUUAGCAAUCUAGAAUAAUCAAGCAUAAUUUCAAAAUGCGUCUCUCAUGCUUACAAUGUUAUAGACCAAACAAACUAAAACAAUGAUUUUUCUCCACUGAUACAAUCUUAAAUAAAUUUAUUUUAGAAACAACAUAACCUAAUUGCCUAAUGAAACAUCAUUGAUCCAUAGACCAGUAGACAUUUUUCCUGAUUUCAUUUUUUGGCGACAUUAUCAUUUGUGUUAGGAGUUUUUCCUUGUACUUCAUGACCUUGUCCUAUACAAAAGAGUAUAUAAUAGAAUAUUAACGAAAAUUCAUGUUAUUUUAUUGAACAUAAAAAAUAAAAAAUAUUGUAUUCAACACAAUAUAAUACAUUUGCAAUUGUAUGAAAAAAUCCAUUGUUAUCCCAUAAUUGCAUAAACUUGAUUACAAAUAUGCCACAAUCUGUUCUACAAGUAGCAAUUAAGGAAAUUAAAAAUAAAUUAUGCAUCAAAUCAAUAAAUUUAGAACCUCAUUUGCUUUCCAUAGGUAAAGAGGAAUAAAAUUCUUGCAACUUAUGAAUUCAAUUGUUGCAAAACUUCUAAAACAACGAAUUUGAAUUUAGUCAUGUCCAUUGAUGGUCUUCUUUCUUGAAUCCCAAUGACAAUUGAUAGAACGCUUACCUUAACACAAUAUAAAAUUAUAAAUAUGGACAUCCUUAAAAAAUAAUGACAACAAGUCACAUAAGUAAUUGGAUAAUAACUAUAUUUACUAGUUUCUCUGUGAAGACAUCCAUUUGCUUUUUCCUUUCGUCAAUCAAUGAAUCCAACAACUCGAUUCUUUUUCUAAUGAAUAUUCAAAAUGUUUAAAUACCAAUGAUUUCUCCUGCAUAUUGGUAUGAACAGCUGAAAAAGAAAAAUAAAUAAUGAUUUUAUCAAGUUAAUUGUGUUCAUGUAUUUCCUGCACUAUACUUAAAAAUAUCCAACUAUAUAUGACUUUCAUUAAAUUAAAUAAAACAUGUUCAUAUGUGUACAACCGAGUGUUUUUAAAAUAUUUUCAUAAAUUGUCACAUGUAUUUUGGAGAAAAUGUACCCCUCUUAUUUUCCACAUCAAAUUGUAAUAAUAAAAAAAAUACAAAACAUACAUUAGAUUAAAACAAUCUACUUAAAACAAGAAAACCAAUCUAUAAUUCUUACAACAUAUCUUACCUCAAAAUGGGGAGAUAAGAAAUGCUCCCUAUUUCCUUUAUCCUUACCAUUCAAAAUUCGACAAAACAUGGUUACAACCUUCAUGUAAAUGAAUGAAAAUUAGAAAUAUAGUUUUAGAGUAAUUUUAUCUUAACUUCAUAUAACUAAAUAUGAAUACCUUAUUGUUAACUAAUUUGUCGGGUCCCAAGCAUUUUAAGUCGAAUCUUAUCAAGAAGAAAUCGUACAUGGAACACAAUAUUUGGCUACAUAGAAAUAAUUAUGAUGUUAUGAAUUAAAACUAAAUCUUUUAAAUGGUUGUCUUAAUUGUACUUGUUUAUACUGAAUCAAGUUCAACCUGACCUUUCAUCACGUGUAUCGUCCAAUGCAUAUGCUAAAACUUACUUUGCUACAAUGAAGACGUUGAAAAUUUGAUUGAUUGUUGUACCACAUAUGGUGAUUGUAGGGCAGUAGCACAUCGACGUAGCCGACAUAAACAUAAUGGAGGAUGUUCAGUCUAGUAAGGAAUAAUAACAUUCGACUUAACUUCAUCCUCAACUAUAUGUAUAGAAAAUAAGAAAAAAAAUUCAUUAACGAAAAUAACACACAGAGGAAAGACUAGCCAUUAUUAUGAACUCAUUAAUAUUUUGAUAUUAAAAAUUACUAUAAAAAAAUAAAGAUGCAGAAAGUAUAAUGCUAUGUUGCGCUACUGGCUGUGAGGUCGAUGGCCCUGCAUUAUCUUCACCAUGAGCGGAACGAUCAUUCAAUGGUGAUCCAUAUGCUAAUUUAAAAAUGGAUAACAACCAAAUUUUAAAAAAAAAUUAUAGAACAUUUGCAAUUCAAUUAAAAGUAAAAAAAAAAUUUAACAGCUAAUGCUAUAAAAACCUUAUUACCAUGUGGUGGUGAUGGGAAAGAUUCAUUGAUGUCAGGUUGGUUAUGACUUCCGCUUUGAUGAGAAGGUGAUGGGGUUUUGUUUUUAUUAUGCCGCUUUGCUAGUUUAUCAAUUGCUUCUUUCAUUGUUCGAAGCAAUUGGUGAAUUUGUUCCUCCACUACAUUAUACUCUGCUAUAAUUUCCUACAAAAUGGUACAAAGUGUAAAAGAUGUAUAUUAUUAUGCAUAACAUGUUUGGUUUACUCUUUAAAUAAAGGAAUAGAUGUAAAAGGUUCUCACAUCACUAGUCUCUUCUUCAACUUCAUCUACUGGAUUAGUAGGGUCUUCAUGUGCAUCUUCCCCCCUUUCAUCUUCCUGAACCUACAAUAAUAAAAAGAAUAUAUAAUUUUUUUAAAAUUAUUUUUCAAAUAUUAAAAUAAAAAGAAAAUGUAGAAAUAAAAUUUUGUUCCUUACAUCGACUAGUCCAAGGUCAUCAUAAUCCUGCAACUCUACAUGCACCAUUUUCUUCAUCAGGUCAUCACUCUACAAUGCACAUAUGGGGAUGGUGUGUGGCACCAACAUAAUUGGAAUGUAGAAUUUAUUUACAUAAAAAAGCUCAUACACAAAUAUUCCACACAUCAAUACGUUAUUUAGAGAACACUGUUUAAACAUAGAAAAUGAUAUGGAAACCUUGAGCAUUUAAUAAAAAAAGAUAUUUACCUACAAAAAAAAAAAGGUAACCUGUAAACCAUGAGCCUUUACCCAAUCGAAAAUGCCUAAUUCGAGCAACCAAUGUGUCAAGUACAAAUUGGUCCCAAUUAACAUUGAUGUCAAAGUUUCUAGCAAGCAAAGUACACCGCAACUCAUGACUACCAUCCAACUUCAAUGUUGGAGCAAGUAAUGUAGCACAUGAGAAGAAGAUAAACAAUUUUUUAAAGUCACCCAUGUCUUCCAUUGAGAUCAGCCUAUCUCUAAGGAUAGAUAGGUUUUCCAUCCUAUUAUUCCUAUUGGUAGGUGUAGACACUCCAUUUUGUAUAUCUAGUACUUGUCCUAUUAUGUGUUCGUUUGGUACUUUACAACAAUUCCCUGGUAACCCAUUAUUACUCAUGUAACUUAUCUUUUAUGAGCCACCUUGGAGACUCUGAUUGAGAGAUUUAUCUAACCUCAUUACAACCCUUAGCAACCCUAAUUUAGACUUAGGUAGUCAAUACAUGUCUAGCAUAAUACCCUAAGCUCCCAUUUUUACAACUUGGAGGGCUAAAUUGGGUAAAAUAUAAGAAUGUCAAAUAACAUGUAUAUGUGAAAUAUGGACAAAAAAAAAGGAAUAGAUAAAGGUAAUGAUUAAUUAUAUUUAUUAAGAAUAGUGAUUAACUUAAAAAAAAAAAUAGUUAACUUUUGUGAAAAUAUCCCUUAGAAAAGAUCAUGACUUUUAUGACUUCAUUAAGGUAAAUCAAUCAAGCUUCAAGAGCAAUUAUCGAUAAUAUAUUUGGAAAUAUGUAGUAUUAGCAUCCUUUUACAUCUCAUAGAUUGACAUUAUAGAAGAGAAAUGCAAUUAGUAAUUAUAAGGAAUAAAUGUUUUACAUAUGAACAAUUUGAUUAAAGAUGGAUAAAAGAGUAAAGAGUUUAGAUUAGAGAGAGAGAGAGAGAGAGAGAGAGAGAGAGAGAGAGAGGUUGUGCCUUACAAGAAAUGUCUAAACUAAAUAUAGGAUGUAUAUAAGACAUACUAAGGCCAAAAGAAAGAUAUAAAGAACAACUCACACCUAAGUAACAUGAUCAAAGCUAUUUAAAUGAAUCCUCAUUGCUUCCUUACCUAUACAUACAUCUAAAUUGUUGUAAAGGAUUGUAAAUAUUAUGAGUUUGUUCUUUUUUAGUACUACUUCAUUACUAGUGGAAUAAUGGACAAAUGAGUACAUUGUAUUCAUAGCAAUUUAGAUUAUAUUUUCAUAAGGUGGUGAAACAAACAUAUAUGGUAUCCUUCUCAACUCAACUUAGGAAUAGGAAAUAAUAACAAAAACAAUUAUAAGCUAACAAAAUUCAUAUAUAUAGGUAUAUAUUCAUGUGAGAGGAAGCCAUAUAGAAUCUUUACAUUUCAAAAAUCAAGUAAACUUUAAUUCAAGAAAGCAACUUAAAUGUAGGUAAGUCUUCAAAAAGUUUAGAAGAAGAAAAAAAUGUAACCUCAAUAACUAUCCACUUGAGCUAUUUUUUAGAUCAUUUCUUCUUUUGAGAUACAAAAAUUCGAAACCCCCUGCAAAAAAGAAGAUUACAUUAGUGUUUAUUUUGAAACAUGAAAACUAAAAUUAUGGUAGACUUACAUGUUCACAAUAUCUUUUAUAUCUUGGUAUGGUUGUUGUAAUAGCAAGUCUAAAUAGUAAACUGUUUGUAAUUUGAGGUCAAUUACAGCCAAAACCCAAUGAAACCUACAAUAUAUUAACAUAUAAUUUAGAUAAAUAGCAUUUAUAAGGCUAAGAAAUUAAAAACAAUUAUAAUUAACAACUUACCUUGGGUUAUACGGAAGAAAAAUCAGAUCUGCCAAUUUGGAGUCAAUUAGGCGAUCAACAAUGAUCUUUGCUCUUUUUUCAAUUUUUGGGGCUAUUGUUCUAGCCUUAGACACCAGUCCUGGAUGAACAGAUAUAAUUUUCUCAUGUAGUGUAUCAUCUAGAUGUUCAUGCAACCACCUAAUGAAAUAUCACCCAGUUUAGAAUUACUUAAAAAAUAAAAAAAAUAAACGGUUUCUACUUAUUUAUAUCAUGAAUAUAACAUAAAGAUUUACAACAAAAUCUCACCAAAUAUAGAAACAUAUACAAUUCAUAGUCAACUCUUUUGCAAAAAUUACAUCAUUCAUUUCAGUUGUCAAGAGGAAGAUUUGAAAUUUCAUCCCAAAAACAUUGAUUGGAAAGUCAACUUUGGGUGCCAGUUUACCCUCCAACAUUGUUGAAACUGUUUUAAAAAAUAAUUGUAUAUCUCUUGGAUUCUCAUAUUUGAUUUUCUUUGGGGAUGCUUGUAUCUUAUUCAUUUUAUUCUUCCUCUUGCCAAAAUCCUAAACACAUAAAUAGAUGCAUGACAUUAAAAUGAAAAAUAAAUAAACCAAGAGUGUAGGAAAAUAUAACUCAACUUUGAAAGUUUGGGUAUAACGUUAUUCCCCUCAACAUUUUCAUCAUUUAUCACAAAUGCAACAGGCCACAAAACCUCAUAUCCAACACCCUCCCUUAUUGUACUAAUGUUUUCAGAAAGUGGGAAUGAAAGAAGUGCAUUAGGUUGAAGAGGGUAAAGAAUGACCACUAAUAUAUCAGUUCUAUCAAUGGAAAUGUUUGAAUCUCACAAAUAAGUUCCAUAUGCAACAAUGUUUUCUUCAGUUUCAAGAGCUAAUUUGCAUUUAUAAACCUGUAAAAACAUAUUUUCUAAUCCUUCGUCUUUCAUUAUAGUUAUUUUAUAUAUUGUUUUUAUAAAUUUAACUUAGGAAAAGCCAUAUAUACCUGAGUUAGUGGAGAAGCUUUUUGAGUCCUUUCUGCUGAUAGGUUCUCCACAUGAGCACUAUAAUGAGUCUUCUCUCGUAUUUCUUCAUGUUCCAACAAUUGUUUCCUUAUGUUUGUGCUGCUCACUUCAGAGUGGGGUGUGAGGGGUUCUUUUUUUUUUCAGCUUUCAAAGAAAUGAUCUCUUCUUCCAAGCUUUUUACUUUCUCCCUUAGCAUCCUUUGACAUUCCUCUUCUUCAAGAGUUUUUAUGGGUUUUAGUGUGUUGAAUAAUUGUUUGGGAUUUUUUUUCCCACCUUUUCCUCUAACCCGUCCAGGAUGCUCGGAUGUACCCAAUGCUAAAGUGAGGAUAUCCUUUUGGCCAACACAUGUGAUCUUCCCUUCCUCAACAGCCUUUGCCAACUCAUCCUCCAAAAAUAUAUAAGAUGCUUCAAGAGUCAUAUUUAAUAAAAUAAAAAAACAAAUGAAAUUGACUAAAACUAAGUAUAGGUUUGACAACUUACAAUCUUUUCCGCUACAGGCCUCGUAACAUCAUCAUAUUCACCUUUUUUCAAUCUUUCUAGCUUCCACAAGACCCAUCUAUCAAUAGGUUUCCUUGAACCUGUCUUUUGCAUCUAUCAAAAAACAAAAAAGUGAAGCAAUUAAACUUUACAAAAGUAAAUGUCCAACAAAAUAAAAUACACUAAUUCAACUUACCAAUUCUUCUUGAAGUCUUGCAUAUCAUUUCCUACUCACUCAAUGAAUAUAAACGUAUUUUGCCCUCCUUUCUUUUCCUUUUUUUGGUUUAACUUGAAACUCUAUUGACAACCUAUUAGCCACUAACUUUCUCCAGUCUUCAAUUGGAAUGUAAUUAUAUUCAAUUGGUGGCUACAAAAGGUACUCGGGCUUAUCCUUAUAAGGCAGGUGUGGACCCCGCAUUUCGAUGGCUCGAAUGCGUUCCCCACUCGAUGGCGAGCUCGAUUUUUAUUUUGAAAAAUUGAUUUUUAUUGAUUAUUUGAAAAUGACUUGGAGUCGCCACUUAUUUUUGUUUUAUUUUUAAAGGGUAAACAAAAUAAGAAAGAAAAACCCUAAGUGUGACUCCUUAUUUUGGAAAAGGUGAUCUACGAAAAACCGGAUCGGGUUCGGGGGUCAGGUUACUUAUCGGGAAGGUACGGUAAAGACCGUAGCACCCCUCUAAGUCCCUAAAGUCGGGUCUCUACUACUAAAAUGAAGCUGACAUGGCAAUCAAUGAGAAAAUCAAUGAAUACUCAAAUCAAUCAUGCACAUAUAAGUAUCAAAACAUGCGUAUAGCAAGACCAGAAUAAGGACAGAUGCGUACCUGGGCAACGAUCUUCAAUGCGCUAUCAAGAAGUGAGAUUAGUGCACAAUUAAAGGAUGGUCACAUGCAUAUCAUAGAGCAGAAUAAAUCAUGUAUGGCACCCAAAUCAACCAAACAAUCCAUCAAUCAUAAAAUCUCAUAUGUUGGGCCCCCACCAAAGCCCGAUUGAUUUUUGCAUGAAUUAAUUCCAUAAAUUCCCUUGCUUGGAAUUACGGAAUUUUAUUCUAGCUUAUUUUAAAACAUUUUGAAAAUCUGAGGAGUUGUGAAAAUUGCUUGUCAGGGAGAAAAGUGACAGCAAAUUUUUAUUAUAAAGUGGAAACUUUUGGGAACCUAAAGAUUCCAAUGAGGAAACAUGAGAGAAUUGGAAUUAUUUGAAAAACCAGAUUUUUGAGAAAAUGCUUGCAAAAUGGGAUUAGGAACAGUUAUUAAAACAGAGAAUGAGGAAGUAAAAGGUGGUGGCACAUGGUCAAAGGCUGCAUGUCCUAGGUGGUCAUGCAAAGAAGCGGUCUCCUGUAGCUUUUGUAGGGUCCAUUCUCUCCCCACUUCUCAUCCCAUGAGUUCUUUACGAUCCAGUAAGGCCUGCCCUUCAUCCGGAUGGGAUCAUGGCCUGUUGAACCAUGCCCCACCAGUAACACUCCAUGAGCCAUCAUCUCAGAGCAUAUGUAUGGGCGUGACACUUCCCCAAUAUGUGUCUGCAUGAACACUGUAUUGAUGCCCACUACCAUUUGACCAUUUUUCACAAGAUUAGCAGCCAUCUGAUCUUCAUCAAGGAAUGAACCAAAAGCUUUGGCUGCAUCGGGCUUCUGGAGAAGAACUGUUUUGAUUGCAUUCAAUAUCUCAUCCACGGAUCUUCCUGUGCUAAUGUAUUCUGAAAUAACCUCCCAUCUUCAAGACAUUCCUCUGGGAUAUUUCAGCAUCCCUUUUAUCAAGAGCCCAACUUCUUCUCUAUCCCAAGGUUUCUCCUUAUAGUGUGAUCAAAAGAAUGAAGUUGGGGUCACUGAAUUCACCUUCCACUGAAGAGUAGAAAGCAUCAGAAGCCCUAUCCUCUGAAACGUCUUCACUUCAAGCACAUAUUUUAUCUCCUCCACCUGCAGGUCCAAGAGAAGAGGAGCAUCGGUUUUACUGGAGCUUGACUUUCUCUUCUCAGGGGCAUUUUCCUCAUGGGGACUCUCUAUCUGAUCUGUUGAUGCAGCUGCACUUUCUCCCUCAUUCUCAUGGCCAUCUAAUCUGCUUCCGCGGAUGCUGCAUCUGACACCACGGCCUCUUGAACGCGAGUGGAAUCCAGCUGGCAAUGGACCCAAUGGAGGCCUCUCAAUGGGUUUACUUUAAGAGCUUCUUGAGGGCCCAAAGGAUAUUGCAGGACCCGGACUUAGGACGCCAUCUUAUCCGUGUCAUGCUGAGGAAUUCGUUCUUUGUGGUAUCAGAUUGGCUACAGGAGGCCUUAUAGAAGUGAAGCUAGGGAUAUCUUCAGAAAUGGAACUUGGACCCUUCCCUUUGACAGGUUCAUCUCCAUGAGAACCAAAUUUUAUAAGCUCGGUAACUCCAGGUUGUUGAAUGAACUUCCCAGUCUCCUUGUCAUGCAACAAAGCACUUUUUGCUUCAGUUUCAGUCUCCACAGGUGCCGGGGCCGCUUCAAAUCCCACAACCUCCAUGAAUUCACCAUGCUCCUCCAAGAAAUAACCAACAACACUAGGUAGCAUUUCCAAUUCACUUCACGACCUUGGAAUGAGCAGUUGCUUUAUCAGUUUCAUGGCAGAGGGUGAGCACUGGAGCUUUCCUCUUGACAACACUUUACCUGGAAAGCGGAGAGUGGAUACCGGUAAUCCAUGAUAAAUAGAAACUUCCCCACUUUUCCGGACUGGAGGUGAUCUCCUCAUGUUGCUGGCCUAUAGAUCCAUCUUCUGGAGAAAACACCAGUUGAAAAUUAUCCACUGAAGCAACUGUCACUUGUCCACGGAAGUCCGAGCACCAGCAUACCCAGAUUGGUGGUUUUGGAAUAUAGGUUUGAAGAGUUUGAUGGGUGUGCAAGGUGUAGACAUGGGGCAUGAUAGCAAAGUGGUGAGAUGAGGUGAUAAUGAGUGUAAAUAGGCUUAGAGAGAAAGGUGAAUAAAUAUGGUGGGGGAGUAGACUGUUGACAAUGGGUAUGUAUGAGUCCUAUGCCUGUGGGUAUGGUGAGAGAUGAACUGCAAGUGAUGGGCAUGAUGUGGUGUGGGGUGGAUUAGUGGGAUGACAGUAUACAAAGAGAGCGUGGUGUAGAGAGAGAAUGCAAGAUGAUGAGUGCAUGUGUAGAUAUGGGUGUGGGCAUGGUGGUAUGAAGCGUGUGGUGGAUGAUGGACUGAAGGUGAUGGGCAUGACAAUGGGCAUGAACAGGGAUGGAGUCAUGUGGGCACGAGACGAGCAUGAGCGCGGAAUGAGUGUGAUGCAACCAUGCAUGGUAUGAAAAGGGUUUGGUGUAGUGAGAGAAAGUAGAUUAUUGGUGAUGGGUAUGAAUAAUGGCCGGGUUUGCAUGGUCCAUGCACUUGGAUGGGUGAGUUUGGGGAUGCUAGCAGAAGCCUUGGAAGGAAUACGGGCAGCCAUGCACGCGUGGGGUUUCAUGGAUAUCGAGUCAGGGUAUUUUGCUGGAGGAAGAGAGCAUGGGUCUGCACAAUAUGGGGAUUGGGAUCUCCUACGGACUCCCUAGCUAAUGGAGUUGUGAAAGGGAGACCAUCUGCUUUUCCGAUACCAGAUUAUGGGAAGUUCAGUGAUGGCUUCUCAAAAAUGGACCUUGAUGUUAACAAACCACCCUUGGGCAAUUUAGCAAUCCCUUCAUUCUCAGAAGACUCCGUCUCCAACAGACCAUAAUGAUACUGAACUAAUCCAUGUGAAACGGACAAGAAAGGCUCUGCUCGUGAAUGUUCCCUGGCAUAACCUCCUCUAGAAUGUCAUCAGACGAAACAAAACUAGAGAACCAGGUAUCUAGAACAAGUAAGUCUUCUCACUGGGCCAAACCCUCAACAAGCCUGUUGCAUUUCUCUGAUUUCUCCCACUGUUCUGCCAAAGUCUUUAUUUAUAAUAUAAUGGUUUAGAAAUAUCCUCCAUUAAUCACUCUGCCUUUGACCAACCCUGGUUAAGGAUCCAUACAUCAAAUCUGAUUACCACUUCUGGCCCACAACCGCUCGAGUUGAUAAUGAUUUUCCUCCAUAUCUACUCCUGUUCAUCUUCAUAAAAUUCCUUGGAAUCAUCAGUAUACUCACUGCAAUCUGUGGUAAAGACCACCACAUCCUCAUCGACAUCUUACUUUUUUCCUCUACGAAUGGCGCCUCACACUACUCACUAUUCUUUGGAUCUGAACCACUUUUUUUUUUUUUUUUUUUUUUUCAAAUAUUGGAUGUCAAGCCUCAACAGCAUAUAGUAGUCAAUUUGUACCAUCCCCAAUGUAUGGUAUGCAUGAUGCCCCGUGCUCAAAUUGCUCAAAAAGAACAGAGGAAUAUAGCUAAGAAAACAGGGCAUAGGAGAAAGGAACAAAAAAUAAAUCAAGGGCAACUGCAUUUCAGGACAUAUCAAUGUGUUCCCACUGGUGGAUGAAAGAUAUGAACAAAUUCAAAACAAAAAAUACGCCACAUAUGUUCAGGUGCCUAGCAACGAAAUAUGAUGCAAGUCCUCACCCAUUUUCUUAAACCAGGUUAAUGAAACAGCGAAAGGAUUAACAUCACAGAUGGAAACAUGACAAAUACAAACAACAUAUACACCCAGUGAAAUGAUAUUCAGAAUAAUGAAAUCAUACGGCUAAAUAUAAGCAUACCUGAAUGUGAUAGAUGUCCUACCCAGCUUUUCUUACUUUCUCUCUGUUUUCCUUGCCUUUCUAGCUCCGACAAUCGAAUCACCUUCUCUCUUACUCUUCUUUUCUCCCGCUUGAAAAACCUCCCUCUGGAAAUAUAUCUCUCCCCCAGCCAGACGACACCCACCUGCCUUGCAGUUGCAAGCCUCCAUUACCUUCAGAUUUUUCUGCCACCUUCCUCUUCUAGGCCCAUUUCCCCACUACUCUGCACCACUACCUUGCUAAUAACAGAAGACGCUCCUCAAUACAACGGCCUGCAGAUCCUCAUGCCACCUGUCAACCUUCCAUUGGCACUUCAAAAACAACAUACGAUUCUGCAUUGCCCUCUCAAAAGGAGACACGUGAUUGAGCAAGGCUCUUCCACGUGGCCAAAACGGGUAGCUGCAUGAAAGGCCCCAAAUGGGGGUCUACAAAUAUGCCCCUCUUUGGUAGAGUUCAUGAGUGUAAAGAACAUGAACACUGGAGUGAAAAGUAAGUGUGAGUAGUGAGUGAAAUGAAGUGAACUCUACCGAAGAAUCAAAGAGACCCCCAUAGGGAUAUUGGUGAAACGCGAAGUCACCCAGGCUAGUAGACGAACACAAAGGCUCUAAUCCUAAAAGAGAAAGAUGUCACAAAAUGCCUCUGCGGCCAUACUAAGGAUCCAAGCUCCCUCUAAGAUGUCUCCCGAAAGUGACUCGAAAAACCAAAUGCUAGAGGUGAGUAACGGUCGAGUCACCCUAGGGUACGGACAAGAAUGCGUCUAAAGGAGACUGCCCUAUGUGGACUACAUGAUGAAUACACGAUAAGCACAAAGUAACGAAGUGAGGAGGACGAUAAUAAGUGCAAAUCCAAUGAAGGUGAGACACGCAAUGCCACUGAAUAGGAAUGCUAGGAGCUGUGACUCUACAUGACAAGAUUGACUCUAAACACUAAACUAGGAAACAACGGCUCUGGAAGCCAACCAAAAACUAACUCUAAAAACUAAACUGAGAAUAACAGCUCUGGAAGCAAACCAAAAACUAACUCUAAAAACUAAACUAGAAAACAACAGCUCUGGAAGCCAACCAAAAACUAACUCUAAAUGCUAAACUGAGAAUAACAGCUCUGGAAGCAAACCAAAAACUAACUCUAAAAACUAAGCUAGAAAAUAACAGCUUUGUAAGCAAACCAAAAAAACUAACUCUAAAAGCUAAACUAGGAAACAACAGCUCUGGAAGCCAACAAAAACAAAAAAAAAACAAAAAAAAAAAAAAAAAAAAAAAAACUAACUCUAAAAGCUAAACUAGGAAACAACAGCUCUGGAAGCCACACAAAAAAAAAAACUAACUCUAAAAGCUAAACUAGAAAAUAACAGCUCUGGGAGCCUAAACAAGACGACAGUAAUGGCUCUGGAAGCCUAAACAAGAUGACAGUAAUGACUCUGGAAGCCUAAACGAGAUGACGGUAAUGACUCUGGAAGCCUAAACAAGAUGACAGUAAUGACUCUGGAAGCCUAAACGAGAUGACGGUAAUGACUCUGGAAGCCUAAACAAGAUGACAGUAAUGGCUCUGGAAGCCUAAACAAGAUGACAGUAAUGGCUCUGGAAGCCUAAACGAGAUGACGGUAAUGACUCUGGAAGCCUAAACAAGAUGACAGUAACGGCUCUAGAAGCCUAAGCAAGAUGAUAAUAACGACUUUGGAAGCCUAAACAAGAUGACGGUAAUGACUCUGGACGUCGAAACUAAAAAGUGAUGAUGAUGACUCUGAACGUCAAACUGAGAAGUGAUAAUGAUUCUGAACGCCGAAACCGAGGAUGUGACUCUGAAUGUUGAUCUGAAAAUCGAUGAUAGCUCUGAACGCCGAAACUGAGAAGUGAUGAUGAUGACUCUGAACGUCAAACUGAGAAGUGAUAAUGAUUCUGAACGCCGAAACCGAGAACGCGACUCUGAACGUCGAUCUGAAAACCAAUGACGGCUCUGAACGCCGAAACUGAGAGAAGUAGUGAUGAUGGCUCUGAACACCGAAGCUGAGAAGUGAUAACGACUCUGAACGCCGAAACCGAGAACGCGACUCUGAACGUCGAUCUGAAAACCGAUGACGGCUCUGAACGCCGAAACUGAGAGAAGUAGUGAUGAUGGCUCUGAACACCGAAGCUGAGAAGUGAUGAUGAUGACUCUGAACGUCAAACUGAGAAGUGAUAACGACUCUGAACGCCGAAAUCGAGGAUGUGACUCUGAAUGUCGAUCUGAAAACCAAUGAUAGCUCUGAACGCCGAAACUGAGAAGUGAUGAUGAUGACUCUGAACGUCAAACUGAGAAGUGAUAACGACUCUAAACGCCGAAACCGAGGAUGUGACUCUGAAUGUCGAUCUGAAAACUGAUGAUAGCUCUGAACGCCGAAACUGAGAAAUGAUGAUGAUGACUCUGAACGUCAAACUGAGAAGUGAUAACGACUCUGAACGCCGAAACCGAGGAUAUGACUCUGAAUGUCGAUCUGAAAAUCGAUGAUGGCUCUGAACGCCGAAAACGAGGAUGUGACUCUGAAUGUCGAUCUAAAACCCGAUGAUGGCUCUGAACGCUGAAACUAAGAAGCGGUGAUGGCUCUGAACGCCGAAACUAAAAGGUGAUGGUGUCUCUGAACGACGACAAAUGGAAAAGUGGCUCUGAACGCCGAACUGAAAAAUGUGACAUGAUGACUCUAAAUGUCGUAAACCGUGAAUGAACGGCAGCUCUGAACGCUAGACUGCAAGGAAACAAUGAGGGGGAAAUAUGCCCCAGUGUGGCAUGCCGCUGCAAACCUCAAACUACUAGAAAUGGCUAAAAGGGACUCUACGAGUCUCGAACGACGCACCACUGAGAGCUCAUGUCAACGAAGAGCUUAGGAACAAUGGUCAGUGAGGCGAAUACAAUAUAUCUCGGCUGAGUGAUGGAAACUGCGAUGGACAUGUGAGAGAACGAUCGGCUCCAUGGCUAAAUGAGGGAAAUAUGCCCCAGUAUGGCAUCAGAUGUAUCCGAUCUAUCCUGAUAACCCGAGAAUAGCACCGAUGGGACGCGUAACAGAUCUGAUAUGUACCCCACUGAAAUGAUGACGCGGGAAAUCCAGGCACCUAAGAUAACCCCAUCCAGGAAUCACGACUAUAUCAAAGAGUAUGAAUCUGGCUGAACGAAGUCAAGAGAGGCUCCUCGGAGUAUCCGGACAAAAUGAAAUCAAUCAUCAACCUGGCGUGUAUCUCAUGGCCGUGGAUGAUCAUGUAAACCAGUGGGGAUCUAUAAAUCUCGAUCAAGAUGGGGAAUAUGCCCCAGUGUGGCAUCGAAAAUGUAACAUGUCAAAAAAAAUCAGAUGAACUCAAAUCAUCUAUGCCUGCAACUGGCUAGAUGGCUCUCGAUAGACUCCACUAAGGAAUCAUCGUGAGGAUUGCGAAUAUAUCAUCAUCCCUGCAUACAUCUCGCAAAUAAGGAUAAGCACGCAACUCCCUCAUGAUCUGUAAAUCUCAUCCGAACGGAAAUAUGCCCCUGUAUGGCAUCGAAAUGCAGGAUAGGUCGGAGAUCAGAUAGCAUGGAAUCAUCUAUCCUAUAACAUGUGACCUCUGCGAAGAUCCAUAAAAAUCCUCCGAAACGGAAUAUGCCCCAGUAUGGCAUCUGACGUGCGACAAAUCAGGAAAAAACAGGUGACAUCGAAUCAUCCCUCAUCAAACACGUGAUCCUGGUAAUCCAAACACGGUCGAAACGGAUCUAAACAUCUGAGAAGUGUCUCCCAGAAGAAGAUGCAUGGCAAAUAUCUGGAUGUCGACUGAAUCUCAAACACCUGUCCACAUAGAAGCCGUAGAAGACGAUAUCUGAUCCCAUGGCCUCAGGGUGGUCUUAAGACACGGGACGUAAUGUAGGCUAGGGUGAUAGGGUGAUAGAAACGAAGGGAAACUAAGCUCAAAUACCCAAUGAUCAAAACCCAUGCCCUCGUGUGUGAAAUGCAACAUGUACAGAAAAUCCUGUGAGCCCUGGACCUGAGGGUGUCUAAUGUGAAUAUGAUGUCAAUGAGGAAACAAGUGAAGCAAAUCAAACUGAUAAUGAGAUAUGUAAUGGUGAUACGAAGGGAAUAUCAAACCCGAGAUGGGUCGUGGUAAGAAAAGAAUAAGAAGUGAAGUGAGAAUGACGAAUCAGAAGCGAAAACGAGGACGAUGAUAAUGAAGCGAAUAACAUCAAAAGGAGUGAUGAUCAACUCUGAUCAGACAUGGAAUGAUGUCACAUCAACUACGAACAUAAUGAUGGAACGGACAAUAACCCAGAGCUCCCAAAAGAAAGUCACUCAUCUCGCUCACAAAAUAUGCAACAAAAUGAAUACAAAGCCUGAGGGAUCCCGGGAAGCUCACAUACGAACUCCCGUCAACAAACAUACUCGAUCAAGUGGCCCUCGAAUAUCAAUACAUACACUCAGUGAUGGAUAACAAUACAUACCUGGUUUUUAUUUCUUUUUCCAUUUUUUUUUUUCUUUUUUUUUUUUUUUUUUUUUUUUUUUUACCCCCAAAGAUGACAUCAAAAAAGGAUAACAUACUCUCAAAUGUCAAUGUAACAUGAACUCUCUCUGAUGAUGUGACUUUCUCAAACUAAGGAUCCCUGGACCAACGUCCGUAUGAUAGAUAGUGGAAAUGACAUGACUACCCUCCAUGUAGUGAACUGAGGAAGAUCACCCCUCGGGGUGAAAGAAGAUGACGUGAAACGAACAGUAGAUAAGAUAAAGAAAAUAUGAUGAAUAACACGAACAGUGAGAUGAGAUGAAAUGCAAUGAUGUAGUGGCGAGCACAGAUAAUGAGAAGAACGUGCCCCUAGGUCCAAGGCUCAAUGAAACUCUCAAACAAUGCAUGCAUACACUAAAGGGCCCCAAUCCCGGUGUGAAAAUGUGAGCAAGGCUAUAAGAAAUGAAGGUUAUGAUGCGCGUGCGAGGCUCAAAUGGGCUAGCAAUGGACUAUAUAUAUCAGAAACGGGAUAAAGGGAUAUAGCUAACCGAAAUGAUAGCCACCCAUCCUGCGACCAUGGUCUCAAACAUAGUACCUCUUUAGCUGAUCCACAUUAGUCGGCUCUGAGAACUGGUUUCCAUCCAAAUCCAUCAACCAUGCGGCGCCCUCUGGGGACAACUCUCUGAUGAAGUAAGGCCCGCUCCAACUGGGUCUGAACUUCCCUCUAGGAUCUCUGAUCAAUCCUCUGAUGACUCUCAAAACUAAGUCACCUACAUGCAGUGGUCUGGGCUUGACCCGCUUUUUGAAAGCGCGGGCCAUCUUCCUCUGAUAUGCACGAACAUGGUCUGCUGCUCUCAAUCUCCUCUCAUCUAGGAGAUUGAGCUGAUCAAAUCGAGCCUGAGCCCAAUCCGUCUCGGGAAUCUGCUGCUCCAAGGCUACCCUCAAUGAACCCAUCUCGAUCUCAACUGGUAGCACUGCCUCCAUACCGUACACCAAUGAGUAGGGUGUGGCUCCUGUAGAGGUGCGAAAAGAAGUCCUGUAAGCCCAUAGUGCGAAAGGAAGCUUCUCGGACCAAUCCCGAGAAGUCUCAACCAUCUUCCGCAAUAUCCUCUUAAUAUUCUUAUUCGCGGCCUCUACUGCCCCAUUCGUCUGCGGCCUGUACGCAGACGAUCUAUGAUGCCGGAUGCUGUAUCUCUGUACUAAGGUGUCAACCUCUGCUCUGAAAUGCACCCCUCUGUCUGAAAUAAGCUCGUGAGGGACUCCAUAGCGACAAAUGAUGUGCGAUCUAAUGAAACUGGCAACUCCAGAUGAUGUCAAUCUCGCAUACGAGGCGGCCUCCACCCACUUGGUAAAGUAAUCAAUAGCUACCAGGAUGAACUCAUGACCACUGGAAGAUUUCGGCGAAAUCUUCCCGAUGAUAUCGAUACCCCAUACUGAAAACAGCCAUGGUGAAGUCAAUGCAUGCAACUCUGAGGGCGGCACGUGAAUGAGAUCUCCGUGUAUCUGACACUCAGGACAUCUCUGGACGAACUGACAACAAUCCGUCUCCAUAGUCAACCAGAAAUAGCCGGUCCUCAUGAUCUUACGGGCCAACAUAUGCCCUCCCAUAUGUGGUCCACAAACUCCCGCAUGAACCUCUCUCAUCACUCGAUCGGCAGAGGCACGGUCUAAACACAACAAUAGCAUCCCGUCAGCUGAUCGUCUAUACAGCGUCUCGCCGCAAAUGACGAAUCGGGCAGCCAACUGUCUCAAUGCUCUCUUAUCCUUGGCCGUGGCGACCUCAGGAUAUACGCCGAGUCUCAAAAAGUGAUAUAUGUCGUGAUACCAUGGCAAACCAUCAUUUGGCUCUACAUCAUCAAUCAAACAACAAUACGCAGGAGCAGAUCUCGACUCGAUCAACAAUGGUCGAACAGUGGCAUCGGCGGGAAUGUCGAUCAUGGAAGCUAGAGUAGCUAAAGCAUCAGCAAACUGGUUCUGCGCUCUAGGCAGAUGUGUAUAUCUCAUAUCCUCAAAUCUCGCGACCAGUAGCUCCAAAUACGCGUGGUAAGGCCUAAGCUUCACAUCUCUAGUCUUCCACUCGCCCUGUAUCUGUCUCAAUACCAGAUUGGAGUCACCAAACACCUCCAUCUGUCUAAUCCCAAGCUCGAGGGCUGUCUCUAACCCCAAGAUACAUGCCUCAUACUCAACAAUGUUGUUCGUGGCCAGAUGUUGAUUCGAGAAUGCCAAACGAACAGAUCUGGGAAUGUGAUCACCAUGAGGGGAUAUCAACAAAACGCCUAUCCCGUAUCCAGAAUGGUUGGCUGCACCAUCAAAGUACAUGCGCCAACCCGACAGACUAGUCACAGCUGCGACAUCCUCGUCUGGAAAAUCAUCGUCAAUAGCUCUGGCAUCAGAAACUGGUAAUGAGGCUAAGUGAUCUGCGACAAUGCUCCCUCUGAUGGACUUCUGAGUGACAUAAUGAAUGUCAAACUCAGUCAGAAGUACCAGCCAUCUCAUAAGGCGACCAACUAGGUAUAUCAAGACGAGGAAUCAAAGGUCCGAUCCUACAAAGCACGAAGAACGGAAUAAGGAUAUGGCUCGGGGAAUGUAUAGAAGAAAAGAUAAUCUGAACGGGAACAAGCAAAGCAUCCAAGUGAAGAUGAGCGGUCCGACCGUACUCAAAUUCGUCCUGAUCUCAGUGCACUCUCAUCUGGAGACUAAACAGAGGGAAAAUCGGAUCCAAAACUACGGCUACAGAGGCACGGAAAGCCCUCAGAUGCACCCACGUGUAGGGAGGGAAUCCUAAUCGAAGGAUCUAUGGCUCAACCUACAAGGUCAAGGUGGCUCUAAAUGGAUAAGGGUGGACUUUAAAAUAUCCCUAGCAGAAGCGAUCAUACCCUCCGGCGAUACGCAACCCUCUGCACGCCUCCGAAGAGACGGGGCGCUUCCAUGCAAGGUGGUCAUCACCUCCACACAUGCACUACCUCGCAUUCCAGGGGGUUUCCUAUGGUGAAACCUCUCAAACUCUCAACACUCAAUAGUCUACUAGCGUGCACAGUGAUGGUGUGGGUGCAUCCGAAACCCUAAGAAGCUAAAGCAGGAUAUGAAACACACUGGCCACAUAAAUAUCCAUGAAACCUAGCUCCGGGCUAUACAGGUCUUCAAUGAUCGGACUCCAAUCGACAUCAAAGUGUCGCUCUCCUCCAGAANNNNNNNNNNNNNNNNNNNNNNNNNNNNNNNNNNNNNNNNNNNNNNNNNNNNNNNNNNNNNNNNNNNNNNNNNNNNNNNNNNNNNNNNNNNNNNNNNNNNAGGCAUGUCAAGAAUGGCUCUAAUCUUGUCCGGAUCCACCUCUAUGCCUCGCUCACUGACUAUGUAUCCCAAGAGUUUCCCAGAAGUCACUCCAAAAGUGCACUUCUUGGGAUUCAGUCUCAAUCUGAACUGUCUGAUCCUCUCAAAGAACCUCUCAAGAGCUGCCAAGUGAUCUGAUCUAUCUCGGGAUUUCACUAUCAUGUCGUCUACAUAAACCUCGACAUCCCGAUGCAUCAUGUCAUGGAAGAGUGUGGUCGCUGCCCUCUGAUAGGUGGCUCCUGCGUUCUUCAAUCCGAAUGGCAUGACUCUAUAGCAAUAAGUACCCCACUCGGUAAUGAAGGACGUCUUCUCCAUGUCCUCUGGAGCCAUCAAGAUCUGACUGUACCCGAAAAAUCCGUCCAUAAAGGACAACAUCGAGUGACCUGCUGUACUGUCAACUAGCAUGUCGAUGUGUGGGAGAGGGAAAUCAUCCUUAGGACUGGCCUUGUUGAGAUCUCGGAAAUCAACACAGACUCUCACCUUGCCAUCCUUUUUAGGAACAGGGACGACAUUGGCCAGCCACUCCGGGUACUCGACCACUGAUAGAAACCCCACACUGAGUUGCUUCUGAAUCUCCUCUUUCACCUGCAAGCUCCAACGAGGGUGCAAUCGUCUCAACUUCUGCUUAACCGGUCUGGCAUGGGGCAGAAGUGGCAAACGAUGCUGGACGAUGGAUGGAUCAAGGCCCGGCAUGUCCUCAUAGGACCAUGCGAAAACGUCCAAGUAGGAUCUGAGCAACUGGAUGAGACUAUCUCUCUCAUCUGAGGAUAAAUCUGACCCGAUCCUCAACUCCCUAGGCUGAUCUGCGGUGCCGAAAUCAACAAUCUCUAUGUCUCCUAUAGCAGGUGAAACCCUCUGAUCAACGGGAUCCGAAUCGGAAACAGAAGAUGAGUCAUCAUCUGAGUCGUGCUGUGCAAUCUCAUCAUCAAUAUCAAAAAUCUGUGGUGUGGGUGAAGAUGGUGCAGAUAAAUCAAUAUCCCAAGAGACAGGCAGAUACUCAAAAAUGCUCAAAUCCAUAGAUGAAACAUCGGAAACAAUGUCAGAACAGGAGACGAACCCCGACAGAAUGUCAAAUGAAAGAGGUGGGUCCACAAAGUCGGACGCUCCCUCAACAAUGCCAACAUGGCUAUCAAUCAAAUCAUCAAAAACUAUAGCAUCCUCAACAAUCUCCAGAGUAGGGGUUGUCUGGAUCUCCUCAACGAUCUCGAUGAAAGACACCCCGAAAAGAUCGAAUGGUGAAGUGAGCCCAGGAUGAACUCUCUCCUCGAUCGGGCUCAAGCUCAGGGCGAGCAUCUCGUCGAUGUACUCGUCGUGUGGGACGGCUCCGUCCACUAUGUCUUCGACCCCAGCAAAGGUCCCAUGCUCAUCGGUCUCGUCCGGGAAGCAAAGCGUCAUAAGGCUCGUGCGAUCUGGAGACGAAGGAGCAAUCAACACAGAAGUCGAAGAGCCAGGAGCUCCGUCUCUCAAUCGUAACUGCUGGACAAGGCGCUGAAGCUCGACCUCCUGAGUGGUGCUAAGUCCUCCAAUGAUCAUGUCCGAACGGGUCAAUGGCUCUGAUGCCCUCACAAAAUAAUCAGAUAAGCUCCUGGUGUAUGGACGAAGAGGAUAGUAGAAAGGUGUGUGGGUCAGUCGAGCUCUCACUCUCUCCUUGCGCAAACGCGCCAUGUAGAGAUAAUCGGCCUCAGUGGGGAUGAACCCAAGUCCGAACGGUACGUCGUGAUCAGGGAUGGCUAUGAACUCGCUCGGUCCAUGCUGACGUCGACCCAACCCCAUGCCGGGUAGAUAGGACAUACUCCGCAUGAUAUCGAGCACCACUGUGCUCCCAUGCCGGUCAAAGGACAUGGCCACAAAAUCCCGGCAGAAAUCCUCUAUCUCCACAGUCUGCACCUCAUCGAAGGUGAAUCCAGUCAGAAAAAGAUCGUCAUCAGUGUGACUAAUCUCGAGCACAAGCUCGGCAGCAAUGAACAUGUCUCCCACAGACUGCACCACGACGACCUGACCAUCGUGAAUAAACUUCACCUUCUGAUGAAGGGAAGAAGGAAUGGCCCCGACUCUGUGGAUCCAUGGUCGGCCCAGAAGCAGGUUAAAGGAUGUAGGAAUCCUCAAAACCUGGAAUACAGCGACAAAAGUGGCCGGACCGAUCAGCAACUCGAUCUCCAAUGUACCCAUGACCUCCCUCCGAGUACUGUCAUAUGCGCGAACGGUCUGAGUAGUGGGACCAAAAUCAGAAGGAGCGUAUCCAAGGGCGAUGGCAGUGGCAAGAGGACAUACGUUCAGGGCCGAGCCAUUGUCCAAGAGGACAGAUGGGACUCGGCGGCCUGAACAGCCAACAGAUAUGUAGAGUGGGCGAGUGUGGUCUGAGCCCUCCGGUGGCAAGUCAUCAUCGGAAAAGACGAUACAAGUGGCUCUGCCAACCGUCAUCAUAUGAAUGAGUCCCUCGGGAGUGGUCGUGGUAUCAACUCUGAUCUGGCUCAGAGCUCGAGUCAGUGCAUCCCGAUGAGUACUGGAGGACGCUAAAAGGCUCCAGAUAGAAAUACGAGCCUGAGUGCUCUGCAACUGCCUCAAAAUCUCAUCAUUCUCUGCUCUGACCUCCUCCUGGGAUGACGUAUCCCCUAAGGGUCUAGCGGCAGCGGCUGGAGGUGGCUGUCUCACUACUCUCCCUCCCCGGAGGAUAUACUGAACGUCCGGAGUCUGAGGAUCAUCACUGUGUGGAGCCUGAACCUCCUCAACAUCUGGGAUCAGAAUGUACGGCGCCUGAACGCUAUAGCGCGUGAAUGUCAGAGGCUCGGAAGUGGCUGCCUGUACAGAUGCUGCCUCAGGAACUAAUCGGAAUGGAGCAGGAAUCUGUGGCUCUAGGGUCACCCCACUCGUCUCAUAAAUCCCAGCUGGCAUGAUAGGCUCCGGGUCUGAAUCAUCCCAACUCAACAUAUGGACAUGAUCAUCAGUCUCAUCGAAGUCCAAGAAAUGAAUACCACCGGCUGGUGGAGGAACUGCAUGUGUGGUGUGGGUCGGCAACGGGUUUGUGGUCACACUCGGCUGACCCAAGUGUACCAAACCCUGGUCUAUCAGAUCCUGAAUAGCAUGCCUCAGAGCGGUGCAUCGAUCGGUCUCAUGUCCAGGCCCCUGAUGAUAAGCACAGUGUAAGUCCAUCCUAAACUGAGCUGGAAUCGGCUGAGGUAGUGGUCGAGGAGUGAGAGCAGUCAAUAAACCAGCCUCCGUAAGCUUCCGAAGAGCCUGGCUCAACGGCAUGCCUAUCUGCGAGAACUGCCUCUGCGUCCUCAAAGCGAACGGAGCAGAAGUCUGCUGGGCUCCAGGUCGGGGAUAAGGCGCCGCAGGUCUCGCGGUGAACUGAGCAGCGUAGCAUGGCUGCCCUGUGGCUGUGUAGGAGACCGCGGGUCUCUCAAUGCCCUGAGUGGCAUAAGAAGGUAAAACCAAUGUCUGUGGCAUGUGCGUCUGAUCGUAAGCCGGCCGAGGUGCCCGUGGCCUGUACUGAUGAGAUGCGUAGGAAGAAUGAGGCUCGGAAAACUGUGGGAUCGGCUGAUGGCGUCUGAGAGGCCUCUGACUGGAUGAACUGAUAGCACCAACCUCUGUCGGUCUCGGUCCUACGAAUGGUUUCUUCCCCUUAACAUCACUAGGGGAAGAAUCUGCCCAUAAACCUCUCGUGAUGCCGUCCUCGACAUCAUACAAAGCCAUAACCAGAGACCCAAAAUCUGUGAACGGGACCCCGACCACAUGUCUGGCGAUCCCCGGCUGUAGGCUCCUCAAAACCAUCUGAAUCUGGUCUCUCUCUGAUGGUCUAUCCACUAUCUCAGCUAUCUUCCCGCGCCAGCGGGAAAUGAAAGAAGAAACGGACUCCUCUGUCCUCUGCCUCAGAGCCUCGAGCUCUCUCCUCGAUACGUCUACAACAGUGUUAAACGAAAACUGUCGUAGGAACUCCUGGGCCAAGUCAUCCCAUGUACGGCGUCUCGAGGACUCUAGAGACGCAAACCAGCGCUGAGCCGCCCCACUCAAAGAUAGGGGGAAAAGAGUGAUCAUCUGAGGCUCGUCCAGUCCAUGAGCCCUCAUCACGGUGCUAUAAAGUCUGAGGUGGAGGCGCGGACAACCAAUACCAGUGUACCUCUCAAUAUCUGGCAUCCUGAACUUAGCCGGCAAGCUGGCUACCGGCAUAGCCCCAAAAUCAUCCCAAACAACGGAUCCAUCUGACACUCUCAUCUGUCUCAUACACUGCUCGAUGCGGUUCAUGCGCGCAUGCGUGUCAUCAGCGACAACGGCCUGGGCGACUGCAAGUGGAGCGAUCCCAGAAUGCCCGUGUAAUACAUAUGGUGAUGUCUGAUGCACUGAAGGAACUGGUGGGGGUGGUGGAGGUGGCACCGGGUCAUAGGAUACCUCGUCCUGAGCGAUAUGUGGCCUGCUCUGCUGGUCAUUGAUCUCCUGCCUAAGGCCAGCCAGAGCCUCCUGGAUAGAAGCCAUGGCAGUCGUGAACUGAUCGACCGUGACAACCUGCUGAUCCAUAUCUGGUGUAUCUGAAACCCGAACUAAUCUGCCCUCUACUCUGAUCCACGAAACUAUACCCAGACUGAGAGUAAAAAUCCUGAUCCUGAAAGUACUCCUCCUCUGCUCUGAUCCACAAAAGGUAUAUCAAGACGAGGAAUCAAAGGUCCGAUCCUACAAAGCACGAAGAACGGAAUAAGGAUAUGGCUCGGGGAAUGUAUAGAAGAAAAGAUAAUCUGAACGGGAACAAGCAAAGCAUCCAAGUGAAGAUGAGCGGUCCGACCGUACUCAAAUUCGUCCUGAUCUCAGUGCACUCUCAUCUAGAGACUAAACAGAGGGAAAAUCGGAUCCAAAACUACGGCUACAGAGGCACGGAAAGCCCUCAGAUGCACCCACGUGUAGGGAGGGAAUCCUAAUCGAAGGAUCUAUGGCUCAACCUACAAGGUCAAGGUGGCUCUAAAUGGAUAAGGGUGGACUUUAAAAUAUCCCUAGCAGAAGCGAUCAUACCCUCCGGCGAUACGCAACCCUCUGCACGCCUCCGAAGAGACGGGGCGCUUCCAUGCAAGGUGGUCAUCACCUCCACACAUGCACUACCUCGCAUUCCAGGGGGUUUCCUAUGGUGAAACCUCUCAAACUCUCAACACUCAAUAGUCUACUAGCGUGCACAGUGAUGGUGUGGGUGCAUCCGAAACCCUAAGAAGCUAAAGCAGGAUAUGAAACACACUGGCCACAUAAAUAUCCAUGAAACCUAGCUCCGGGCUAUACAGGUCUUCAAUGAUCGGACUCCAAUCGACAUCAAAGUGUCGCUCUCCUCCAGAAUGCUCCCGUACAUCGAUAUAGCCCGUUGCUAGACCCUACUCCUAAUCUCUGGCUCGGUCAGAGAGCAAACACACAGAAGGUCUCACACUUGCAAUAGUGAGAACCGGGAUGAAAGGAAUGACCGAAACCAAGAGAGUUGGAGGUAAGGGGAUAUAUGUGCGGCCCACAUAGACAGGCAACAUGCAAUCAUGCAGAAGGAAGGCAGUCACGUGUCAUACAGUCAAGCAAAGUACAGGAUAUAUCACUCAUGUCCACACAAAAAGCUACAACUAUCAGGAUGAAUAGCUAUAUGAACAUCAUGCUCAAAAGACGAUCAAGAUAAUAUGCAAGUCAGAGAAAACAACACAGCAAGUCAAAUGAUAUACACCAGUGAAUCCAUGCAUGUGAGGUGAGCAGAAUAAUCAGGAAGAAACAGAAUCGCUAUACCAAGCAAAACAAGGUGAGCAACCUAUGAUAAUCGGCAUGUCAAUGUACCAAACUAAUAUAGCAAUGAAGUACAGAAAAAACGACAUCCGAAGCCCCAAAUCAAGAUGAUCAAUCAUAUCAAUGUCACAACACAAUAUCCAAGCAUACAUCAAAAACUCCCAAUGUGCAAUCAAGAGACAAGUACUCGCUGAUCGACUCAUCAAAUGCCAUGUUUGCUUCAUCUUAAGUUCAAGUUUGACCCUCUAUAGUUCCCCAGCGGAGUCGCCAUUUUGUGGACCCCGCAUUUCGAUGGCUCGAAUGCGUUCCCCACUCGAUGGCGAGCUCGAUUUUUAUUUUGAAAAAUUGAUUUUUAUUGAUUAUUUGAAAAUGACUUGGAGUCGCCACUUAUUUUUGUUUUAUUUUUAAAGGGUAAACAAAAUAAGAAAGAAAAACCCUAAGUGUGACUCCUUAUUUUGGAAAAGGUGAUCUACGAAAAACCGGAUCGGGUUCGGGGGUCAGGUUACUUAUCGGGAAGGUACGGUAAAGACCGUAGCACCCCUCUAAGUCCCUAAAGUCGGGUCUCUACUACUAAAAUGAAGCUGACAUGGCAAUCAAUGAGAAAAUCAAUGAAUACUCAAAUCAAUCAUGCACAUAUAAGUAUCAAAACAUGCGUAUAGCAAGACCAGAAUAAGGACAGAUGCGUACCUGGGCAACGAUCUUCAAUGCGCUAUCAAGAAGUGAGAUUAGUGCACAAUUAAAGGAUGGUCACAUGCAUAUCAUAGAGCAGAAUAAAUCAUGUAUGGCACCCAAAUCAACCAAACAAUCCAUCAAUCAUAAAAUCUCAUAUGUUGGGCCCCCACCAAAGCCCGAUUGAUUUUUGCAUGAAUUAAUUCCAUAAAUUCCCUUGCUUGGAAUUACGGAAUUUUAUUCUAGCUUAUUUUAAAACAUUUUGAAAAUCUGAGGAGUUGUGAAAAUUGCUUGUCAGGGAGAAAAGUGACAGCAAAUUUUUAUUAUNNNNNNNNNNNNNNNNNNNNNNNNNNNNNNNNNNNNNNNNNNNNNNNNNNNNNNNNNNNNNNNNNNNNNNNNNNNNNNNNNNNNNNNNNNNNNNNNNNNNNNNNNNNNNNNNNNNNNNNNNNNNNNNNNNNNNNNNNNNNNNNNNNNNNNNNNNNNNNNNNNNNNNNNNNNNNNNNNNNNNNNNNNNNNNNNNNNNNNNNNNNNNNNNNNNNNNNNNNNNNNNNNNNNNNNNNNNNNNNNNNNNNNNNNNNNNNNNNNNNNNNNNNNNNNNNNNNNNNNNNNNNNNNNNNNNNNNNNNNNNNNNNNNNNNNNNNNNNNNNNNNNNNNNNNNNNNNNNNNNNNNNNNNNNNNNNNNNNNNNNNNNNNNNNNNNNNNNNNNNNNNNNNNNNNNNNNNNNNNNNNNNNNNNNNNNNNNNNNNNNNNNNNNNNNNNNNNNNNNNNNNNNNNNNNNNNNNNNNNNNNNNNNNNNNNNNNNNNNNNNNNNNNNNNNNNNNNNNNNNNNNNNNNNNNNNNNNNNNNNNNNNNNNNNNNNNNNNNNNNNNNNNNNNNNNNNNNNNNNNNNNNNNNNNNNNNNNNNNNNNNNNNNNNNNNNNNNNNNNNNNNNNNNNNNNNNNNNNNNNNNNNNNNNNNNNNNNNNNNNNNNNNNNNNNNNNNNNNNNNNNNNNNNNNNNNNNNNNNNNNNNNNNNNNNNNNNNNNNNNNNNNNNNNNNNNNNNNNNNNNNNNNNNNNNNNNNNNNNNNNNNNNNNNNNNNNNNNNNNNNNNNNNNNNNNNNNNNNNNNNNNNNNNNNNNNNNNNNNNNNNNNNNNNNNNNNNNNNNNNNNNNNNNNNNNNNNNNNNNNNNNNNNNNNNNNNNNNNNNNNNNNNNNNNNNNNNNNNNNNNNNNNNNNNNNNNNNNNNNNNNNNNNNNNNNNNNNNNNNNNNNNNNNNNNNNNNNNNNNNNNNNNNNNNNNNNNNNNNNNNNNNNNNNNNNNNNNNNNNNNNNNNNNNNNNNNNNNNNNNNNNNNNNNNNNNNNNNNNNNNNNNNNNNNNNNNNNNNNNNNNNNNNNNNNNNNNNNNNNNNNNNNNNNNNNNNNNNNNNNNNNNNNNNNNNNNNNNNNNNNNNNNNNNNNNNNNNNNNNNNNNNNNNNNNNNNNNNNNNNNNNNNNNNNNNNNNNNNNNNNNNNNNNNNNAGAAAGGUGAAUAAAUAUGGUGGGGGAGUAGACUGUUGACAAUGGGUAUGUAUGAGUCAUAUGCCUGGGGGUAUGGUGAGAGAUGAACUGCAAGUGAUGGGCAUGAUGUGGUGUGGGGUGGAUUAGUGGGAUGACAGUAUACAAAGAGAGCGUGGUGUAGAGAGAGAAUGCAAGAUGAUGAGUGCAUGUGUAGAUAUGGGUGUGGGCAUGGUGGUAUGAAGCGUGUGGUGGAUGAUGGACUGAAGGUGAUGGGCAUGACAAUGGGCAUGAACAGGGAUGGAGUCAUGUGGGCACGAGACGAGCAUGAGCGCGGAAUGAGUGUGAUGCAACCAUGCAUGGUAUGAAAAGGGUUUGGUGUAGUGAGAGAAAGUAGAUUAUUGGUGAUGGGUAUGAAUAAUGGCCGGGUUUGCAUGGUCCAUGCACUUGGAUGGGUGAGUUUGGGGAUGCUAGCAGAAGCCUUGGAAGGAAUACGGGCAGCCAUGCACGCGUGGGGUUUCAUGGAUAUCGAGUCAGGGUAUUUUGUUGGAGGAAGAGAGCAUGGGUCUGCACAAUAUGGGGAUUGGGAUCUCCUACGGACUCCCUAGCUAAUGGAGUUGUGAAAGGGAGACCAUCUGCUUUUCCGAUACCAGAUUAUGGGAAGUUCAGUGAUGGCUUCUCAAAAAAUAUUGGUCCACCUUGAUGUUAACAAACCACCCUUGGGCAAUUUAGCAAUCCCUUCAUUCUCAGAAGACUCCGUCUCCAACAGACCAUAAUGAUACUGAACUAAUCCAUGUGAAACGGACAAGAAAGGCUCUGCUCGUGAAUGUUCCCUGGCAUAACCUCCUCUAGAAUGUCAUCAGACGAAACAAAACUAGAGAACCAGGUAUCUGGAACAAGUAAGUCUUCUCUCUGGGCCAAACCCUCAACAAGCCUGUUGCAUUUCUCUGAUUUCUCCCACUGUUCUGCCAAAGUCUUUAUUUAUAAUAUAAUGGUUUAGAAAUAUCCUCCAUUAAUCACUCUACCUUUGACCAACCCUGGUUAAGGAUCCAUACAUCAAAUCUGAUUACCACUUCUGGCCCACAACCGCUCGAGUUGAUAAUGAUUUUCCUCCAUAUCUACUCCUGUUCAUCUUCAUAAAAUUCCUUGGAAUCAUCAGUAUACUCACUGCAAUCUGUGGUAAAGACCACCACAUCCUCAUCGACAUCUUACUUUUUUCCUCUACGAAUGGCGCCUCACACUACUCACUAUUCUUUGGAUCUGAACCACUUUUUUUUUUUUUUUGUUUUUUCAAAUAUUGGAUGUCAAGCCUCAACAGCAUAUAGUAGUCAAUUUGUACCAUCCCCAAUGUAUGGUAUGCAUGAUGCCCCGUGCUCAAAUUGCUCAAAAAGAACAGAGGAAUAUAGCCAAGAAAACAGGGCAUAGGAGAAAGGAACAAAAAAUAAAUCAAGGGCAACUGCAUUUCAGGACAUAUCAAUGUGUUCCCACUGGUGGAUGAAAGAUAUGAACAAAUUCAAAACAAAAAAUACGCCACAUAUGUUCAGGUGCCUAGCAACAAAAUAUGAUGCAAGUCCUCACCCAUUUUCUUAAACCAGGUUAAUGAAACAGCGAAAGGAUUAACAUCACAGAUGGAAACAUGACAAAUACAAACAACAUAUACACCCAGUGAAAUGAUAUUCAGAAUAAUGAAAUCAUACGGCUAAAUAUAAGCAUACCUGAAUGUGAUAGAUGUCCUACCCAGCUUUUCUUACUUUCUCUCUGUUUUCCUUGCCUUUCUAGCUCCGACAAUCGAAUCACCUUCUCUCUUACUCUUCUUUUCUCCCGCUUGAAAAACCUCCCUCUGGAAAUAUAUCUCUCCCCCAGCCAGACGACACCCACCUGCCUUGCAGUUGCAAGCCUCCAUUACCUUCAGAUUUUUCUGCCACCUUCCUCUUCUAGGCCCAUUUCCCCACUACUCUGCACCACUACCUUGCUAAUAACAGAAGACGCUCCUCAAUACAACGGCCUGCAGAUCCUCAUGCCACCUGUCAACCUUCCAUUGGCACUUCAAAAACAACAUACGAUUCUGCAUUGCCCUCUCAAAAGGAGACACGUGAUUGAGCAAGGCUCUUCCACGUGGCCAAAACGGGUAGCUGCAUGAAAGGCCCCAAAUGGGGGUCUACAGCAGGAUAUACUUUUUCGUCAAUGUGUGCCUGAAUGACCUAAAACUAGUCCCAAUUAAUGAUAUGACAUUGUAUUUGCUAUUCUCAUCAACCAAGAAUACACCCGAAAAUAUAAGAUCUUGAUUAUUUAAUAAGCAUGUAAGGUAUACACAAAAUAUAGGAAAAUAAUUUAAGUACAUUACUAUAUACCUUAUAAGAAGAUCUUGAUUAUUUAAUAAUCAUGUAAGGUCUACACAAAAUAUAGGAAAAUAAUUUCAAUAGAUUACUAUAUACCUUAAUGCAAUCCCAUAAUUUCUCCUUCAAUUCCACAGGCAUUACUCUCCAAUCAAUAUGAUAUACUGGCACCAUGGUUUGUGUUAGCACCCCCAAGUAUGAUACAAGUUGUACAUAUCCCUCACCCACUCCCUCACCAUCAUCAUUAUAUUGAAUGUCAAUUUUCACUCAUUCACUUCUCUUUUUAGCAAUUUCAGGUUUUACAGUUGGGCCUCUAAACAUUUUUGGUGAAGUAAUCUUCUGUUUUCCUUCCUUUCCAUCCAUCUACAUGACAAUCAAAAGAAUAUGAUCAAUCUCAUAAUACAUAUAUAUAUAUAUCUUACAUUCAAAAGUAAAGCAUGAUAUUUUAAUAGUUACCUACUCUUUAUCUCUUCUUGGUUGAGACAUCUGUAAAGAUGUUGCACUUUUUGGCCAAGUUCCAAAUAAUUAAGAAUUAUGCACUACUAAACAACACUUGAAAAUGUAUCUCAACUAAAUCUAAAGAAAUUAGUUACAAAAUGAUUUCAUAAGUAGGAAUAAAUCAUUGUUGUACAAAACUUGCAAUACAUGAAAAUUAAUCUUAAAUCUCAAUAUAUAUAAAUAUGAUACUAACUGAAUUUAUUUAAAAUAGCUUAGCAAGUAUAUAAUAGUAAAAAUAUAUUUGAGAAUAAUAAAAUAAAAACAUAACAUUGUUGAGCAUCACAUUGUAGAUUAACAAUAACUCAAAAAUCACAUAAUACACUUAGUAGUCACAAAGCAUAACCCCAAAAAACAAAAACAAAAAACAAGAAAAUUGUAGACCCUCAAUUUUGUCCCUUUAGCACAUGUCUUUAAGUUCACUUCCAAUGCUCCAUAGUAAUUCCUUGGUGGCCCAUUGCUACUCAUACUACUUACCUUUUUUUUAGCCACCUUGGAGACCUUGGUUGAGGGGUUUAUCCAACUCCACAUUAUGACCUUGGCAGCCCUAAUUUAGACUUAGCCACUUUCCUGAACGCCUUAGGCCCACUUAGGUACACUUGGCCCACUAGGCGUCACCUUAAGCCCACUUAAGCACUUUUAAACCCAUUUUUUAUAUGACUUGCAUGAUUGCAUGGCCUACAUGACUUGUGUGGCUUAUAUGGAUUUCUUUAUUAUUUAAUUUCAUUUUAUUUUAUUUUAUUAUAAGUUUUCUUGGCUUUUUGGGCAUGAGGAAAGGGUCUGUCAUCUAUUUUGAAGGAGAAUCAACAGAAUUUUGAAAAAGAGGAGAUUUUGUUUUUAUAGGGAUAGCACAUAUAUUAUUUUCAUGGGGAAAUCGGUUACAAAAGGGAAAAAACUAAGAAAGGAAAGUGGAUUUCCUUUUUGGAUCACAAAAGUUUUUUUGGAGGGAGAUUUUUUUAUUGUCUUUGUAGAGAGACACAAAAAGGAAAAAAGGAGGGGAUUUUCCUCUAACAUAUUUGGGGGGGUUCUUUGGGAAGGCUGAUCUACGCAAAAAAUGAGAGGAAAAAAAAGCCACAGAUUAAGGGGGAAGGGACUCACGGAUUUGGAGGAGGAUUUUCUCCAUGGAUGAAGGGGGAAGGGACUCCCGGAGGAUUUUCUCCAUGGAUGAAGAGGGAAGGGACUCACAGAUUUGAUGAGGAGGAUUUUCUCCAUGGAUGGAGGGGAUGGGUAGCAGAAGAUGAGAGGCUGCUUCGAUAGUGUGAAUUUUUCUGGAAAGGGCCAAGGACCAUAGGAGAGGAUCAGGGACAGAGGCACUAUUACUUUGAGAAGCCCAUGAGUUCUUGAAGUCUCCAACAUAUCCCUUGAGGUAAGCUCUUUAGUGUGAAAUCCAAUUUAUUUUAUUUUCUCUGUUUCUUUUCCUCUUUCUUCUAUUGUCAUUAAGAUUUGCUACUGUUGAUUUUAAGUGUUUCAUAAAUUUGCCUGACUUCUGAUCCCAUUGUUGCUUCUUUGUUUGUGUUCAAGAAUCGUUCAAUUCUUCUUUGUGAUAUUUCAAAACCCUUUUAUUCCACCUGCAUUUAAGCCCACCGAUUCAGACAUGAAGUGUGGCUUUUUGAUAGUUCUUAUUUUCUUCAUUUAUGUUCUUUCUUUCUUUAUUAUUUUUUUGGCUAUUUUCUCCUUGCUCUUGGUGUUUGCACAUUCUUGGGCAUGGGACUACACACUUGGACGUCAAACCAUGGGAUGAUGAAACUGACAUGAAAGAGCUUGAGGCAACAUUAAUCAAAUCAAGAUUCGUGGCAAGACUAUGGCUGCUAUAUUGAGUUAGAUGUUUUCCAUAUGGGUUUGGUUCUCUUUCAUGAAUUUGCGGUUGGUUUAAAGUCUCCAAUUUUCUAUAUGGGAGAAGCAAUAUUAAGUAUUUUGGAUAUCUAAGUUUGUCUCUACUUCUGCAUUGAUUAUAUGUUGUGAGCAUGGUGGGUUUGUGAGGAAGGAAAUGUGUAUCAUUGGGGAAUUUUAAUCUUCAUAGAAUUACCACCACAGAGGACUACAGUGGACUAGGACAUGGUUAUAAAGAAUCCAGGCUAGUUCCCCAGUCUGUAAUUGCAUUGAUCAAUGAUAUUUUUGUCCAGUGGUUCAGUCAUCAGUAGUCACAAUUGCUUGUCCAAUGGUUCAGUCAUCAGUAGUCACGGCCGCUAAAAGGGGGAGGUUAACAACCAAAAAAAAAGAAGUGGCAAUUCCUGAACUAGAGCCUCCGAGAUGGUUUGUUAUAGACCUGCACUAUGUGAACUGGGGAACUGUUGUCUUUCUUCUGUUUAGUGUGGAAGUUGUACUACUUAAGCAAAUGAGAAAAAAGGGGUUUGAUAAUGGGUGUAUGGAAUGCUCCUACAUCGGUAAGAAUAUUUCAGGGUCUUCUCUCGCUGCUGAUGUUCUGGACUAAGGCAAGGAAGAGUGUUUUCUCAUCUAUGAUACUAUUCCCAAUGGAAGCUUGCUGCAAUAUCUGGAUGUGAUUGAUAACAAUGGGAAGGUCCUUGAAUAGUCUACUAGAGUUUCUAUCAUCAACGACAUUGCCAAAGGUGCCAGGUAUUUACAUGAGAAGAAAGUGAUUUAUCAAACACAACAUGGGCCCUACAAAUACUAGAAUGAAGAUGCAUCCAGAAUGAAGACCUCCUAGAAUCCAUACAAUGUUCCAUUGAAACAGUCGAAGUCCACUCCUUCAUUGAUGUUGGUAACACAACACGCAAAGCCUGUACUCAAGCUUCUCUAGUCUCUCCUCAAAUCCUAAUGCCCAACCUCAGUGGCUUAAUACAUCUGAAACUGAUGCCAAACGGAUCCCUGAUGAAGGAAAUUAUGGAUACAUACAAAAGAUUUAAGAAUCAGCUUCAUCAGUACAAGCCCCAGAAGCAGUUUGCUGGAAAUGUACUUAAGCUCCAUGAGCAGACCCGUAAGUUGCAGUCGUGUCUUUGAUCGAGUUAGUAAGCUGCUCUCCCUCAAGGUUCGAACCAGAUAAAGGCAACUGGAGUUACUGCUGGUUACACUUUAACUUCUUCAUGGCCUAUACAGUUGGAAUUGCAGAUGAUAUGCAAGUGCUCAUAUUGAUGGUAUCGCUACAAAAUACUCCGAAAUUGUCGAAACAAAAGUUAUUCAAGCAAAGAUGGCAAACUGCAAUGAGAGUCUAUUGAAGAUCUCAGAGAUGAGAGGUUUGCUGAGUUCAAUAAAGAUGGCAAGUAACUUGAUGCCGAUGUUCACCUCAAGCACGUUCCGCGAUGGUCAUGCUGCUGCAUAUGUAGUGAUUUUGAUGGAAGACAGUAAGCCCAUUGGUGAGAAAUCGUUUUAUAACUUCCCAGAAUGCUUGGGAAGCAUCCCUGCUGUUUAAAUGAACUUCCCGAGAAGUGCUUGUGUAACUUGCUAAGCUGGCUACCUGAGUUGAACCACUGUGAUAUCAGUGGGGGAAAGAAACAACAAAGGCUCAACGAAGAGAUUGUACCCCGGGAGUUCAGAACUGGUGGUUAUGCGUGACGUUAUUCGGGAUUUAUAAUCGAAAAGGCUUCCUACAUGGCCAGAAUACAGAGGAUGAUUGGUUUGGGAUUGAAAAGAAGAUGAUCAUUAUUCAUCAGCUUCAUCCAAUUUUGGAGACUUUCAUGACAAGAUUGUGGGUUGAAGCUGGUCAUGUCUUUUCUUCAAAACAAAUCUUGUUGCCUGCCAAAAGAGGGCUCAUUUCUCAUGUCAUAAAAAAUGCUCAUGUCCUUGGAGAAAUUUGUGAGAUAAAAUGCGAUUAUAGUUUGCUAGCUAAAACUCAUUUCCAAGGUGCCAAUUAAAUCAACUGCCAAAAAGUUCACAGAGCACUACUCUUUGGGAUUUCAAUUCCUAGUGAUAUUGGAUAUAGGGAGUUUGUUUGUGAUAUUUUGUUCGAGAUAGAGUCUAAAAACGCAGGUUCUUCUGACAUGAAAGCCAUUGAAAACUGACGUGAGCCACCGAACAUUUCUGCUCAUGACAAGAAGAGUUGUAGGAAAAGUUGGCCAGGUUGUCUGAUGACCAUUGAUGUCCAAUCAGUUCAACAUUUUCGGCUACAGUAGCACCAGUUGUGAGUGGCUUUCUCAAGACAUCGUUCCUGAUUCCUGAAAGCAUUUCAGAUCAGUAUGAGACUUCAAGAUGGAAAUUAAAGAAUUUCCCAUGACUGCCAGAUUCGGUAGUUUGAUUUGAACAGAAUGGCGUCUCGUGAUUUUUGGAAUCAUGCAAACGAAUACACCCAACAUUGCAAAUGGAUCAAUUUCCUAUGACCUGGAAUCUCAACUAACUCUCUGGGUUAGAGAAUUCCAGUCGUAGCCAUGUCAUGAUACUACAAGACACCAGAAUUUAAAUUCAAGCAGCCAUACAAGGUUUCUUCCAAGCUGAUAGCACCACCUAGCACAGGUUUUGAUACCUUAACCUGUGGACAGAGUUUGCUUUUGGGAACAUUCCAUAUACUCGAAAUGGCAUCAAUGUCUUCUAAGUCACUACUUUUGGAUCAGUAUUUAGAGCUAGAUCUUAAUAUCGUCAUGCUAAAUUGUUGCUUUUGGUUUCAGAGACAUGAAUUGCUUGGAUAAUGCAUCCGGCUUGGCAAUUAUAAUUGUAAUGUCAGUCAUCACCUGCCUAAUGUCUCUAGUUACUGGAUUGUGUUGGCACCAGAACAUCUCCUCUAUAAUUGGCUUCAUAUUCUUCUCUGGCGUAAUUGAAGCUUUCUACUUCUUGGCUUUUCUCAUCAAGUUCCUGGAAGGAGCAUGGAUUUCUAAGCCACUCCUGAACAUGCAUAUAGGAAUGGAUGACGAGUCCAAUAAUCGUGACAUGGUGAAUUCUAGUUUAGAAAUCCCUAAUGCAGGUGAUGGUCAUGCUAAUGCCUUUCAUGCUAGCGUUGAUAUUGAUAUGAAUGGUGCCAGCGCUGAAGAUCAAACUGAGUAAAUUGGGUCUACUGCUGAAUAUGGUACGGAUGAACGACAAUCAAGGCAAAACACUAGUUUUCUUGCUACUGAGAUCCACUACUCAUCAAAAAAACCUAUCCCAAAUCAGUCCAACAAAAGGUGGGAUCUCUUUUUCCUUAAUUUUGCCUUUUUUUAAUAGGCAAAAUGAGCAUAAACAAUACUUUAUAAGGUGUCAAUGAAAAUAAACGUUCUUUGCCAUCUCAAAACCUUUUUAUAAGAUGAAAAUUAAUGUAUCCAUCUAACCUCUUAAGUUGUUCCUUCAUUGCAGGAUCUAAAUCAUCAUCAAUAUCUCCAUCUUCCAAACUAUGAUUAUGGUGGUUUUGAAAAGUGUGAACCUGAACAAUGUUCGAUUCCCCAAUUGCAUGAGCUAUGACUUUCCAAGGACAUUCAUUAACUGUGCAAACAACUGUCAUGUGUUUCCUACUAUUCCUCUUGAAGCAAUAACGGAAUCUACCAGUAAUUAACAUCAAAUAAACGGCAUCACGGAACUCGACAGCAUUGGGGAAGGUAUGUCCACUACCCAUAAUGGAAUUUUCAAACCGCCUUGAGUCACGUUCGAGUAUAUUUGAUUCCGCACAUCUUUGGGAAAACCCAUAUGACUCAAUUGUAAGAGAGUUAUUACAGAUAUCAAUUGGCGGAUCACCACCGGAGGAAAGUAGGUGUGCCAAAUUCGAACCAACAAUAGGAGUAGGGGCACUACAAAUUUAAAAAAAAAAAAAAUAUAUAUAUAUAUAUAUAUAUAUAUUCAUCUGUCUACAUAUAUUUCAAAAGUUGAUAGACAAAGUGAAUGUGAUGUUGGUAAGGCUAUAAGUACCUAUUCGAUACUAUACAGGCUUCAACAACUUCACUUGAUGAUGAGACAUAGGCUCGACAAAACAUUUCGUUGAAUUGAAUAGUGCAGGCAUGUGAUAUUCUAUAUAGGAUUGGUGAAUAGUCUCAUAGUCUAAGAUCAUGUUUGGUAGAGAGACAAAUGGAACACAGAUUUAUGAGAGGACAAGAUUGAAAGUUUGCAUAAAGCAAUUCUCUAAAUUAAGGACAUUUUGAAUAGUUCACUAGGAGAUUACAAGAGGAAAGAGAGAAGUAUGGCUUACAAGCCCACCAUGCUUAUCUCGAUGUAUUUGGAAGUGAAGCAAUAAAAGAAUCUUUGAUGAUGUUGAUCAAUCAGAAUUGUAGCUGAACAAUGUUUUCCUAAAUUUUUUGUUGAAUGGUCUGCUAGAUCAAUAGGAAAUAGAAGCCUUUCUUUUGUAGAUUUCAUUUGAUAUUUCAGCUAGUACUUUAAGGAUCAAGGAGUUUUAUUUUCCCCCUUUUUUUUCUUUUAAAAUCCUUAUGAACAUCACAAGUACAAAGGAAGUGCCCUCUUCUUAGCAAUUGUUUCACAACAUUUUACGUAUCAAAACAUUUUUUUUCAUUCUCCAAAAUGCCAAAAAAAUAAUGUCCAAAACAUUGAUUUUUAUUUUUUUAUUAAUCAAUUAAAUAUAAUUUAAAAUAAAAUAAUUAGAAUUAUAUUUUUUUAAUGAUGAACCUUAACUAAUUUAAAUUAAAUAUAUAUUAUCAAAGAGUACCAUAGUCCAAUGGUAGCAGGGAUUGAACCCAAGCCACAAUUUUGAUUUAAUAAAAAUUAAGAUGGCUAAUUAAUAAUUAAUAAUUAUUUAUAUGGAGCAAAUUGUUCUCAUGAUUUGUUUCCCCUUUUGUUUUUUUUAUCAUACUAAAUCUAAAGCUCAAAAGGGUCAUCCACUUCUCUCACUCGGGCAUCAAGGAGCCCUUUUCUGAAGUUGCCCUCCAAACGAGAGAAUCCCUAAAAAGGCCCUAUUUUCCUCUGCAACUCUCAAUCCUUGUAGGUACUAAUCUAAUCACAUUAUUAAUUUUUUUUUAAACCCUCAUUUGAUUCCCAAGAAAAUCCAUCCCCCAUUUGAUUUCCGGGAAAAUUCAUCCUUGUUUGAUUUUCGAGAAAAUCCAUGCAAAACCCCAAGGAAAACAAAAAAAAAAUGCUUUUUUUUCCUCCCUAUGUUUUCUAGAUCUGUUCUAGGGGUCUCUUUGCUUUUGUGCCAUUGGGUUUAAAUUUCACAAACCCUAAAUCCACGAUUUUUGAGCUAGGUUGAAAAAUAUAACCUUUGCCUGCAAAUCGUGAUCAGAUUACCAAAUAGCAUCUUAUGUUUUUUUUUAUAUAUAAAAAAAAAAUUUGGAUAGAUUUUGCAUCAUGCAUGGGCUAUGCUGGUAGGAAAUAUCGGGAAAUUUCCCGAAAAUACGAUAAAAAAUACCGAUAAAUACCAAAAUAUUUCUCGAUAUUUCAAACACUAGUGGUUCUCAAAUUUUUUUUCCUCAAUGAUUCCCCACAAACAACCGUCUUGUAAACAUAAAUAUUUAAGAUAUAACAAAAAAAAAUCCCCAAAUAUUCUAAAUCACGGGGUCGUGAACAAUGCAAAACAACCUUCAGCCCAAAUAUUUUCUCAACAGCCAAACAAAUCCUUAAAUGGAAAACUCACAUGCGAUUAAUCCAAAAGAAAGAGGAAACUCCACUUCGGUUUCCAGAAACCUGAAAAAUAUUCACCUUUGAUGAAGAAAUAUGAAGAUAUGACUCAACUUUGGCUUCGUUGAAGGUUUUUGGAAGAUGGCUAUUGGGUUUGGGUGGUCAGCUCGUGAAGAGAGACACUAGGGUUAGGCCAAAAUGAGACGAAAUGAGAGGAAGUGAAGAGUCAUGAAAAUGCAGAGCAAACGAGCCAUGAAAAUGUAGAUUGGGUUAGGGCAAAAUGAGAGGAAGUGACAGAGAGUUUCCCCAAAUUUCAAAGUUUAUCGAGUCGGGUGUUCUAUGGGUUUUGCAAAUUUGAUAACUUUUAAGUUUUUGAUUUUCGUGUUUAUUAAAGGCACAACUCUCGGGUGACAUGGACACGAGUGAUGGUUGCUGAUAGGGAUGCAUGGAGGGGUAAUUUCGAAAAUCCAAUUAUAAAUUGUAUAUAAUGCAUGAAAAGGAAAAAAUUUCUUGAAAUAGUGGACAUAUCUUGGGUUAUGCAAACUUGGGUUUUGAAAACAAUAUUAUUAGGAAAUGGGGCUCUCGAAACACAACUUUCCCUAUUUUUUAUAUUCCAAAUAUAAUAGUUCAUGUUAAUUAAACUAAUUAAAUAAUUUAAUUAAGUUAAUUUUUUGAAUCUAAAUCUAACGAGAUUGAAAUUAACUAGUUGAAUCUAAUUCUUACUAGUUUGAAUGUGAAAAUAAAAUUAAAUAAUCAUCUAAAAUAUAACAUAUCCAUCUAUAAUUAAAUAAUCAAAUUAACCUAAGCUUAUUCAAUAAAAAUAUACAAAUUAAUUACAAUUGAAUGUAAAAAUAAUAUUAAAUCAUCCAUAUUGAAAAUAUACUAAUUAAUUGAAAAUACAUUAAUUAAUUACAAUUGAAAACAAAAUUAAUUACAAUUUAAAACAAACAUACCUUAAAAUAAUUGAAUAAUUGAGCAACCUUAGAAAAUUUUUGAGCAAUAAGAGAUCAAAUAAAGAAUGAAAUUAAAUGUGGAUGAAAUGGAUGCAAAAUGAGUUAUUUAUAGGAAAAUUUUGGGCCAAAAUAGCUAUUGAUAGAUGAUUUCACUAUUGAAAAACAGUUUUGGCCGUUGGAUCAAAAUCAGGGCGACAUAUGACCAUUGGAUCAUGAAAUAACCAUUGGAAUAUCAUCCCAACGUUGGACCAAACCCAAAUUCAAUCUGGGGAGUUAGAUCAAUGCAGGCAUGAUGUAGGCCGUUAGAUCACGCUGAAAAGAGGAGGCAAAUUUUCUUUAAAAAAUCGACGAUUUAUCACCGAUAUAUAGACGUUUUUCCAACAUCAGUGAUGAUUGAUUGAUAAAACCGUCAAUUUAUCGCUGAUCAGCGAUAUAUCGACUAGAUUUUGGCAAUUUUUUGUUUUUUUGCCUCUUCGAUAAAUCCCCACAAAAUAUCGUGUUGAAACUCUCCGAUACACGAUAUAUCGAUGACAUACCGCCGAUAUAUCUUUGUGUUCCUAGUGAGGUUGAUGAUUUACUAAUAUGUUUCAAGUGCACAAUGAGGGAUUAAUUCUUAUUGCACACUAGGGCAUAGCCAUUUUAAAUAUCUUUAUCAAAGUUAGUGGUUUGAUUUUUAGAGAACACUUCUUAUUUGUUGAUAUUGCUAUCACCUACAAAGUAUGGUUUUAUACAUCCCUAAUUCGAAACAACAACUAUCCAUUGCAUUUGAGCAAGGUGGAGAUGUUGUUGGUUAUUAUUGCAUGCUAGGGCAUAGCCAUCAUCAUGGUUUUCUAAUCAAGUUAAUGAUGCAUUGACAUUAUGACGGAUUGAUCUAGUUUGGUUGUCUUCAUAGUUUAUUUUUGUCAAUGAAUGGCAUUGUCAUGGAUGAUUUAAAUACAUUAAUUCGAACACAUUCAUUUUGAAAACAAUCCAUGAACACAUUCCAAAAAAAGAAAAAGGGUAUCUAGGGAAUGGAUCAAUGCAUGUAUACUGAUUAUGUUCUAUAUCAUUGCACUGAGAAUAAUGAAUAGGUCUCUUAUGACUGCAUUAUGAUUCGAUAAGACAUUGUCAUAGUCUCCUAAUAGAUGUUUUACUUUAGGGCUUUAAGAGAAGGAAAUGAUCAAGCUUCUUUAUCAUGCAUGCAUGCUCUCAUCAACACAAAGUUGAGGCAUGUCAUUCAUCAAUAUAGAUCAGAAUGAGCCUAAAUAAAUCAAAGUUCUAAGUGGAAAAUGUUCAAUAUAGGGUUAUACAUCUAAGUGUAACAUGAUCGAAUUUUAUUCAAAUGUAUAAACUAUAAAUGAUUACAUACCUUUUUUUUUUUCCGAAUUCGCUCAUACCAUUAAGAUUUUUCAUCCACAAGAUACAACCUAUAUUGCAAAAAAUUAAAAAUUAAAAUAAAAGUGAAAAAAAAUUGUAUUAGAAUAUUAAGAAAACUCUACUUAUAAAUAUAAAAGAAUCCAAUUGUUUAAUAUUAAAAAAUCUCAAAUUUAAAAUCUAAAUAUUGAGGGUAAUUUUCUAUUUUUCCAUCUCAUAAUGAAUGAAACUCUAAUAUCUCCCUGCUAACUUACUAAAAGGGUCAUUAUCAACAUUUUUCACCUUAGAGCGAAUGUAAAAUUAUAAAAUUAUUAUCUGAGAACACCCACUUUACAAAUUAGAGAAAAAAACCUAAAAUAAAAAGGAAAAGUAUACCAUAAGGAAUAUUUAUUUCAAGCUCUUUAAAGUACUGAGAGCACCCAUUUUACAAAAUUGUACUCAAGUCAUGUAACAUUUGAAUCCAACUCAUUGAAACUCAUCAUUUUGUCUCAAAAAAGGUUUUUCAUUUUUUUAUUAUUAAAAAAAACCAUAAGCAGCUGAUUGUAUUCAAGUAAUUCAAUGGAUAGCCCUCAAAGGUAGGCAUCAAUUUAUCAGACAUUCAAACUAAACCACGGCAUCAAAAGAUUAUAACGAUAAGAAUAUAUAUACCUCCAGGCGAAGGAGCCAUUGAUGCUAUUAAAAGUUUGUUCUUCAAAAGAGCUUUAAGAAGUGAUCGAUUGUUCUUCAAGAGAGCUUCCAAAGAGCUUAGGGGGCUUUUUCUGUAUCCAAUUUGUUGAUCUCACUCUCAACCAACAGUAAAAGAAUAAACCUAAUCAGGAAAGAUUAAAGCUAACCAUAAAAGAACCAAACUCACCUCAGUAUAUAUGAGUUGGAUUUUUUUCAAGAGACAAUGAAAUAGAGAUGCUUCUGAGAGGAGAGGGUGAGGACAUGCAAAUGAGGAUUUGUGUGAAGAAAGAAUCGUUUACUUUCCAAAGGGACAUGCGGGCUUCUUCACUAGGAGGAUUUAAGUCAACUGGGAAUGGAUUUAAACAGCUCCAUGGUAACAAAAAUAAAUAAAAAAAUAAAGAAAAAUGUGUCCUCCAACAGUUUAUUGAUACAGUAAAGUGGACAUAUUACACUACCAUUAUGAGAAAUGACACAUUUGAAGGAGAGAGUCUUUUGAUAUAAUUGAGGCAUUAAAGUUUAAGCACUCUAUCUAACUUAUAAUCUUUAUAAAAAAGAAUUUCACGGAGACCAACUCAAAUGUAUAAAUAGCUUAUACAUUCCAACAUAAAGCAACAGCUGAUGGGAAACUGUGACUUCAAGGAGUUUUGGGCUGAAAGAAGGGGAAAGUCCCAUUAUGGUUUUUAGUCGAAUAAACAUGUUGACAGAUUCACACAAAAUCGGGCGGUUCGUCUGAUUCGACGGUCUAACUCUCUGGUUAGAUGAUUCAAUGGCGAUUCAAACUCAGAACAGUCCAUUCCGGCGAAUCAGACCGAAGGUCGGACCGAUUUUAAAACUAUGCAUUCACCAACGAAUCUGAGAAAAUCAAAAUUAAUUUUUACAAGCCGAAUUCAUAAGAAGACGAGAAAGGGAGUCAUCUCUGAACAGUAGACACAGAAGAACUUUAUUGAAAUUGGUGUUGCUUUUUGAAAGAGACGAAGUCGGCCAGCUACUUGGAAAGUUUGACUGGACAAGACUUUGAGUUGAUUUGAUGGGAGGUGGAGCAGUUUAUUGGGACUUCAAAAAUAUUUUUCUCUUCCAACCGUCCUUAGAUUUAAAAUAUUUUUUAUCAAAAUAUUUAUUUAGAAUUUUUUUCUUAAUGGAAUCACUUAUUAAAUACUUAAAAAAAAUUAAUAAAAUUUCCUUAAAAGUUUAAACAUCAUAAGAUAUUUAAAUUUUUGAAUGACCAUGUUUCGUAUUUAUGCCCAUAAUAAUUUCAUAUUAAAUUAAAAUAAAAUAUUUUUAUUUUAGUUAUUAAAUAAUAAAUGAUAUUUAAAUUGAAUUUAUAAUUAAAUGAUUAGUAUCAAAUUUAUUUCUUUUUAAGAUAAACAAAACAAACUCUACUAAUACUAAUAGUAUUUUGAUCAAACCUGAAGCAAUGGUCAUUGUAAGUAUAUUUCCCACCAAAAUAAUAUAAAAGUAAACAAUAAUACCCUUAUUAACUAAGGACAAAAUAAAUUGGAGUUCAACUAUUUUUUUAUUUUAUCCAAAUUUACCAAAAGACAUAAUAACUCCAUUUUUUUUUCGAAUUUAAAGAUUCAAAUAUGACAAAUAUAUAAGAAUUUAUAUAAUUUAAAAUAAGAUAUAAAAAACAAUUUUUAAAAUUUUCUAUUAAUUUUUUUUACCUCAAAUAAGCACUUAAUUUUUUUUUAGAGCAUUUACUAUAAAAGAAUUUAAUUCUCACCUAAAUAGAAGUAAAAAAUAAUUAUUAUUAUUAUAAAUUAUUUAUCUAAAAUUAUAGUAUGAAAAUCUUAAUAAUUUUUUAUAUUGAUAUUAUUAUUUUAAAUUUUUAUUAUUAUUAUUAUUAUUAUUAUUAUUAUUAUUAUUAUUAUUAAUUUUAAUUCAAUUAAUUAAUUUAUAAAUUCCUAACUUAUGUGAAACUUUUAUUUUCUAAAUUUAUUUUUACGAAUCUUCUAUUUUCUUUAUUUAAUUAAACUAAAUUUCUUGGAAACCUAUUUCUUUUAUUAGUAGAACUAAACUUAUUACUAUUAUAAAUUUUAUUACAAUCAUUCAACAUGCUUAAUCCUAUUAGUAUUUUUAUUAUUCUUUAUUAUUACUAUUUCUAACACAUUCUUACUCACGCACAUUAUCAUGUAUCAAUCACUUUCCAUCCACUGUAAUUACGUAUCUCUUUCACUUUUCCUAUAGCUAUUUUUUUUUCUUUUUACUUUUUUUUUCUUAUUUUCAUAUUAAAUCCACCGCCAUUUUUUUGUCUAAACACCUACAAGCACGCGCAGAGUGGCCACCCAACCCAACUCAUUCCUUGCAUCAUCAUAUCAUAUGCACAUAAUGCAACGUCUCCUCAGAGGAUGAUGUUAAUUGUCAGUUGUCACUCAUCAUUUCAUACUUAAAUGCCAUUACAAAUAGAAUUAGUCCAAGAUCUUAUUGAAAAUCUAGUCUCUUCUAAAAGGGAGAAUUGUGUUUUGGGUCCAGCUGAGCCCAAAAAUUAAGAUAAGGUCUAUGUAAUUGACCUAAUUAAUGAUAAGGAUAUUAGAUGUUAACAGACGAAAAGACCCUUUACUUUUUCAACUCAAAUGGUUGUAAAUUAAUGGGUUUCACAACUGGUAAACUUGAAAUGUCAUGUCACCAGAGUGAAAAUUUUGAAUCUUCCUACCCCUUUCUCUCCCUUCGUAAACAACAUAUGCACAAACGAUGUCGACUAUGACUGUCCCCCAAUCGCUUUCUUCAACAGCCGAGGAUUGUGAGCAUUUCAGAAAAGCUUUUGUAAGUAUUUUAUCAUGAUCAUUCCCAAAUCCAAAUGACGGGGGUCUGAAUUAUUUGCUGAUAUUUUGAUUUGAUUAGGUUGAGGCGUUUAUAGGUAUUUUAUCAUCAUCGUCCAGAGUGAAUAAAUGGGUUUCGUCCAAACGGUGAGCUUUGGGGAAGAAUAUUGUUCGGUGAUGAUGCAAUUAAUCUGGAAUAGCUAUCCUUCGGAUCAAAAAUAUUUUGAAAGCAAAGAAGUUGGUCAACCUAACGAAACAGAGAAAAUGAAGAACUCCAAUGAAGAUAUAAACCGGCCACAACUGUGGUCGUGAUGAUGGCAGUGGCCCAACAACCUCGUGUGAAUAUGGAAAUAUGUUAAAUAGGGUAUAUGCCUUAUUGUUGGGUAAGUUUCCAUUUUAUAAAUUGAUGGCUUCCACCAACUGCUAUGUCCACCAAUUGACUACUCAUUGUUAGCAUAUCAAACAUCUAUGUAGUCCAUCAGCUUCAGUUUUAGUGGGUUGUGGGCCAUAUGGUGCACCAGUUGGACAAUGCAAAACCUCCGUUCUCUUUGAUGAGUCCAGACCUCUAAAAAGCCUCGAAUGUAACUAUUGUUCUGUGGCUGACAAACACUGGGCAAGGUGUAUAUGCAUAAGGUGUUGUGUUCCUUUGGAACAUUCUAGGUUAUUCCAUUUUUUACAUUUUUCCUUUUCGUUUUGUAUACCUUGACCUGGUUACAUGAUGCAUGCACAGUUAAUGCUACUUUUGGUCUUAUUGUCUUUCUAUGUGGCUGGAGACUUUUGUAAUCAGGCUUUAUAAGCUCUAGAGGCUUGGGGCUCAUAGAAACUAAUAUCAUGAGAUUAAUUUAGGAUCCACUCUCUCAGAAUCUCUCUUGCUCUUUGUGUUAGCUGUAAGUUCAUGACUAUUUCACAUUCUAUUAAAAAUUCUAUUAGCUAUCUUGAUUUUAUCAAAAUCAUUCUGCUUGAAUUCCUAAAUUUUCUUUUUGAAGAUUUUUCUUGUCUUAGCCCACUCCACCCAACUUUUCCUUUCUUGUUCUUUUGAUUAGUAUCUGAAACAAUUUUUAUUUCGUUGAUCAAUGUAUAUUCUUGCAACAAAUGAAUUAAAAAUUUAAUUUGUGCCCAAUUAGUUUGGUGUAAAUUUCAUCCACAUUUAUCUCAUGUAAUUUUAAUUGGAAAUAUUUGGUGUUUAUGGGAAUAAACAGGAAGCUUGAAAUUGCUAAUCAUUGGCAUUAAAUUGAAGCAGGUUUAGAAAUGAAAGUUCUGGAUCAGGAAAGAAUGGAUGAGAAGGAGAAUUGCGGACAGAAGAAAAUAAUGUCUCCCUGUUUGGCUCUGAAGAAUUGCUUGGAGGAGAAAAGGGUGACUACUCUAAAAGUCAGCCACAGUUAGAAGCAUUUUGGUCUUCUUUAGAGUUUCCUCGUAAAUUAUAGACAAUUGUUAAGCCUGGUGCCACAUGUGAUGUUUAAAAAGUUGUUCACUAGUUGAAUGGAACCCAUCUUUAGGCAUGUUUUUUAUUGAAUAAAAUAUAUGUUUGAAUAAUAAUUUGCCAUGCUUAACAUAUAAUCUUCUUCUGAAUUCUAGUUGGAAAGUUGGAAUUAGCUUCGAAUAGUUUCACAUUAAUGGACAAAUUGCUGUUUUUUUAAUUUUCUUGUAUUGUUAAAAAAGUAUAGGGAACAAAUUGAUACUUCAAUUUUUCCUUAUUUUAUUAACCAAAAGAUUGCAAACAUGAUUAACCUAUGCAUGAGCAGACAUUCAAUAGUGGUUGUAUGGAAUUUUUGUCUGUGUACAAGACAUUUACACUAAGUGUACAAGAUAUAUGUGCUUAAUGUACAAGGGUGUACAAAGGUACCUAUGUUGAAGUAUUUGCAAUCGUUUUAAAAUCAUGUCCAUUUUGAAAGGAUGAGGAACAUUCCCUCACACACAUUCCUUGAUCACGCACUCAUCCUGUUCAAUUUUAUUACUUCAUACAUGUUGAUUGGAUGACCAACCACAGUAAUGAUGAAUAGGAACCUAUAUUGGGUUUUACUUCCCCCUUUUCCCUUAGGCAUCACAUUGGAACAUGAUAGCUCACCCAUAUGCACGCUUUUAGUUUUAGGUAUGUCAAAUUUUUUCCAUUGUAUAAGACAUUUAAACUAAGUGUACAAUGCAAAUGUGCUAACUGUACAAGUGUGUACAAUGCUACCUAUGUUGAAGGAUUUCAAAUGGUUUUGAAUAAAUUGCUUGCUCAUUUAUUUUUUUUAAGGGGGACAUUCCUCAUAGUCAUUCCUCAUUUCCCUUCGUACACAUUCAUUGGAUGAGAUAACACACUUAUGAUGAAUAGGAACCUAAAUUGGGUUUCAUUUUCCCCCUUUUAAUUGAGCCAUGACAUUGGAAUGUGGUUAACCCGCCAAUAUGCACUAGUUCUAUUCUAGCUAGGUUGAAUUUUUGCAAUUGUACAAGGCAGUUACACCAAGUGUACAAGACCAAUUUACUAAAUGUACAUAGGUAUACAAGGGUGUCUAUCUUAGGGGAUUUCAAGUGAUUCUGAAGAACUUCCUAUCUUACUAUUUCCAAUCGUGGGGGACAUUUCUCGCACAUAUUGCUUGACAACACACUUAGUGCAUGCAUUUUAUUUGAUGUCUACUAUGUUAAUUCCUUCUAUUAGCUUCCCUAGUAAUGAUGAAUAUGAACCGAAAUUAGGGUAAAGUUUUUUUUCAUUUUCCUUAAUCCAUGAGAAUGGAAACAUUGGUUACCCACCCAUAUGCACUCGUUCGGUUGUGCCUAUGUGGGAUUUUGUGACUGUACAAGGCAUUUACACUAAGUGUACAGUGCAAAUGUGCUAACUGUACAACUGUGUACAAUGCUACCUAUGUUGAAGGAUUUCAAAUGCUUUUGAAAAAAUUGUUUGCUCAUUUUUUUUUCUAAGGGGGACAUUCCUCAUUUCCAUUUCUACACAUUCAUUGGAUGAGAUAGCGCGCUUGUGAUGAAUAGGAACCUAAAUUGUGUGUCAUUUUUCCCCUUUUCAAUGAGCCAUGACAUUGGAACGUGCUUAACCUGGCCAUAUGCACUAGUUCUGUUGUAUCUAGGUGGAAUUUCUGCAACUGUACAAGGCAUUUACACUAAGUGUACAAGGCCAAUGUACUAAAAGUACAAGGGUGUACAAAGGUGUCUAUCUUACUUUUUCAAAUCGUGGGGAACAUUUCUCACACAUAUUGCUUGAUAACACAUUCAUUACAUGCAUUUUAUUUGAUGUCUACCAUGUUAAUUCAUUCUAUUAGCUUCCUUAGUGAUGAUGAAUAUGAACCGAAAUUAGGGUAAACUUUUUUUGUCAUUUUCCCUAGUCCAUAGUAAUGGAAACAUUGGUUACCCACCCAUAUUCACUUGAAAAUAUGUACCUAUUAGGGAUUUGGUGACUGGACAAGGCAUUUACACUAAGUGUACAAAGCAAAUGUGCUAACUGUACAAGUGUGUACAAGGCUGCCUAUCUUGAAGGAUUUGAAAUGCUUUUGAAAAAAUUGCUUGCUCAUUUAUUUUUUCUAAGGGGGACAUUCCUCAUUUUCCUUUGUACACAUUCGUUGGAUGAGAUAGCACGCUUAUGAUGAAUAGGAACCUAAAUUUGGUGUCAUUUUUCCCCAACUCAGUGAGCCAUGACAUUGGAACGUGGUUAACUCGGCCAUAUGCACUAGUUCUGUUGUAUCGAGGUCAAAUUUCUACAACUGUACAAGGCAUUUACACUAAGUGUACAAGGUCAAUGUACUAAAAGUACAAGGGUGUACAUGGGUGUCUAUCUUACUUUUUCCAAUCGUGGGGAACAAUCCUCACACAUGUUGCUUGAUAACACACAAUUGCAUGCAUUUUAUUUAAUGUCUACCAUGUUCAUUCAUCCUAUUAGCUUCCCUAGUAAUGAUGCAUAUGAACCGAAAUUAGGGUAAAAUUUUUUUUCAUUUUCCCUAGUCCAUGGUAAUGGAAACAUUGGUUACCCACCCAUAUUCACUUGAAAAUAUGUACCUAUUAGGGAUUUGGUGAUUGGACAAGGCAUUUACACUAAGUGUACAAAGCAAAUGUGCUAACUGUACAAGUGUGUACAAGGCUGCCUAUCUUGAAGGAUUUGAAAUGCUUUUGAAAAAAUUGCUUGCUCAUUCCUCAACUGAAAUGAUAAUAACCUUUCAUUGAUUGAUAUCCACGUGGGCCCUCCUCAUGAUUGUCUUCAACCUGAUAAAGGGUAUGUGUUUUUUUUUUCCCUUAGUGAGAAAGCAAAUAAAGGCAUAAUAGAUAUAUGAGUGUGUUGGCUACUAAGUAGGUACUGGUUGGUGUUUGAUGAUGUUAAAAGCCUUUAUAAAGCAGCCUCUAGUAAGCACUGAUUUUGAGAUUUAAGUUCUUUUGAAUUUGAUCAUUUUUCCCUUUCUUUUCCAAGGUUUUUCUUUCCACCUUGGUUUUGUGAAGAAAGCUUGCAUUAUUGGAAUGAUUGUUAUUUAAUGUCGUUGCAGUUGCAAAUGACACAGCUAUUCACCAAAUCCCAACCUCUGUUUUGAAUCUGAGACAAGGUUAACAAUUCGUAUAGUUCAAGUUCUUCAUGGCCUUCUAGAGAGUGAGCAUGCAGCACAUGCAUAAGCAAACAAUAGGGCAAAAGCUCUUUCUGUUCAACUACAAUCCACACAAGGAAAACUUGAUUUACUUCAGCAACAAUUAACAUCAGUUUCUUUGAAUAAAACAGCAAUGGACGGUAAGCUCAACACUGCUUCCCAUGGAAAAUGUUUGAGAGUAGAUGACUUUGACCUGACUAUUGAAUCUGUUGAAGAUAUGGAUGGUAAUGAAAGAAUAACAAGAGAAAAUAAGAUGUCAACGAUCACAACUAGCCCUCUGAAGUUCACGCAGUCAGAAGAUGGUGUUUAAAUAUUUAAGGCCAACGAGGACAACAACAGCCAACAUACGAACCUAGAGGACUAUACAAAAUUCAUUGUGCUGAAACUUAUGAAAGAACUCACAAAACAUCAUUAUGGGGCUGAGCUGCUUCAGUUCAGGAAUCCCAACAAGAGAAACAUCUUGCUUUGUAUGAGAAACACGUGCUUUAAAAAUUGUAACCUGUCUAUAAUCUAACAAGAAUUGACUUGAUAGAUUAGCUUUUUAACCAAGUACUUAGUGCUGAAGAAGGUGUUUUGUGCUUGAACGGUGUCAUUCCCAUUAGUCCAAAAUUUUGGGAUGAUGAUCGCCAUUUUUCGAUGUGCUGAAUGAUUACUUUUAAGGUGUGGAGCUACUGCAUUCUGAGAAUGGUUAAUAAUAAUUUUUAAAAUCAUACAUAAUAAAUUUGAAAAUAAAGACUAAUAAUUUUCAAGUGAUUAUGGAUUAUUCUUGAGUUCCCCUUUUCUCUUGUCUGAACUUGCUAGUUCCCAAUACUAAAGUAGGAGUCCAGGGAUAAUUUCAACACAAAUAUUAACUAUAAGUCUCUGACAAACCUUAUUCUUAUUACCACCCAACUAACCUAAGGGCAAAGUGGGUUCUUAUUACCAAGCCAUGAGCAAUUUUGCCCACCAAAAAACCUAGGACAAAAAAGGGAAAAAGCCACACCAACAUGUAUGAUAACAAAUAAGAGCAACCAUACACUCUAUUAGGCAUAGACAUCUAGGUUAGUGUGGAGGUACUCUUCCACAACCUUGUACAUCCCCAUGGCCUUGUCUUUGCCGGUCUUGAUGUCCUCGUCCUUGAGCUCAAUAUUUGAGUGAUAAUGGCUAGUCAUCUUGCACAUAGAGCCUGAGCCCGAUGCCUUGAACUUUACCUCGUUUGAAAUGGCCUUGUUUUUACACUCUUAAUUGCCUAAAUUUCCUUUCUAAGAGGCUUCAUUUUCCAAUUCUAUUUCCUUUCACACCUUCAAUGGGAAUUUAGGAGACAACUUUUAGUAUUGUGUCUUAGUUUGAUUGAAGGUAAAAUUGAAACCCAUAACAACCCUGACUUGUUUGAACCCCAUGUCAGAAAAAGUAAAAAGAAAAACAACAAAGUGUAUAGAUUCUUCAAAUAGAUGUAUCUGUAAUUGAAACAAAACAGGUGGAACACACCCGUGAACUCACCAUUAACAUUACAAGCAACUAGAAUUAUUGCUGCCUUGAACUAGAUAUCAUAGAGAACACCAAAAGAAAAUAUCUAUAUAUAAAACAUAAAAUCUUUGAGUAAUCACAAUGCUACUUUCUAUUCCUAAUUUUCCGCUUCCCAUCUGUGGGAACUGGGUGCCUUCCAUUCCUGUGCUGUAGGGUCCCAACCCCAUUUGAUAGUUUCCAUGAUGGUGAAGGGCCCACGGUAGAAUUCAAAUUCCUGCAGGAAAAUUUUGAGAACAUUUUGUCAGUAUACAUGGGAACUUACUAGGUAACAAUAGUUGAAAUGAGAAAUAAAUCAGUUUGCAUUACCUUAGUUCUGGACUAUUUGCUGGCUUUGUAUUAGGUUUCUUGAUUUUUGACUCAAUCCCAUUAAUCAUGCAAAUUAUAUUUGCAUUAUUGAAUUGCCAAAGCAAAACGGCAUCAGAAGAAGCACUGAUGGCAGCAUCCUCAUGCAAAUCAUCAUUAUUAGCAAUGUCAUAACGAUUGUUUUCCAUGAAUAUGUUAUAUGAUUGAUCCGGGAAUAGCUUUGAAGAAUUUGAAAUAAGUUUUUGGUAGAAAGCAUCAGGCAAGUUCCUAUUCUCUGUUUCCCAACAUCCUAAAGGGUUUGGAACUCUAGGUACAACAUCUUGCUUAUUCACCAUAACCAUAUAUACCCACUAACUAGAGCCAAUGUCUUUGUCGUCCUCCAAAUAAUUUUGCACAUUACUAUUGACUGGAGGCCAAGGAGGUGAUUUCCCUAGUAACUCCUUAAGAUCAAAGCUUUGGUUCUUUUGCCUCAUCAUGGAAUUGCUGCGUGCCUACAUAAUCAGAACAUCAAACUUGAAUUCUGGUUUCACAAAGACUUGGAUGCAUAAUAAUCAGUCAACUAAAAUAAAGCCAUUGUUUGACAUCUACCUAGACCACAUCUAUGUGGAACCUAAUCAUACAUGAACUAGAAAUUACUUUUUAUGAAAAUUUCCAAUGAAUGUGAUAUAAUACAUAGUUUAUGAUCAUCUUCAAACUUAGGCAUGGCGUGUCAUGAUUAUCAAGAAAUAAAGGUUCCCUCACCAUCAUCAAUUUGCUAUCAUUCAAGUUUAAAUACACUUAUGUUAUUAUUCAAAGCUAAAUAUCAAUGAUUGGGGUAAAGAAAGAGGAAUAUCUCAUCAUGAUUAAAAAAAUAUUUACCUCGAUGUUGCUUGCAUCCCACAUUGGUUGCCUGCAACUAUUUUGAUCAUCUAACAUAUCUCCAGCCCGCUUGUUACAAUGAAAAGGUGAUAAAUCACUGGUUUUUGUUAUGUAUCUUUCAGAACUGUUUGUUUUGGUUCUCCUUUUUCCUUGCCAGAGCUGCCUUUAGAGUAGCAAUCUGAAAUAAUAGUUCAAAGUUUUCAGAAGAAUAAAUAAGAAUUGAGAAGAAUGAUAAAUAAUGAGAGCAUUCAGAACCUGUUCUUUCAGCUCUUUCACAUCUACACUAUCCUUGUUUACACGAGUAGCACUAAGUUCUACCGUGGCAAAUUGCUCUGCAAAUUUAACUGUGCUAAUUGUUUCUCCAUCCGCAUCCAGUUCAGGGCUAAUGUGAACAAACAUUAGUGUCUUAGCUUGCCCCCUUAAAGAGAAUUACAAUCUAAAAGCCAUAUUAUAAUUUUAAAAAUAAAAUUAAAGAAAACAGAAUCAAAUAUGAAGUUCAUACUCUGAAAAUACAUUAGUUUAUUCUUACCAAGUGAGUCUUGAAGAAGUUCUGUUAGUUUACUAUUCCUAUAAGGGACAUGUGGACUCUUCUGGGCAAGGGAAGAGAUGACAUCCCCUAGAGCAGAGAGAGAUCUGUUAAUAUGAUGUUCCUCCUUUAGUCUAUCUCCAGUGACCUCAGAUUUGUCUACUCUCCCACUGUCGGCCAGAUCAACAAGAUGCAUACAGCCAUGAAGAAUAGUUCCUGACAUCAAGUCUCUUCCCUGAACAUGAACAGUUAGGCAUAUGCAAGUUGAUUGAAAAUCAAGUGAGCAAAACCAAUAGAGAUUACUAAAAGAGUAUUCCUAGAUAAAUAUAUAAAGGAAUAUGAUCAUACCUAUGAGAGCAACUAUUAUGGUUUCAUAUGUUCACAAGUGGUAGAGAACCAGGGUUUUAAUUUCUAUGCAAUUUUGAAAAUUCAUUCUAAUAAUAUUUAAUUCUCCCUGUUUACUUACAAUGCAAUGACAAUCAACUUAAGUCAAAAAGCAGUCAAACUCCUACUAAUCCCAUAAUCCCAGUGUUCAUUUCCGCAUGUGGCACCAUAAAAAAACAUUUAAAGAAGUACGUUUGUCCACCAUAAAUUACAUACAAAUGUGCUAACUUUAUACAGUCUCGUCACAAAUUACAAUCCCCAUUAAUCCAUUCAGACACGGUCUUGGUGUGCAUUUUGUGCUGAAAACAACAUACUCCCCAUAAUCUUCAACCUAUAAUGUUUCAAUUUCCCCUGCAUUCAUUCAAGUUGAUAGCAACAAAUCAGCAAAUUAAUUAAUUAGGCUUUUGUAACUAUUUUAACAUUAAUGAGAUAGUCAUAGAUAAUUCCUCCUAUGUACCACAUCGAUUGAUUUGGAGAACCUGCCCAUUGACCACAACUCCAUGAAUUUCAUUACAAAAACUCCGCAAUCGUGCCUACGUCAAUAUCAUUAUCAAAACGUUAUUAAGUAUGGAAUUAUAAAUAAGAGAGGAACUUAAAAUAAGUUGCAAUCCAUUUUAACAUCAUCCCGGACUGCAAGGUCAAUACUCACUCAUUAGGUUGGAGAGGUACAUCAGGUGUUAGGAAAUUGAAUGUCCUCAAAUCAUAAGGUGAUACCUCUUUUUUUUUUGUGCAGCCAACCAUAGGACAACCUUAGCCUGAAACAUUUAUUAACACAACAAUUGAAAUUUUUAUGGGAAGACAUACUUAACAAAUUAUUAGUUGUUACUUGUUACUUUACCAAAUUUUGUUGAAUUCCACUCAAAGUUGUCUUCUUCCUACCAGGACAAGAAUCUAGCAAUUGGAUUCUCUUGUUUGAUAGGUCAUAUAUGCACAGUGUCCAAUGGUUCUUUAUGAGAACCGGUAAGAAGACCUACACCAAUAGACUGCCAUUAAACAUACAUUUAAAUAUUGUACCUUCAUGCAAUAAAAAUACAAAUCCAAGCAUUAAACACAGGAAUCCACCUUGUUAACAUUGACAUAUGGAAUAUCCAUCUGAUACACAUGUGGUUCAAAGCGUCCUAUAACUGCCUCCCUCACUAAGUGUUUUGCCUAGGAGUGGAUUACCAUUUCCUGCAUAUCAAAUAGGGGAUAACAUCAGGUUUGUCAUUGUAGGUAAUGCCUGGUUCAAGACAUGAAAUAAAGUUAAGCAAUGAUUUAAUGGAAUAGUCAUCAUUACAGCUAUGUAGGGGGAUAGAAACAGUUUCGUCUUCGGUUUAUGUUCAUACUGCAACAAUCUACAGUAGGCAUCGACGACCUGAUUUUGUAGAUCAUAAAAGUGUAAGCAACUAAUUAUAUUAAAGCCACACUUUCACUUUCAAACUUAAAAUAAUGCAUAAAGAGGGAUAAGAAGUCAUAUGCACGUCGUUCCCUAUCCAACCAUUCCCUUCGAAACAGCCCAAAUUGCCUCUGGUUAGGAUAGUGUCAUGCAUAGACACUAGUUCCUCACUAUUGCAAACACAUACAAUUUAGUUUUUGUGUUAUCACUAUCAUACAAUGAGAUGAGUGUCUCUGAAGUAUGUUACCUAGCAUCCAAAUCCUCUCUAAAUACCAGUGCAGCUGCUUGUUUUAAGUCCAUUCUGAUGGCAGAUUGUUUAGUUUGUGGUUGGGAUAUGUAUGGGGACAACAGGUUUGGAGCCAUUCAACGCACUCGUCGUCUCUAGACGUUCCUAUUUGUGGGGACAACAUUACCUUUUGGUUCUUCUUCACCAUCUGCAAUACGAGAUUUAGAACUAGUCAGCAAAGGUAUACAUUAUGAUUGAGUACUUGAGUUGUUAACCAUAUGGGUGUUUGCAUAAAUUUUAUCACUUACCGCUUACUACAUUAAUGGGUACACUGGGCUGCAACUCAAACUCAGGGGCAACAACGCGAUCUGGUGUGUCUAUCACAUGGUCUGCAGCAUGUGAAGCCAUGUACUCAUCACCAAGAAAUGCAUGGUCAUCGACUGUGGGAGUGUUGGCUGGUGCAUCGCCAGAGUGACCACCAGCAUCUGAAUUUACCCCACUAUGUCUUCGAGCCCCUAACUUAUGCAUAAGGCCACGCAUUAUUCUCAGCUGCUACUGAAUGCCCCAUUGAUAUUGGUCGAUUGCUCGUUCCGCAUCAUGAUAUUGAUGUCAUUUUUCCUAUCACAUGAUAUUGAUGUCAAUCUUUGAGCACAAAAUAUCACAACAACAUAUUUCUUUAUAGUUAAGAAUCAAAAAUAAAUUACAAUGACAAUGAAAUGAACAUUUAUUAAUUUUUUUAAAAAUUAACAGCUUACAUCACUAUUUUCAGCAUCAACAUUUGUGUCAUGGUCCACAUUAGUCUCUACCUCCAUAGUUCUUUCUACAGUUGGAGAUCUCUAGGACGCCUAUAAUUAGCAUUGAAGAUUAGUAAUUAAAUAAUGAGUGUUAUGCUAGUAAUGACAAUAUAUUUAUGCAUGCAUCACUUACAAAAUCAACCUCAGCAUGUCCGAAUGCUCCAAACUCCUUUAUCUUAACGACUAGUCGCCGCUUAAUCAAAUCAUCAGUCCAUGUCAAUGCUAGGGGCACUAUAAUGGGGACUUGAACUGAAGGAAUUUGGAAUUUAAUGACAUAAUGCAGCUGCAUAAUAAAUACAAACAUCAGUAGGCAAAUGUUACUUAGUUGUGCAAUAAAAUUAUAUAAAAAAAUGGAAGACAAAUACUGAAUAAGUUCAUUACCUGUAGAAAUAAAACACAGCCAUGUACCCAAGAGGUGUUAGACUGUUGGUAUCGCCUAAUUCCCUUAACCAGUUGGUCAAGCACAAACUAGGCCCAAUUAACGUCAUUUCAGAAUCCAUCCUCAUGGAUGGUAUGCCACAAGUUACGGCAACCAUUGAGCCUAGACGUGGGGGCCAACAAUGUGGCACAUGCGUAGUAAAUGAAUGCUCUACGAAACUCCUCGCCUACAGGUAAGUUCAGGAGUUUCUCCUUGCAUGCCCGAAUAGUCCUAAAUGGAUGCUCUGAUGAUGUAAAGGUCACCUGCAGAAUCCGCCCUUCUGUUGGGAGGCCGAAAAUGAGGCCAACAUUGAUGGCUGUAACAGGAUAGUGUUUCUAAGCUGAGAACUCUAUCCGUCUAAAUCCAACAUUGAAAUGUUGGAUUAGAAAGAUACAGAUGUUGUGGCGCACCUCUGUGCAAUUUAAGUUUAAGAGACCUCCAAAUUGGAGGUCUCUUAUGGCUUGUAUUUUUUCCUCUGGUAAACGGUUGCAGAGUUUCUUAAAUCGUGCAGUUGAGCAUCGUGUAAACAUUGAUGGGCCCUGCAUGCAAUGUUUGACAACAUGGCCAUGUUAGGAAUAGCAACAUCAUUGCAGUUGGUAAUGCAAAAAAUAAGUGAAAAAGUAAAGAUGUCAUUUCUCAUAGUUACAAAGACUUGUUUGCUUGUAUUUAGAAAUAAUAUACAGCAGGGUAAGACAUGAGAUGGGGUUAGGUGCUAUUGACAGUGAGAUAUCCUAUAAGAGAGAGGAUUGUUAGUUUAUGAAUAAGCUUAUAUAGAAUAGACAAUAACAGUAAAACUGUACAGAAUAGACUAUAAAAGUACAAAAAUAAAUAUGGGAAUAUUACAUGAUAUAUAAAAGAAGGAAAUCAAGUCAAUUUAUGGAAAUAAAUUGACUAAUUCUAUUAGAGAAAGAAACCAUAAACAAAUCAAUGAAUAAUCCUAUUUAAUUCCCAUUUAGAUUGUAAGACAACUUGAUAGAACCAAAAUCAUUGGUAAUGAAUUUGUGAUCUUCAACAACAAUGAACAAAUGGAGUAAACAGAAAAUGCUAUGGAAAAGUAGAUUUCUUUCAUUGCCUUAACAUGGUUACAAUAAAAUGCUUGAGAAGGUGGAAAUAAAAGCUCACUAACUCAAAGGCCUUUUCUUCGUAUUCCCUCGCACACACUAGGUUUUGUGUCAGGAAUAAUCUUUGCAAUAAUUGUAUUCCCCCAAGUGUUUUCCACUAUACCUAACAACAUACUGGUUGCUAAGGGCCUUGCAUUCAUGGAUGUGAGCAAGGAAAAAAACUUAAAGAGAUCUCUUUGUUUUCCCUGUUCUUUUCAUUCUUCUGGCUAUUUAAAAGGGGUCUAACCUGCUCCUUUUGAUACUUCUGACAGACACAAAAUCUUGAGGAACUACUAGAGCAAGCACUUUGCUAUUGCCAUUGAACAUGGACAAGGUUUGGAAUCCAAGCUUCCGUUGAGAGUAUUCCCACAUGGUAAUUACUAUCAUUGAAUAAUUGUACACUAUCUUCUAAUACCAUGAAUCAUGUGUUCGGCCGAAGUUAAUUCAUACCUAAGUUGUUAGCUGAGUGAGGAUCCAUGGGAAAAUAAAUGAAAACUAGGACUCUAAAUCUAAACUUCUGAAAGUUUUGAGGCUUGAAUCUGAUUCACUGGGCAUAAUAAUCUAAAAUUUGCAAAAUAGAGGAAGUGGUCAUUUCAAAUUAGGUACUGAUACAAUAUGAACUGCUACUACAUAAUUUUUUGUAGAAUAGUAAACAAAGAGUAUCUUUGCCCUUGAAAACAAGAAUAAAUAAGGUGAAUCCAUGAGUCUUGGAGAAUUAAAUGAAUGAAGAGGAGUUUGGAAACCAUAAACUCCAACUGGUAGAUGGCCAAUACAACAAGAACAUCAACUAAGGUAAUAAACAUCAAACAUAGUUUCAAGUAGAGGUUAUGACACUGCUUGUUACACUUGAAACUUCAUCAGCAGUUCUCCUUCAUUACCACAACAGUUUAACUAGCAUUAAGUUAUGUUUUAUGCCAAUGCAUCAGUCUUAAAACCAAAACAUAGUUCACAACAUACACUUAUAAUAUCCUGCUUAAUUACAAGUUUUUUGUUUGCCUAAGAAAUCAAAAUUUUAAUAUCAGGCAGGACUCGACUAGAGUUUCAACAGCUUGGUUGCAUACCCAUUUACAGAUGCCAAAUUAUUAGAUAUUUGAGAAUAUUCUGAGGCUUUAAUUUCAAGACUUAAACUUCAAGAAUUACAAAAAUCUUUAGAGAGAGAGGACUUAAUUAUUUGGACAAUAUUUACAACAACAAUAAUAAUCAUCAUCAUCAUGAAGAUUGAUGUUUCAGUUCUAAUGUUUCAGUCAGUUCAUGCACCAAAUCUUCUAUCAAUUUCACAUGGAGCCGACCUAUUCAUCCACAUUCACAUUUGGUUGAGCGAGAUAUUGGUCCAACACAUUAAAAUACUGCCCCAAAAGGAGAAUUUCUGCCUUAUCGCCCUGGAAUCCCAACUAUUUAAUUGAAUUUUUUUUGAGGUACAAGUCAAGAAAACUUCUGCAAGGGAUUACAAUCAUAUGUGCCAGAUUUUCACAGAGAGCACCAUUUCAUAUGUUUUAAAGGCUGGAUAUACAGUUGAGAGAAUUAGAGUGCGUUUGGAAAUGUUUUUUCUCGAAGUGUAAUUAAAUAAAAAGUUUUCCUUUCUCAUAGAUUAAAAACAUAAAAUAUGAAAUUUUUGAUAAAAUGGAAACCACUAUUUGGGGUGGGUAAGAAUAGCUAAGAGAUUGUAUGCAACAAAAAUCAUGAAGUUAGCUCAAAAUGGGAAUGAAAUUUUUAUUCCAUUAUAGAGUAUUAAGUGCAACCAAAUAUUGAAAUGAAUCUUUGUUAAGAUUUUCUAGAUACCAUUCCAUUCUUAGCAAAGGAACAGUCUUAUUAAUUCUAAAGUAAGUGUUAAGUACCUAAAGGAGAACAAAAAUAAUAUAAAAGAAAAAAAUUUUAAGAAAAUAAAUUGUAAACAUUUAUUUAUCUUCUUUUCCUUGAUUUUCUUAGCAAUCAAAUAAGAAAACAAUUUUAUAAAGUUAGAAAUAGAAAAUAUGAAAUUAAUAAAAUUGAAAACAUUAUUUAGAGGUGGAAUGAGAAAAACUUAGAGAUGUUGAUGAAAUAAAAAUAAUGAAUUAAAUUAACAUAAAAUUGGAAUGAAAUGUUCAUUGCAAUUCAACUUAUUAAAGUACAACAAAUAUUAGAAUGAAUAUUCAUUACCAUUCUAUAACUAGGAAACAAACACAAGACGAACUGAAUGCCUCAAGCAACAUCAACUAUCCAUUAGUUUGAUUUCCAGAAACUAGAAAUCCAAGAUUCACCUAGGAAAGUGUAAGAAGUGAUCUGAAGUAAAUAGAAAUCUUUAGUGCCAGUUAGAAAGUGAGGCUACUAGAUUAGCAGUAAUCUCUAUAUCUGAGCAGCUCUUGACAGUGAACCGAAGUUGAGCGUAAAAAAUAACUCUUGGUCCGUAUAGAAAAUCAAAUUUCAUUUUUUCACUCAAAUAAGCUAAACAAAGGCCAAAGAGGAAAAUAAACACAAUCAAAUUUCAUUCAUUUGGAGAUUUAAAAUUUGGGGAAAGAGACUCACUUCCUAGGGUUAUUUAUCAUUAGUCUCUGACAUGCAAUUUUGAUUCGAGUAUGGCAAGGAUUUCGGUGAGCGAGUUGGUUGUUCAUCAGCAAUCUAGUUGCUGACUCAGCUCCUAAGGUUUUAUGCCUUUGGAAGAAGAGUUCAAUGGCCAUCACUAGCAACGUCUCUCAACAUUGAGGGUUGAAAAGAGUGAAUAGAAGAAAAAUGUCAAACAAUUAGUAAGAAAACAAAAUCACAAGUCAUUUGAAGAUUCUCACCAGUGGGUUCUUAAUAGUUUAAAGUAAGGAAGUGGCUCUUAGUGGGUUAUUGGCUAAAACUGGGGCUACCUAGUAAAACCUGUUGAACCGAUUCCAAACCGGUUCAACCGAUUGAGAAAAAUUCUAAAAUUUAACAAAAGAUUCCUCGAAGAAUAAGGAAUCCAACAAAACAAAAAAAACAGCGCUCAAUUUCGAGCUUGGAUGAGGGAGAACCGGUCAAAACAAUGCAAUGUGUUUAUAAAACGGGGCUGCUUAGCAAAACCUGUUUAACCGGUUCCCAAACGGUCCAACCGAUUGAGAAAAAUUCUAAAAAUUUACCAGAAGAUUCCUCGAAGAAUAAAUAAUCCAACAAAAAAACGACACUCAAUUCUGAGCUCGAAUGAGGGAGAAUCGACUAAAACAAUGCAAUGUGUUUAUAAAACGAGGCUGCCUAGCAGAACCUAUUGAACUGGCUCCCAACCGAUUCAACUGAUUGAGAAAAUUUUUGAAACUUUACUAGAAGAUUCCUCGAAGAAUAAGGAAUCCAAAAAAAAAUGAAUCUCAAUUCCGAGCCUGGAUGGGGGAGAACCGGCCGAAACAAUGCAAUGUGUUUAUAAAAUGGGGUUGCCUAGCAGAACCUGCUGAAUCGGUUCCCAACCAGUACAAUCAAUUAAGAAAAAUUAUGAAACUUUACCAAUAGAUUCCUAAAAAGAAUAAGGAAUCCAACAAAAAAAACGACGCUCAAUUCCAAGCCCGGAUGAGGGAGAAUCGGCUGAAACAAUGCAAUGUGUUUAUAAAAUGGGGUUGCCUAGCAGAACCUAUUGAACCGGUUCCUAACCGGUACAACCGAUUGAGAAAAAUUCUGAAACUUUACAAGUAGAUUCUCAACCGACAAAACAGCCUCCAUACCAUACACUAAAGAGUAAGGUGUAGCUCCUAUGGAGGUGCGAAAAGAGGUACAGUAUGCCCACAAUGCAAAAGGAAGUUUCUCUGACUAAUCUCGAGAAGUUUCAGUCAUCAUCCUGAAAAUUCUCUUAAUAUUCUUAUUCGCAGCCUCUACUGCCCUGUUGGUCUGUGGCCUAUAUGCUGAAGAUCUAUGAUGUCGGAUGUCAUACUUUUGCAACAAAGUAUCUACCUCAACUGGGAAGUGCACCCCUCUAUCUGAAAUUAAUUCAUGGGGAACCCCAUAGCGGCAAAUGAUGUGUGACCUGAUGAAACUAGCAACCCUAGCAAAUGUCAAAGAAUAAGGAAUCCAAAAAAAAAAAAAAAAAAACGGCGCUCAAUUCCGAGCUCGGAUGAGGGAGAACCGGCCAAAACAAUGCAAUGUGUUCCUUGUAGAAGGCCAAACCCGAACCACCCAACCUUAUUAAAACUAAGGCCACGGAUCUCAUUAAACAACCAACAAUGCAGCCUCCCUGAACUCAAGAAACCCAACUGGAAAUUCAGCCACACAGACAUCCACAUGCGGCCACCUAAAUCUCCUGAAACCAAACUGAAAUUUCAUUCACUUGAAGCCUUCCACCUACAGCUACUUAAAUCCCAUGGAACAAACUGAAAUUUCAGCCUCCUAUAGCCUAUGAAUCCAGUUGAAAUUCAGCCACCUAUAGCCCCCUCUCCCCAAUACAACUACUGGAAUCACCAAGAAGCAAACCGAAAUUUCAGCCACAUGGGGCCUCUACAUAUAGCCACAAGACCCAGGGUUUAAGUCCAGAUUAUUGAUGGGUAGCCCCAAAUUUAAAAAACAGAGAAGGUCAUGGAGACCCUUUCUCAAUACAAAGCAAAGGAGGUUUCAAGAAAAACCAAGUGGCAGAAAUGCCCAUACCAACAUAGCCACCUGAAUCUAGCAUUUAAGAAGUUCCUCAAUCCAAAGCUACAAGGCCAUAAGAAUCCUUCCCUUAACAAUCAAAAGGUCACAAUGACCUUCAACCAAAACCAAAACUAAUGAAGGCAGUGACCCUAUUACUCACACAUCAAAAGUAGGUCACACACCCCCCAAUUCUUUAUCAGAACCAACCCAAAAUGAGACAUCCACAACUAACAUAAAAAAUGAAACAUGCAAUAGUUACAUAUCAAGAGCAUCCAUAAAGCUUACCAGAUUGUUCUCCCCUCAAGCAGAAAUUUGCUUGGCUUCAAGGCCGUCUUUCCUUCAAGUUCUCACCAAUCAAGAGCUCCUUACUCUCUUCCCUCUUUGCUCACUUCACGUGCACCCAAAACUUUCUUAAAUGCUCAAAACCUUCUCCACACUCUGUUCUUUUCCCUCACCAAACUUGGACAAAGUUUUGUCCCUUAGAAAAAAAUGCAAAGGAAAAGGUCCUUCUCUAUUUCCAUUUUGCCUUUUUAUACCAGAACCCCUGCUCCUCCCACUUCCACCUUCGUUUUUCCCUCUUUUAGCUCUGGAAAGUGCCCCCAUCAACCUCGGAAUCCAUCUCCAUAAACACUCCUCACAGUCACGAGGUGAGCUGUUCUCUCCACAUUUACUCCAUUGCUUCACCACCAAGAAUCCAUAUGGAUUCAUGGUGGGCUAUAAGGAACCUAAACCAAGGCUCAAAAUGGACCCAAAAUAUUUCCCAAGACCGAUUUGGAGCUUAUGGGCCCUAGUCAUGUAGGAUUUGGGCCCCAAAAUCAGUGCUCUAUACAAGUUGGCCCAACGAAUUGGUUGAACCAGUUGAUAAAAAAAUUGAAAUUUUGACAGAAUAUUCCUUGAAGAACAAGGAGUCCAUAAAAAAAAUGGUGUGUGAUUCUGAGUUCGGAUGAGGAAGAUAUGAUCGAAACAAGCUCAAGUGCUCCGUAUUCGAACCUGCUCCUAUGAACUCUGGCUAAACUAAAGAUUUGGGGAGAUCUCACUUCCUUCUUUUAGCAUGAUGUGAAAAACUAAGGAAUUGGUCAUGACAACACUCCAAAAUGAACUACACACUCACACUACAUUGGANNNNNNNNNNNNNNNNNNNNNNNNNNNNNNNNNNNNNNNNNNNNNNNNNNNNNNNNNNNNNNNNNNNNNNNNNNNNNNNNNNNNNNNNNNNNNNNNNNNNUGACAACACUCCAAAAUGAACUACACACUCACACUACAUUGGACCGCAGAUGAACCUACACAAGGCUCGAAAAUCGAUCAAGCCCAAAAGGGGGUCAUGGUGGUGCCAUAAGGAAAAAAUUGGGUGCAUGUGACAUCCCUAAGAUAAAUGCAAGUGUCGAAGGACAAAAUUGAGGGUCUACAGUAUUACAUUUUUCAAAGAGAUUAUGGAUGUCAUGGAAAACUCUUUAAAGAUCUCAAAUUUAUCAAAUAAUCAAUGGCUCGAUGAUAAUACACUGUUGUUGAUUCCAAGAUUUUCAAAUCCGAGUGGGCUGAUGGUGACUCACAAAACUGUUCUUCAAUUCUGUGGUUCAAAUUAGUGGACUUCUUUAAACCACCUUUCAAAUUGGACAGUUGCAUAGAGGACAAAACUGCUUUUGAUGGAUUUAAAGCUCUUCAAAUCCAUGAACUUCAAAGGUUUUUAGAUUCGUCCUCAAAGCCUAUAUAAGGCCCCUAUUUCUCUUUAGAAGGCAUCAACAUUUUAGUAGGAAAAUUGAGAGCAAACAAGUGAGAUAUCCUCUUGAGUGAAUGACCUUGUAAUUGAGAAAACUCAAAACUCUCAAAGUGUUUGUAAGGCAAUGUUUGGGCCUCAAAUGAAAUGGUAGCAAGGGAGAAAAUCAGGAAAGAGAAAAACAACCAAUGUCUAGGGCUAAAACCAAAUGCUUUGGAGGUAGUAAAAUUAGGGUAGGAUACGUGGAAUUCCAACUUAGAUUUUUGUGAUUUUGUUUUUUCAUAAUCAGUAAAGGCCAUUUUCGAAAAUAUUAAAAAUUCAUAUUCUUCUUCUCAAUUUUGACACUUCCUUUAGGUCUUAGGCUUAAAUGACGAGAACUUAUAUGGACCAAAGAUUAAUUUUUGGGCCUAGCUGGAUCCAAAACACAAUUCUCCCUAUAUUAUGUACACCUGAAACAUUUUUCAAAUUAAUUUUAUGAACUAAUUUUGAAAUAUAUCUUCAUAGCAUCUACACAAAGCAUAUAUAUUGUGUAUGUACUAUUAAUAAAAAUUUGUUUACAUGAAAUUAAAAAUAAUCAUGUUUUAAAAUAAAUAAAAAAAUUAUAUAUGAAAACCUAAGAAUAUACUAUUAUUUCAAUAGAGAUAAAAUUGUUAAAAUACUAAUAAAUUAAAUAUCUUAAAUUGAUAAAUUAUAUGAAUAAAUAAGAAAAGAAAAAAAAAAUAUAAAAAAACAACAUGCAAACAUGUGAAACUAAAAAGUUCAAAGGCAUGAAAUUCAAUAUGGCAAAAAUUCAAAAAAAUGGAACCACAUUUGCAUUUUUAACUUCAUACAUUUACAUUUAUUUUAUUUUAUUUUAAGUUUGUCUUAUUUAUAUGUUAUACAACUCUAUUAUUUUUAAAUUAUUAAUUUAUUGAUAAAUAAAAUAGUAAUUAUUAUUAUUAUCAAUUUAUUUUUGUUUAAGUAAUACUAGAUCCUUAAGUUUACAUGUAUAAUAUUUUUAUCAUUAAAGUAUAUAUUUUUAAUUUCAAUAAUAAUUUUUAAAAGCACUGAAACUUCAAUAGUGAAGUCUUAUUUGGCAAUUACAACAUUAUAAAAAUGAAUUCACAUCUGGCAAUUGAGGUUUUAACUUAAAUUUUUUUUAUAAAAAUGAUAACAUGGGUCCUCCAUGUCAACAAAAGGGGCAUUUUAGACAAAAGUUUAGGAAAGUGGUUAAAAUAAAAUUUUCCCCAUAAUAGGGCUAUUUUGGCCCAAAACACUUCAGAAAAAAAAAAAAAACUCCUAAAGUUUUUGUUCCUUUCUCAUUCUCAUUAAUGUCUAAUAUUGGAGCGAAAACAAAUGAUUAUUAAAACCUUAUAGUCCUAGGUACAUUCAAGCACAAGAAUCAAAAUCAUCAAAUCCAUUCCUAUUAAAAAAAAAUUGGGAUGAAAACAUAAUAUUGAUUCUCUUUCCCCAUUUUUAUGUACCAAACAUGGCCUAAACAUGUGAGAUAAAGAAAAUGAUCAAGCUUCUUUAUUAUACAUGCUUUCUUAAAAGAAAAAAAAAAAGUAGGCAUUAAUUUUAUGCAUUGGUAAUGAUCAAAUUGAACCUAAAUAAAUCAAGUUUUAGGCAAACAUCUAAAUAAACUUGACUUUAUUAGCACAAACAUGAAAAUAUUUAAUAUGGGUUUAUAUAUCCAUGUGUAACAUGAUUGAAUUCUAUUCAAAUGUGUAAAAAUAAAUAAUUAAAUAAUUACAUACCUUUUUUUCCGACUUUGCUCAUGCCAUUAAGAUUUUUCACCCACGAAAAACAACCUAUAUUACAAAAAAUGAAACAAGAUGAGCAACAUUUUUAAUGCUAAAGCAAAUGUUAAAAUUAUAAAAUUAUUAUCAUUGGACACAUACUUUUUUAAACAUAUGAGCAAGCUAAUUGAAAAUAAUAAAUAUAAAAAACAAAGAUUUUUUAUAAUGCUUAUAAAUAAGUUAAAACAACAAAUAAAAAAAAUAUUAAUAUACUAAAAAAUCCAAGUUUAUGAAAGGUAUUAAGAAUCCAGUGUAUAAGUUGAACAAUUAAAUAGGAAUUUAAAAUUAAAAUAUUAUACCUUAAAUUGGAAAUAGCUAGAUACUUGGUGUUUAUCAGAAUCUUAUCUCUACCCUAUACAGAUCAUAAACAAAUUAAAGAAAAAAAAUAAAAUUAGAAGGAAAAAUAUACUAUAAGGCAUAUUUAUUUCGAGCCCAUCGAAAUACUGAGAGCAACCACUUUACAAAAUUGUAUUCAUGUCAUGUAACUCACUGUUUUUUCUCAAAAAAAGUUUUUUUUUUUUAUGAAAAAAAAAAAAAACAUACCUAAACUGUUGAUUGUCUUGAAGUAAUUCAAAGAAUAGCCCUCGAUGUAUCAUAAAUUCACAUUAAACCACAAAAUCAAAAGAUUGUAAAGCUAAGAAUAUAUAUACCUCCAGGGGAAGGAGCCAUUGAUGUUGAAAGCUUGUUCUUCAAAAGAGCUUUAAGAUGUGAUUGUAAAGCUAAGAAUAUAAAUUCACACUAAACGACCUUUCUCUGCAUCCAAUGUUUUGAUCCCCUCUCAAACAUUAACGCUAACCACUACCUCGGUAUAUGCUUCGGAUUUUUUCCAAGAAAGAAUGAAAGAGAGAUGCUUCUGAGAGGAGAGAGAGAGGACACAUUUGUAAAGUGGACGUAAUACAACCUCUACCAUUAUGGGAAAUGACACAUUUGUAGUAUCGGGGUUUGUGGUAUUGGAACUUUCAGAUAAGGAAUUUGAAAAUUUUUAAAUAUAUAAUUAAAAAAAAAAUAGUCGAAUAAGAAAGUCCUUUCAAUAUGAUCUUUAUGAAUAAUAAAGAAAUGUUUGCAUGAAGAUCAACUCAAUAUGAUCCGUAUGUUCUAAUUAAUUUUCUUUUUCUUUUUUUUUUUUCAUAUUAAUUUUAUUAUUAAUUCUACCACCAAUCCUGAGAAGAUCAAAAUUAAUUCCUACAAGCCUAAAUCAUUGAAAGACCUUUUCUCGAGAAAAGAGAGUUCAGAGAUAUUUAUGAACCGAGAGUGGAUACAGAAGACCCUUAUUGAAUGUAGGGUUUCUUUGAAAAGAGACGAAGUCGGUCAACAUCUCUGAAAAGUCUGAAUGGAGAGGACUCUGAGUUGAGUUGAUGGGGCAGCGGACCAGUUUAUUGGGACUUUAACAGAGAUAUUUUCUCUCUAUGACGCUGCCCUUUGAGCUGUCUCCACUUGCAACUUUUCUUUUGUACCAGACCAUCCUAACAAACAAAAAUUUAAAUUUAUAAAAUAUAACUAUUUAAAAUUAAUUAAUAAUUUACAUUUUUUAAUUAAAAUUACUACUUUUAAUGUUUAAUAACAGUUUUUUAAUGAUAUAAGUAUUAUUUUUUAUUAUAAUAAAUACUAUUUUUAAUUGAGGAGUAUAUAAAAUUUGAAUUAUUUAAAAAAAUUUUCUAUUUUAUAAAUAUUUUUAUAUAAAUACAUCAAAACUUUUUUUUAUUUUUUCAAAUGAAUAUAUAUACAUAUAUAUAUAUAUUUUUUAUUUUUUCAAAUGAAUAUAUAUACAUAUAUAUAUAUAUAUAUAUAUAUAUAUAUAUAUAUAUAUAUAUAUAUAUAUAUAUAUAAUUGAUUCUUUAAAAUAUUUUAGACAUUUUAAAAUUUUAUCCAAUUCCUUUUUAUAAAAAACCAUUUUUUAACAUUGAGGUCAUUUCCAAAACUACCCUCAAAUGUUAUUUCAUAUGUAAAACCAAUUCAAUCUUAUUUUAUGUAUUAAUUUUAUUUUAUGAGUUCAAAUAAUAAUAGCAUAAUAAUAUAUAUUAAGCUACAAUACUAAAAUAUUUUAAUUAACAUUAAUAUUUUAACAUUUUGGAUUGGAAAUGCUCUAAUGAAAGAUAUUUUGCUGCCCAUUGCAUUAAAACAAGCAUUUGACAAAACAUUUUAUCUUACAUAUUGGCACAACAAAAUUUCAUUAUAAAUCUACAAAAUAAUCCAUCACAAUGAAUAUGCAAACAUUUUCACCAUGAUUUCCAACCAUGUUUCCCUAUGAUCACUACUAUUUACGAGGAAAGAUUUAAAACUUGUUUGUCAAAAUUGAUUUAUUAAUUAUAGUUUUAAUUAAUAAUUAAUCAAUUAUUAAUUUAUUUUUUUUGUUAUAAAAAUUAUACUUCAAGGAUUUUAUUACAUGUUCAUGGUUUUACACUAUUCUAAAUAAAUCAAAAUUUAGGUAAAAUAAAUUCAUUUUUCUUAAGAUUUAAAUUAAAUACAAAUGCAGCUUAAAAUUCCACCCAUUACCUCCCUUAAAAUACUAUAACUAUUCAAGUUAUACACUACAAUCAAACAUAUUACAAAAAAAAAAAAAAAUCAUUAGUCAGAUUAAUUCAAGAGGUAGUGUAAAGCAUAGUAUGUUAAUUUUGACCAAGUGUUGCAUCCAAUUCUUAUACAAAAGUCUAUAUAUUACAAGAAAUUAAAGUGAGAAAAGGAUUAAAAGUUUAAAAACAUGGGAAUGAUAAACCCCAAGUAAAUAUCUAUUUGAAACCUUGUCAAAAUUUGCCUCAAGUUGACUUUUGAAUUAACUUUACUAUUAUAAUCACUACUACAAAAAUAAUAUAUGAUGUUACUAUUUAUGGUGUCGCAUUUAAAAUAAUGACACCAUUGAACUUAAAAUUUAUAAAGGUGACACAUCAUAUAAAAAAUCUUCAAUUAGGAUAGUUAGAUGAUGCUAAUUUCAGAUUUACGGUGUCAUUUUUUGGAAGUGACACCAUAUGAAAUAAAAAGUUUUAAAUUUUAUAACUCAAUGGGCCCUUUUUAAAAAUAGUGAGUAGGAACAAUUUAUGAAAAGUCCAUUGUUUCCAUAUAUACAUUAACUAAUAUAAAAGAUCUUGUUGCUUAACCCUAACCAUCGUUUUCUUCUCUUUCUUCUCACACCCAUGGUCGGCACACCCAUAAUUGAUAUUCUUUGCUUCGUAAAAUCUCGUGUAAGUCAAAUCUCUUAUCUAUCAUCUUCAUUUUUUUUUAUUAAUGCAAAAACUUUGUAGUAUAANNNNNNNNNNNNNNNNNNNNNNNNNNNNNNNNNNNNNNNNNNNNNNNNNNNNNNNNNNNNNNNNNNNNNNNNNNNNNNNNNNNNNNNNNNNNNNNNNNNNNNNNNNNNNNNNNNNNNNNNNNNNNNNNNNNNNNNNNNNNNNNNNNNNNNNNNNNNNNNNNNNNNNNNNNNNNNNNNNNNNNNNNNNNNNNNNNNNNNNNNNNNNNNNNNNNNNNNNNNNNNNNNNNNNNNNNNNNNNNNNNNNNNNNNNNNNNNNNNNNNNNNNNNNNNNNNNNNNNNNNNNNNNNNNNNNNNNNNNNNNNNNNNNNNNNNNNNNNNNNNNNNNNNNNNNNNNNNNNNNNNNNNNNNNNNNNNNNNNNNNNNNNNNNNNNNNNNNNNNNNNNNNNNNNNNNNNNNNNNNNNNNNNNNNNNNNNNNNNNNNNNNNNNNNNNNNNNNNNNNNNNNNNNNNNNNNNNNNNNNNNNNNNNNNNNNNNNNNNNNNNNNNNNNNNNNNNNNNNNNNNNNNNNNNNNNNNNNNNNNNNNNNNNNNNNNNNNNNNNNNNNNNNNNNNNNNNNNNNNNNNNNNNNNNNNNNNNNNNNNNNNNNNNNNNNNNNNNNNNNNNNNNNNNNNNNNNNNNNNNNNNNNNNNNNNNNNNNNNNNNNNNNNNNNNNNNNNNNNNNNNNNNNNNNNNNNNNNNNNNNNNNNNNNNNNNNNNNNNNNNNNNNNNNNNNNNNNNNNNNNNNNNNNNNNNNNNNNNNNNNNNNNNNNNNNNNNNNNNNNNNNNNNNNNNNNNNNNNNNNNNNNNNNNNNNNNNNNNNNNNNNNNNNNNNNNNNNNNNNNNNNNNNNNNNNNNNNNNNNNNNNNNNNNNNNNNNNNNNNNNNNNNNNNNNNNNNNNNNNNNNNNNNNNNNNNNNNNNNNNNNNNNNNNNNNNNNNNNNNNNNNNNNNNNNNNNNNNNNNNNNNNNNNNNNNNNNNNNNNNNNNNNNNNNNNNNNNNNNNNNNNNNNNNNNNNNNNNNNNNNNNNNNNNNNNNNNNNNNNNNNNNNNNNNNNNNNNNNNNNNNNNNNNNNNNNNNNNNNNNNNNNNNNNNNNNNNNNNNNNNNNNNNNNNNNNNNNNNNNNNNNNNNNNNNNNNNNNNNNNNNNNNNNNNNNNNNNNNNNNNNNNNNNNNNNNNNNNNNNNNNNNNNNNNNNNNNNNNNNNNNNNNNNNNNNNNNNNNNNNNNNNNNNNNNNNNNNNNNNNNNNNNNNNNNNNNNNNNNNNNNNNNNNNNNNNNNNNNNNNNNNNNNNNNNNNNNNNNNNNNNNNNNNNNNNNNNNNNNNNNNNNNNNNNNNNNNNNNNNNNNNNNNNNNNNNNNNNNNNNNNNNNNNNNNNNNNNNNNNNNNNNNNNNNNNNNNNNNNNNNNNNNNNNNNNNNNNNNNNNNNNNNNNNNNNNNNNNNNNNNNNNNNNNNNNNNNNNNNNNNNNNNNNNNNNNNNNNNNNNNNNNNNNNNNNNNNNNNNNNNNNNNNNNNNNNNNNNNNNNNNNNNNNNNNNNNNNNNNNNNNNNNNNNNNNNNNNNNNNNNNNNNNNNNNNNNNNNNNNNNNNNNNNNNNNNNNNNNNNNNNNNNNNNNNNNNNNNNNNNNNNNNNNNNNNNNNNNNNNNNNNNNNNNNNNNNNNNNNNNNNNNNNNNNNNNNNNNNNNNNNNNNNNNNNNNNNNNNNNNNNNNNNNNNNNNNNNNNNNNNNNNNNNNNNNNNNNNNNNNNNNNNNNNNNNNNNNNNNNNNNNNNNNNNNNNNNNNNNNNNNNNNNNNNNNNNNNNNNNNNNNNNNNNNNNNNNNNNNNNNNNNNNNNNNNNNNNNNNNNNNNNNNNNNNNNNNNNNNNNNNNNNNNNNNNNNNNNNNNNNNNNNNNNNNNNNNNNNNNNNNNNNNNNNNNNNNNNNNNNNNNNNNNNNNNNNNNNNNNNNNNNNNNNNNNNNNNNNNNNNNNNNNNNNNNNNNNNNNNNNNNNNNNNNNNNNNNNNNNNNNNNNNNNNNNNNNNNNNNNNNNNNNNNNNNNNNNNNNNNNNNNNNNNNNNNNNNNNNNNNNNNNNNNNNNNNNNNNNNNNNNNNNNNNNNNNNNNNNNNNNNNNNNNNNNNNNNNNNNNNNNNNNNNNNNNNNNNNNNNNNNNNNNNNNNNNNNNNNNNNNNNNNNNNNNNNNNNNNNNNNNNNNNNNNNNNNNNNNNNNNNNNNNNNNNNNNNNNNNNNNNNNNNNNNNNNNNNNNNNNNNNNNNNNNNNNNNNNNNNNNNNNNNNNNNNNNNNNNNNNNNNNNNNNNNNNNNNNNNNNNNNNNNNNNNNNNNNNNNNNNNNNNNNNNNNNNNNNNNNNNNNNNNNNNNNNNNNNNNNNNNNNNNNNNNNNNNNNNNNNNNNNNNNNNNNNNNNNNNNNNNNNNNNNNNNNNNNNNNNNNNNNNNNNNNNNNNNNNNNNNNNNNNNNNNNNNNNNNNNNNNNNNNNNNNNNNNNNNNNNNNNNNNNNNNNNNNNNNNNNNNNNNNNNNNNNNNNNNNNNNNNNNNNNNNNNNNNNNNNNNNNNNNNNNNNNNNNNNNNNNNNNNNNNNNNNNNNNNNNNNNNNNNNNNNNNNNNNNNNNNNNNNNNNNNNNNNNNNNNNNNNNNNNNNNNNNNNNNNNNNNNNNNNNNNNNNNNNNNNNNNNNNNNNNNNNNNNNNNNNNNNNNNNNNNNNNNNNNNNNNNNNNNNNNNNNNNNNNNNNNNNNNNNNNNNNNNNNNNNNNNNNNNNNNNNNNNNNNNNNNNNNNNNNNNNNNNNNNNNNNNNNNNNNNNNNNNNNNNNNNNNNNNNNNNNNNNNNNNNNNNNNNNNNNNNNNNNNNNNNNNNNNNNNNNNNNNNNNNNNNNNNNNNNNNNNNNNNNNNNNNNNNNNNNNNNNNNNNNNNNNNNNNNNNNNNNNNNNNNNNNNNNNNNNNNNNNNNNNNNNNNNNNNNNNNNNNNNNNNNNNNNNNNNNNNNNNNNNNNNNNNNNNNNNNNNNNNNNNNNNNNNNNNNNNNNNNNNNNNNNNNNNNNNNNNNNNNNNNNNNNNNNNNNNNNNNNNNNNNNNNNNNNNNNNNNNNNNNNNNNNNNNNNNNNNNNNNNNNNNNNNNNNNNNNNNNNNNNNNNNNNNNNNNNNNNNNNNNNNNNNNNNNNNNNNNNNNNNNNNNNNNNNNNNNNNNNNNNNNNNNNNNNNNNNNNNNNNNNNNNNNNNNNNNNNNNNNNNNNNNNNNNNNNNNNNNNNNNNNNNNNNNNNNNNNNNNNNNNNNNNNNNNNNNNNNNNNNNNNNNNNNNNNNNNNNNNNNNNNNNNNNNNNNNNNNNNNNNNNNNNNNNNNNNNNNNNNNNNNNNNNNNNNNNNNNNNNNNNNNNNNNNNNNNNNNNNNNNNNNNNNNNNNNNNNNNNNNNNNNNNNNNNNNNNNNNNNNNNNNNNNNNNNNNNNNNNNNNNNNNNNNNNNNNNNNNNNNNNNNNNNNNNNNNNNNNNNNNNNNNNNNNNNNNNNNNNNNNNNNNNNNNNNNNNNNNNNNNNNNNNNNNNNNNNNNNNNNNNNNNNNNNNNNNNNNNNNNNNNNNNNNNNNNNNNNNNNNNNNNNNNNNNNNNNNNNNNNNNNNNNNNNNNNNNNNNNNNNNNNNNNNNNNNNNNNNNNNNNNNNNNNNNNNNNNNNNNNNNNNNNNNNNNNNNNNNNNNNNNNNNNNNNNNNNNNNNNNNNNNNNNNNNNNNNNNNNNNNNNNNNNNNNNNNNNNNNNNNNNNNNNNNNNNNNNNNNNNNNNNNNNNNNNNNNNNNNNNNNNNNNNNNNNNNNNNNNNNNNNNNNNNNNNNNNNNNNNNNNNNNNNNNNNNNNNNNNNNNNNNNNNNNNNNNNNNNNNNNNNNNNNNNNNNNNNNNNNNNNNNNNNNNNNNNNNNNNNNNNNNNNNNNNNNNNNNNNNNNNNNNNNNNNNNNNNNNNNNNNNNNNNNNNNNNNNNNNNNNNNNNNNNNNNNNNNNNNNNNNNNNNNNNNNNNNNNNNNNNNNNNNNNNNUUGAUAUACAAAUAUUAUUGGAUGAUGUAAUAUGUUACAAAUUAAUUCAUAAGCAUUAUGAAAAUAUAAGUUAAAUGUAAUAUGAUUAUUAUAUUUAUGGACAAUUUACACAGGUUAGUCUUAUUUAUUAAUAAGCAUUACAAAAAUCUACAAACUAAUCAACAAAAAACAACCAUAUCUUCCAUAAUCAUUUACAAUGAUGUGACACCAUAAAUUAAAGGUGAUACAUUUAACGUGACACCAUAACUCAAAGAUGAUGCAUUUAAUAUGACACCUUAUAUAUUUCAUACAACUCUAUAUCAAAUUAAGCAUCACUAAAAAUAUAUGGUGUCUCUUCUAAAUGUGUCACCAUUUAUUUGCUUUGGUGUUGCUUCCAAAUACAUCACCAAUUGAUACCCUCUAUGGUGUCAGUGGAUAAGGUGACGCUAUGUUGUAGUGACACCCUAUGUUUAUAGUGACUUAUUAUAAAUGUCACCAUAUAUCUUUUUCCUUGUAGUGAAUGGAAGUAUAAAUUUUAAAAGGAUUCUCUGUGAUUAUAGGAUUUAAUUCUAAUACUCUUAUACGUAGCCAAGGGUCAUUGGACUCAUGGCAGCACACAAACAUAUCCCCUUGUAUCUAUGGAAAUUGACAUGCAAAAUACAAAUAUUUCCUCUUACAUCCCUAUUGUGUUAUAGCAUGAGUAUGAAUGUGUAUUGUCAUCUUAAGCAAACUAAUGUUGUUGCCAAUUUUUCUUGGACGCUUUUUUUAAAAAUAAAAAUAAAAUAAUGUAAGGCUAUAUAGCAGAUUCAAUUGAUAUUUUUUUCAUCUUGUCCUACAUAUGAAAAUUACAAGUAGUUCAAGAAUCCUUGUUGAAUGAAAUUGACUGAAAACAAAUCUUAUUUAUGUAAAUUCUCAAAUACUUACAACAAGAAGCCCAAACCCCCACCCCAUCUUCAUGAACUUCAUAACAAAAUACUAUAAUCCUCCCUAUGAAAUAGAACUAAUUAAUUUAAUAUCAAUAAAUCCAAAUUGCUUUCAACAUCAGGCACAAGGAGGGAUUUGAAAGUUUGUGGUUUUAUACAAUAGAACCAUCUAGAGGGAGGUUGAAUAGAUAAUCUUUUAUUAUUAGCUCAAAAACUUCAAUUUUUAUUUUAUUGUAUUGAGUUAUAUAAUUGUUAAUGUUUAAACAUCUUAUAUCGUAAAACUACUUGGAGGUGAUUUAGUGUCUUUAUGUAUUGGCAAUUCUAGGUUGAAAUUUUCAUUGUAUUCGCCUAACUCAGUUACUUCAAAUCCUUCUUCAAACUCUUGUCAUUCCUAAAUUGCUCAUAAUUGAAGAUUGUUAAAGGAGAUAGUUGGUGUUCUUGAGGCAAUUGAUGAUAUUAAACAUUGAUCAACCGAGUUUUAAACUUUUAUUCUUUUGCUGAAAAUUGGAGUUGAAGUUUAAGGAUAUCAAAUUUUGUAUUUAAAUUAUUUGGAUCAAUUACUAAUUGAUCAUGCUAAAAGGUAACAAUUUAUGUUGUAACAUGAAUUUUACAAUCUCAUCUUAUCUAUUAGAAUUUGAUCAAAUCUAUAAAAUCUUUAUUUUUUCCAAACAAAUCUGAGUUAUUAGAUGGAGAUUAAAACCUUAGUAUUUAAGCCCCUUUUUUUUAGAAAAGGCUUUAACAAUUGUAAGAGCUAGGUGGCUUUCUUGAGCUUCAAAUUCUUUAUCUAUUUUGGGAUGUUUGGUUUGAUUUUUUUUUUUAUUUUUUUUUUAUGGGUUUUAAGUUAAAAAUCUUUCAAAAUGAGUUGAUUCAAUAUAGGUUUCAUUCACACUCUUGCAUUUGUCAUCUUUAGGAUAAAAUCUAAAUUUCUUCUUAUGUAGGUUCAAGAAAAGGUCGAAAGUUUGGUGUGAACUUUAAGUAUGCUUUAAAAGAAGAAAGUGGGUAACUUAAGUUUGAAGGUACUAGGCAAACAAUUCCAAAGAGGAUUGAAGGUUUGAGUUAAGUAAAUCCUUGUAUUCAGUUUUUUUUUUCAUAGUGUUUGUUUUUUUUUAUCAUCUAUAGGCCUGUGAUAGUUUACCUAUUCAAAGGUUUUGUAUAUUAAAUCUUGUUGUUAUUAUCUCUUUAUUUCUAUCUUAUAUUUUCAUUAGUCUAUGUUGUGUCUAUGAAAGUUCCAUUGAUUUGUUAUAUAUGUUGGUUGAUUGAGAAAAUGAACUAAAAAAUGAUCAUUUAACCUUUGGCAUAGUAUGAAAUAAUUUAUGAUUUAGUAUUAAUGAGAAUUAAAACUUUGUAAAUUAUCAAAACUAUGUAGAUUUGAGCUCAGAUGUUGAAGCAUCUCUUAAAGGCAGUUGAGGUGCUCUCAACACUUGACUAUCACUUGAGCAUCUUUUUAAGACUCUAGGGUAUGCUUGAAGCUCAACUUCAAAAUUUUAUUUUUUGAUUAAAAUAAACACCUACUUUUUCAAUUUUCAUAUUGUCUACUUCAUGUAUUCUUAAAUCAUCAUUAUCCUUUUUGUAACUCCCAAUAUUUAUUAGCAUCUUUCUGAGUUGAUUCUACAACAAUCUUGCAUCUUCAAAAGAAGUGGAAGUCAAUGGAACCAAAUUGUCAACCUAAUCUAAAUAGAUUAAUGUACCAUCACUUUAAUUAGGAUAUAAUUAAUCAAUUAAAAAAAUAGCAUUUAAUCAUAUAAAGAAAUAUAUGAUUUAUGUGAAAAAACCACCAAUAAAGCAUCCUAGAGACCUUACAUAUAUAAAAGUCAUAGGGUUCAUAGAUUGUCAAGUUAAAUUCACUAAAUAUGAAGAAUAAGUACAUAGAUUUAGCUAGUAAUUAUUACUCUCCCUCAAACUUAUAUUGGUAGUCACCAAUUCUCAAUUCCAUAACAUAGUUACUUCCAUGCUGCUUAGUGGAUUGCUCAUGACCUUAAGGGAAUGUGAUAGACAAUGUGAACUAAAAACAAGGCAAGCUCAUUAAGAUGUUCCUUUUUAAUGCAUAAGGUGUGCAAUAAAAUGAGAUCGAGAAUCCUAUGCUUUGAGAGAAGGAUACUACAGUAAAAAAUGGUACCCAAAUACUAUUGAAUGACAACAUAGCUCUUGUUGCUCCUUUAUUUUUAUUUAUUUUAUUUUUUUAUUUUUGUAAUUAUCUCUUUUUUUGUUUUGAUAUCAACAUUAGAAAUAUAGAAGUCCAGAAAUUUUUUUUAGUGCUUGCAUAUUGAAGGUUCAUGCUAUAAGAGUUGGAAAAACUUGAAUAGAAACUCCCUUGAAUGAUGUAUCAAAGCUCAAUGUAUCAAUGUUAACAUAAACAUUUGAGUAGAGUAGGAUAACAUUUCUAUGUCAUAUGAAGAAAUAUACUAAAAGGGAACCAUGAAUACGAUUGGAGAAAUAUAUAUUAUAAUUUAGAGGAUUAUUAUGGUCUAUUGGUCAUAUUCAAAUGGAAGUAAUAUGGUAAUCAAUAUUUCCAUGUCAUUUGAAGAAACAUAAUAAGAGGGAACCAUGCAUGGAUAUGAUUUGAGAAAUAUAUAUUAUAAUUUAGAGGAUUACUACCUUAUAUUGGUUAUAUUCAAAUGAAAGUAAUAUGGUAAUCAAUAUGUAAUCGGUAAGAAAAUAGGUUAUGAACAAGUCAUAUUAUAACUACCUCAAAAAUCAAUAAUACAAGGAUGAAAGAGGUAUACUGAGGAAGGGUCACACCUAAAGGAUCACUUUAUUAGCACAAGUAGGAAAAUGUUAACAUAGGGUUAUGCAUUUAAGUGUAACAUGAUUGAAUUUUAUUACAAUGUCUAAAAUUUAAAUAAUUGCAUACCUCUUUUCUGAUUUUGCUCAUGCCAUUAAGAUUUUUUAUCCACAAGAAACAACCUAUAUUACAAAAAAUGGAAAAAUUAUUUUAGAAUAGUAAGAAAUUUAGGGUUCUUAUAAAUAAAAAAGAAUAUAAUUUUUUAAUACUUAAAAAAAAAAUUCCAAAGGUAAGAAUCUAAAAGCCUAUUUGAUUGUGUGAUUUAAAAACAAUUUUCUGUUUUUAAAAAUAGAAAAUUGUUUUUAAAAAUUUCUAAUUAACAUUGUUGGGUUGUCAUUCUCUAAAAACAAUUUUUAAAAACAAAGUGAAAUAGAUAAUAAUUUUUAGAGAAUAAAUAUGAAUUGUUUUCACUAGUUUUUACAAAUAAAAGAAAAAUGUGGAUUCAUUUGGGUUAUGUUUUUUUAAACUUGUUUUUUAUUCUUCAACUUAAAAAUAAUUUUUAAAAACAAAUUUAAGAAAAUAUGGCCAAAAAAACCCUAAAUGUUUACAGUAAUUUUCUAAUUUUUCAUCUCAUAAGCAAUCAAACUCUAACAUCUCACUAUUAACGUAUUAGAAAUGCAUUAUCAACUUUUUAAGUGAUACAACAUUUUGCAUAUUAAAGGGAAUGUAUAAUUAUAAAAUUAUUUUCAUAGGACAAAUACCUUUUUAAACAUAUGAGCAACCUAAUUCUGAAAAAGAGAAAAAAAGAAUGAUAAAGAGCACAAUAUUUUUUUUUUGUAUAGUGCUUAAAAAUUAGUUAAAACAACAAAUAAAAAAUAUUAAUUUACUGAAAGAUCUAAGUUUUUGAAACAUAUUAAGAAUCCAUUGUGUAAGUUGAACAAUUAAACAAGAAUUCAAAAUUAUCCUAUUGUAUUUUAAACUGGAAGUAGCUAGAUACUCACGAGGUUUAUCAAAAUCUUGUCUCUAUUCUCCAUAGAUCAUAAAUAAGUUAAAGAAAAAAUAAAACCAAGAAGAAAAAAAUACUAUAAGAUAUAUUUAUUCCAAGCUCGUCGAAAUACUGAGAGCACCCAUUUACAAAAUUGUAUUCCCGUCAUGUAACAAUUGAAUCCAACUCAUGUGACUCAUUGUUUUUUUUUUCUCAAAAACAAGUUUUUUUAAUUGCAAAAGAAAAAAGACUUAUCUGUUGAUGGUCUUGAAGUAAUUCAAAGGAUAGCCCUCAGAGGUAGGUACCAAAAACCACAAUAUCAAAAGAUGGUAAAACUAAUAAUAUAUGAAGAGUCGGUACAUUAAGUGAGAUUUUUUUAUAAGAGUACUGUAGUUUUAGAAAAUAAUUCUCAAACUACCGUAGUAGGAAAAAUAAUUCCAAAUCCACCGUAAUUUUUGUCAGGUAUGAAAGAUGAAUUUUUUUUUUAAAUCGUCUCUUCAAAAUACUAUUUAUAACAUUUUAAAAAAAAAUUUUAAAUCAUCUUUCUAAAAUAUGAGAAAUUGUCUCUUGAAAAUACAACUUUGGAAAAAAAAAAGAAGAUGAUUUUCAGAAGAAAGAAAAACUAAGAAGUAAUAAAUCAUCUCUUGAAAAGACGAUUUUUCACCAACAAUUUUCACAAAAAAAAAUUCAUAAAAAAAAGAAAAAGAGAAAACUUCAAAAAUCCAUUUUUCCAUUCCCUACUAUACUUAUACAAUAAUACAAUUAUUAUAAAUAUAUAUUAUAAAAUUAAUUAAUUUUAUUUACUAAAUUUAAUAUUUUUUCUAUUAUUUUUUUCUAAAAAAAAAAUUAUUAUUAAUUUAUUAAAAAAAUAAAAAAUUGAGAAAUUGUCUCUUGAAGAGACGAUUUUCACCAAAAAAUAAAAAAAAAGAAUAAAAAUAAAAAUUCAAAAAUCAAUUUUUCCAUUCUCUGUCAUACUUAUACAAUAAUAAAAUUAUUAUAAAUAUAUAUUAUAAAAUUAAUUAAUUUAUUUACUAAAUUUAAUAUAAGAUAAAUAAUAUUUAUCUAUUAUUCUUUUUUCUUUCAUUUUGGAAAAAAAAUAUUAUCAAUUUAUGUGAAAAAUGAGUUUAAAAAAUAAAUUUAUUAUUAAUUUAUUAAAUAAUUAUUUACAAAAUAAUUAAUUUUGUUUUUUUAUUUUAAAAUUAAUUUUAUUAUAUAAAUUUUAAAUUUUAAAAUAUUAAUCUUUAAGUUAAAAUUUUACUAUAAAAAAUGAAUAAUUUCACAUAUUUUUAGGCGAAUUUUACUUAUCAUAAGGCCUCCACUACACACAUCAUUUCCCCUAAUCCAAUAAUGCACUACACCCAUAGACCAUAGGAGAAUCUUACCUAGUACACUCUAUCACUUCAUACACUAUUACACUACAAUUCCAUUACAACACUCAACCAAUUUGACAAGAGUUUGAAGUAUUGUCAUUUCUUUUUAAAUGUUUAAAUACUCCACCAAUUUGAUCGUUUCAAGUAUUGUCAUUUCUUUUAAAACAUUCAAACGUGUGUAUAUAUAUAUAUAUACACACACCCCAUAUCCUACACACUAUACCCAUUCUACCUCUUCCCAACUUCACUUACAAUAUAAAUCAAUUUCAAACUUCUUCAUCCUCAUUUUCUCUUUCUUCCCCAUUUGAAACCAAGUUUUUCACUUUCCAUCGCUUUUAUCCAAAUCUCCCAUUUCUCUUUGUGGAACUUCUGGGUAUAUCUCCUAUUUUUUCUUCAAACACUCACACUGUUUAUCUUGAAAGGUAAUAUUUUUGCUUUAUUUUUAUUUCAAAUUAUUUUGUAAUAUAUGGUUUUUAUUAUUAUAUAAGUUUUAAAAUUUAUUUGGAUUAUGCAAUAUUUGUUUGAAUAAUAUUUAUUGGAAAUUAUUAUUUUAAAUAGAUUAAAUCAUUAAAAAAUAAAUAAAAGUUAUAUUAUUUUAUUUUUAGAUAAUAUUUUUGCCCUUGUUUCAUAUUUAUUUUGUAAUGCAUGAUGGAUAUUUAUUGUUAUACAUAUAUUAAUUUAUUGGAUUUAUGUUAAUUUUUUUAGAAUAUUAUUUGUUGUAAAUUAUCAUUAUAUAAUUCAAAAAAUAAAAGUGGUAUUAGUUUAUUUAAUUAAUAUGGAAUAAUAGGAUUAUUGAUUAUGUUUAUCAAUCAAAUAAUAUGUUUUAUAAAAUAAUAAAAUUAAAAAUUAAAAAGAAAAUAAAAUAUUAGUAAAAUGAGAAUGGAAAAUAAUAAUAAUAAAAUAAUUAUAUAUCUAUGUAUUUGCAUAAAAUAUUAUUUUAAAAAUAUUAAAGUCUAAAAAAUAGAAAUACAACAUUAUCUGACAUUAUGAAUUUAUUCUAUAUAUUUUUUUAAAAUUAAUGUUAGCCUUAAAUCAUUGAAAAAAUUGUUGUAAAAAUAAAAAUAUAAAUAAAAGUAGAAGUAAAACUAAAAUGUUAUUUGAUAUAUUUAAAUGAAUAUUUAAAUGUAUAGAAUAUAAAAUAAAAAAGUAAUGGUGUAUAAUAUAAAAUAGUAACCGUGCGUAUUAAAUGUAUAUAAUAUGUAAAUUUAUAUUUAAAAUGUUAAAUAAUAGCCAUAUUGUGGAUCCCGCAUUUCGGCUCAUGCGAUUUCCACUCGAUGACAAGUUCGAUUUUUAUUCGAAAAUGAUUUUAUUUAUUAAAAAAAAAUAUGACUUGAAGUCGCUACUUAUUUUUGUUUUAUUUUUAAAAGGGUAAACAAAAUAAGAAAGAAAACCCUAAGCGUGACUCCUUAUUUUGGAAAAUGUGGUCUGUGAAAAACCGGAUCAGGCUCGGGGGUCAGGUUACUUAUUGGGAAGGUACGGUAAAGACCGUAGCACCCCUCUAAGUCCCUAAAGUCGGGUCUCUACUAAUAAAAUGAAGCUGACGUGGCAAUCAAUAGGAAAAUCAAUGGAUACUCAAAUUAAUCAUGCACAUAUGGGAAUCAAAAGCAUGCAUAGAGAAUGAACAGAACGGGAGUGGAUGCGUACUUGGAACAUGAACGAGCGAUACGUUAUCAUAAAAAUAGAGUCGGUGUACAAUAAAGAAUACAAAACAUGUCACAUGCAUUACCAAACAAUGAUUAAGCUGUUCGAGGGAGGAUUGAAAUUUAUUCGAGGAUUGGAGUCUUAGAGAUUAUUUAAAAAUCGAAUUUUUAGGAAUUAAAUAUAAGAAUGAGAAUUUUAGAAAUUAAAUUAGAAAUAAAUUGGGACUUCGAGAUUUAUUCGAGAAUUGGAGAUUUGCAAAAUAAAUUUAAGGACUGGAAUUUCUAAAAUUAAAUUUGAAAGAAAUUGGAACUUUGGAAAUUAUUUGGGAGUUUGGGAUUUUUAAGAAUUAUUUGAGAAUGAAUGAAAAUUCGAUUUGAAAGAAAUUAGAGUUUCAAAAUUUACUUGAAAGUGAAAUUUUAGAAAUUAAAUUCGGAAUUAUGGAAUUUUUGGAAAAUUAAGUCUUAAAAAUUUGAAUCUUGGAAAGUUAAAUUUAAAAUUAGAAUUUGAAAAUUAUUCCGAGAAUUGAAUUUUGAAGAAUUAAAUCUAAAAAUUGGAGCUUUGGAAAAUUAAAUUAAGAAUUUGAGUUUUGAAAAUCAACUUUAGAAAUUGAGGAUUCGAAAAAACAUUCAAAAGUGGAGACCUUGAAAAUUAGAUUUAAGAAAAGAAUUUUGAGAAAUUAAACUUUGGGAAUAAAGAUUUUGAAAGUUAAAUUCGAAAAUUAAAAAAAAAAAAUGGAAAGUUAAACCUUGAUAUCAAAGAGGAAGAAUUUGAAUAAAUGAAUAAAUAAACAAAUAUAUAUAUAUAUAUAUAUAUAUAUAUAUAAAAGAAUAAAAUGGAGGUGGUCGUUGGGGGUGCGGGCCAAGGGUGGCCCCGUGAAGUGACAUGAUCACCUCAUGAUUACCAUCUCCCUAAACUUUAAGCUCCGCCAUACCAAAUAACCGCAAUCAGUCCAACGGUCUCUGAUGAUCGAGAGUUGUUUCAUCAAGAGAGGGUAUUUCUCCAUUGAUUUUAGGAACAUGAGGAAUAGAGACCAUCUGAUUUAAUAUUUUGCCUACUUCACCAUCGAGUGCAUUCUCAUCUGUCAGAUCUAGAGAAUAUGACCAACCCUCCCCAUUGUGUGACUUUUCGUCAGGACUAGAACAUGAACUAGAAAGUCCCAUACCAUCUAUAUCUUUCUGGCCGCUCUCAUGCCUAAAUCCAUAAUUUUCCAUAGAUUGAUCGGGCCAUUCUUUUGGAAGAAUAGAUACUUGCAAAUCCUCUACCACUUCAUGUGAAAAUCUAGCUGUUUCGUCAAUAGCAAGUUGUGAUAGUUCUUCUUAAAGAGCAUGUUCGAUAAUCUCACCAUUCUCCGCAUUGCCACAUUCAUUAUCAUAACGAUCUUCCUUUAAAUGUUAUCCAUCAUAAUAACUUACAUCAUUUUGCACAAUGGUGCCACCAUACCCGCACUUAGAAAACGGAUCAUCAUCAGAAGCCGGAGACCCCACCGAACAACAAUAGGAUCUUGCCCACAUGCGAUCAUUUGCAAUGAUAUCAAUGUCGGCUGCAUUGAUCUUGACAGCAGCUAAUUCUUUCUCCUUCAUUCUCAUGGCAUUCUCGUUAGCAUCGGUCGACAUAAUGACAAUAAGCAGUUUUUGAGGUUCUUCUUGAAUUUUAUCAAGGAGAUAUCGUCCAUCCAUGCAGCUGCCCCAUUAUUUUACUUUGACCGGGACCUGAAAAACUUGCCUCACUAUUCAUUCCCGCAUNNNNNNNNNNNNNNNNNNNNNNNNNNNNNNNNNNNNNNNNNNNNNNNNNNNNNNNNNNNNNNNNNNNNNNNNNNNNNNNNNNNNNNNNNNNNNNNNNNNNCAAGCAUGACAAUAUUAAGAUCCAACUCUAGGUAUUGAUUCAAAAGUAGUGGCUUAGGAGGCAUCGAUAUUAUUUUGAGUGUAUGGAACGUUCUCAAAAGUGAACUAUGCCCACAGAUCGGAGUAACAAAACCUGUAUUAGGCAAUGCUGUCAGCUUGCAGGGAGUCUUUCAUGACUGCUUAAACUCGAAUUCGGGCAUCUUAAAGUACCACAACAUGGCCAUAGUUGAAACUCCCAAACCCGAAGAGAGUUAGUUGAGGUUCCAGAUAAAGAAAAUUGGUGCGCUUGAGCUCAUCAGGUGCAGAAGGUAUGACCUUAACCGAUUCGGUGGGUUUGGGGUUGUAAGGUUUAGUGGUUGGAAUGUUUUGGUAAGAAGAAUAGGAUGAGAGACUAGUUGAGCUAAGGGAUCAAAGUUGAGUUGUAUCUGAUGGGUGAUCCAGAUGACGGUUUUCUUCUUGUUAAGUGCAACAGAUGAAAAGUUGGAUGGGGUAUGAGGAGUAUUUGGCUUUUGGUUUAUGCUCGGUAUAGAACAAAUGUCAUGGGAAUGCGUUGAAAGGAUGCUAGGGAAUCGUACGUACGUGUACACAGCAUCUGCGUGGGAGGCUAGAGAAAUAAUGGGUGGGAAAAGAAAACGGGUCAAACGUAAGGGGUGAUUUGAAGAUAGUGAGAGAAUGAAAUAAGUGUGUAUGCUUGUGGUGGUUAUCGAAAAUGUGAGGGGUGGGGAGUGUGAUAGCUUCAAUGGGUAUGAGAAUAGGGAUAAGCCGACAGGGAGCACGAUAGAGGGUGGAUUUUGCAAAAGGUCUUGUGGGCCAUGCAAAGGUGGAAGAGAUGGGGUACAUGGUAGGUAUUGAAAAAUGGUGUGUGGUGUAGAGAGAUGAAACGGGAGGUGAGCAGUGAGUGGGAUGUAGGGGUAAAAGGGUGGCCAUGCACACAUGUGGAGUAAACCCAUCAAUAUUGCACUUCCCAAUUCAUCCCGUGGCCGAUGAAUACAACAUCCCGGUGCUACUUCUCAUACCCAUUUUGCAUUUUCUGAAUGUCAACACCUGAAUAUAGCUUUGAAUGCUGAAAAGGUGGCGACAAACACCCGAUCAUGAUAGGAUGAUGGCUCUGAAUGUCAAGCUGGGAAGGAAUGGUGGCUUUGAAGGCCCAAACCGAGAAGAUAUGGUGGCUUUGAAUGUCAAACUGCGGAGAAUGAUGGCUCUGAACGCCCGAAUGUGAGAACGACGGCUCCUUGAACGCCUGAAACUGUGAAGAGGUAGUGGCUCUGAACGUUGAACUAAAAAGAGAUGAUGGCUCUGAAUGUCGAAACUGAAGAUGCAAUGAUGAUGGCUCUGAACGCCGAAACUGAAAAUGUGACUCUUAACAUCAAAUUGAAAAUGCGAUGAUGGCUCUGAACGCCGAAACUGAGAAGCGACGAUGAUGGCUCUGAACGCCAAAACCAAAAAUGCGAUGAUGAUGGCUUAGAGUGCCGAAACUAAAAAUGCGACUCUGAACGUCAAGUUGAAAAUGUGAUGAUGAUGACUCUGAACACCAAAACUAAGAGGCGAUAAUGAUGGAUCUGAAUGCCGAAACCAAAAAUGCGAUGAUGAUGGCUCUGAACGCCGAAACUGAAAAUGCGACUCUGAACGUCAAGCUGAAAAUGUGAUGAUGAUGGCUCUGAACGCCGAAACUGAGAAGCGAUAAUGAUGGCUCCGAACGCUGAAAGAAAAAAUGAGAUGAUGAUGGCUCUGAACGCUGAAACUGAGAAGCGGUGAUGAUGGCUCUGAAUGCCAAAACGGAAAAUGAUAUAAUGACCCUGAAUGCCGAACUAUGAACAUGGCUUUGAAUGCCAAACUGCGAAUAAAUGGUGGCUUUGAACGCCAAACUAAAAAUAAUAGCCAUGAAUGCUAAGCAAAAACAACGGCUGUGAACGCCAAUGAUAACUAUGAAUGUCAAGCUGAGAAANNNNNNNNNNNNNNNNNNNNNNNNNNNNNNNNNNNNNNNNNNNNNNNNNNNNNNNNNNNNNNNNNNNNNNNNNNNNNNNNNNNNNNNNNNNNNNNNNNNNCAAAAACAACUGGCUGUGAACGCCAAUGAUAACUAUGAAUGUCAAGCUGAGAAAGACAACUUUAAACGUCGUAAUUGAGAGGACAUGGUGGCUUUGAACACCAGGCUGAAAAUGGAUGACUUUGAACAUCAUAACCGAUAAUGGAUGGUGGCUCUAAAUGCCAAACUGUAAGGAAAUGAUUAGGGGGGGGGGGGGGGGGGNNNNNNNNNNNNNNNNNNNNNNNNNNNNNNNNNNNNNNNNNNNNNNNNNNNNNNNNNNNNNNNNNNNNNNNNNNNNNNNNNNNNNNNNNNNNNNNNNNNNAGUCUCAUGACCCGCUCGAUGAAAUCACGAGGUUUGUCGGAGUGUCGCAAUAAGCCGAACUCCUCUAACUCAUAAUGCUCUGCCGAAAGAAUCUAUCGUCACCCCGAACGGAUAAUCCGAUAGUCUUAGGGAGUAGUCUGGUAAGAGACAUACCACGAUCUUGACAUAACAAUCUACUGAAUAGUCUUGGCUAGUGAGGCUAUCAAAACCCGAAUAUCGUGCUCCACUGAAAGCUCAUCUCGACGAAAAGCACAGGAAUAGUGACCAGUGAAGCAAAUGCAAUAUCUCUUGACUGAGUAAUGAAAACUAUAAUAGAUCUGUGAGAGAAUGAUCAUCUCCAUAGCUAAAGGAGGGAAAUAUGCCCCAGUAUGGCAUCAGAUAUAUCCAAUCUGUCCUAAUAACUCAAGAAUAACUCUAUGGGGACAUACAAAGGAUCUAACAUGUACUCCACUGAAAUAGUGACGCAGGCAUCCACGCGCCUGAGAUAACUCCUUCUAAGAAUCACGACUAUAUCAGAAAACGUGAAUCUGGCUGAAAGACUCAAGAGAGGCUCCAUGGAGUAUCAGGACACAAUGAAAUCGAAUCAUCAACCCGAUGUGUAUCUCAAAAUCGAGGGUGAUCAUGCGAAUCAGUGGGGGAUGUACAAAUCUCGACUGAAAUGGGGAAUACACCCCAGUGUGGCAUCAUAAAUGUGACAAGUCGGAAAGUCAGAUGAGCUCAAAUCAUCCAUCAUCGAAUUCGUGAUCCAAGUCAUCCAUGUCUAUAACUGAAUCAGACCCACAGAUCAAAGGGGCGUCUCCCAGAAGGAAAGCAUGAUGACAUCUAAGUGUCGAGAAGUGCAGGCCUAACUGGGCAAUUCCCAAGAGGCUCCAUUGAGGAAUCAUCAUAAAGAUACCGAAUAGAUCAUCGUCUCGAUGUACGUCUUGCAAAUGGGGAUAAGCGCGUAACUCCACCAAGAUCUAUAAAUCUCAUCCUGAAUGGUAAUAUGCCCCAGUAUGGCAUCAAACAUAUGAUAGGUCGGAGACCGGGCAACAUGAAAUCAUCUAUCAUCGAACAUGCGACAUCUGUGAAGAUCCAUAAAUCUCAUCUAAAAUGGAAAAUAUGCCCUCGUAUGGCAUCAGGUGCAUAAUAGGUCAAAAGAACAAGUGACAUGAAACCAUCUCUCAUCAAACAUGUGACCUCUGUGAAGAUCCGUAAAUCUCAUCUGAAACGGAAAUAUGCCCCAGUAUGGCAUCGGAUGUGUGACAGGUCAGAAGAACAAGUGACAUGAAACCAUCUCUCAUCAAACAUGUAAUCCUGGUCAUCCGAAUCCAUAACUGAAUCAUGCCCACAGAUCUAAGAUGUACCUCCCGGAUGGAGAAGCAUGAUGGCAUCUAAGUGCCGAGAAGUGCGGGCCUAGCUAGAUGGCUCUCGGCAGGCUCCACUGAGGAAUCAUGAUAAGGUAACGAUCAUGUCCACGUCUUAGUGAGCAUCUAGUAAGUGAUGAUGAUCGUGCAAGUCCAUGAGGAUCCAUAAACCUCUAAAUGAAAUGGGAUAUGCCCUAGUGUGGCAUCAGAGGUACGAUAGGUCAAAAAUCGGGUGACACCAAAUCAUCCAUCGUCAAACACAUAAUCCCGGUAAUUCGAACACAACUGAAUCGGACCUACACAUCAAAGAGGCGACUCCUAGAAGAAGGAAGCACGACGAUAUCUAAAUAUCAACCAGAUCUCAAACACUCGUCCAAGUAGAGGCUGUCAAAGAUGACAUCUGAUCCCAUGACCUCAGGGUGGUCUUAAGACAUGGGACGUAACGUAGGCCAAGGUGAUAAGGUGAUAGAAAUGAAGGAAAACUAGACUCAAAUACCCAAUGAUCAAAAACCCACGCCCUCAUAUAUGAAAUGCAACAUGUAUAAUGAAUCUCGUGAGCCAUGGACCUAAGGAUGCCUAACAUGAAUAUGAUGUCGAUAAGGAGACAAAUAAAGCAAAAUGAACUGAUAGUGAUAUGUGUAAUGAUGAUGUGAAGAGAGUAUCAAACCCGAGAUGGGUUGCUGUAAGAAAAGAAUAAGACGUGAAGUGAAAAUGAUGAAUCCAAAGCGAAAACGAGGAUGAUGAUGAAACAAAUAACACAAAGAGGAGUAGUGAUCAACUCAAAUCAGACAUGGAGUGAAGUCACAUCAACAAUGAACGUAAUGAUGGAAGGGACAAUGACCCAGAGCUCCUAAGAGAAGGUCACUCAUCUCGCUCUCAAAAUAUACAAUAAAAAUGAAUACAAAGCAUAGAGGGUCUCAGAAAGCUCACAUACGAACUCCCAUCAACAAACAUACUCAAUCAAGUCACCCUCGAACAUCAACAUACACACUCAAUGAUAGAAAAUAAUACACAUGCGUUUUGUUUUUUUUUUUUUUACAUAUAUACAAAUGUACACACCUUGAACAUGAACAAAAUAAGCCUAAAUAUGAUAUCAAUAAUGGAUAGACGCUAUCUCGAAAGCUAAGGUAACAAAAACCCUCUUUGACAAGAUAACCUUUUCAAACUAAGAAUCUCUGAACCAGUGUCCGUUGGAUAGAUAGUGGUAAUGAUAUGACUACCCUCCAUGUAAUGAACUGAGGAAGAUCACCACUCGGGGUGGAAAGAAUAUGAAGCAAAACAAGUAGUAGAUAGAAUAAAGAAGAAUAGAUGAAGAACACAACCAAUGAGAUACAAUGGAAUGCAGUGAUGCAAUGAUGAGAAGAGAUAAUGAGAAGAAUGUGCCCCUCGGUCCAAGGCUCAUGAAACUUCCAAACAAUGAAUGCAUACACCAAAAGGGCCCCUAUCCCGGUGUGAAAAUGUGAGCAAGGCGAUAAGAAAGAAAUGCUAUAAUGCUCAUGCGAGGCUCAAUGGGCUAGCAACAGACUAUAUAUCAAAAGGGAAUAACAAGGUAUAUGGCUAACUGAAAUGACGGCCACCAUCCUACGACCAUGGUGUCAAACAUAGUACCUCUUUAGCUGAUCCAUAUUGGUCGGCUUUGAGAAUCGGUUUCCAUCUAAAUCCAUCAACCAUGCAACAUCCUCUGGGGUCAACUCCCUGAUGAAGUAAGGUUCGCUCCAGUUGGGUCUGAACUUCUUUCUAGGAUCUCUGAUCAAUCCCCUGAUGAUCUUCAGAACCAAGUCACCUAUCCGUAGUGGUCAGAGCUUGACCUGCUUUUUGAAAGUGCGGGCCAUCUUCCUCUGAUAUGCACGAAUGUGGUCGGCUGCUCUCAAUCUCCUCUCAUCUUGGAGAUUGAGCUGAUCAAAUCGAGACUGAGCCCAAUCUGCCUCGAGCAUCUGUUGCUCUAAUGCUACCCUCAAUGAACCCAACUCUAUCUCGACUGGUAGCACUACCUCCAUAUUGUAUACCAAAGAGUAGGGUGUGGCUCCUGUAGAGGUGUGAAAAGAAGUCCGGUAAGCCCACAAUGCGAAAGGAAGCUUCUCAAACCAAUCCCGAGAAGUCUUGAUCAUCCUCCGCAAGAUCCUCUUAAUAUUCUUAUUCACGGUCUCUACUGCCCCGUUCGUCUGCGGCCUGUACGCAGACGACCUAUGGUGUCGGAUGCCAUAUUACCGCACUAAAGUGUCAACCUCUGCCCUGAAAUGUACCCUUCUAUCCGAAAUCAGCUCAUGAGGGACUCCACAGCAACAGAUAAUGUGUGACCUGAUGAAACUAGCCACUCCAGAUGAUGUCAAUCUCGCAUACGAAGCGGCCUCCACCCACUUGGUGAAGUAAUCGAUGGCGACCAGGAUGAACUCAUGACCACUGGAAGAUUUCGGCGAAAUCUUUCCGAUGAUGUCAAUACCCCAUACAGAAAAUGGUCAUGGUGAAGUCAGUGCAUGCAACUCCGAGGACGGCACGUGAAUGAGAUCUCCAUGUAUCUGACACUCGGGACAUCUCUGAACAAACUGGAAACAAUCUAUCUCCAUGGUCAACCAGAAAUAGCCAAUCCUCAUGAUCUUACGGGCCAACAUAUGUCCUCCCAUAUGUGGUCUGCAGACUCUUGCAUGAACCUCUCUUAUCACUCUAUUGGCAGAGGCUCGGUCCAAGUACAAUAAUAGCAUCUCGUCAGCCGAUCGUCUAUACAAUGUCUUGCCACAAAUCACCAAUCCGGUGGCUAACUGUCUCAAUGAUCUCCUAUCCUUGGCCAUGGCAGUCUCAAGAUACACGCCAAGUCUCAGAAAGUGAUAUAUGUCAUGGUACCAGGGCAAACCAUCAUCUAUCUCCGUAUCAUCAAUUAGACAACAGUACGCAAGAGCAGAUCUCGACUCGAUCAACAAUGGGCGAACGGUGACAUCAGUAGGAAUGUCAAUCAUGGAAGCUAGAGUAGCUAAGGCAUCAGCAAACUGGUUCUGCGCUCUAGGCAGAUGGGUAUAUAUCAAAUCAUCGAAUCUCCCAACCAGUAGCUUUAAAUAUGCGUGGUAAGGCCUAAGCUUCACAUUUCUAGUCUUCCAUUUGCCUUGAAUCUGUCUCAAUACUAAAUUGGAGUCACCAAACACCUCUAUCUGUCUAAUCCCGAGCUCUAGGGCCGUUUCUAAUCCCAAGAUACAAGCCUUAUAUUCAACAAUGUUGUUCGUGGCAGGAUGUCGAUCCCAGAAUGCCAAACGAACAGAUCUGGGAAUGUGAUCACCAUGAGGGGAUAUCAACAAGACGCCUAUCCCGUAUCCAGAAUGGUUGGCUGCACCAUCAAAGUACAUGCGCCAACCUGAUAAACUGGUCACAACAGCCACAUCCUCGUCCGGGAAGUCAUCAUCAAUGGCUCUGCCGUCGGAAACUGGUAAAGAAACUAGGUGAUCCACGACAAUGCUCCCUUUGAUGGACUUCUGAGUGACAUAAUGGAUGUCAAACUCGAUUGGAAGUACCAACCAUCUUAUGAGGCGACCAACUAAGGCGGGUUUGUCAAACAAAUAUCUCAGAGGAUCUAAAUGGGAUAUCAAGUGCACUAAAUACUCUAUCAUAUAAUGUCUCAGUUGGCGUGUGGCCCAAACCAAUGCCAAACAGUAACACUCAAUCAUGACAUAUCUUGUCUCAUAGUCUAGCAUCCUCUUACUCAUAUAAUAAAUAGCUCGGUCCUUGCCUGAAUCAUCAAGCUGAGCUAACAUACACCCCAAUGCUACGUCUGAAACUGAUAGGUAUAGGAGUAAGGGACGACCUGGUGUAGGAGGCGCCAAGACUGGAGGUGACAACAAGUACUCUCUGAUCCUCUCAAAUGCACGCUGACACUGAUCAUCCCAAAUAGUAGGUUGACUCUUCCUCAAGAGUCGAAAAAUGGGCUCACAGAUGUCUGUCAAUCUGGCAAGGAAUCUGCUGAUGUACUGAAGUCUACCUAGGAAGCCUCUGACCUCUCUCUCUAUCCUCGGUGCAGGCAUGUCAAGAAUAGCUUUGAUCUUAUCCGGAUCUACCUUUAUGCCUCUUUCAUUGACCAUAUAUCCAAGGAGUUUCCCAGAAGUCACUCCGAAAGUGCACUUCUUGGGAUUGAGUCUCAAUCUGAAUUGUCUAAUCCUCUCAAAGAACCUCUCCAGAGCUGUCAGGUGAUCUGGUCUAUCUUGGGAUUUCACUAUCAUGUUGCCUACAUAAACCUCGACAUCCCGAUGCAUCAUGUCAUGGAAGAGGGUGGUCACCGCUCUUUGAUAAGUGGCUCCUGCGUUCUUCAAUCCGAAUGACAUGACUCUAUAGCAAUAAGUACCCCACUCGGUAAUGAAAGACAUUUUCUCCAUGUCCUCUAAAGUCAUUAAGAUCUGAUUGCAUCCGGAAAAUCCGUCCAUAAAGGACAACAUCGAAUGACCUGCCGUACUGUCAAUUAGCAUGUCGAUGUGUGGAAGAGGAAAAUCAUCCUUAGGAUUGACCUUGCUGAGGUCUCGAAAAUCAACACAGACUUUCACCUUGCCGUCCUUUUUGGGAAUAAGGACGACAUUGGCCAACCACUCCGGGUACUCGACCAUUGAAAAAAAUCCUACACUAAGUUGCUUCUGAAUCUCCUUAUUUACCUGCAAGCUCCAACGAGGAUGCAAUCGUGUCAACUUCUGCUUAACCGGUCUGAUAUGGGGCAGAAGUGGCAAACGAUGCUGGAUGAUAGAUGGAUCAAGGCUUGGCAUAUCCUCAUAGGACCAUGCGAAAAUGUCCAAGUAUGCUAUGAGCAACUGGAUGAGGCUAUCCCUUUCAUCAACAGAUAAAUCUGAUCCGAUCCUUAACUCCCUAGGCUGAUCUGCUGUGCCGAAAUAAAAAAUCUCUAUGUCCCCUACAACAUGUGAAACUCUCUGAUCAAUGGGAUCCGAAUCGGAAAUAGAAGAUGAGUCAUCGUCUGAAUCAUGCUGUGCAAUCUCAUCAUCAAUGUCAAAAAUCUAUGAUGUGGGUGAGGAUGGUGCGGGUAAAGCAAUAACAUGAGAGACAGACAAAUACUAAAAAAUGCUCAAAUCCAUAGAUGAAGAGUCAGAAACAUCGUCAUGACGGGAGACAAAUCCCGAUAAGACAUUAAAGGAAAGAGGUGGGUCCACAAAGUUGGACGCUCUCUUAACUAAGCCAACAAGGCCAUCAAACAAGCCAUCAACAACUAUAACAUCCUCAGCAAUCUCCAGAACGGGGGCGACCUGGAUCUCCUCGACAAUCUCGAGGAUGGACACCCCGAAGAGAUCGAAUGGUGAAGCGAGCUCAAAUGGGGCUAUCUCCUUGAUUUGGCUCAAGCUCAUCGCGAUCAUCUCAUCAACAUACUCGUCAUGUGGCACGACUUUGUCUAAUAUGUUGCUGCUCUCGAAAAAUGUCCAGUAAUCAUCGAUCUCAUCCGAGAAGCAAAGCGUCAUAAGGCUCGUGCGAUCUGGGGAGGAAGGAGUGAUCAACGCAGAAGUUGAAGGGCCAGGGGCUCCGUCACUCAAUCGUAACUGUCGGACGAGGCGCUGAAGCUCGGCCUCCUGGGUGGUGCUAAGUCCUCCGAUGAUCCCAUCAGAUAGUGCAUGUGGCUCCGACGCCCUCACAAAGUAAUCUGUUAGGCUCAUGGUAUAUGGGUGAACAGGAUAAUAAAAUGGAAUAUGGGUCAGUCGAGCCCUCACCCUCUCCUUCGGCAAUCGCUCCAUAUUACGAUAAUCAGCCUCAGUGGGGAUGAACCUGAGUCCGAAUGCUACGUCGUGAUCAAGGAAGGUCAUGAACUCACUAGGCCCGUACUGACGCUGCCCUAACCCCAUGCCGGGAAGAUAAGACAUACCCCUCAUCAUGUCAAGCACUAGAUACUGUGCUGGUCGAAAGAUAUGGCUACAAAGUCUCGACAGAAAUCCUCUAUCUCCAAAGUCUGCACCUCGUCGAAGGUGAAUCCGAUCAAAAAAAGAUAGUCAUCAGUGUGACUAAUCUGAAGUACAGGCUUGGCAGAAAUGAACACAUCUCCUAUAGACUGCACCACAACGGCCUGGCCAUCAUGAAUAAACUUCACCUUCUAAUGAAGGGAAUAAGGAAUGGCCCCAACUCUAUGGAUCCAUGGUCGGCUCAGAAGUAGGUUAAAGGAUGUAGGAAUCCUCAAAACCUGAAACACGACAACAAAAGUGGUCGGACCAAUCAAUAGCUCAAUCUCCAAUGUACCCAUGACCUUCCUCUGAGUACUAUCAUAUGCGCGAAUGGUCUGAGUGGAGGGACCGAAGUCAGAUGGUGCGUAGCCGAGGGCAAUGGCAGUGGAAAGAGGACAGACGUUCAGGACCAAGCCAUUGUCCAGAAAGAUAGAUGGGACUCGGCGGCCUGAACAAUCGACAGAUAUAUAAAGUGGACUUGUGUGGUCCGAGCCCUCCGUGGCAAGUCAUCAUCGAAGAAUACAAUGCAUGUGGCUCUGCUGGCCGUCAUCAUAUGAAUCAAUCUCUUAGGAGAAGUGGUAGUAUCGACUCUGAUCUGGUUCAAGGCUCGAAUCAGAGCAUCACGGUGAGUGCUCAAGGAUGCCAACAGGCUCUAGAUGGAAAUACGAGCUUGGGUGCUCUGUAGCUGUCUCAAAAUCUCGUCAUCCUUUACUCUGACCUCCUCGAGAGCAGAUAUACCCUCAACUAACCUAGCUGCUACGGGAGGUGGCUGUCGCAACACUCUACCUCAUUGGAGAAUAUAAUGAACAUCUAGAGUCUGAGAAUCAUCAACACGCGGAGCCUGAACCUCCUCAACAUCCGGGAUCAAGAUGAAUGAAGUCUGGACGCUGUAAUGUGGAAAAAUCAAUGGCUCAACAAUGGUAGUCUGUACCGAUGCCGCCCUGGGAACUAAUUCGAAUGAAACGGGCAUCCAAGGCCCCAAAGUCGCUUUGUCCAUCUCAUAAAUACCAUUUGACACAAUAGGCUCUGGGUUUGAAUCAUCCGAACUAAGCAUAUGAACGUGAUCAUCAAGCUCAACGAAGUCCAAGAAAUGUAUGCCAUCGGCCGGUGGAGGAACGACAUGUGUAGUGUGGGCAGGUAAUGGGUUUGUGGUCACAUUCAGCUGACCCUGACCCAAGUGCACCAAACCUUGGUUGAUCAAAUCCUGAACGACAUGCCUCAAAGCAGUUCAUCGAUCGGUCUCACGUCCAGGCCCUUGAUGGUAUGCACAGUGCAAAUCCAUCCUGAACUGAGGUGGAAUAGGCUGAGGAGGUGGCCUAGGGGUGAGAGCAGUCAAUAACCCGGCCUCUGUAAGCUUCCGAAGAGCCUGGCUCAAUGGCAUGCCUAAUUGUGAGAACUACCUCUGCGUCCUCAAAGCAAAUGGAGCAGAAGCCUGCUGAGCUCUGGGUCGGGGAUAAGAAGUUAUGGGUCUCGUAGUGAACUGAGCAGCAUAGCACGAUUGUCCUAUGGCCUUGUAUGAGACAGGUGACCUCUCGAUGCCUUGGGUGGCAUAGUAAGGCAAAGCCAAAGUCUGUGGCAUAUAGGACUAAUCAUGAGUCGGACGAGGCGCCCGUGGCCUAUACUGCUGAAGUGGAUAUGAAGGAUGAGUCUCUAGAAGCUGUGGGACCGACUGAUGGCGCCUGAGAGGUCUUUGACUAGAAGAACCGAUAGCGCUCACAUCAACUGACCUCUGUCCUCCAAAGGGUUUCUUCCCCUUAACAUCACUAGGGGAAGAAUCAGUUCACAAUUAUCUCAAGAUGCCGUCCUCGACAUCGUACAAAGCCAAAACCAACGAACCAAAAUCUAUGAAGAGUACCCCAAUCACGUGUCUGGCAAUCCUGGGCUGUAGGCUCCUCAAAACCAUCUGUAUCUGAUCUCUCUCUAGAGGCCUGUCAAUGGUCUCGGCAAUCUUCCUACGCCAACGGGAGAUGAAGGAUGAAACUGACUCAUCUAUCCUCUACCUCAGAGCCUCGAGCUCUCUCCUUGAUACAUCCAUCAUAGUGUUAAACGAAAACUAUCAUAAGAACUCCUAGGCCAAGUCGUCCCAUGUCCGGCAUCGUGAAGACUCUAGGAAUGCGAACCAGCGCUGGGCUGCCCCACUUAGAGAUAGCGGGAACAAAGUGAUCAUCUAUGACUCAUCCAAUCCGUGUGCUCUCAUCACUGUGCUAUAGAGUCUGAGGUGGAUGCGAGGACAACCAAUGCCCGUAUACCUCUCAAUGUCCAGCAUCCUGAACUGAGCCGACAAACUGGCCACCAGCAUACCCUCAAGAUCAUCCCAAAUAGCUGAUCCAUCUGACACUCUCAUCUACCUCAUAUGCUGCUCGAUACGGUCCAUAUGUGCAUGAGCGUCAUUAGUGACUGUGGUCUGAACGAUUGCAGGUGGGGCAACCUCAGAAUGCCCAUGCAAUACAUAAGGUGAGGCCUGAGGCACCAUUGGAACAGGUGGUGGCAGUGGCUGUGGCAACGAAUCAUGAAGAGUCUCAUCAUGAACUACGAGUGGUCUGCUCUACUGGCUGCCAAUCUCCUGCCUGAGGCUAGCCAAAGCCUCUUGGAUAGAAGCCAUGACGGUCGUAAACUGAUCCACUGUAACAACCUAUUGAUCCAUACUCAAUCUCUCGGAAUACCGGACUAAUCUCCCCUCUACUCUAACCCAAGAAGACGUAUCCAGACUACGAACAAAGAUUUGAUCCUAAAAGCGCGAAGAAAUGAAUAAGGAUAUGGGACGAAGAAAGCACAGAAGAAAUGAUAAUCUGAAUGGAAACAAGCAAGACAUCUAAGUGAAGGUAGACUUUCUGACCAUACUCAAACUCAUACUAAUCUCUGUACACUUUCAAUUGAAGACUAAAAAAGGAGUAUCGGAAUCCAAACUGUGGCUACAGAGGCUUUGAAAGUUCUCAGAUGCACCCACAUGUAGGGAGUGAACCCUAAUCGAAUGAUCUACGGCUCAACCUACGAGGUCAAGGUGGCUCUAAAUGGAUAUGAGUGGGCUUUAAAAGAUCCCUUAAGCAGAGGCGAUCAUACUGAUUACUACUCAAAAAGUGCUAUUUGAUAGCUUAUAAUUAAUCCUUUUAAACACUUUUGAGUAGUAGUUUAGGCCUUUUAACUCAAUUGGCAUGUUAAGGACCCUUGAAAGGAAUUUUAAUCACUUUGUGUAAGUUUUGGUGUUUUUGUUAGUAAUUUGAUCAUCAAAGCAAGUCAAGACUGAGGAGAGCUAUGAGGAAUCUUGGGCAAAGCUUAGAAGUCAUUUGCCAAGAGUAAAUCCGGAUUGCAAGGAGAAAAAGUAAAGAGAAUCUGCCAAGAAGCAUAUUCUUGAUGACAGUCGUAUCAGCCACUUUUGGAGCCUCUUAUGAGGUCCAAUUGAUGCAUGCUAUAUACCAUUUCAAAGCUCAGGAAGUCAACAAUCCAAUGCUACAAACGGUGUAUAAUUCAGAGUUGAAACGAAGAAGUUGCAGCCAUUGCAAGCCAAUCACUCCGAGCUGAAGGAAGCAUUUUGCAAAGUGCUGCGAAAUCACCCUUUUGUUGCGAAGUGAUUCCGCAGCCUUUUUGUACAGUAGGGUGUAUUUCCUUCUGAAGUUGCCCGACAUAUACCGCGAGAGGGAAGUUGGGAACCUCAAGGUGGAAGCCAACUUCGCAGCCCUGCGAAGAUAGCAUGUUGUUGCGAAAUGAUUUCGCAGCCCUCUUGAGUGUCUGAGAAAUCUCGCAGACACCAUUUUCUCUUGCGAAAUGGUUCCUGGAGCCUCCCGAUAUUUGCUACCGACAUUGGGAGAUAUUUUACAUCAGAUUUUUGUUGUCUAAAUCCCAAAAUACUCCUUGUAAGCCACCAAUUACAAGAUUCCUUAGCUUUUAAGUUAGUAAAAAGAGAAAAUAUCUAUGUAAUAAUUAGUUUUAUAUUAUGUUCAUAUAUAUACCUCUCGGGAGCCUGUUCUCAGGGAGGAGAUCCUUUUGUAAAGUUUUGGGUAAGCAAGUAAAGUUUAUUUUUUUCUACUGCCUUACCUUCUCACUUUGUAUUUUUUAGUUAAUACUAAGUUAUGAACUCUCUGAGGAGUUUUCCCCAGAGAAUGAGUAACUAAACCUCUAAUUCCUUGGAGCUAAGGUUGCCGGGGAAGGUUCCAAGUGCAAGAAUGCAAAGCUUUGUGGUUUUAGCUAGUAAUGAAGAGGAAGUGAAAUCCUUUAGUGAUUUCUAUGUUUUUAGUUAACUUAAAACACCUUAGAGUCACCUGGGCCAACACUUGGUAAGGCAAGUGAUUUCCAACCAUGGAAAUGCACUAGUUUACCCCUUGCAAGCCUCUGGUAGGUGACUUCAGGGUAGGAUUUUCUAGAAUAGCCAACACUUGAUAAGCUUUUGGACUCCAAGGAGACAUCCAUUAGUUAUCUCUUGCGAGCUUUUGACGGGUAAUCCAAGGUUAAGGAUCACCUUGAAUGGUUAAGGCUUAGUGAGAGGCUUAAACCAUUGCAAGUUGCAUCAGUGAGAGAAUUAAAGUGAAAUCUAAUUGAAGGAUGAAUCUGUACAACACCAGCUAGAGAAUUGACUAUAUGUUGAAUCUCUAACGCGAGGAAAGGAACCAUCUGACCGGAGCUAGGUCUUUUGCAUAAGGAACCACCCCAGUGAACCUAACUCUCCAAGGAAUGCUUUUCUUCCUAAGUUAUUCCGAGUACUUGUUAUGUUAGUUAGUUUAAAUCUUUACCAAUCAAAGUUUGUGUUUUAUGUCUUAAGCUAACCUUGAAAUGAAACAAGACCAAUUCACUUGGAAUUGGUAUCAUUGAUAGCUUGCUAAUCCUUCCCAGUGAACGAUCCUAGAGCCGCUAUACUAUAGUAGCUUUUUCUUUGCUACCCUAGUAUAUGGUGUUAUAGGUUAUAAAUUUUGUUGAUUACUCCCUCAAUCAAGGAGCACCAGCUGGACACGAAUCAGCUGAGACACCAAUUGGGCACGAAUCACAUACCCUCCGACAGUAUGCAACCCUCUGUACGUCUCCGAAGAGACGGGGCGCUUCCAUGCAAGGUGGUCAUCACCUCCACACAUGCACUAUCUCGACAUCCCAAGGGGGUUUCCUAUGGUGAAAACCUCUCAAACUCGCAACGCUCAAUGGUCAACUAGAGUGCACAGUGAAUGGUGCGGGUGCAUCCAAAAACCCUAGGAAGCUAAAACAGAAAGAUGAAACACACUGGCCGCACAAAUAUCCAUGAGACCUAGCUCCGAGCUAUACGAGUCUUCAAUGAUCGGACUCCAAUCGACAUCAAAGUGUCGCUCUCCUCCAGAAUGCUCCCAUACAUUGAUAUAGCCUGUCGCUAAACCCUACUCCUAAUCUCUGGCUCGGUCAGAGAAUAAGCACACAGAGGGCCUCACACUUGCAAUAGUGAGGACCAGAAUGAAGGGAAUGACCGAGACCAAGAGAUUUGGAGGUAGGGGGAUAGAUGUGCGGCCCACAUAGACAGGCGACAUGCAAUCAAGCAGAGGAAGGGUAGUCAUGCGACAUGCAGUUAAGCAGUAGACAGAAUACAUCACUUAUGCACACACACAAACUAUGACGAUCAGGAUGAAUAGCGACACGAACAUCAUGCUCAAAGACAAUCAAGAUAGUAUACAAGCCAAAGAAAACAACAUGGCAAGUCAAGCGAUGUGCAAUAGUGAGUCUAUAUAUGUGAAGUAAGUAGAACAAUCAGGAAGAAUCAGAAUCGCUAUACCAAGCAAAACAAGAUGAGCAGUCUAUGAUAAUCAGCAUGUUAAUGUACUAAACUAAUAUAGCAAUGAAGCACAGAAAAAGUGACAUCCGAAACCCCAAUCAAGAUAAUUGAUAUAUCAAUGUCCCAAUACAAUAUCCAAGCAUGCAUAAAAAAACUCUCAAUGUGCAAUCAAGAGACAAGUACUCAUUGAUUGACUCAUCAAAUACCACAUUUGCUUCAUCCUAAGUUCAAGCUUGACCCUCUAAAUGAUCCCCAACGGAGUCGCCAUUUUGUGGACCCUGUAUUUCGGCUCAUGCGAUUUCCACUCAAUGGCGAGCUCGAUUUUUAUUUGAAAAUGAUUUUAUUUAUUAAAAAAAAAAUAUGACUUGGAGUCACCACUUAUUUUUGUUUUAUUUUUAAAAGGGUAAACAAAAUAAGAAAGAAAACCCUAAGUGUGACUCCUUAUUUUGGAAAAUAUGAUAUGUGAAAAACCGGAUCGGGCUCGGGGGUCAGGCUACUUAUCGAGAAGGUACAGUAAAAACCAUAGCACCCCUCUAAGUCCCUAAAGUUGGGUCUCUACUAACAAAAUGAAGUUGAUGUGGUGAUCAAUAGGAAAAUCAAUGGAUACUCAAAUCGACCAUGCACAUAUGGGAUCAAAACAUGCAUAAAGAAUGACCAGAAUGGGAGUUGAUGCGUACCUGGGCCACGAACGAGCAAUGCGCUAUCAUAAAAAUGGGGUCGGUGUACAAUAAAGAGCACAAAACAUAUCACACGCGUCACCAAAUAGAACUUAAAAUUGUUCAAGGGAAAACUAGAUUUUUUAAAUUUUAUUUGAAAAUUGGAGUCUUAGAGAUUAUUUGAAAAUUGGAGUUUUAGAGAUUAUUUGAAAAUUGGAUUUUUAGAAAUUAAAUAUAAGAAUGAGAAUUUUAGAAAUUAAAUUUGAAAAAAAUUGGAAUUUUGAAAAUUAUUUGAGAGGUUGGGGGUUUUUUUUUUUAAAAAAAAAUUAAAUUACGGAAAUUGGGACUUUAGAAAUAAAAUUUUGAAAGAAAUUAGAAUCGAAAAUUGUUUGAGAAGCAGAAACUAUGAAAAUUGAAUAAAAAAAUUGGAAAUCUUGAAAAUCAUUUUAAAGCAUAAUUUUUAGAAAUAAAUGAAUAAAAUGAUAAUAAUAAAUAAGUAACGGAAUAAAUGCGAGAAUUGGAACAUUGGAAACUGAAAAAAAUUAAGUUCGGAAAUUGAAAAAUUGGAAUUUCAAAUAACUAAAUUUGGAAAUCGAAAUUUUAAAGAAUUAUUUAAAGACGGAAUUUCAAAUAAAUGAAUAAGUGAUUAAAUAAAUUAAUGAAAUAAUAAUAAUGACGAAAUAAUAAAGAUUAGGUAAAUAAUUGCGAAAAAUAGAAUUUUAGAGAUUGAAGAUUGAAUUUAGAGAUUGAAAAUUUGAGAAAUUAUUUAGAGAUGAGAUUUUAAAUAUAUGAAUAAGUGAAUAAAUAAAUGAACAUGAUAAUAAUAAUAACGAAAAUAAUCAUUUAACAACUGAAUGUGAAUAGUGAAAUUUUUUAGAUUGGAAAUUAAAUUUGAAAAACGGAAUAUUGAAAAAUUGAACUUUAAUUAUUAGAAUUUCUAAAAUAAAUGAAUGGAAUAAUAAUAAUAAUAAUGAAAAUAAUAUUUAAAUGAAUGAAAGUGAAUAGUGGAAUUUUUUAGAUUGAAAAUUAAAUUUGAACGUCAGAUUUUUCAAGAAUUGGACUUUAGUGAUUGAAAUUUUUAAAAGAAAUAAAUAAAUAAAUAUGGAAUAACAAUAAUAAUUAACAAAAAUAAUAUUUAAACGGAUGAAAGUGAAUAGUGAAAUUUUUUAGAUUGAAAAUUAAAUUUGAAAGUUAGAUUUUUGAAGAAUUGAACUUUAAUGAUUGAAAUUUUUUAAAGAAAGAAAGAAAUAAAUAUGGAAUAAUAAUAAUAAUAAUGAAAAUAAUAUUUAAACGAAUGAACGUGAAUAGUGGAAUUUUUUAGAUUGAAAAUUAAAUUCGGAAGUCAGAUUUUUGAAGAAUUGAACUUUAAUGAUUUGAAUUUUUAAAAGAAAUAAAUAAAUAAAUAUGGAAUAAUAAUAAUAAUAACAAAAGUGAUGUUUAAACGAAUGAACGUGAAUAGUGGAAUUUUUUUAGAUUGAAAAUUAAAUUCGGAAGUCAGAUUUUUGAAAAAUUGAACUUUAAUGAUUGGAAUUUUUUUAAAGAAAUAAAUAAAUAAAUAUAGAAUAAUAAUAAUAAUUAACAAAAAUAAUAUUUAAAUGAAUGAAAGUGAAUAGUGGAAUUUUUUAGAUUGAAAAUUAAAUUUGAAAGUCAGAUUCUUGAAGAAUUGAACUUUAAUGAUUAGAAUUUUUUUAAAGAAAUAAGUAAAUAAAUAUGGAAUAAUAAUAAUGAUUAACAAAAACAAUGUUUAAAUGAAUGAACGUGAAUAGUGAAAUUUUUUUAGAUUGAAAAUUAAAUUCGAAAGUCAAAUUUUUGAAGAAUUGAACUUUAAUGAUUGGAAUUUUUUAAAGAAAUAAAUAAAUAAAUAUGGAAUAAUAAUAAUAAUUAACAAAAAUAAUAUUUAAAUGAAUGAAAGUGAAUAGUGGAAUUUUUGAGAUUGAAAAUUAAAUUUGAAAGUUAGAUUUUUAAAGAAUUGAACUUUAAUGAUUGGAAUUUUUUAAAUAAAUAAAUAAAUAAAUAAAUAAAUAUGGAAUAAUAAUAAUAAUUAACAAAAAUAAUAUUUAAAUGAAUGAAAGUGAAUAGUGAAAUUUUUGAGAUUGAAAAUUAAACUUGGACCUUGGAGAACUAGACCUAAAAUUAGAACCUUAGAAAAUUAUUUCAUGAAUGGAAACUUGGAAAACCGAUUUUUUUUUUUGUUUUUUUAAAAAGAAAACAAAGUUUAGGUAAAUUGAAUUUUCGAGAAUCAAAAUUUUAUAAAUCGAAUUUAAAAUUAAAUUUUAGAAAAUUAUUUCGAAAAUGAUAUUUUGUAUAAUUAAAUUUAAAAUCUUCAUAAAAAUCAUAUUUGUAUCAUUAGAAAAAGGACUUAAGAGGGCCAAAUACUUGGCCCAUUAGGGCCUACACUAAUCUGGCCUAAACUUAGAGGAUGGGGCUUAAGGCCCACCUGAACCAAUCUAGGCCCACAACUUAAAGCUUUGGGAGCCCACCAACAAAAUGGCUACCAUGAAGAUCAAAGGGUGCCACCUCCUCAUUUUUUAAAAGCUAGAGGGAUGGCUAAUGGGUAGCAGGUUAGCGGUGAAGAAUAGGGCCUGCAUGUCGAUGAUGGCUGUGAUGAAAUAGAGGAAUGGAGUGGGAGUUGCUGCCCAUGAACUACCGCGCGGGCAAGCGGACAAGAGCAUGGGUGCGGUGGAGGGCUUCGUCGUCUUCACCGCCAAGCGCCACUACCUUACCGCCACAAGUGCCGGAGGAGGUGAAACAGAAAGCGGAGAAGGGGACAACUGCUCCCCCGCCGACGCUAUCGUCCAUUUUAAUGACGACUCUUGGAGGCGAACCCAGCGGCACCUCUCUCGGCCAUUUUCACGAACCCUUCACGCUCUGCUCGGAGCUUCUUGAUGCUGCCUUUGAUGCGACUUUGGAGCUACGUCGGCGUGGCUGCGGGAGUGAGGAAGACUGCCACCUUAGGAUCUUUUGGAUCGAGCGGCCCAACCUUGGCUGUUAGGCGGUAGUUGUGUGGCUGUCCAUGAAGGAUGGGAACGUGGCAAUGGAGGAAAAUGGGUACAUAAAAAAAAAGGUGGGUAUGAAAGGUAGUGAAGGCAUGAAGGGUGUUUAACUUUGGAUUUGGGUCCAUGCGCGUGGAUAAAGUUGAUGGUGAGCAUAUGUUGGAGGGGGUUCUCGGUAGACAAGAGUCUAAGAUUUUCAUGGAAGUUUCAAAUGGAUCCUCAGGAACAGAGCAGGUUCCAAAGUCAUGCUAAAUUCAUUUUCUUGCUAUACCCGGUGGGUGAGGCGAACAACGAGCAUCCAUGCUAUUAAAUGAAUAUCAAAAUAAAUAAAAAAAUUUGAUACCUUACUCAUUUAUAAGAGAAAACGAAGAAGCGAAAAAGAAGAACAAAACAGAGCAAGUGAAGCGAGCUUAGGCUCAACAAGGUCCAAUCCUCAACAAGUGACGUUCAAGACCAGCAAUGGCAAAUGAGGAAGAAUAAAAAAUAAAAAUGAAAUGAAAUAAAAGAAAUCUGAAAGCAAAGGCAUCCAAUAUGGCCAUACCUGAGUUUCCCUAGUGAAGCUUUGUCUCGCUUCCUUUGACUGGUUUUUUUCUCCAGCUGCUUUCCCCCCUUCUGAAAAGUCCUUCGUUCGAGCUCACCCUUUUUUCUCUCUCCUCUCGUCUGGCUUCUCCUCCAAGCUAUUACCCACUCCCUUGUUCACCGAUCAGCAAGCAUGUCAUCUUCAACCACCACCAUGGCUAGCAAUGCUCCUUACCACCCAUCUAUGCAAUUGGUUCUCGGCAUAAGGAAGGGUUCCCCCACUCGUCUAAGGUGCUGCCCGCUCCUCCAGGUGGUGAGAAAGCAUCCUCCUAAUGCUAUAAAAUCCCUCAAAAAAACUAAUAGCCUUUAGUUUUUAAAAAGGGGUCUACACAUUUAUAAUUACUAAAUAAAUUAUUUUAAUAUACAAAUUAUUACUCUUUCUUUUUAAAUUGAUUAAUACUAAAAAAAAAUAUAUCUCUUAAUGUUGAAAUUUUUAUUGAAAUUUAAUUUUUUUUUUUAUUUUAUUCCUUUUACAAUGAAAUUUUAAAUUAAAUAUUAAUAUUUUUAAUUUUAAAAUUUAUAUAAUAAAAUUAAUUUAAAAAUUAAAAUAAAAUAUUUAGUAGUAUUUGGGCUUUGUAGUAUUGAAACUUUGGUAUAAGAAAUUUGAAAAUACUUCUAUAAUUAUUAAAAAAAAUUAGUAGAAUAAGAUAGUCCUUUCAACAUAAUUGAGACAUUAAAUUUUAAGCACUCUAAAAUUAUAAUCUUUACAAAUAAUAAAGAAGUUUUUGCAUCGAGACCAACUGAAUAUGAUUUGUAUGUUCUUAAUUUUCAUUUUCUUAUCUUUUAUCUUCCUAUACCUACAAGCCUAUUUAGAGAAAGACCUUUUAUUGAAAAAUGAGAGUUCAGAGUUAUUUCCCUUUGAAAAUAGAGUGGAUCGGAAGGUCUUUAUUAAAUAUAGGGUUUCUUCUAAAACGAGAUGAAGUAAAUUAGCAACUCUGAACAAUCUGAAGGAAAAGGAAUUUGAGUUAAGUUGAUGGGGCGUGCGACACUUUAUUAGGACUUUAAGAGAUAUUUUCUCUUUCACGCUAUCCUUUGAAAUUGAGUUGUGUCCGUUUUCAACUUAAUUUUUUGCUCUCUGUUUUUCUAAUGAAAAUAUAUCUUUUGUUGGGAGAAAAUAUUUUGUUGAAUAUAUAUAUUCAAAUGGAAGGUAAGCAAAAAAAAAUGAUAAAAAAUGGGUGUGAUGAAAUUUCAAAUUAUUGAUCAUCAUAUGUAUUUAACCUAAAUCUUAAAAAAGUGAAUGAAAUUAACUCGUUAAAUUUGUUCAAUACCACUUUUUAUAAAUAAUUUUUUAAUCAUGUAGCAUUCAAAACAAAAAACAUAUAAUUAACGAUAACAUGAAAUUAUUAAAAUAUUUAAAAUUAAAUAAUAUAAAGAAACAAUAAAAUGGUUCAUUUAUAUUGUUAGAACCAUUGUUUUAAAAACUGGUCACUCCGAUCGGUCGGAUGGUCCAUCAAUGCCCUUUCCAGUCUGAUCUAGGGAAAUGGACAGAGACAACUGACAAUCAGACCAUCGACCAUUCUUCAUGGACCAGUCAAGGUCAAAACCUAAAUGGCCUUGCCCAAAUCCAUUAAUUCCUAACCCGUUUGCUUGUUCCCAAGGUUAACUGACAUACCAUCGACCAUUCUUCAUGGACCGGUCAAGGUCAAAACCUAAAUGGGCUUUGCCCAAAUCCAUUCAUUCCCAACCUAUGUGCUUGUUCCCAAGGUUUGUAAGUAUAAAUACCCAUCUAUUGGCCCAAAUUCAUUAUUUCAAGCCCAUUUGCUUGUUCUCAAGUUCUACAGGUAUAAAUACCCUAUAAGUGGUUUAUAGAUUUCCAAUGUGGGAUGAGUUUUGAUAAUAAUGAAAGGAGCUUUGCAUGGUGGGGAAUUGAACCUAGGACUUAUUUUUAACAAAAUGUUAGCACACCACUAUGUUACAAAGCUAUUUGAUUAAUAAUUUGAUAAAUAUCUAUAUAUCUGUUUUUUAAUUUCUAUCAUAUAAAACAUUUAAACAAAUAUAAAUAUUUAUAUCUACUAUUAUUUUUAUAAUAAUUAUACAUAUCCUAUUUAAUAAAAUUUAAUAUAUUAAUACAUUUAUAUUUAUAUUUAUCAUUUAAUUUGACAAAUUGAACAUAAAAAAUAAAAUAUUAUUAAAAUUUUUAAUAAAAUAUAUUUUAAUUUAUUUUAAUUUUAUUAAAAUAUAAAUUAUAUAUUUAUAAUGUCAUCGAUUUGAUCGCGGUUUGACCACUGGUUCAACUAGUGAACCAUGAACUGGUAACUUUUUCGGUUCAAUAUUCGAUCCAAUUUUGAAAACAUUAGUUAAAACUUUUUUAUUUAUAGAAAAUGGUAAUAUGCUUUAAAGUUGUAGGAUGUUAAAAGCCCAAAUACAUGCCUACAUAUUUUCUUAUUUAUCUCCUAGUAUUUUUACCAAGUGAUAGAUAUAUUGGUGGCCAAGCAUUAUCAUCAUCAUUAUUUAUCUCCUAACAUCUUUAUGAAGUGAUAGGUGUAGGAAGAGUGUAAAUAAUUUUUAUUUUUAUUUUAUUUUAUUCUAUUAGUUUUAUAUUUUUUGGGAAGAGUCCUAUUGGGAAUUAUUUUUAUUUUAUUUUAUUCUAUUAGUCUUAUAUUUUUGGGAAGAGUCCUAUUGGGAUUGUGCUAGUGGAGUCCCAUUCCUUUUAUAAGUAGAAUCCUCUUCCACUUUGAGUUAUCUUUUGAUUACAAGCAGAUUCCCAUUAGGAUUGUGUUAAUGACCUAUAAAAGCAGGUCACCUUUUGCUCUCUAUAUGCCAAUACCAAUUUUUCAAAGAAUUUUUCAGAGCGUUUUUCAACCAUCUAUUUGGAUGAAUUUUUUCAAAAACCCGAACUGUAUACAUCUCACUUACAGAAUGCACCCAAGGCGACAUCUAGGUGUUGAAUCCCGGAGAUAGACCAUUGGUACCCUAGUGUACCGAAUUUGUCUUCGAGUAGGAUGAAUCUAUUUCAAGGACAGUGUUUGUCAUGCCUCAUUCGAUAAGUUUUUCUUCUUAUUAAUUAUGUUCUUUGUUUGUGUCUUUUGGGCUAGUCAUUUGUUUCCAUACCCUUAAUCCAACAAUCUUGAAAUAUAUCCAAAUGUAAGCUUCUCUAGUUCACACCCAUCCUAACACCUCUAAAAUUGAUCCCUUCAAUGGGACAUUCUUUAAGAGAUGGCAGGAAAAGGUUUUCUCUACAAUUGAUGUAGUGAACUUAGGACACAUUUUGACUGACCGAAUACCAAAAGAUAGUUCUCAUUUGUUACCAACCUGGGAAAUUGGAAAUAAACAAGUUAGGCAUGCUAUUCUAAGUACCCUUUCUAAUGAACUUUUUGAUAUUUAUUGUCAAUUUAAAGUUGUAAAAGAAAUUUGGGAUGCAAUGAAUAAAAAAUAUAGUUUGGAAGAUACAGGAACUCAAAAAUAUGCCAUAGAGAAUUUUAAAAAUUUCCAAAUGACUGAGGAUAGAGAUGUAUCAUCUCAAAUCCAUGACUACCACUUGUUGAUUAAUGACUUAGCUAUUGAAGACAUUAAAUUACCCGAACCUUUUGUAGCUGGUUAUUUAGUAGAGACUUUUCCAGAGUCUUGGAAAGACUACAAAAAUAACAUGAAACAUAAAAGGAAACAAAUGUCCCUAGAGGAUGUCAUAAUCUAUAUUAAGAUUGAGGAACAAAACCGAAAUAGGGAUAAUGCUGAGAAAGUUAAGGACUUGUCUUCUAAGGCUAAUGUAGUAGAAGAAAAACCUAAACCCAAAAACAAUAGGUCCAGGAAACAAAACUCUAGGAACAAACCCAAUGCAUCAAACAAGAUCCAAAACCCAAUUAUUAAAAAGAAAAAGAAAAAGUAAGGAUCUUGUUUGACUCUAAUAAAAUAGUUUUAACCAAGAAUGAUGCAUUUGUGGGGAAGGGCUAUUGUAAUAAGGGUUUAUUUAUGUUGAAUGUUUAUGAUAUUAUCAAUAAUAAUGCAUCUUCUUCUUUUUCUGCUUACAUAGUUGAUUCUUGUGAUAUUUGGCAUGGUAGACUAGGACAUGUGAACUUUUCAUAUAUGAAGAAAAUGGUUGAAUUGAGUUUAAUCCCUAAAUUGUCCUUAGAAAACCAUGGAAAAUGUGAAUCUUGUGUAGAAUCUAAAACCACAAAGAAAUCUUGCAAAUCAGUUGAAAGAGAAUCAAAUGUACUAAGUUUAAUACACAGUGACUUAGGAGACCUAAAAAAUACAAUGACUAGAGGUGGUAAACGAUUCUACAUAACUUUCAUAGAUGACUACUCAAGGUAUACAAGGGUAUAUCUUUUGAGAAACAAAGAUGAAGCAAGAUAUGCUUUCAUCAAGUACAAAAAUGAAGUGGAAAAUCAACUAAGUAAGAAAAUUAAAAGACUUAGAACUGAUAGGGGAAGAUAGUAUGAGUCCAACCUCUUUAAUUCUUUUUGUGAAGAUCAUGAGAUCAUUCACAAAAAUACUCCUCCUUAUUCUCUUGAGUCUAAUGGAGUAGCAGAAAGGAAAAAUAAGACCUUAAAAGAAAUUAUGAAUGCAAUGUUGGUAAGUUCAGGAGCACCCUUGAACUUAGGGGGGAAGCUAUCCUAUCUGCAUGUCAUAUUCAAAAUAGAAUACCUUAUAAGAAAACUGGAAAAACUCCUUAUGAGUUGUGGAAGGGUUAUGCACCUAAUAUAGCAUACCUGAAAGUGUGGGGGUGUUUAGCUAAAGUUCUUUUCCCUGAACCUAAAAAAUGAAAACUAGGUCUUAAAACCUUUGAUGCAAUGUUCAUUAGCUAUGCUGAGAAUAGUGCGACAUAUAAGUUUCUUGUUACUAAGUCAGAAAACAGUCUUGUAGAUGUCAAUACUAUUAUGGAAACAAAGAAUGCAGAUUUCUUUGAAAACAUCUUUCCUAUGAAACUAAAUGGUGAACAACAAGUUUAGAAAACAAGUAGAGACAAGUCUAUUGAACCUUCUGAAUUUGAACCUAGAAGGAGUAAAAGUGAUAGGAAAGAAACAAACCUUGGAGAUGGUUUCUACACCUUCCUAAUAGAUGAGGACCUUAAUCCUACAAAGAAGCUAUAACUUUUCCUAAUGCGCCAUUUUGGAAAGAGGCCAUUAACAGUGAAAUCGAAUCAAUCAUGUAUAACCAUACGGGGAGUUAGUAGAUUUACCUCCUGGUACAAAGACUAUUGGUUGUAAGUGGAUCUUUAAAAGAAAGUUAAAAUAAGAUGGGUCCAUAGAGAAGUAUAAAGCUCAUUUAGUUGCCAAAGGCUUUAAACAAAGGAAAGAUGUAGAUUACUUUGACAACUUUGCCCUUGUGAAUACAAUAGCAUCAAGUAGAGUAUUGAUCACUCUAGCUUCCAUUCAUAAUUUGGUUAUACACCAAAUGGAUGUUAAGAUUGCAUUCUUGAAUGGGGAUUUGGAAGUGGAAAUUUAUAUGGAACAACUUGAGGGUCGUGUAGUUCCAGCGAAGGAGAAAAAGGUGUGUAAGUUGGUUAAAUCACUAUAUGGGUUAAAACAAGCUCCCAAACAGUGGCACAACAAGUUUGAUCAUGUGUUAGUAACUAAUGGAUAUUCCAUUAAUGAUGCUUAUAAGUGUAUCUACAGUAAGUAUGAGGAUAACACAUGUGUAGUCAUCUGCCUUUAUGUUGAUGACAUGCUGAUCUUUGGAACUAGCCUAGAGGUUGUGUGUGAGACCAAGAAAUUCCUAGGUCCUAAGUUUGAUAUGAAAGACCUAGGAGAGGCAGAGGUGAUUUUAGGAAUUAAAAUAACUAGAACACCUAAUGAGCUUAAACUUUCUCAAGAGCACUAUGUAGAAAAGAUCCUAAGGAAGUUUGAACGCUUUGAUUGUAAACUAGUGUCAACUCCUUAUGAUCCCAGCUCACUACUGAAGAAAAAUAAAGAACAUAGUGUUGCCCAAAUAGAGCAUGCUCAGAUCAUAGGGGACCUAAUGUACUUGAUGAACUGUACUAGACCUAACAUUGCUUAUGCAAUAGGUAGAUUGAGUCGAUACACCCAAAGUCCUAAUCAGGACCAUUGGACUAUUGUUCGUAGAGUCCUUAAGUAUUUGAGAGGCACCAUUAGUGAUUUAGUGGAUUUCCAAGUGUCCUUGAAGGAUUUAGUGAUGCAAAUUAGAUCUCGGAUUCAGAUGUGAUGAAAUCCACUAGUGGAUAUGUUUUCAUAUUUGGUGGAAGUAUAGUUUCUUGGAAGUUUACCAAGCAAACUUGCAUUACUCGGUAUACUAUGGAGGUUAAGUUAAUUGCCUUAGAAAAGACAAGUUUUGAGGCUGAGUGGCUUGAAAACCUCUUAGCAGAUAUCCCUUUAUGGACGAGACAAACCUCGCCUGUGUCUAUGCGUUGUGAUAGCCAAGCUACAAUUGCUAAGGCUAAGAGUAAAAUAUUUAAUGGGAAGAAUAGGCAUAUAUGGCUAAGGCACAAUAUUGUGCGGUAGCUUCUUGAAACGAAUUUGUGAGGUCAGAGUUGAAUUUGGUCGAUCCUUUGACCAAACCACUAAAUAAGAAACUAGUGGAAGAAACAUUGAGGGGGAUGGGGCUUAUGCCUAUUACAGAAGUUAAGAGUGGUGGUAACCCAACCUAUUAGAAUGGAAAUUCCAUGAAGUAGGUUCAUAUGGGUAAUAACAAAUCACUUGUUGACUUGAGGUGCUAUAUCAACUCUAAUUGUAUGAGGGUCUAUCCCUAUGGUGUAGAUAGAGCGUAUUUUGCAUUGAUUAAGGUUGAGUGUUUACUCUUAAUGAAUACCAUAUUCCUUAUGGAUGGUAUGUUUAAAUGCAUAACAUACUUGAUGGAUUCACCUAUAUGAGAGUGGAGCCGGGGCCGCUUCCUAUGAGAACUUAGGUAGUUUCUCUAGAACUCUCAUGAAUAUCCAGGUAGGGCGCAUGGCCUAUUUGUGCCAACCCAUUUUGUACAACUCGUAGUGUAAUUGAGAAAACCAAUGUGGAUAAAAGUUCAUUGAGUUACAUCAAGAAACACUGGUUCAUAGAAAUUUAUUUUCACCCUGUUUUGUGAUUCAAUACCUAUUUGUCUUAAGACUAGUUCAUAGCCUUUGGGUACCAGUACUAAUGCAUUGGAUUUUUUUUCCUCAAAAAAUAAAUAAAUAAAUAAAUAAUCACGUUUACACUUUGUGGGGGAUUGUAGGAAAAGUGUAAAUAAUUUUUAUUUUUAUUUUAUUUUAUUCUAUUAGUCUUAUAUUUUUGGGAAGAGUCCUAUUGGGAUUGUACUAGUGGAGUCCCAUUCCUUUUAUAAGUAGAAUCCCCUUCCACUCUGAGUCAUGCUCUGAUUACAAGUAGAUUCCCAUUGGGACUAUGUUAGUGGCCUAUAAAAGCAGGUCACCCCUCGCUCUCUAUAUACCAAUACCAAUUUUUUAGAGAAUUUUUUUAGAGAGUUUUUCAAAUAUUCUUUUCAUACAUCUAUCUAGACGAAUUUUUUCAAAAACCCGAGCUGUACACAUCUCGCUUACAAAGUGCACCCAAGGCAAGAGCUGGGUGUUGAAUCCUGGAGGUAGACCACUGGUACCUUAGUGCACCGAAUUUGUCUUCGAGGAGGGUGGAUCUAUUUCAAAGACAAUGUUUGCCACACCUCAACCGACAAGGCGGCACAACGUGCACAACCAUUUUUUGAUUUUUCUUUGGGAAUUUUGCUUUGUUUAGGAACUUUGCUAAAAUGGGCACUUGACCUUGAUGAACAUUUUUCCUAGAUGGACACUCGGCCUUGGUGGGCAUUUUACCUAGAUGGGUGCUUGGCCUUGAUGGACAUUUUGCCUGGAUAGGCACUUGUUCUUGAUAGGUAUUUGCUUAGAUGGGCAUGUCACCUUGUUGGGCACUUGGCCUUGAUAGACAUAUCAUCUAGAUGGGCAUUUUGCCUUGAUGGGCACUUGGCUUUUAUGAGCAUUUUGCCUAGAUGGGUAUUUUACCUUCUUUGAUCUUUCAUAGGUUGGAACUCUAUAGGUGGUGGGGUUGUGUUUUGGGUUGUAUUUUCCAGGCACACAUGUGUAGGGGUAGGGAAAUGCUGCAUUUCCUCCUGGUUUUAGCUCUAGAUGUGCUUAUUGCCAUGCACACAUGUAAGUAUUGUUCUGCUUCUUCUUCUUGUGUUUAAGGGUAAGUUGAGUUUUUUUUCGUACUCUUACAUUUUCUCUCCAUCUUUCUUUGUCUUUAUUUUGUUGUGCAGAUGAAGUGUGGCAUCAAGGAUUUUAGUAGGCGGAAAGGUGAGCUUCACUACCACGUUGCUGAAACUGACCAACUGAGGUAAGUCAGGUACUUUUUUUGCAGCUAAAGCUUUUGGUUGGGUGCUUUCUUGGCACUUGACGAUUUGACCGAGUGCUUCUUGGAACCUAAGGCUAUGGUCGGGUGCUGUUCGGCACCUAAGACUUUUUGGUUGAGUGCUUUUUUGGCACUUAAGGCUUUGUUGGGCUCUAUGCUUGGCUGGGUACUACUUAGGCACCCUAGGCUUUGUUGGGCACUAGGCCCAACUGGAUGCCACUUAGGCACCUUAGGCUUUAUUGGGCUUUAAGCCUGGUUAGGUGCUACUUGGGCACCGUAGGCUUUGUUGAGUGCUAGGCCUAGCUAAGUGCUACUUGGGCACCCUAGGCUUUAUUGGGCUUUAAGGUUGGUCAGGUGCUACUUGGGAACCUUAGGCUUUGUUGUGCUCUAGGCCCAACUAGGUGCCACUUUGACACCUUAGGCUUUAUUGGGCUCUAAGCCUGGUUAAGUGCGACUUGGGCACCUUAGGCUUUAUUGGGCACCCUAGGCUUUAUUGGGCUCUAAGCUUGGUCGGGUGAUAUUGGGCACCUUAGGCUUUAUUGGGCUUUGGACUUAGCCAGGUGCUACUUAGGCACCUUAGGCUUUGUUGGGCUCUAGGUCUGGUCGGGUGCUACUUGGGCACCCUAGGCUUUAUUGGGCUUUAGCCUUGGCUGGGUGCUACUUGUGCACCUUUGACUUUGUUAUGCUCUGGCCCUGAUCAGGUGCUACUUGGGCACUUUAGGCUUUGUUAAGCUCUAGGCUUGGCCGGGUGCUACUUAGACACCUUAGGCUUUUAAAGUCUAAUGCUUCUUUAUACCUAAGGUUUUUUUUUUUUUUUUUUUUUUUUUUUUUUUUUUUUUUUUGCGGUCAUGCGAUGCGUAACAUAUUUGAUUUGAAAAAUACAACAGUUGACGAUAUUGCUUCCCCAUUUGGGGAUCUUUGCUUUUAGAUGGAUUAGGCCAUUUGGUAAGAGUAGGAAGUUCUUCUUUGGUAGAUCCACCAGCGCCUCUUUGUCCACUGAUAGUGUCUAGGCAGUUGCAUUGAGUCAGGCCACCAAGAUCUAGUUCUCCCUUUUGAUUCGGUUAACAAGUCUUCUCAGUUUGUCCAACUACCUUCGAUACUUGUUAGCUACGGUUCAGUUGUUUGUUGUGGCCACUCAUAAGUUGUUGGGAUGACACUCUCACCAUCAACAUAGUUAGCUGCCAAUGUAGUCACCAUGGUUGGCUUUUGUUUCAUUCCCAUAGAUGAUGCCAAUUGUUGGUGCACAAUCUUUCUAGAUGUGAUGAUUUGGUGACUAUCCGGGUCGCUAUCCAAUCUUCUAUUGUCACCUCCUCUAUUGGUGGGUGUCUUGGUUCUCUAGGAAAAUGAUAUUUUUUUUCCUUGUUCUUCUUUCUCCUUUAUAGGUUAGAGUUAGACGUUGGAGGUUGUGUGGAGUACACGAUUAGCUUGGCAGGUUUGUGUUAGGCAGUGUGUGGUCGACUAUCCCUAACGCUUCAUGUUGAUGUGACAAGAUGAUGUUUUCCUUAGAGAUUUGUUCCUCAUACAUGUCUUGUUGUUGCCUUUGGUAUUCAUGCCACAUGAUCCAUGUUGGCAGCCUAAAAACUUCUUCCCAGUGACCAAUUUUUUAGUUCUUCUAGGAUCAGUUGGAGUGGGCUCUCGGAUCACUAUAGGUUUAAAUAGAGUCGGGAUGACUUCUCGAUCGGGAGACAAUAUUCAGCCGAUACAACAUCCGGGUACCCCUUCUUGGCAAAAUUCGGCACCCUCAGGAGGCAGCUUUUAUAGCGAAAUCUGCCACCCCCGACCCGAGUAAGCAGGUAGACCCACAGGUUGGCUGGCUUCUAUGGUUUGUACCUCCAAUUAUAAUGGAAGUAUAAAUUUUAAAAAGAUUCAGUGAUUGUAGGAUUCAAUUCUAAUGCUCUUAUAGUAGCCAAGGGUCCUCGGACUCAUGGUAGCACACAGACAUGUCCUCUUCUAUCUAUGCAAAUAGUCAUGCAAAAUACAAAUAUUCCCUCAUACAUUCUUAUAGUUUUACAUGUAUAUGAAUUUAAUUAUUUUAUGUUCUGACUAGUGAGUAGAAAGUGAGUUAAGGUCUCCGACAACAAGGUCUCCAAGCAACCAUAUUUCCCCAUUUUAACCUCGCUACUGCCAUUGAUGCGGUAGUAGAGUAUAACUGGCACAUAUAGAUAUGCCAGAAGAGCAAUCGAGAGCAGAUAGCUUCAAAUUCUGAAUGUGAGGUUCAGUUGGAGACUGGUUUUAUUAGCCUUUUAGAUAUGAUUUGAACCUCUAUUUUAGACAAGAACUUGGAGCUUCUGAAUAUAUGUAGUACAACUCCUUUGGUCAUGUAUAUAUGUGCAUAUUGCGUUGAGAUAGACAACAUACAAUCACUUGGCAACACAAUAUUAAAACUUUCAGAAUAUCACAAAAUUUGAUUGAUGUCAAAGACUCAUUCUGGACAUUUAGGAUAGGAGGUUACAAUAAAGCCAUUAACUGUACACAUAAGUUCAUUUGCAAGAAUUGGGAACCAAUUUAGAAGGUCAAGUAUAUUCGCUGUCAACAAGAAUGACGCCCUCCGAUUUAAGAUCUCUACUGAGGAGGAACCCAGUUUGAUCAAGAUUCUAGGAUCAAACAACAGAGUCAAAGUCAAAUCAAGAGCAACGUUCCAACUUGUCAUGAAGACCAAGAAUAGUAAUUGCUUUUGAGCAAGCAGUGAAAUUAUUUGCAAUCAGACAAUCAUCUUCUUCUUCAAGAAAUGCUGUAAUGAAAUUCUUACCAGUUGUGUCUGAUUCUUCGAAACAUGAAGUUAGCAAACAGAUUGUUCAUAUAUAAUGUCAGUUGGCAUAAAUGUAGUGUUCAAUCACCAAGCCACAAAGAUGAUACAACAGAACAGUUGCAGCAGGAAAACUUGGUUGUUUAUUCAAAAUCAAGUAAAUCUCUAGGUCCCUCAUACCACGAUUGCUCCCAAUAUUUAGGUCUUGGCGUAGACAAUUCCUUUCGUGUCUAUGUGGACAGAACAAUGCUUGGUGUUCUAGUUGUUGUCUUUCACCAUGGUCUAUAGAAAAAAUGUCCAGAAAAACAACUAAUGAUCAGUAGAAGUGUAAAAGGGAAGAAAGAAAACUACUGAUAGAUUGGAUCAUGACAGAUAUUUAUUUUUCCUAAAAGAAUGUAAAUGUAUGGUUGCUCUUUGAGUACAGCUCUCUACAGCACAAAAAUAAGGCAAUCAAAUGAAACAAACCAAGAAAACAACAAUAUUAAAAGAGUUAUGAAAUAUCACCAGAUGAGAUCCAACAGUAAAUUAAGAAACUUUAUAUAAUCUUGUUUACCUUAGGGCCAUGUCUGGAGGAGUUCCAAUUGUAGGCCUAGGGCCAAUGUUGAUAGGCACAUGCCCAGAUCUUAGACACCCUCAAGAUGAACAGUAGCAGCUACUCUAGGCGCUCCUACUGCACAGGCAAAAAACAAGUUAGUCAAUGUUUCUUGGCUAUUGGCUUUGGCUUGGACCUUGGUGGUUAUGUCAAUUUUAGAUAAAUAUGUUAAUAAUCCAAUGACUAUACUCCAAGAUUGAUGAUAUAUAUGCAAUAUAUCAAUUUGGAAAUGUCGAUAUAAACAUUUAAGGAAUUUAAAUUAGUCAAUUUUCAACAAUCUAGCAUUCAAAAGUGUACAAAAUGGUUAUAACUUGAAAGUUUGAAUAUAAACUGAGGUACAAUAUUCCUAUAGGCUCAAGUCUCCCUAGAACAAGGCAUCACAUCACAUAUUUAUGUGGCCUUAUGUUUGAGGUAAGCACCUUAUCUAUUGGCGAGUUCAUCAAUAAUAAGCUUUUUGCAAGAAAUUGGAGACCUAAAAUUACUCUAAUACUUCUUUUAUUGAACAUUAAAUUUUCUUAAAAGUGUUAUCGAUUAUCAAACAUUUAUAUCAAUGGUGGAAACUAGUUUGCUACCAAAGUGAAGGUCAAAGUCCUAAUUAUCAUUUCACUAAACAAUGUAAUAUAGUAUUAUACAAUUAUUGCUUUUAAAAGAAAAUUUACAAGCUAACUAGCGAAAUUUAUGAUUAUACCUUUUUCCGACUUCACUCACGCCAUUGAGCUUUAUAAUUUGAUGAAACAAGCCUAAAUCAAAAUUAUACAAAAAAAAAUAAAGAAUUGGAGAAAACAAACUUGUAAGCACUAAAUUUUGUACUUUAAAAGAGGAAAUAGGAUGCCAAUUGUAGGUUUAAUUUAAAGAAACCUUAAAAAAAUAUUUUUAAAAUUAUAGGAAAACCCCCAUACCUUAGAAAAGAUUGGGGCGAACAGUCUACCUUUUGGCGAUGUUCACAUCUUGAGAGGAAUGACUUCUUUCUUAGUAGAUCUGAUGAUGGUGUUGAUCUUUGGGAAGAGAUGAUUAGAAGGCUACGUUGAAUUUUAGUGAGUGAGAGAGAAAGCAACACCCAAAACCCUAAAGCAAAAAAGGAAUUAAUAACUUAAAUAGAUUCCAUUUUUUCCUUAUGACAUGUCUACCUUAGUAAGGUUUUUAUGGCAGUGAUACCAUUUGGAUAAUUAAGUCAUUGAUUUUGAUGGAUCUUUUCCAUUUGAAUUUUUAAUAUAUAAACUUAAUCUUUUUACUUGGGGUAAUAUAUUUGGUAUUUUAGGAUUUCCUUUUUAAUAAUAUGCUUUUAGUAGAUGGUUUAACUAUGUCCUAGUGUAAUAAGUAGUCUUGCAUUACAUUAUCUACUAUGGAGUAGGAGUGUGUUGCUUGUUCAAGGGAUGUAUGGGAAGUUGUUUAUUUGAUGAUAUACUUUCAACACUUAGAGUCACGACUUGAGCUAAUAAGUUUAUCAAGAUCUAAGCAUUGAUGGUGUUGCUACUCUAUUGUAUAGCAAGGAUCCAAUUAGUCACAUUGUAGGACAAAACACUUAUAGACAAUUGAUUCUACUACAUUCAAGAUAUUGUUGCUUAAGGGGAGGUAGAGUCAAAACAAGUAGACAAUUGAUACAACUACACACACAACAUAGAGACAAAACACAUGAAUAAUACUAUGGUUGAAUAAAUUAAUUGGAUGACAUCAAGCUAACAUUGAUCUAGUAUAAUUAUUUGGAGCCUAAAUGAGGGUAUGAUGAGAUGAUAAUUAUUUUGUCAUCAACAUAGUGAACAACAUAAAUUAAAAUCUUGAAAUGUCACCUUAGCCAACCUAGUAGAAAUGAUUCAUCAAAAUAUUUGAAUGUGAGAUCUUAAAUUGGUGUUUGACAAAUAAAUAUGGUAAUAAACAUAUAUUAAGUAUAUAUGAAGUGACCAAGCUGAGAUUUGUAUCAUGUUAUUAUAGGGAAUCCCGAAUCUCUUUGUUCCUUAUCCUAUGAUUAGGCUAGGUACAUGCGAAUCUUUCUAAGUUUUUCUAAAUCGUAUGAACAAUGGAAAAAUUGUGUUUUAAAAUAAUAACAAGAUUUAGAAUUUGCAUUAGAAAACAUUACCUUAGAUUUGGAUGUUCCCAAAUCUAAUUCACGUAGUAAAGGAGAAGAUUGAAGUUUUCAGAGGUCUUGAACACCCAAGAUCUUCCACCAGAUGACUUUUCCUUGAUUUUAGAUCUUAAUUGGUGAAGAGGAAGGAAGACUAAAAAGGCUAUGGUUCUCUCUCUCUUUGAAUAGUGAAAAAUGGCUCACUUCAAAAAAGUAAUGAAAACCUUAUUAUUUAAGGGGUAUUUAUUGGGUUCCCUAAUUGGGUGUAAGUGACUUAAGCGUACUAAAGGUUUGAAUCAUUUAAUUUAGCUCAAAAUGAGUCUUAAUUGAUUAAUUAACCUAACAUAGUUAUCUAAUUAAUUAAUUAGCUAAAUUUGGAGACUUUGUUCACUUACCCCUAUGCAACCUUGCAUAAUUACCAAAACACCCUUAUACGUAAAAGUGAACCAAGAGUUGUGUCAUCAAGGUAUAUGAGCUUAGGUGGAGACCAUUGAGACUUAUAGGACAGUACUAGCUACCCCAAAAUCUAAUUUUGAAGUUGAUUUAACAUUUCACUAUAGAGAAUCAAUUGCACUAUAAUACCUUAUGUAAAUAACAAUGAGAUGCUAAGUGGUCGAGCCCAUGACUUAUUAUCCAUUGCAUUCAGUCUCCCUAUGAACUGGUGUUUGUAGUCUAAUAAGGUGAAAACUAUCAACCUUUCAAGACUACCUCUACUAUCUUUGAAUUACAAAUCCUCUUAUUAUGUAUUUAAUUGAUAUAUCUUAAGUCUCCAAGAGUCUAUGUCAAGUUCCAUUUAAGAAACUACUAUGACCAUAGUUUACAUGAACAUACCUCCUUAGGAUCACUUAAGGGGACACUCUGUCUCAAUCCUCUUAGAUUUCAUGGUACUUCUGUUACAAAUACUCAUUGUCAUAGACUUGGAUCAAUAGUGAACCAAUCCAUAAGGAACAUAUCUUACGAUUUCAUUAGUAGGUCAAAGUCACUACUAACUUUAACACAAAUUCUAUAUUCUCUCAAGGUUAAGAGAUAAAACAAUGAAGCAACUUGGUGAAAUCAUGACUAUUUAAUAGCUUUAUGUCAUGAUUCACCAUAAGUCUUGUCUAAUGUGUAACCAUAUGCACUAGUAUACUCACCAUGGAAAACCCAUCCUGAUAACCAAGACCAACCAUUCCUCUAAAUAUGAAGUAGCAUACUAUAACCUCUAAUGGGUUACCUAGGCCUAUGAAUCGGUUGUGAACAAGUCAUUUACUUACAAUGAAUCCAUUUCUUAAAUUUUUUUUGCAACUCUUAAUGCACUCAAGUCCUGUACAAUACAAGAUAUAUAUAUUAAAAUGCUUACAAGGUAUAAUGUAUAGGAUUAGGAUAAAUAAAAGUGAACUAAAAGUUUAUUAAUAAAUAAUAAAAUUUUAAAUUUAUUACAUCGUGUCAUGCUUUUAUGAAACCUUUAAAAUACUAAGAGCAACCUUUCAUAAUCAUGAAUUAAACUUUAGUUUCAACUUCUAUCAAAGGCUAAAUGAGAAAAGCUAUCAUAGAGGAGGCCUCAGCCAAUGGGUAAGAUGCACUGUUAUACCAAACAAUAAGUGGAAAAUACAAUUUUAUUAAUACUUGAGAAAAAAAAAAAGAAAGAAAUAAAAGGAAGAUUUUACACUCAAACCAAGCAUUUAUUUAUAAUGAAGUGCAGUCUCCGUACGCACAUGUGGACUUAUUGGAAAAUCAUACAAAUUAUUGAAGGACGACCUUAGCUAGGCUAACAGUCUCCUAAAUAGGCUAUCUUUUAUAUAUCUUUGCAUUCAUCCAUCUCCUCAUUGUCUUUGAUUUUAGAUGGUGAGGAUGUGAAAGUAACAGGAAGCAGUGGACAAUUGUUCACAGUGAGGCUUAGCACAUCAGCUCUCGAAUAAUGUCCUACCACAUCGAACUGGAACUUUGCUUUAGGAAUCUCUCCACGAACAUCUACAUAUCAAGUGAUCACAAAAAUAUUUCAUCGGUCCAUGAUAAAUAUCAUAGAAUAUCAAGUCUUCGAUAAAACUAAGUUUGCAGUCCUCUUAAACCUAAAGAAUCAACUCAUUUGCCUUAUCUGCAUACUGAAAUAUUUGGAUAUAUAAUUGGAGAAGUUAGGGCCAUACCAAGAUCAGCUGUGAAGAGGCCUUCUCCUUCAUAAUUCGGUCCUGCUAGAAUUUCGCCAUGGGGCGAAAUGAUGACACUACCUCCAGCCCAAACAAUAGAAUCUGGAGUGACAUCUUCUUCUGUAGGACUGUAAAGAUACUCAGGUGGAGGUGGGUAAUCUUUCCUCCGACAGAACUGGAUGGGUGAAAGAACAUAGCAUCCACCCUCAAUAGCGACGUGUCUCAUUGUAGCUACCCAUGUAUCCCCGGAAUCGGCAGUAGGAGCACAAUAUAUCUCAAUACCUAUAGAGAUGUACAUUCGUAUUUUGUGAUCAAUCAAUCCCAUAUCAAAGCCAUAAUGUAUUUCAAGCCUAUUUAUAGGCUAAAACCCUAACAACUUAAAAAAGAGUACUGAAGUAUUUCAAGCCAAACCAUAUUAGUUAGUGAAGAAAAAGACAUACCUUUGCCAUACAUUGAUGUCCUGAAAAGCGGCAUUCUAUUUUCCCAACAAAUGACCGAACCAAGUUUUCCAUAUGGAGUAUCAUAAACUGGAGUAGUCGAGCAAUCUCCGAAACCCCAGAACAGCCGCUCCCAAUAUGUUGGCAUGAGUUUCCUAUGUUUUCCAAGGUAAUUACCUUCAGGAUCAAAGAAGAGAACAGUGCAAUACAAUGUGUAUCCAUCUCUCUCAACAACACCUGUCACUAAGUAGACUUUGUAUUUCGCAGCCAUUGAUGCCAAUCUAUCCACUUCAGGUCCUGAAAAUACAUUAAUAUGAGAUCAAAGAUGAAAUAUGUAAGCUGAUGGCUCAUCACAAAGCAUAAGUAGAUUUUUUUUUUCUUGGUUCAUUCAUCAAACGUGUCUUGUUUCAAUAACUAAUUAAGUGGUUCAGUUCUUUGGCUAUUUAAGGGAGAAAGAGAGAGGUAACUGACCCGGCACAUUAAUGGCAGAAGCAUGGUACUUGCGGAAACUUUCUUUCCCUCUUGGCGACUGGUCGGCGAAAUUGUAUCCCCGGGGAUACCCACCGAUAAAUGCUUCAGGAAACACAACCAGUUGGGAUCCUAGUGCAGCUGCUUCUUUCAAAAACCUCUCAGCCUUAUCUGCUCUCAAAAUCACAUUGCAAGAAUUAAUAAUCCACGACUUAGUAAAUUAAUUGGUUGAAUGGACAGAAUGAAAAUUAACUUCAAGAGAUCCCGAAUGACUUUUUGGUUGCUGAGAAAACUCAAGGAAAAAGAGACCUAGAUGAAACUUGAAACUCUCAUAUUUUCAGCUGUUUUGUAACUAAGAAAAGAGAAACCACCUCAACCCAACUCAUUAAAAUAAUUGUAAAAGCAGUAAUUCCUUGAUUGGCAGCUGAAAAUAUGAUCAGGGUUCAAUCAUCCUUUUCUUUUUUUCAGUCUCUGAGCAACCAAUUAGAUCACAUAUUCCAUUACACAAGUUGAACAAUUGAAAGAAAUGGUACGUUACCUAGAGUGGCAGGAGUAUCAUAAAAGAUACUAGAAGCUUGAACAACGGUGGCUCUAACAGUUGAAGACAUUGCAGAAAUCGUAUGCUUUUUCGUUUCCCUUUUGUUUGAGGAUUCCUUACACAACGUUCAGUAUAUAUAUUGCCCAUGAACAUGAGGUUCUUCUGCCAUUACUUGAACGAGACGAAGAGGCUGUGAAAAGUCUACCUUGGUUUUCUAUAUUCAUUGUGAGCUUUUCUCCUCAUCACAAAUUUUGAAGUUAUCCGCAGACAUUGUGGACCAGCCACAUGACUUGUACAAAUUGAAAAUGACUGUAAGAAAAUGACUCAGCCAAUUCAAGAUAUUUGUCAUUAAAAGAAUAGUCAUUAAAAGCACAAGAUAUUUGUCAUUUUUUUUUUUACAAAAACGACUGAGUCGUACAUAGUGUUAUGGUUAUAGACGCCCAAAAGAAGUCUUUUUGUGCCUUGUAAGAAAACCUUAGCCAAUUCAAGAUGACCACAGAAUCAAAAUAAGUUUUAUCGCUUUCUUUUUUUUCUACAGGUACGAUGAUUAUCUUUGAACGAAAAGAGGGAGCCGCCCACAUGCACAUAAAAAGGGAGUAAUGAGUGAUUCAAUGGCAGCUAUGGUAGAAAAAUAAAAAGGGAACUAUGCUUACCCUCACGUUGAUUCAAGCAAAUAUAUUUUUUAGGAAUUCUAAUUUUCAUAUUUCACCCCAAACACAUAAUCAAUAAAUUUAUUCUUCAAAUAUGUAUUUUAAUAACAACCAAAAUGAGAAUUCUAUAGUUAUCCCUUUUAAAAUCUUUAAUAUGACAAGUCAUCAUUUGAUCUGUUUGAUAUCCUCUCCAUAUCAUGUCUUUGAUAUCCUAACUUUGACAUUUUUUUAUUUAUAUACGCUGAAGUGAAUACACUUUCAUAUUUCUUUUUAUUCUUUUAAUAUUUUCAUAUUUAUUAACUUAGUCAUUUUUUUGAAACAUUAACAUAAAAUUAUAAUAUAUGAUCAAUAACUAAUAAGAACAAAUUAAACAUAAAUAUAAGUACGGAAUGGACAGAAAAUAAAAAAUUUAUCCUACAAAUAAUACACUAUAUAGUUUAAAAUAUUAAUUAUAAUAAUAUAUUUGAUACUUUAGGGUUUAGAUUAAAAAAUUAUGUUUUAUUUUUUAGAGGCUAGGAUAUAGGAUUUCCAUUAACCAAAGAUUUUUUGUAUGAAUCCUAAAUAAAAUGUGUAUUUAUUUUGCAAAUUCUUAUCAUAUAUAAAUAAAAUAAAAUAAAUAUAUUUUUAUCAUAUUAUUUUUAAUUUUUAUUAUUUUGUGUCAAAAUCACAGUCAAUGAUGGUGGUUUUUGUUAUGAUAUAGCUCUUAAAAGGAUGUUAUGAUGCAAUAAAUAUGAAGUUUAUUAUUUAUUUAAUGGUAUUUUGAUUUUACUUUUAUUAAUCUUUAUUUCAUGCAUUUUACCUUAUGAGUAUUCUAGCUUGACAUUUCUUGCACUAUACAUAACUUGGGUGCAUUAAAAAUUGCAUGAAAGAUCCAAGUUAUAGGUUCCUUGCAAGUAAAUGAUUUGUUCACAACCGCUUUGUGAACUUAAGCAAUCCAUUUGAUGUCGUAGUUCACUACCUCUUCAUUAGAGGAAUGAUUUAUCUUGACUACCAAGAUAGAGUUCUCAUGGUGAGUACACUAGUAUGAUGAGUUAUAAUUUAUAAUGUAAGGUUGUUGGGUAGUCAUAACUCACUAAGUUGUUAUAUUGUAUUAUCUUCUCAACCUUGAGAGGAUACUGAACUUGUGCCAAAGUCUAUAAUUGUUUGACCUAUGGGUGAGAUUCUAAAGUGAUUAUAUAUUCCUUACAGAUUGGUCACAGUAGAUAGAAGUCAGUAGUAAUAAGUAUUCUCAAUACAAACAUCACGAUAUCUCAUGGAAUUUGAGAUAGUGUUGGGUCAUAAUAAGGACAUGUGAUCAUGAAAUCUAUGGUCGCAUUAAUUCUUUAAAUGAAAUUUGAUAUAUGCUUUUGUGAGUUAGAGUAUGCUAGUUGAUCAUAUAAUAAGAGAAUAUGUGACUCAAGAAUGGUAUAGGUAAUCUUGAAAGGCAAAUAUCUUUCACCUUAUUAGAUUAUAAACACUAAUUCCUGGGGAGACUAUAUGCAAUAGAUAGCAGGUCACGAACUUAAGCACUUUGUGUCUUGUUGUAAUACACAUAGGGUAUUGAAGUGUAGUUGACUUUCUAUAGUAAGAUGUUGAGUCAAUUUUAAAAUUUGAUUAUAAGGGAGCUAGUACUAUCCUAUGGGUCUUAGCAGUCCUUGCUCAAGUUCAUAUAUCUCAAUGGCAUGGUUUAUGAGGGUUGGAUUAACUCAUGAUUCACUUAUGUGCAUAAGGCUGUUUUGGCAAGUAUGCAUGAUUACAUAGGAGUUUGUUGGGACAAAACCUUAUAAAGUAUGACAUGAUGUAAUAGAUUUAGUUUCAUUAAUAAAUUUAUUUAUUUACUAUUCUAGUUCCCUUGUAUUAUCCCAUUGGCAUUAAUUGGUUAUCAAAGUAUUUACACCCAUAUCACUUGCAUUGUACAUGACUUAGGUGUAUUUAGAGUUGACCAAAAAAUCCAAGUCAUGGGUUCUUUGCAAGGUAAUAAAUAGUUUAUAGUAGGUUCAUGGAUUUGAGCAAUUUAAUAGAGACUAUAGUGUACUACUUCCCAAUUGGAGAGAUGACUAGUCUUAGUCACCGAGAUGACUUUCCCAUGAUGAGUGCAAUAAUGUGUAUAGUUACACAUUGGACAUGACCUAUGGUGAAUCAUGACAUUAAUUGUUGGGUAGUCAUGAUUCACCAUGAUACUAGAUUGUAUAAACUCUCAACCUUGAGAAAAUAUUGAGUUUAUGCUAAAAUCAACAAGAAGCUUUUAUCUAUGGGUGAGAUCCUAAUGUGGUCAUAUAUUCCUUACAAAUUAGGUUACAGUUGAUGAAGGUUGGUGGCAACAGGUAUUCUUAAUAGAGACAACAUAAUAUCUUAUGAGAUUAAGACAACGUGUCUCUUGGGUGAUCCUAAAGACAUGUGAUCAAGAUGACUAUGACCAUAGUAAUUCCUUUAGUAGAAUUUGACAUAUGCUCUUUGUAAGCUAAAGUAUGUAAAUUGAUCAUUAAUAAGAGGAUUUGUAACUCAAGGAUUGGAGAGAUAAUUUUGAAAGGUUGCCAUCACUACCUUGUUAGAUUACAGACACCAGUUCACGGGGAGUUUACAUGCAGUAGAUAGUAGGUCAUAGACCUAAACUUUUCCUUAUUGUAAUUAUAUAGGAUAUUGGAGUGUAGUUGACUUUCUUUAGUAAGGUGUUAAGUUAACCUUAGAAUUGGAUUCAAAGCGAGCUAGCAUUUUCCUAUAGGUUCCAAUGGUCCCUGCUCAAUCUCUCAUUUAAUGGUGUCACAUUUGUUUAAGGUAUUUUAGGUUUGUAGUUAACAAGUGUGCAUUAGGGGGAAUUUAAUAAAAAUACAAGGUUGGACUAGAUAUUGUGAAUAGACUUUCUAGAUUGGCCUAAUUUAUUAAUGGAUUCCAAUAUGGCUAAUUAAUUAAUUAGGAUCUAAGUGAGUUAAAUUAGGUAACCUAAGCCCACUUUAGGCUUAAGUCACUAAAGUUCACAAGGAAGCUUAUAAAUAACUAUUUAAAGCUUAUUGGGUUUUAUGAGUAACUUAAGCUUGCCUUGGGUUUGGGUAAGUUAUCAUAACCUAAAAAAGUUCUUAAUUGAGCGCUUAGAUUAAUCAAUUAGCUUAGUCCAGAAAUACCUUUCACCAACUCUAUUGGAAACUUUGAAUUACUCCAUUUCAUGAUCUAGGAUCAAAUAGGGUGCAUGCAACUAUCUUUAGGUUUUUCUAGAUCUAAUGCACUAGAAAAAUAUGGAUAUAAAAUCCAUAAAAUGUACUAGAUUUAUAGAUUAAAACUCAUACCUAUGAUUUCAAUGUUUCUAAAUUAAAUCCAAUCCCUAAAAGAUAUCAAAGAUGUUUUAAAAGUCAUCUAUCAAACAAUUUUCCACCCAAUCUCUCCCUCCACAAAUAGACCCUAGCACAAAAAAAGGUGAAUGCUGGAAUUUUCGUCAAUUAUUGGAUCAAAACAAAAUUUAUAACCUAAUUCACUAUUCUAUAGCAGCUUGUACCCGAUCAAAAAGUGGUUUUAGUACAAACUAUUGUAGUAUAGUGGUUUUUAGGUGUCGUCCACUAGGAUGGAUUGUUCUCGGUAAUUAAGGCUUGAAUGAGAUGAUAAGAAAUUAUUGCAAUCAAGUGAAAAUGAUUUGACAAUUCAUGAUAAAAGUUCAACAUAACAAUGAUUUCAAAUUUAGAGGAAAAUGAAGGGUAAAAGAGAAGAAAAUUAAUAGAAGAUGAAAUUCUUGGAGGUAGGAUUUUCUAGAAAAAAAUUUCCACGGUGAAUAGAUGUUGAGAUCUAAUUUUCAUCAAGUUAGAUUGAAAACCUAAAUUUUCAUCUAAACCAAUUUUUGAUUUAGCUUUAGGUCUAGAUCUAAUUUCUCUUCAAAUUAGGUCAUUUAAUCCAAGAGAUCAAUUCAAAUUAUAUAUUCAAUUCAUCUUAAACUAUCUUCCAAUGAUUCACAUAAUGCAACUAUUCAAUCUCAUCAAAUCUAGCUUUAAGAAUUUGAUGAAUCUACCUAGCUUGCAUUGUAGUAAUCAUCCAAGACAAUUUGAAGAGAAAAAUCCUCAAAUUUCAAUUAAUCAAUCAAUUGGAUCAAAUUACCUUUUCAAUUCAAGCUCAUUUCUCUAAUUCACCAUAGAUUUUGCCUCUAGAUCCUCCCUCCUUUGAGAAAAAUGAGAUUUAGCCACUCAUGCUUGGAGAUUUUGCCUCACAAAACAUUUUUGGCUAGCGAGAAAAUGAAGGAAAGUGGAAAAUUCUAGAGAAAGAGAAAAUAUGGAAAAUUCUACAAUUAGAAAAUGUCUAAUUUUUUUUGAAAAUGAGUAAAUCAAGUUUCUAUUUAUAGGCCAAGGUCAAGAGGACACUUGGCAUCAUCUAAGAGGUCUUUUAAAGGCUUCUUCAUCAAGAAAUUUGGAGUUUAGUAAUAAAAUGUCCAUUUCGCAAGAGAUCCAGCACUUUCACACGAGCUCCAUCAAUUUCGCAUGAGUGUGCGAAGUGGAAAAUGCAUCAGCACCAAUUUCGCCUUCUUAGAGCAUUUCGCAUGACUGUGCGAAAUUUUCGCAUGGUCGUGCAAAAUCAGCUUCAAGAUUUCCCUUUGAGCUGUAGCCAAAAUUGCCUUCUGGUCCAUUUCAAUUUUAUACUCUGUGUUUUUGGGAUGAAUGACAUGUGAAAGUUGGAAUUUGCUAAAAAAAUAUACAUAUAUUUUUUUGAGUUAAUGUUUGUAAGCAUAAUUCUCCCAAAAACCGGUCAUGCUUCAUCAUAUUGUAUGUUUGUUUUUUUUUAUAAUGUGUGGUUAUUCAUCUUUAUAUUUGUGUAAUGGAUUGAUAUCUAUAAAUUAAGAGUAUCAAUUGAUAGGUAGAUGAAUCAAUUGAUUGGGCAUCUAAGAGUCUUAUGUGUAGAAGACUAAAAUUAUAAAUGGGGAGUUAGAAAACUUUUCAUUUAUAUGAAUAGGGUGUUACAAUUUUUGUAAUCCUAUCAUUAUGAGAUUUAAUUUGUAUAUAAAGUUUAUGAGUAAUGGAGGAAGAUGGAAAAGUAUAACCUAUGCAAUUAUAUAAAUGCAUUCAAGUUGGUAACCCACAAUUAUCCAUUAAUUUGUACAUAAUGUUUGUAAAUAAUGAAUAUAACUCCCGUGUAGUCUUUGAUGCAUGAGAAGACUAAGAGAUAUAAAUCUCUUUUAUAAGAUCAAGAUCCUAAGUCAUACUCUCAUUCUUAUGUCUUUUUGUUAUUUUACUUAUAACAACAUAUAACACACAAGUGACCCGUCUACUAUAUGAGAGUAGUGAGUUGAAGAUCUUGAGCAAAACAAUUCACAAGAUGACUCAAGCUCACUUCAAAAGUAUUAUCAAUAUCAUGGAUGAAGGUAAAAAUAUGAUCAUUAUAUUAUCAUUGCUUUAGCAUUUAUAUCUAUUAUGUUUUAUGCAUCCAAAAUUGAUUUUCCAAAAUAAUUGUUUUCACAUAAAGUUUAGUUAACAUGUACUUCUAUUUUAAAAUUUUAAAAUUUUAAAAUAAAUUUGCAGAAAUCACUUUUAAAUGUUUUUUUAUAAAAAAAAAUUUAAAAUAUGAAAGAAUCACAUAUUUUUUCAACUUUGAAAAAUAGACCUAAUAAACAUAUUUAACAUUUAUAGCAAUUAAAAAUUAAUUAAUAUUUUUUAAAAAAAAAUUAAAUAAAAGCAAUGGUGUAUCCAAAUAAUACCUUAUUCACCCAAUUUAGUUAUCAUAUGCCUUUAGUACCGAAGUGGCUGACUAAAUUUUUUCUCAAGGUAUAAUAAUGCUAAAAGAUCUUUAACCAAAACAUGGACUUCACUCUUAUUUCUUCCUACCACUUUAAUUUCACCCAACUUCACCUAUAGAAGCUCAUUCAUGUCUUAUCUUGUUUGUCUAGUUUGAACCUCAUGUUGCUCAAGUCCCAAAAGGAAUAAAAUUUCAUUCAGAAUAUAAUUAUGCACAAAAUCCUCAUUAGGGUUAGAGUUUGCUCCUUCAUUAAUUAAUUAUAAUGGUUUAGGGUCAGAAUAACAUACUUUAUUAUGUUAAAGUAUCCUAAACUUUGUUAGCAAACACAUAUGGCUGAAAGCGAAGAAUGAUCAAGAGUCCAAGUACUAACAAAGGGCACUUAUGAACCAUAGGUUGAGGAAAGUGGCUUGAGCCCAAGCUUGGGGCUUAGGUUAUUUUUUGUUUAUGCAAUACUUAAAUCCAAACUUAAAGGUGACAUUAGAAACAUAUUUCAAUCUCAUAUUUUAUCCUCUUAACUAUUGGACCUAAUUGCACUCGACAUGGAACUUGUUUAUGCAUUUUGGGAAUCACAUGCAUUUUAGUCCCAAAAUAGCUAUGCAACUUUUUUUUCCACCUAAUUAAGUUCAAAAUUAAGGGGGUGUUUGGUAAAACUUAAUACCUUUUACUAAUGACUUAAAUUGACUUUAAGUUAAAUUAUAUUUAACUUGCUAACUUAAAACUUAUUAUUUAAUUCUUACUUCAAGUAUUAAGGUUGUUUAAUAAAAUUAAUUUAAAACAUAUUUUAAAUCAUCAAAUUGAUAUAUUAUCCUCAUAAAUUAUAACUAGAGUAUAAGAGGUUGAGUGACAAUGAAGGUCGUGGAGUAGUAAAGAAAAUUGUGGAGGUAACUAGGAUAAAUGAGAAUAAAAAAGUAGAAUGAAAAUAUAAAUUUUAAAAUAAGUUAAUUGGUUUUACUUUUUCUUAAAAUUAUUUUUGAUUUUAAGUCAUACCAUUAAAUUAUUUUAAUAAACAUAAUUUACUUAAUAACUUAAAUUAAAUUAUUAAGUUGUUAAUUUACCAAACACCUACUAAUUUUCAAAUUCUAAGUUUAGCUUUGCUUUGCAGUGAAUGCAUUUAGGAUUAUCAAAGAGGUCAUCAAGGGUUUCAAACAUAUUUUAUUGCUCAACUUCUCGAAGAGGGACUUCAGAAGAGAAGAUUCCAUAAUUCUAGUUUUGUAUGCGAUUGUAUGUAUCCUACCACAUGGAGACGAUUCCUCAGCAUGCUGAUUUAUUAUUAAGUUCAUGUGAAUUACGUAUGGAAUUCCAAUUGAUGUGAACAUAAAAUUAAUUGAAUUAUGUGACAUUUUUUUUACGCAGAAUAAAACAUAUACAGUUGGAAGAUAUCUCGAGAUUCUGAUUUUAUAUCUGGCCCUCAAAAUUCUAUUUCACUGUCAGGUUGUGGACGUUCCACCCAGCUGGAGCAGAUCCCUUGGCAUGCUGAUAUGCCAACUAUUGAAAAGUCUGCACCCAUUUUCUAUAUUCAUGAGCUUUUCUCCUGUUCGAAUUAGUUUUGAAGUUAUCUACAGACAUGACUUGUACAAAUUGAAAAGUUUUAAUUAGGGCAGCAAAAGUAAUCCCUUCAAUUUUAUUAUUAUUGUUAUUAUUAUUACCUUAUAAAAAGAAUUUACCCAAUCAAAAGUGAUCGCAUAGUCAAAAUAGAUUUUAUUUUUUCUUAUCUUACAAUAAUAUAAAAAAAUAUAUAUAUACUUUCAAUCAAUGUCUCAUAUUUCUAACACGUACGCGCUCUAGAAUUUCUCGAAUUGUAGUCUAGAGUGUCAACUUUUAGUGUUUGAUCAAAAAGGCCAUAAACAAAUAUAUGAAAAAAGUAAUCAACAAGCAGAGGAUUCUUUUUGAAUAAAAAAGACCCACUUACAAGCAUGGAUUAUAAAUUGUCUUCAGUUGCGGCUGAAACUUUCUAUAUGACUUUAAAGAAAAAAGAGGUCAUAAAUAGAUAGCUGAGAACAAGUUGAGGGAUUCAAAGGCAGCUAUGGUAUAAAUAUUGUUUUAUAAAUUAAACCUUUUGUACCGCCUCUACAAAGGAACACAAAAUUGAGAGAUUCAAAGGCAGCUAUGGUAUAAAUAUUGUUUCAUAAAUUACUUUUCAAAUUUAAUUUGAUAGCAAAAAUUUAAAAUAUAAAAGUAUAAAAAAUUUGUUUCAUUCCCAAAAUUUUUGCAAAUAAAAUUUAAAGUAAUAAAUUAACACCAUGACUCUUUUCACAUCUUAUUCUCAUUUCUAUCAAAGCAAUGAUAGUAAUUGUCUUAUCUAUAAAUUUUAAAUGAUGUAAGAUCAUUGAAUUUUUAUUUUCUUUUAAACUUCUUGUUAUGUAAUUAUCAAACAUAUUUUUUUAAGACAAGAAAAAAAUUACACCGAACAAAUAGAUUUGAUACUUAGAAUAAUUGAAAACAUAAUUCGUAUUUUCCAUUUUUAAAAAUAAUAAAAGCAAAGGUGUUUCAAAACAAUACCUCAUUUGCUCAAUUAAUUAUCACAUUUCCUAAGUACAAAAGUAGGCAAGUAAAUUUUUGCUCAAGUUACAAUAGUGCUCCAAAUCCUUAUCCAAGAUUUUGAUCCUAUUUCACAAUUGUUUUUUAAAACAGUUUUUUUCUUCUCUACAACAAAAAAAAAAAAAAAACAAGAAAAUGUGUUUGAGAAUUGGAAAAUAAAGUGUUUUCAAAAAAACAUAUGUUAGUUGUUUUUAGUUUUUCUUCAUUAGCUUUUUUGAAGGUUGUUUUUAAAAAUAAUUAUACAAAUAUGAAGAAUUAUUAAAAAUAUAAUUUUAUAGACAAAAGUUAUUUUAAAAUUAUAUGCACGAGUUUUGGAAAGUCUUGCAAAAUAAGCAAAACUAUAGGAAAAAUAUGCAAAUAAAAUUUGUAUUAAAAUCAUUGGGGGCCCCCGCAUUUCGGCUCAUGCGCUUCCACUCGAUGGUGAGCUCGAUUUUUAUUUUGAAAAAUGAUUUAUUAUUUGAAAAAUGACUUGAAGUCGCCACUUAUUUUUGUUUUAUUUUUAAAGGGUAAACAAAAUAAGAAAGAAAACUCUAAAUGUGACUCCUUAUUUGGAAAAGGUGGUCUGUGAAAAACCGGAUCGGGCUCGGGGGUUAGGUUACUUAUUGGGAAGGUACGGUAAAAACCGUAGCACCCCUCUAAGUCCCCAAAAACGGGUCUUUACUAAUGAAAUGAAGCAAUCAUGACAAUUGAUAAGUAAAUCAAUGGAUACCGAAUGAAAAUCGAAACAAAAUACCCAAAUGAAUUUGAGAGACAAAGAACGUACCUGAGUGACGAGCUGAUUUAUUUCAUUGGAAACAAAGGUUAGUGAACAAACACAAAUGAUCGUGUGCAUAUCAUAGAAUAGAACAAAUCAAUCACAUAUAGCAAUCAAAUCAAUCAAUCAUAAAAUCGCAUAUGUUGGGCCCCCACUAAAACCCAUUUAUUUUUGCAUGAAUUAAUUCUGUAAAUUCCAUCACUCGGAAUUAUAGAAUUUAAUUCAUGCUUAUUUUAAAACAUUUAAAAAACAGAGGAGAUGUGAGUAUUGCUCAUCAGAAAAGAAGAUGGCAACAAAGUUUUAUUAAAAAUGGGAUUUUUGGUACCUAAAACUCUAAGGAUGAAAAUUUUGGAGUUGAGAUUAUUUAAAAAGUUAGAAUCUGAAAAAUUAUUUUUAAAAAAAGAUUUAGAAAGUUAUUUUCAAAACCAAAAGGGAGAAAUAGGAGGUGGCAUGUGGCCCAAAGGUGGCCAUGCGGAGGUGGCCAUGCAAAAACAUUUUCUUCUGGGCCAAGGGAGAGACUGCGCUAUAGGGAUCAAUGGUAUUGUUGGGCUUGUCAUAACUCUAACCAGGAUAGGAUCCCAGCCACAUAUAGCUGUAACUAGGUUGCUACAUUGAAAGAGUACCAAGAGAGGCACCCUAGCUUAACGGAGGUCAGGCCUGGUAGCCUUGCGGAGGAUAUCUCUAACCAUUGCCAGAUUUCUGAUAUGAUUCUCACUGAUGACUUCGUUGACCAACUGUUCAGCAAACUCAAUCUGUUCACUGGUACUGCCUAUGUGUGCAAUUCUCUCCAUUGAUAUGUCACCAGAAAGGAAAUGCAAAAGUAUAAACUAGAUACGAGCUCCUGUCUUGGCUUGCAUAUUUCUAAUGAUCUCACCGCCCUUACCAACUAUCAGACCAACCUUGUUGUUUGGUACUUUCAUCACGAGCUGUCCAAACCCAGUCCAACCAAUUAACCUUCAAGAAAUUAUGCCAAACCUCUUUGCUUAUAUCUGUUGUGUCAUUCCAUAAGAAUUGAACGCACCCAUAUGUAAGCACCCGUGAUGUGUCGUCACACUCCAACUGCAAAUUAAAUCGAACAAGACCUUUCAUGGAAGCAUCUCUGACAUCUAAAUGAGACCCUGUCAAACCUUGAAUUAUCUGGAGUUCAUCAAGUGCAUCAUCAAAUGCUCUUCAUUCAGAGUGUCCAACUUAGCAAUAGCUUCAUCAAAAACCUAUUUAUCCAGAUUACAAGCAUGAUCCAGGGGAUUCAGAAUCUUAUAGUAAAAGACGGAGAAGUUAAGUGCAAGCCUCAAGCAGAUAAGACGGGUUGAAGCCAAUUCCACAGCUGCAAUAUCCUACGCUGAUUUUAUAAGCUACGAGAGUGCUCUCCGUCGCCUCUCUCAUCUCGGCUCCGGUCUUGAAUGCUGAUAGAUAACAACGAUAAUCGCUCUUCAUCUUUAAACAAAGCGACUUUGGGUCACUAGCCAUAGCCGAAUGAAUAAGCUACGAAUCCAGCAGACGAAGAGUAUCGUCACAGAUGGAGGAUUGUUGAAACAUAACACGCAUAUAAUGGAAACAGACUCGUGUUGGCUCCUGCCCGCUCCCAAUGGGUAUGGCCCUCAUGCUCAUUGACAUGUUCGAAGACGUCAACAAGCGCACCAUAGACCUUCUGUAGGCAGAGGAUUGGGUUUAAUGGGUUUAGAAAGAAUUUGUGGCAUGUAUGGGUAUGGAAAUAGGUGUGAAUGAUAGCCUUGCAUGCAUGAGGAGUGGUGAAUAGGUUGAAGAGAGUGGGUUUAGAGGAUAGAAAUAUGGGUAUAGUUGUGGGUUUAGAAAAUGGGUACAGUAUUAGUGGGACGGGUAGUGGAAAAAUGGAUUGGAAGGCAUUGGAAAAUGAGGUCUCUAUGGUGGCCAUGCAUGCGUCAAAAAAUAGAAAGGAGUGCAUGGAGGUUAAAUGGAAGGAUGAAUGAUGGAAGUAGCAGCUUGGGUAGGUGUAAGCUUUGGAUUUGGGUAGGUAAAAAAAAUGAGAGAUAGGUAUGAGAUAGCCAAUGAGAGAUCUGCACCAUUUGGCAUUGUGAUCGCUCGGUUUUUGUCGUUUAUUGGAUCAAAACAAAAUUUAUAACCUAAUUCACUAUUCUAUAGCAAUUUGUACUCGAUCAAAAAAUGGUUUUAGUACAAACUACUAUAGUAUAGUGGUAUUUAGGUAUCGUCCACAAGGAUGGAUUAUUCUCGGUAAUUAAGGCUUGAAUGAGAUGAUAAGAAAUGAUUGUGAUCAAGUGAAAUUGACUUGAAAUUGCAUGAUAAAAUUCCAAAAUAACAAUGUAUUCAAAUUGAGAGAAAAAUGAAGUGUAAAAGAGAAGAAAAUUAAUAAGAGGUGAGAUUCUCGGAGUUAGGAUUUUCUAGAAAGCAAUUUCCAUGGCGAAUAAGUGUUGAGAUCUAAUUUUCAUCAAGUUAAAUUGAAAACCUAAAUUUUCAUCUAAACCGAUUUUUGAUUUAGCUUUAGGUCUAGAUAUAAUUUCUCUUCAAAUUAGGUAAUCUAAUCCAAGAGAUCAAUUUGAAUCAUAUAUUCAAUUCAUCUUAAAUUAUCUCCUUAUGAUUCACACGAUGCAACUAUUCAAUCUCAUUAAAUUUAGCAUUAAGAAUUUAAUGAAUCUACCUAGCUUGCAUUGUAGUAAUCAUCCAAGACAAUUUAAAGAGAAGAAUCCCCAAAUUUCAAUUAAUCAAUCAAUUGGAUCAAAUUACCUUUGCAAUUCAAGCUCAAUUCUCUCAUUCACCAUAGAUCUUGUCUCUAGAUUCUCCCUCCUCUGAGAAAAACAAGAUUUAGCCACUCAUGCUUGGAGAUUUGAUCUCAUAAGACAUGUUUGGCUACCAAGAAAAUGAGAGAAAAUGAAGGAAAGUAGAGAAUUAUAUAGAGAAAAGAAAUCUGAAAAGUUCUACAAUUAGAAAAUGUAUCAAAAGUCUUUAAAUGAGUCAAUCACAUUUUUAUUUAUAGGCCAAGGUCAAGAUGACACUUGGCAACAUCUAAGAGGUCUUUCGGAUGCUUCUUCAUCAAGGAAUUUGGAGAAAAUACAUUUUCGCACGAGCCUUAGCAAUUUCGCAUGAUGGUGCGAAGUGGAAAACCAUCAGCUUCAUUUUUGUCUUUCUGGAGCGUUUCGCAUGACUGUACAAAAUUUUCGCAUGGUUGUGCGAAAUUGCUUUUCACUUUUCCCUUAGUAUGCUACAGCCAAACCUAUUCUGUUUCAUUUCACAUGGUCAUGCGAAAUUGAAAAACAUGUUUUUUCGACUCCUCUUUGCAAUUCUUUCCAUUUCUUCAUUUUUAAUCCACCUCUACCACUUUCAAUUCAACUCCAAAUCCCAAUCCAAACCGAUUGCAUUGCUUAUUUCAUUAUGCAUUUGGAUCAUCAUCAACUUUAUUUGUUUUCUUCAAUUUGGUUCAUCUCUUUUGUCACCAAUUUAUCAAAAUCAUACCUUAAAAUGACUUUAAAACUUCAUAAAACUUGUUAGUAACUAUUGCAAGGGCAAAAACAUGUUAAUUGAGUGUUUUAGGCAUAAUUACUACUCAAAAGAUGUGAAAAUCAUGAGAAUUAUUAUCUAAAAUAUGCUCUUUUUGAGUAGUAAUCAUUCCCCCCAACCAACACAUUGCUAGUCCCUUAGCAAUUGUAUGACAAAAAGAAAGAAAAAUAAGGCCAAAGAAAAGAAAUCAUAACUCACAUAAGCAAAUCAUUUGAAAAAAAAAAUGUUUGAAAUUUCCAUAGCAUAAAUGGUUGAUAAACAAGCACACCCUACUAUCCAUAGGUAUCAACAAAAUCCCAACUUAUUUACUAUCUCUAAUAGAAAUAAUAUCAUGCUAAUCAAGGUAUCAAAAACAUAUCCAUCUUCAUUUCCCAAACAAUCUUUGUAAACAAGUCUUGAGUGUAAUUAAGCUAGCUCCCGAAUAUAGUACUCAAAACUAAUCCUCCCCCCAACCUAGCUCAAUUUAUCUCAAACAACAAAAAUCACUCUCUCAUAGGUUAAGAACACACCUAUCUUUAUUUUAUUAUUAUUUUUUUUACAAAUGACUUAUUGUAGGAGUGCAAUGCUAAAGGUAUCUCCAAGUAUAUGGUCCAUGUAGCGGGGAUUCAUCGAUGACUCCCAAUCAUAAGGCAUAGGGCACCAAGUUUAUAGGACUAUUUAACUAGCCACUAACUCCUCAGACUUCACCCCGGACUCCUCAAAUUAGGAUCCAAUACAUUAACACCUACAAUUGAGUUCAUACCCCACCUAUCCACCCAUGUAACAAGCAUUGAGGUCGGUGGCUCCCAACCAAAAUGGCUUAGGGCACCAGGCUUUAAAGACCUUUGGGCCAUAUACCCCUCGGACCUUGCUCAGGUUUCAAGGCAAGCAUAACUCAACAUUUUUAUUCAUCAACUCUUUUUUUUUUUUUUUUUUCAAUUGGGCACAUUGGCCUCUUUUUAAGGUGUCUCAACUCAGUUCAAGAGUAAUCAAUGUUACAAGAUAAUUAAGUCUAAGUCUUAAGGUUAGAAUAGUUUUUCAUCUUAUAUCUGGGGUCUAGAGUGCAUAGUAUGUGUCAAGACUCAAAUAGAAAUGACAAUUUGGAAAAUGAAGACUUUAAAGUCAAAUCAACUUUAAUUCACAUAACCAAUCUUCUAAGAUCAAGCAAAUAAGCUAGUAUUCUAAAUCAACUUUUUUUAAGUUAGGUUUGCUCAUUCAUCAAUCACAAAUGCUAUAGUCAUCUCAAAAAAAUCUCACCAAAUAAGUCACAAAUGUGAUUUAUGAAAAAAAAAAAUUAUAGAAAAACUAAUAACAUAUUUCCUUCUCUUCAUUUUUAACCCUCCCCCAACCUAACUUGUACAUUGUCCUCAAUGUGUAAUGAAAAUAUACAAAGAAAGGAAGGAAAGAUACCUCAAUCUCUCAUGAAUUUCAGUUUCAAUAGCUAAAACAAAAAUAAGAUCACACAUGAGAAUUGUUGGAUAUGAAUGACAUAAGAGAAGAAAAUAUGAAAACAAAUCUAUUAAAAACCAAAAAAAAAAAACUAUGUUAGAGACACAAUGUAUGGAGUAAAAUCAAGGUAUAGAUGAUGACAAUGUCCAAAGAAAACAUGAUUUCAAUGAUAAGUCAAUGAUUCUCAUGGAGUUUUUGAAAAUUUCAGACAAGUGUGCAAACUAGACAAGAAGGUGGUGUGUGUUGCAACCACUUUUUCUUUUGAAAUAAUUUGGCACAAUCAUGCGGAAAUUCGCAUGUACAUGCGAAUUGGUCAAGAGAGCUUUAUCUUAUUAUAGUCUUCAGCAUAAUUUUCGCAUAGUCAUGUGAAAAUUCGCAUGUUGAUGCGAAAUGGAUCUGAGGCUUAAAACUGUUGUAGUCAUCCACAUUAGUUUCGCACAGUCAUGCGAAAACUUCACAUGAGUGUGUGAAGUGGUCCAGAUGGCUCAUUUUACUACAGUCUUUAAGAUGGAUUUCGCAUAGUCAUGCGAAAUGCUCUAGAGGGUUCAUUUUUACAACUAUCAUUUUCAGUUUUGCACAGUCAUGCGAAAAUUUUGCAUGACCAUGCGAAUUGUGACAAAGACUCAUUUUGUACAUUUCCGAAGAUAUGAAAACUCCCCUAUUUUGGCAUGACUGUGUUAUUUUGGCAUGACCUCCCUGUUUUGGCAUGACUAUGCAAAAUGGUGAUGGGCCAUUAAAACUCUUUUUUCCUUUGCUUCAUGCAUUCCAUCCAUCCAGAAAGUCCUUCAAAACACAAGUCAAAGAAUUGAGAUGGAUUUAUUUAAUGGAAACUAAAAAAAAAAUCAAAAUCCAAAGGAAAUGAUAAACCAUUGGGCUAGCUAGCCAUUGACAUGACUAAGCCCAUUAACCUUUGCAUCAAUACUCAAUUUGGAUAUGGCUUGCAAACAAUGAAUGGACCAACUCCUUGGUACUUAAGCUUUCCCAGAAAAAUAUGUGGCUUGAAAUAACCUUCUUUGAACUUGUUCUUUUGAAUAAGUUGGUCAUGCCAUUCCUUGAGUUUCUUUUUCAUGGUCUUUGGAUUAUUUUUCAUACCAUGCUUCAUUUUUUUCACUUUCUUGAAGCUGAAAGACCAUUUCAUUAACUUCAAAGGUUGAAUUUCUUUAUUGAUCCUCCAAACUUCAAUCCGUUCAUUGGAAAUUGCUUCACUAAGUUUUGAAAAAUUAUCUUCAACCUUUUCUUUCACUAGCACUUUCAUAGGCAAUUCAAUCAAAUAAGCCUCCUUAAGUUCCUCCUCCUCCUUGGUACCAUGCUUCUUAUAUGAAUGAAAAAUGUUUAGCUCAAUUGUCAUGUUACCAAAGGUAAGUUGCAUCACCCCACUUCGACAAUUAAUUAAUGCAUUUGCUGUGGCAAGGAAAGGUCGGCCAAGUAUAAUAGGAACAUGGUUGAGUCCACUAGUUCCUUGUUUCAUAUCAAGCACCACAAAAUCAACCGGAUAAUAGAAGAUAUCGAUUUGGAUCAACAUAUCCUCAAUAAUUCCUCUUGGAAACUUAACCGAUCUAUCCGCCAAUGAAAGUGUGAUGGAAGUAGACUUUAGUUCUCCAAACCCCAAUUGCUUAUAUACCGAGUAGGGAAGAAGAUUCACACUUGCCCCCAAGUCUAAAAGUGCUCUUUUCACAAAAGUGUUGUCAAUCUUCACCGAGAUAGUUGGACAUCCCGGAUCCUUAUACUUGAUUGGGGUUUUACAUUGGAUGAUUGCACUAACUUGUUCAGUCAAGAAAGUUUUCUUUUUCAAAUGCAUCCCUCUCUUUAUGGUACACAAAUCCUUAAGAAACUUGGCAUAGGUUGGAAGUCUUAUCAUGUCAAGGAGUGGUAUAUUGACUUUGACUUGCUUGAGAACUUCAAAAAUUUCUAGAGCAUUAUUUACCACUUUCUUGGAUUGAAGAGCCAUAGGAAAAGGUGGAGCUAAGAGCAUAUCUUUCUUCUUAACCUCUUCUUUAACAAUCUCAUCUUCCUUUGAUCUAUCAUCCUCAUUCACCUCUUUCCAUUUUUCUUGUUCUUUCACAUUUUCCUUUUGUUCCCCUCUUUUAUUCUCUUUUGGUUUUGGCAUAGGUUGAUCAACUUGCUUACCACCUCUUAAGGUAAUGACUGCUUUGACUUCAUCCUUCUCAAUAGAACUUUCACUUGUCUCUCCAAUUUCAUGGACUCCACUUGGAUUUUGUUGGGGUUAUGAAGAGAAUUUUCCUUUUUCUUACACUGUAUGCAUGCUUGUGAGUUUAGAAAUAGCAAGCUGCAUAUUAUCAAUCUUUUGUGUGAGAUUGGUUUGCAAGCUAUCAAAUUUCUGAUUGAAAGAUGUCUCCACAUGAUCUAUUCUUUGGUUUACUUGAAUAUUGAUAUUCUUUUGAUCACCAAUAAAAUCACCCAAAAUUUUACUCAAGCUUACAAUAGCUUGCUCAACCAAAGAAAUUUGUUGUGGAGAGUCUUCCAUGACUUGUUGGCUUUGUGAGUAUUGACUUGAAGAAAAUUGUUCUUGUCCACAAUUCCAUGACAUGUUUAGAUGAUUCUCAACAAGUCUUUCCCCCAUAGCUAGUAUUGUAGGACAAUCACUCACUUCAUGUUCUAUAGAUUGACAAUUAGAACAUUGCUCCUUGUAAAUUGGAUUAUCAUAUAUUGCAUUCACCACAUGAAAUCCCUUAGCUUCAAGUUCCUCUAGCCUUUUUGUCAAAGCUACCAUUUUAGCUUGUAGAUCAACAUCUUCAUUCAACAUAUACAUUCCUCCAUUUGAAUUGCUUUGAGACUUGGACUUGUGUAAAUCCCUUUCAUGUGGCUCAUUCCAUGACCUUAAUAUUUUAGCCACAUAAUUCAAGAAUUCAAAAGCUUCAUCGGGACUUUUGCUCAUAAAGCCACCUCCACACAUGGUUUCUAGCAAUUGCUUCAUAGUUGGCGACAUGCCCUCAAGAAGUAACUCACCAACAUCCAUGUGUCAAAACCAUGAUGAGGACAAACAUUGAUUACUUCCAUAUAUCUUUCCCAACAAGCAUAAAAUUUUUCAUUGUCCAAUGCCACAAAGUUGGUAAUUUGCCUCUUCAAGCCACUUGUGCGAUGUAUGGGGAAAAUUUUCUUUAAGAAGGUUGUUUGUAGUUCCAACCAUGACCUUAUGGUUUGGGGCCCCAAUGAGUUGAACCACAACUUAGCCUUAUCCUUCAAUGUGAAUGGAAAAAGCUUCAAUCUCAUAAGCUCAAUGGAUGUGUUUCCCUCAUGAAAUGUAUGAAAAACCUCUUCAAAAUCCUUGAUGUGAGUAUAAAGAUUCUCAUUCUCCAUUCCAUGAAAUUGAGGUAGAAGGGGUACCAAGUGAGUUUUUAUCACAAUAGCCUCAUUAGGAAGAACUAUACAUGAUCCCAUGCCUAUCCUUUGAGGAUGCAUAUAUUCUCUCAUUGAUCUAGACAUGUGAGAAUUGCCAUUGUUUGGUCCUUGUUGAGUUUGUUGAUUUUCCCCUUGAUUUUCCAUUUCCUCAACAAUUGGAUCACAAAACAAAGAUGAUUAGCAAUAUAAGUUUUUUUUCAAUCUCUCCCUUGAAUUUUAUUCUCAAUGUAGUAUGCAAUGGAGAGCCUACAAAACAAGCUUAGAAAAACCAAAACAAACCAAGAAGAACAAAAAGAGAAAUAAAAGAUAAAAAUGGAAAAAAAAAUAAUAAUAAGAAAAAUGGAGAAUCGAUAAAGAGAACUUCACCAAUCUUGUGAUGUGGAUCACAAGGGCUAAUCCUCACCAAAAAAAAAAAUGCCUCAAUCACCUAGGCACCAUCCCCGGCAACAGUGCCAUUUUUGAUUGCUCGGUUUUUGUCGUUUAUUAGAUCAAAACAAAAUUUAUAACCUAAUUCACUAUUCUAUAGAAAUUUGUACCCAAUCAAAAAAUGGUUUUAGUACAAACUACUGUAGUAUAGUGGUAUUUAGGUAUCAUCCACAAGGAUGAAUAUUCUUGGUAAUUAAGGAUUGAAUGAGAUGAUAAGAAAUGAUUGUGAUCAAGUGAAAUUGACUUGAAAUUGCAUGAUAAAAUUCCAAAAUAACAAUGUAUUCAAAUUGAGAGAAAAAUAAAGUGUAAAAGAGAAGAAAAUUAAUAAGAGGUGAGAUUCUCGAAGUUAGGAUUUUCUAGAAAGCAAUUUCCAUGGUGAAUAGGUGUUGAGAUAUAAUUUUCAUCAAGUUAGAUUGAAAACCUAAAUUUUCAUCUAAACCGAUUUUUUAUUUAGCUUUAGGUCUAGAUCUAAUUUCUCUUCAAAUUAGGUAAUCUAAUCUAAGAGAUCAAUUUGAAUCAUAUAUUCAAUUCAUCUUAAAUUAUCUUCCUAUUAUUCACAUGACGCAACUAUUCAAUCUCAUUAAAUCUAGCAUUAAGAAUUUAAUGAAUCUACCUAGCUUGCAUUGUAGUAAUCAUCCAAGACAAUUUGAAGAGAAAAAUCCCCAAAUUUCAAUUAAUCAAUCAAUUGGAUCAAAUUACAUUUGCAAUUCAAGCUCAAUUCUCUCAUUCACCAUAGAUCUUGUCUCUAGAUUCUCCCUUCUCCGAGAAAAACGAGAUUUAGCCACUCAUUCUUGGAGAUUUGAUCUCACAAGACAUGUUUGGCUACCGAGAAAAUGAGGGAAAAUGAAGGAAAUUAGAGAAUUAUAUGAGAAAAGAAAUCUGAAAAGUUCUACAAUUAGAAAAUGUAUCAAAAGUCUUUAAAUGAGUCAAUCACGUUUCUAUUUAUAGGCCAAGGUCAAGAUGACACUUGGCAACAUCUAAGAGGUCUUCCGAAUGCUUCUUCAUUAAGGAAUCUGGAGAAAAUACAUUUUCGCACGAGCCUUAGCAAUUUCGCAUGAUGGUGCGAAGUGGAAAAUCCAUCAGCUUAUUUUUUGUCUUUCUGGAGCGUUUUGCAUGACUGUGCGAAAUUUUUGCAUGGUCAUACAAAAUUGCUUUUUACUUUUCCCUUAGUAUGCUGCAGCCAAGCCUAUUCUAUUUCAUUUCGCAUGACUAUGCGAAAUUGAAAAACAUGUUUUUUCGACUCCUCUUUGCAAUUCUUCCCAUUUCUUCAUUUUUAAUCCACCUCUACCACCUUCAAUUUAGCUCCAAAUCCCAAUCCAAACUAAUUGCAUUGCUUCUUUCAUUAUGCAUUUGGAUCAUCAUUAACUUUAUUUGUUUUCUUCAAUUUGAUUCAUCUCUUUUGUCACCAAUUUAUCAAAAUCAUACCUUAAAAUGACUCCAAAACUUCAUAAAACUUGUUAGUAACUAUUGCAAGGGCAAAAACAUGUUAAUUGAGUGUUUUAGGCAUAAUUACUACUCAAAAGAUGUGAAACUCAUGAGAAUUAUUAUCUAAAAUAUGCUCUUUUUGAGUAGUAAUCACAUUGCAACACCCUUAUUUUGUUAUACCCAUUUGUAUGCUUAUCCUUUACAUAAGGAGCUUGUCUGACACCUUUAUAGAAGCGGACAAAAAGCAUGGCUUGCUUGUAGAUCCAGUGCAACUUUCAGUAACACCCAACCCCUAUCAUUUUGACCCAAAAGGAUCUAUACCUAUGAUCAUUGAACUCAUUCCAUUUUGAGAACAAUCUUCAUGAACUCAUAAACGAAAUAACUUAUUGAAACUGAAGGUAGCACCUGUGGUAAGCCGAUUUCAAUAUAUCAUGCACACCAUAGAAAAUUGCACCUGAAGGUGCCAUACUUAUAGUGGAAGGCACCAAACCCUUGUAAAUGGAGAAGAAUCCUUCAGUUCGGAUCAUAUGGAGGAAAUGCCAAUAACACUACCCAAGGCUUUACCACCCGGUGCCACCAUCUUGGUCUGGAUUUAACAUGGUACCCAAUAGUAAGCGGAGUAUGGUAGUAGUAAUUCUAGCUGCAUCACCAGCAAUUGUCUUAAUUAGCUCAAAUAUAUGCUUCUGUUCACCAUGAACUAUAUAUUCCAGCUUUAGUCUCCUUUGAUUGCAUAUCAUUUCCUCCACAAAACUUUCGUUUACUAUCAUCAAACUGCCAUCCUAUACCACAAUGGUCCCAUCAACCCUACUGACCAUCCAAAUGUCAUUAAAUGAGCUAGAAGCUGGGGACUCUCAACAGCAAGAGCACCUUGAGGUUGAAUGAAUUUAGAAUAACCCACUGAAAACUCUUAUAUAGCUUCUUUAGGUGGAGAUGAGGAAGGAGAAUAGCCAAAAUAGAGCACAACAGAGUGAGCAAAGCAUUAAGUGGGAUCCCCCUUUCAUAUUGAAAUCAAGGGGUUCCAGCCAGUGGUGCAACAGGAGAGUUUAAAACAAAGAUCCAAAUGAGAGCAUCAAUAAACUCCCACCAUGGGAGUGAGCCAUAUUCAAAAAAACAAAUAUAAGAGAAAAGUAAUGCAUCAUCACAUACCCAGACAAUCGUCCAAUGCUUAGAAAAAAAAAAAAACCAAAACAACCAGAGAAGAUGGAAGAUAAAGAAAACAGAGUGAUGAGUGAAAAUAAUCCAAAAAGCUAUAUCAAAUGUACCUAGAAAUGCUCUUUCCAAUUUUCUUUUCUUCCCAACUACCUUCAGCAAACUAGAUUUGCUUUCUCUCCUCUGCUCCUAAUCAAACUACACCCUCAAGCAAUCUGAAAAAUGCAAUCCUCUCUCUCACAACCUCAGCGCACCAACCAUCUCUACUUCUCUCAUUGUUGCUCCAACUCCUUACAAAAAUAUCCCCUCUUUGUCUCUCCUCCCAAGCUCUUUCUCUCUCUCUCUCUCUCACUUCUCCUCAGCUAUGCUCUCUCAAUCCCUCUAAAAAAAAACAUCCUUCUCUCGCUCCUCUGUAACCUCAAACUUUUCUCUCAAGCUAAAGGAAACUUCUCCCCCCGAUAUCUCCUCUCCUCCCUAGCAACCAAAAAUACCCCUCCUCUGCCAGAAUGCCUCACCUUCUCUCUCCUACGCUCCUCCAUAACGGCCUGAAGAUUCUUAUGCCAUGCAUCAGCCGCUGAUUGCCUUCAGAAAAGAUCACUGCCUAUCCAUCCUCUCAUGCACAUGUUGCCAAAAAUAAAAAAAGGUGGUAAAGAAUGCUCCCUAAAAUGCCCUUACCUAUAAACCAAAACGAGGGUUUUACAGGCGCACAAUAUUUGUGGAAAAAUAUUCUUUGCUGAAGAAUAUUUUUUAAAGAUCAAUUGAAAGCCUAAAGCAGCUUGUUCCCAAAUGAAUUUAUUGAAUGGUGAAAAACACGUGUGUUGCGAUUUUUUGGAUUUGUAGGGGGUAUUUUAUAAAGCUUUUUUCUCUUUGUGAAACUCCUUUUCAUAUGUGAAAUUGUUUUAUUUUUAUUUUAUCAUUUUCAUUGAAGGAAGUUGCAAAUAUUUAUAGAUAAAAUUUUAAAAAAUAAAUUUAGAAUUUCUAAGAUUUGAUUACUUAAUUAAAAAAAAAAAUUGGUUUCUUGAUUUUAGCAACUUGUCUUCUUCAUUAAGGAAGUUUGCUAACAAGAGAAUAUUUACUUCUCAUUUUAUUUUGACUUCAAUUGGAAGACUUGUUUCAUUUGUUUACAAAAUUUUCCAACAAGAAAAUAUUUAUUUCUAAUUCUCUUUUGAUUUCAAUUGUUUGAUUUGAUUUGAUUUUGCAAGACUUUAUUUUAUAGCCUUCCAAAUUUCACUACGUGUCAUUUUUUGAAUUGAAUGCCACAUGCUCAAUAUAUAUGACUCAUCACUUAUUAAGCCUGAGUUUUGUUGAGCUAAAGAGUUACAAUUUUGAAGACUAAUUUGGUAGUAUUUUAAUCCACUAAAAUUUUUUGUCUACAAAUGCCCCCUCUUCAAAAUAGAUCACACACAUGCAUUGUAAUGUAUAAGAGGUGAGUCUUGAAGUUAGCCUUUUGAAUCUUCAAUAUCCUUCUUUGAUUUUUUUUUUCGAAGAAAUAUUUUAAUAGGAAUUUCCUAUUCAAAAUACUUUUCUUCAACUUUUUUCGAACAUUGCUUUAUUUAUUUAUUUUUUUUCUACCUCGUAUCAAAGAAAAACCUUGUGUUAAUGGGAAAGCUUCUUAUUUGAACAUCUAUUGUCUUUUCUCAUGGUAUUUCACUUCCAAUUUGUCAACCUAGAAGAAGUCCUUCACCCUAGCUUGUUCAAUUGCAUCUUAGACUUGGUCACAUGCCUUUAACUUGCAAUUCUUCCUCCACUUUGUCUUUUUCUUUUUUAUUUGUUUAAAAAAUAGUACAAAAUAUUUGAGCAAGACCAUAAGCAAGAGAAGAGAGGUGGUGAAUGGAGCACCAACUAACCUUAGGUCAAGAUCUUGAGCAAGAGAAGUAAGGUGGAGCGUAGAGCACAAACUUCUCUAGAGCAUGGUAGGCAUACCAUCAUGGAGUUGUCUUCUGCAUGGAGCAUGGUAGGGCAUUAUAUAUAUGAUAGGGUGGGCCAUUAUGUAACAAUGAAGAACAAAAAUCCAUGGUGUACAAUUGGGAACAACAAUUCAUGCUAUCAAGCUUCAACCUUUUUUUUUUUGUUUUUUUUUUAAUCCCUAUCUCCACCCCCCGACCCAAUAUUUUUUCAAGUUUCCAGAUUCCUUUUGAUUCUUUCUCAUUUUAUUUUUUUCAACUCUUUUUUUUCCUCCCUUUUUAACCAUUGUUUUUAAGGAAGAAAUAGAUUCACCAUCCCUUACCACAAGGUCAAUCUCCAUUGCUUGCAAAGACAAAUUUGCUUUUUGGUGUUUUUUUUCUUCAAAAAUUAUCUUAACAUUUUAAGAUAUAUAUAUAUAGAUAUAGAUAUUUAAAAAACUUAAAUAUCCAUAAUAAAAAUAAAUAUUUAAGGCUCUUGACUUGUUUAAAUUGGCUUGACUUGGAUACUUAGCGGGACCAUACUUAACACCCAUGUAGAUGAGCUAUAAUCUUGAUGGUAGGUUGUGUUGUAUUUUUUGACAUUUAAUGUGGCUUAAGAGUUAAAGUCUUCACUCAUGCAAAUUAGCUUGGUUUGGAUGCACAAUGGUCUCUAACUUCUUAAUGCUUAAUUAAACUUGGAACCAUAUUUAACACCCAUGUAGACAAGUCAUAAUCAUGACAUGGAGCACUAUUUUAUUUUAACUCUUAAUGCAACUUAAAUAUUAAAGUCUUCACUCAUACAAAUUAACUUGGGUUAGAUGCACAAUGGUGUUCAACUUGGUAAAAUUAAUUAAAAUUGAAACAUUUAACACCCAUGUAAACAAGUCAUAACUUUCACAUGGAACAGUGUUGUAUUUUUAGCUUAAUGUCGCUUAAGUGUUAAAGUCUUCACUGAUGUAAAUUAGCUUGGCUUAGAUGCAUAGUAGCAUUCAACUUUUUAACACUUAAUUUAAAUUCAUACCAUAUUGAAAACCCAUGUGGACAAGACAUAAUGAGAAAAUAAAUGGCUAAUCUAAAUAGAUAAAAAUACCUAACAAGGAAGGAGGGGGGUGAAUUGGAGUUUAAAAAAAAAAUAUAUUUUUAAACACAAUAAAAUUAAGUACAAGAAGCACAAAUAUAAAGAGAUAAGUUAUAGAAAUCAAACUCAGAUUUAUAGUGGUUCGACACUUCCUUGCCUACAUCCACUCUCCUCAAACUCCUAACCGAGUGAGGGUUCCACAUAUACUUGAAGCUUCAACCAAGCUUCUAAUCACUUUUUACACUUGGAUUUUAGCUCCAAUGGGCUCUUACACAUUCUCUUCAAGUCUCUACUCACUUGAAGAUUUUAACACACAAUUAACAGUUUGAAACUCUCAACCUAGCUCAACAAUGGCUCAAAUACAACUCAAGGCUAGGAUGAAUCACAAAGGUGCAUUAAAUAAUAUGCAAAUGAAGAUUUAAUGCACUGAGAAAAGAAUGAGAGCUUUUAUGGCAAGAACAAGUAGGUAAACAAAUCAAUGGAGGUGUUCUCUUACUCAUAAAUGAAGUGGAACUCUCAAUUUAUAGGUUUCUAAUCUCGGAAGCUAAAAAACCAAAAAGUAACCUCGAUUGGUCGAGUUAGGGGUCGACAGGUUCACUAGUCGUUAGAGCAUUAAAUGCGUGGCAGGUGAUCGUUACCCUCGACCGGACCUUGACUGGGAAGGCAAAUCUCUCAACUGGGAAAGAAAGGCUAUUGGAAGAGAGAAGGCUUUUUGCAUCUUUUGACUAGACCUCAACCGAGAAGGAGCAACUGAUCGACCAGUACCCUAGCCGGUUGAGCCGGUUGGCCAGUGCCUCAACCAAUUCACCAUUUUUUGGCCCUAAAACCUAUCUUUUUGUGGUCUUUUUUGCUUCUAACACUUAAACAAGGUCUUUAGGUAAAAUAAUAUGUCAAUUUUGAAACGCUUUGCCUAAGGUUCAUUUGAUAGAACUCGGAUUUUGAUGGAAAUGUGACUUUAAUGCGUAAACCGAGUUUUAAAAGAUGUAUGAAAUGAUAUGAAAAUUCUAAGUACACUCAUGCAUUCAUUUUACAUAGUUUUCUAUAAUUAAAAAGUCUUUCAAAAGUCUUGAUCUUGCAUCCAUUAGAUCAUUUGAUUAAUUUCCAAAUUAAUAUUUGAAAUUCUUUAUAAUUCAAACCAAUUAGUAACUUAACCAUGGUUUGUUAUCAUCAAAACAUGAUUAGGAGAACCCUUGGGCUAACACAUAACAUUGUAGCAAUGUUAUAUUUUUUACACUUAAUGCAGUUUAAGUUCUAAAAUCUUCAUUUCUAUGAAUUGGUUCACCUUGGAUGCAUAGUGGUGUCUAAAUUAUAAUACUUAAUUAAAAUUGAAACCAUAUUUAACACCCAUGUAGACAAGUCAUAACUUUGACAUGGAGUGGCAUUGCAUUUUUGACACUUAAUGCAACUUAGGUGCUAAACUUUUCACUCAUGAGAAUUGGUAUGGGUUGGAUGCAUGUGGUGUCGAACUUUUUAACACUUAAUUAAAAUUGGAACCAUAUUUAACACUAUCUAGAUAAGUCAUAACCUUGAUGUGAAGCGACAUUGUAUUUUCAACACUUAAAGCAACUUAGGUGCUAAAGUCUUCACCCAUGCAAAUUAGUUCAUCUUGGAUGUACAAUGGUGUCCCAUUUUUUAACAUAUAAUUAAAAUUGGAACCAUAUUUGACACUCAUGUAGACAAGUCUAGCCAUGAUGUAAAGUAGUGUUGUAUUUUUAAAACUUAAUGCAGCUUCAAUGGUAAAGUUUUUACUCAUGUGAAUUGGCUUGAUUUGGAUGCACAAUGAUGCCUAACUUUUUAACAUUUUAUUAAAUUUGGUAUCAUAUUUAACACCUAUGUAGACAAGUCAUAACCUUAAUGUAGAGGUGCUGUAAUAUUUUUGGUACUUAAUGCCGCUCAAGUGCUAAAGUCUUCACUCAUGUGAAUUUUUUUGGUUGAGAUGGACGUCUCUAACAUUUUAACAUUUAAUUAAAAUCAGAAUCAUAUUUAACACUCAUGUAAAAAAGUCAUAACCUUGACACAUAGUAAUAUGCAAUGUUUUAACAUUUAAUAUGACUUAAGUGCUAAAGUUUUCACUCAUGUGAAUUGGCUUGGCUUGGAUGCAUAAUGGUGUCUAACAUUUUAACACUGAAAUUAAAAUUAGAGUUAUAUUUAAUAAUCAUGUAGACAAGUCAUAACCUUGACGAGAAGCAAUAUUGUCAUUUUGACACUUAAUAUUGCUUAAAUGCUAAAGGCUUCACUCAUGCAUAUUGACUUAGCUUGGAUGAACAAUGGUAGCUAACUUUUUAACACUUCAUUAAAUUUGGAUUAUGGUUAACAUCCAUGUAGAAGAGUGAUAAACUUGAUGCAAAGUGAUGUUAUAUUUUUGGUACUUAAUAUAGCUUAAAUACGAAAAUCUUCACUUCUAAUAAUUAACUUGGCUUGGAUGCAUAGUGGUGUCCUACUUUUUAACUCUUAAUUGAAAGUGAAAUCAUAUUUAACAUCCAUUUUAUGCUAGUCAUAAACUUGAUAUAGAGCAAUGUGCAACUUUUUAACAUUUAAUGCAACUUAGGUGCUAAAGUCUUUACUCAUAUGAAUUAACUAAACUUAGAUGCAUAUUCGUUUCCAACUUUUUUAAUACCUAAUUAAAAUUAAAACCAUAUUUAAAAACCAUGUAGACAAAGGCAUAAUCUUAACAUGGAGCAGUGUAUAACUUUUAGCACUUAAUUAAAAUUGGGAUUAUACUUCACAACCACAUAUUCCUCCUCCUAUUUUUCAAUUUUUUCUUGUGGUGAUGAUUGAACUCAACUAGUUUGUCCAAGUUACCUGCAUACCUUAACAGAGAGGGGAUCAAGUCAAACUUAGUUCAAAGUAUUUUUUUAAUAUCUAACUUUUGCCAAGGCUAAUGAUUUUAAUCUUGAAAGCUUGUCUUAACUUUUGACUAUAUAUGUAGUGUUUUCAAGUUUCAAUUUAGCGACCUAUGAAUUGUACAAAUUGAAAAUGACUUCACUCAUGUGUAAAAAUAAAAGAUAUUCAUUCAUAGUUUUAGGGCAACGAAAAGUAAUCGACCCUUUUUUGCAUUAUUAUUAUUAUUGUUGUUGUUAUUAUUAUAAUUAUUAUAUUACCUUAAAAAAAAGACCUUCUCCAAAAAAUUUAAUCUACAAGUACUUGGAUUCUAUUUGAAUAUAAAAAGAGCCACUCAUAUGCAUGAAUUAAAUAUAUGUCCCAUGGAUAAGUUGUACUUAGCCACGGCUGAAGCUUUCCAUUAUGACUUGAAGGGAAAAAAAAAGAGAGGAGAAUAAUGUCAUUAAAAAACUGAUUGCCAUGUGCCUAUGCCUGCCAGUAGAUGGCUGAAAACUAGUUCUAUUCUUUUGUUUUUGCCUCUACUAAUGAACCAUAAUUGAGAGAUUCAUUGGCAACUAUCGUAUAAACAAUGGUUCAUAAAUUACUUUUAAAUUUUGAUAGCAAAGACUCAAAAUGUAAAACCAUAAAAAAUUUGUUCUAUUCCCAAAUUUUUUUAAAUAAUAAAUUAAUGCACAUGACUGUUUUCACAUCUUAUUCUCAUUUCUAUCAAUGCAAUAAUUGUAAUCAUCUUAUCUAUUAACAUGGCCUAGAGCCAUAGAGCUUCCUUUUCUUUAGUCCUAGAGCCAUUUCAGCUAAGAGUAGUCUUUCCUUAGCAUUUCCGGUCCAAAGCUUCCAUUUCUUUAGGCCUAGAGGCAUUUUCAGUCCAGAGCUGCUGUUUCUUUCGGCCUACAACCAUUUUCAGCCUGAAGCUGCCUUUCUUUAGCAUUUUCAGCCCAGAGCUACCUUUCCUUGGCAUAUCAGCCCAAAGCUUCUAUUUCUUUAGGCCUGGAGCCAUUUCAACAUACAACAUUGGUUUCUUUGGCCGGGCCUUGAGCCCUUUUCAACCCAGAACUGUCAUUUCUUCUAAAUAACUUCUCUUUUAAAAAACUUCAAUUUGUCUUUCCAAUAAAAAAAUUUAAGGCUUUGUUCUAGGUUUCAAGAAGCUGGCAUAGAAAAAAAAAAGGAAAAAAAAAAUUCUUGAUGGCAUAAAGUAGGACAUGGCCGGGAUAGUUUGAAAUACAUAAUUUUCCCCAUUCAAAUGCAAAACAUAUUAAAAGAACAUUUGGCAUGAUUUUAUGAAGUGAUUCUAUCUUUUCUAAUACUUCAAAGUUAUGAAGUGAUUCUAUCUUUUCUAAUACUUCAAAGAUAAAUUUUUUUGAAGUAUUAGAAAAAUUAGAAACAUUUCUUAAAAUCACUACCCUUAACUAUAUUUAGAUACUUUAACCAUUUCAAAUGCUACAUGUUGUUUCCUUCUACAUUUCCUCUUUAUUUUGUUUUUCUCUUACAUUUUUCCUCAAAUUUUCUAAAAACCAAACAUAACCUAAAAGAAAAGAUAAUUUGACUUAUUUUGAAAGUUCUUUAUAUAUAUAGUUUAUAUGGAAAAUUGUUUCAUGUUAAUUUAAUAAAGCAUUUAUAAUAUUGAGAUCGCUCUUUCAUAAUCAUAAAUUAACCUUUAGUUUCAACUUCUACAAGAGGCUAAAUGAAAAAAGCUAUCACAGAGGAGGCCUCAGCCAAUGAGUAAGAUGCACUGUUGUACCAAACAAUAGGUGGAAAAUACAAUUUUAUUAAGACUCUGAGACAAAAAAAAAAAAAAAAAGGAUGAUUUUACACUCAAAACAAGGAUUUAUUUAUAAUGAAGUGCAGUCUCCAUAUGCACAUGUGACUGCAUUUACAGCAUAAAGAAAGACAAGGAAAUUAACAAAUGUUGGACUCAUUGGAAAAUCAUACAAAUUAUUGAAGGAGGACCUUAGCUAAGCUAACUGUCUCCUAAAUUGCCCAUCUUUUAUAUAUAUUUGCAUUCAUCCGUCUCAUCAUCGUCUUUGAUUUUAGAUGGUGAGGAUGUGAAAGUAACAGGAAGCAGUGGACGAUUGUUCACUGUGAGGCUUAGCACAUCAGCUCUCGAAUAAUGUCCUACCACAUCGAACUGGAACUUUGCUUUAGGAAUCUCUCCACGAACAUCUGCAUAUCAAGUGAUCAUCAAAAUAUUUGAUCAGCCCUUUUAAAUAUCAGAGAGUAUCAAGUCUUCCAUAAAACCGUGUUUGCAGUCCUUUUAAACCUAAAGAAUUCACUCAUUUGCCUUAUCUGCAUACUGAAAUAUUUGGAUAUACAAUUGGAGAAGUUAGGGCCAUACCAAGAUCAGCUGUGAAGAGGCCUUCUCCUUCAUAAUUCGGUCCUGCUAGAAUUUCGCCAUGGGGCGAAAUGAUGACACUACCUCCUGCCCAAACAAUGGAAUCUGGAGUGACAUCUUCUUCUGUAGGACUGUAAAGAUACUCAGGUGGAGGUGGGUAAUCUUUCCUCCGACAGAACUGGAUGGGUGAAAGAACAUAGCAUCCACCCUCAAUAGCAACGUGUCUCAUUGUAGCUACCCAUGUAUCCCCGGAAUCGGCAGUAGGAGCACAAUAUAUCUCAAUACCUAUAGAGAUGUACAUUCGUAUUUUGUGAUCAAUCAAUCCCAUAUCAAAGCCAUAAUGUAUUUCAAGCCUAUUUAUAGGCUAAAACCCUAACAACUUAAAAAAGAGUACUGAAGUAUUUCAAGCCAAACCAUAUUAGUUAGUGAAGAAAAAGACAUACCUUUGCCAUACAUUGCUGUCCUUAGAAGCGGCAUUCUAUUUUCCCAACAAAUGACCGAACCAAGUUUUCCAUAUGGAGUGUCAUAAACUGGAGUUGUCGAGCAAUCUCCGAAACCCCAGACGAGCCGCUCCCAAUAUGUUGGCAUGAGUUUCCUAUGUUUUCCAAGGUAAUUACCUUUAGGAUCAAAGAAGAGAACAGUGCAAUACAAUGUGUAUCCCUCUCUCUCAAUAACACCUGUCACUAAGUAGACUCUGUAUUUCGCAGCCAUUGAUGCCAAUCUAUCAACUUCAGGUCCUGAAAAUACAUUAAUUUGAGAUUAAAGAUGAAACAUGUCAGCUGAAGGUUCAUCACAAAGCAGCAUAAGUAGAUUUUGUUUCAACAACUUAUUAAGUGGCUCAGUUCUUUAGCUAUUUAAGGGAGAAAAAGAGAGGUAAUUGACCCGGAACAUUAAUGGCAGAAGCAUGGUACUUGCGGAAACUUUCUUUCCCUCUUGGCGACCGGUCAGCGAAGUUAUAUCCUCGGGGAUACCCACCGAUAAAUGCUUCAGGAAACACAACCAGUUGGGAUCCCAGUGCAGCUGCUUCUUUCAAAAACCUCUCAGCCUUAUCUGCUCUCAAAAUCACAUUGCAAGAAGUAAAUUAAUUGGUUGAAUGGAGAGAAUGAAAAUUAACUUUUAAGAGAUCCCGAAUGACUUUUUGGUUGCUGAGAAAACUCAAGGAAAAACAGACCUAGAUGAAACUUGAAACUCUCAUAUUUUCAGCUGUUUUGUAACUAAGAAAAGAGAAACCACCUCAACUCAACUCAUCAAAAUAAUUGUAAAAGCAGUAAUUCCUUGAUUGGCAGCUGAAAAUAUGAUCAGGGUUCAAUCAUCCUUUUCUUUUUUUCAGUCUCUGAGAAACCAAUUAGAUCACAUAUUCCAUUACACAAGUUGCACAAUUGAAAGAAAUGGUACGUUACCUAGAGUGGCAGGAGUAUCAUAAAAGAUACUAGAAGCUUGAACAACGGUGGCUCUAACAGUUGAAGACAUUGCAGAAAAUUGUAUGUUUUUUCGUUUCCCCUUUGUUUGAGGAUUCCUCACACUGCGUUCAGUAUAUAUAUUGCCCAUGACAUUGUGGACCAGCCACUUGACUUAUACAAAUUGAAAAUGACUGAGUCAUCUGUGAAAAGCAAUUUAAGAUAACAUUCAAAAUUAAUAAGCUUUAAUUUUUAUUUAUAUAUAUAUAUACAUAAUCUACAAGUUGUUAUCAUUAUAUUUGAAUAAAAAGAGGGACCCGCCCACAUGCAUGGAUUCCAUCCAUCUAGCACACAGAUAAAUUGUCUUUAGUGGCGGCUGAGGCUUUCUAUGACUUAUACCAUAUAUCUAUACACCCCAGUAUAUAGCUAAAAACUGGGUAAUGUAUUGGCCCCUACCUAAAAUUAUUGAUUGAUUCAAUGACAGCUAUCUGAGAAAAAUAAAAAAGGGAGAACUAUUCUUACGCUUGCCUUGAUUUAAGCAAAUAUACUUUUAAUUAGGAAUUCUAAUUUUCAUAUUUUACCCCAAACAGAUAAUCAAUAAAAUUAUUCUCCAAAUAUGUAUUUUAAUAGCAACAAAAAUGAGAAUUCCAUAAUUAUCCCUUUUAAAAUCUUUAAUAUGACAAGUCGUAAUUUAAUGUGUUUGGUAGCUCUCCUUUUUCUUUUUUUCUCCUCUACAUCACUUUCUCCAUAUAAUGUCUUUGAUAUCCUCUCCAUAUCAUGUUGUUGAUAUCCUACCUUUGACAUUUUUUUUUAUCUAUGUGUUGAAGUGACUACACUUUUAGAUUUCUUUUCACUCUUUUAAUAUUUUCAUAUAUAUUUAUUAACUUUAAUAAAUUUUUGAAAACAUUAAACAUAAAAUUAUAAUAUAUGAUAAAUAAUUAAUGAUAACAAAUUAAAUAUAAAUAUAAGUAUGAAAUGGACAAAAAAUAAAAAAUUUAUCCUACAAAUAAUAGACUAUAUAGUUUAAAAUAUUAGUUAUAAUAAUAUAUUUGAUACUUUAGAGUUUAGAUUAAAAAAUUAUGUUUUAUUUUUUAGAGGUUAGCAUAUAAUAUUUCCAUUAAACAAAGAUUUUUUUAUAUGAAUCCUAAAUAAAAUGUUUAUUUAUUUUGCAAAUUCUUAUCAUAUGCGAUAUAUAUAUAUAUAUAUAUCAUGUUAUUUAUAAUUUUUAUUAUUUUGUGUCAAAAUCACAGUCAAUGAUGAUAAUUUUAGUUAGUAUAGAGCUCUUAAAAGGAUGAUAUGAUGUAACAAAUAUGAAGUUAUUAAUUAUUUACUGAUAUUCUGGUUUUACUUUUAUUAAUCCUUAUUCCAUACAUUAUAUUUUAUGAGCAUCCUAGUUUGACAUUUCUUAUACUAUACAUGGCUUAGGUGCAUUAGAAGUUGCACGGAAGAUCCAAGUUAUAGAUUCCUUUUUUAAUUCAAUAUUUUAAAAAAAAAAUUAUACUUUCAGUCAAUGUCUCAUAUUUCAAACACGUACACACUCUAGAAUUUCUCGAAUUGUAGUCUAGAAUGUCAACUUAGUGUUUGAUGAAAAAAGGUAUAAACAAAUAUAUGAAAAAAGUAAUCAACAAGCAUAGGAUUCUAUUUGAAUAAAAAAGAGCCACUUACAUGCAUUGAUAAAGGAAACUCCAACUCAGCUAGCAUACAAUCCAUGCCAAAGCAGAAUCUUUACGUAAGAAGUUGAUAAUGCAAUUUGCCAGGAAGGAAAACUACUCUCCAUAUUUGUAAUGUGGAAAAUCAAGGUUGGAAGGAAAUUUUCACUUACUUAUUCUGUAUAAUAUUCCCUUUUUUUUUUUUUUUUGUAAAGAAAGUAUGUAUUGUUUAUUUAUUUUUUAGAAAACAAUUAGUAAAGUGUGGUGCGAAUUCAACCUUUCAAAAAUAGUUUCUAUUCUUCAUGGUAUCGGAGCUAGUUAAUCUAAAACAAUCCAAAGCUUCCAUGGAAACCCCAGAAAAUGUUCUUAGCAUUCAGGCUUUUCAUCAAUGCUCGAGCCUCAUCUCCAUCAAACUGAAUAUGUCCAAUCUCCUUUUGUGGCACUCACAAGUUCUUCCUCUUGUGCGAAGCCUUGGAUUAGUCCAUCAUCUCUCUGAAAAUAGACACGCAUAAGAGGGGAUAAUGGAUAGUGAAACAAAGGAGACCUAUGAUUAGUCAAUAGAGACAUGGUCUCACAAUGAUGAUCUACUUACCUCCUGGCUUCUUGGACCCAUGACAGAAGAAGUGAUUCUUUUAUUGGAUGGAACAGAGAUUGCCUAUGAUGUUUGGAACUCUCUGGAAGAAAAACUCCUUCCAAUGACCAAAGAGAAGGAUAUGCAAUUGACCAAUAGACUCCGAGGGCUGAAGAAAGGCACAAGGUCCCUUGAUGAAUAUCUAAGGGAGUUCAAAGAAAUUUUUGAUGCAUUAGCUACAGUUAGAAAACCAGUAAGUGACCUAGACAAAGUUUUUCAACUAGCUCAAGGUCUCAUAACUAAAUACAUGGAUUUUCGGGUGGCCAUGUUAUCAAAGCCACCAUAUCCCUCUUACAAUCAAUUUGUUCUGGCUCUACAAGGGCAUGAACAAAUGAUUAUGAUAGAAAAUGAAGAGAACAAAGAGUCAAUAAACCAUGAACAAGCCUAUUUUACCCAAUGAGGAAGACGAAGAAAUCAAGGAGGAAGAUUUCUUUCUAGAGGUCAUGACUUCAUUCUAGCAAGACGAUUCAAUCACAAUGCUACCAAUGACCAAAGGCAGAAUGUUCAUCCCAACACCAGAAAUCCAAGAAAUAGCUUCAACAACCAGCUUCCACCAGAACAAAAACUCCAAAAAUCUAAAGGUACUCUUAUUUACCAAAUUUUUAAUAAAGCUAACCAUUCAGCUUUGGAUUGCUAGAACAGAUUCAACUAUUUGUAUCAAUCAGAAGAGAUUCCUCAAGCUUUGGCUGCUAUGGCUCUAAAUGAAGAAGAUAAGGAUCCUAAUUUUUAUGUGGACUCGAGAGCAAAAACCCAUAUAACAAAUGACCUAGGUAAGAUUACCCAAGUAAUUCCAUAUAAAGGGCAUGAUGCAAUUUUUGUUGGAAAUAGAGAAGCUGUAAGAAUCUCACAAAUUGGUGAAGCUAGACUAAAAACUAAACAUAUAGAUCUAAAGCUUAAAAAAUUAUUGGUUAUUCCAAAAAUUAAGAAAAAAUUGUUAUCCAUUGGACAACGUACCUCUGAUAACCCAUGCUCCAUAGAAUUCUCAUCAACUAGUUUUGUCAUUAAGGAUCAACUUCAACAAGUGCUAGCUAGAGGAACUAAGAAGAGAGGUCUCUAUGCAUUGGAGGAAAAUGUGAUUCAAGCCAUGAUAGUUACUAGGUCUAGCAAGGCACCAUAAGAAGUGUGGCAUCAACGCAUGGGGAAUCUGCAAACAAAAUCUAUAAAGCUUCUACAAGAUAAGAAUUUCAUUGAAGUAUCUAGUUGGAUGAAAUCAACAAUAGUUUGUGUUAGUUUUCAAUUAGGAAAAAGUUGUAAAGUUUCUUUUGGCUUAAAAAAUAAAAUUUCCAGCAAUCUUCUUGAAAAAAUUCAUUGUGACUUAUGGGGACUUGCACCAAAUAAUUCAACUCAAGGAUACAAGUAUUAUGUUGUCUUUAUUGAUGAUCAUACUCACUAUACAUGGCUUUAUCCCUUGAGAAGAAAAUCAAAUUUCUAUGAAUGUUUUUUGAAGUUUCAAAAUCUGGUUGAGAAUCAACUUGAAAGAUAGAUAAAAAUCUUCCAAAGUGAUGGUGGAGGUGAGUUUCAAUCAAUUAAAUUUCAAAAUCACCUAAGCAAGUGUGGAAUUUUGCAACGAGUCUCAUGCCCAUGAACUCCAGAACAAAAUGGGGUUGUAGAGAGAAAGCAUAAACACAUUGUUGAAAUGGGUUUAACAAUGCUUUUCAAUGCCAAAUUACCAUUGAGUCUAUGGGUAGAUGCAUUCCAUACUGUCGUAUACCUUAUUAAUCGACUGCCUUCCAUGGUGUUGAAAAUGUAGAGUCCAUUCUUUAUGUUUUUCAAACAAUAUCCAGAAUAUAGGAGCUUGAGAAUUUUUUGUUGUCGAUGUUUUCCAUACCUUUGAGACUACGGGAAGAAUAAAUUCUCACCUAAGAUAUCUCCAUGUGUUUUUAUUGGAUAUAGCUCUCUACACAAGGGUUAUAGAUGCUUGCAUCCUUCAACUAAAAGAGUUUACAUAUCUCAUCAUGUCAUCUUCAAUGAAAAUUGCUUUCCUUAUGCUAACUCUCUUGUUAAGAAAAAUCAUUUACAGAUUCCUAUAGAAAUGGUAUCAUUCUCAACUUCAGAUGUUUUUUGUGAGACUUAAAAAAUGGAUCACCAAACUAAGUCUUGGAAGGAGAACACUGCUAACCAAUCAAGCAACUCCAAGAAGUUCAACCAUUGGUCAUGCACUACUAGGUAAAGAAACUGGUUUAGUGUUGACGGAAGAAUUUCUACUAGUUGUAUUACUAACCAAAAUACAAAAGCAUCAUGUGUUAAUCCGACUGGAACUCCCACUACUAUUACUGUUGAAAUUUCCACUAUUGUUACUAGUAAAAAUGACCAUAAUACCGUCAUUACUACUGAAACUCCCACUGAUGUUGCUCUUGGUUCUAGUGGCCACAAUUUCAACACUGCAACUACUAUUGGAACACUCUCCUAGAUUGAGUCUACUAGUAGCUACAAGCCUGCCAAUGUUAGUAAUUUUCCUUAUAUCAGUAAGCACCUAGUAGUUGAUCUCUCUUUCCCUUAAAAAUGGCAGAAAAAUGAGCAUGUUGGUUCAUCUCCGCAAAACAAAUCCACCAGUCACAGUGUUGAUGAUGAAGUUCCUGAUAUUAGCAAGCAAAUUGUUGUUGACAUCUCUUCUCCUCAGGGCUAACACAUAGAUAACAAAGAAACUCAUAUGAUCACCAGAAGUAAACUCAAGAAUGAUCCCAGUUUAAAGUCUCAAAUGGUUACUUUUGUUGCCAUAAGAAGUAAUAUUAGUGAGCCAAAAACAUAUUGUACAACAUUGAAAAUUCCCUAUUGGUUCAAACAAUGCAAGAGGAAAUUAAGGAUUUAAUCCAAAAUCGAACAUGGGAUUUGGUUCCUAGGCCUCCAACUGCAAAUAUUGUGGGUUCUAAAUGGGUGUUUAAAACAAAGCUAAAGGAAGAUGGAACCAUAGAUAGAUACAAAGCACAAUUAGUUGCUAGAGAUUUUUCUCAAAUACCGGGUUUGGACUUUGGAGAGACCUUCAGCCUAGUUAUAAAGCAUACUAUAAUCAGAUUGAUCCUUUCAUUAUCAGUAACCUUGGGGUGGACAAUGAGGCAAUCAGAUGUUAAGAAUGCCUUCAUACAUGGGUUUCUAAAGGAAAAAGUACUCAUGGAACAACCUCCAGGAUUUAUAAACAAGGACUUUCUGAAUCAUGUCUACAAAUUGAAUUGUUCUCUUUAUAGCCUUAAGCAAGCUCCAAGGGCCUAGUUAAAUAAACUAUUUCAAUGUCUUCUUCAUCUGGGGUUUUACUGUGGUAAAAUAGACUCGUCUUUAUUUAUUCUUCGCAAAGGUCAGUCUAUUGUUUUGCUACUUAUCUAUGUUGAUGAUAUUAUAGUCACAGGCAAUGAUAACAACAUCAUUAGUGACCUCAUCAGCACCCUGAGUAGUGAAUUUUCUCUCAAGGACUUAGGAUUUUUGCAUUAUUUUUUGGGAUUGGAGGUUAAAUAUCUUCUUAAUGGGUUGUUUCUUUCUCAAACAAAGUACACUAGAGAUCUCCUAGAGCACACAAAAAUGAUGGAGUGUACUCAUAUCAACACAUCCAUGGCUCUUAAGUCCAUCAUCACACCUUCUGAUGAACAACCUAUUGAUCCUACAUGAUAUAGGUAACUUGUUGGAUUCCCCUAAUAUUUAACCUUCACAAGGCUUGAUUUUGUGCAUGCAGUAAACAAGGCCUACCAACAUUUCCAAGCACCCACUAAAGUUGACUUGCAAGCUGUCAAACGCAUCCUUAGAUAUUUGAAGGAAACAAUGGAGCAUGGAAUCAGGUUUUUCAAGCAAAGUUCGCUUCGUCUCACUGGUUUUUGUGAUGCUGAUUGGGCAGGAUGCACAAACACAAGAAGAAGCACAUCUAGGUAUUAUAUUUUUCUAGGAGCCAAUUGUAUCUCAUGGUCCUCAAAGCGACAACCUACAAUUUCUAGAUCAAGCACCGAGGCCAAAUAUCGAUCCCUUGCGUCCAGUGCUGCAGAAAUAACUCGGCUUACUUUCCUUCUCCAUGAUAUUGGCAUUCAACUAUGUGAACCUUCUCAAUUUCUAUGCGAUAACCUCAGUGCCCUUCACAUGACAGUACAUCUCGUCUUCCAUGCAUGGUCCAAGCAUAUUGAGUUGGACUAUCAUUUUAUUCGGAAAAAAAGUUGCAAGUGGAGUUUUGAUUACUUGUUUCCUUCCAUCGUCCUUACAAGUAGCUGAUAUAUUCACAAAGACACUCCCUAAGACUUCAUUCCAAGUCUUUCGAUUCAAGCUAGGAGUGCACAAGUUACCACUCACUAGCUUGCAGGGGGCUAAUAAAGGAAAGUCAAACUCAACUAGCAUACAAUCCAUGCCAAAGCAAUCUUUACGUGAGAAGUUAGUAAUGCAAUCUGCUAGGUAGGAAAACUACUCUCAAUAUUUGUAAUGUGGAAAAUCAAGGCUGGAAGGAAAUCUUCACUUACCUGUUCUGUAUAAUAUUCCCUUUUCUAUGCAAAUAAAGUAUGUAUUGUUUAUUUAUUUUUUAGAAAAAAUCAGUAAAGCGUGGUACAAAUUCAAUCUUUCAAAAAUAGUUUAUGUUCUUCAUGCAUGGAUAAUAAAUCCCAUGGAUAAAUUGUAUUUAGCAGCGGCUGAAGCUUUCUAUAUGACUAAAGAGAAAAAAAGUCAUUAAAAAACUAAUUGCCAUGUGACUACGUCUACCAGUAGAUAGUUGAGAACAAGGUCUAACUCUUAACCUUUUGUACUACCUUUACAAAGGAACACAAAAUUGAGAGAUUCAAAGGCAACUAUAGUAUAAAUAUUGUUUCAUAAAUUACUUUUCAAAUUUAAUUUGAUAACAAAAAUUUAGAAUACAAAAGUAUGAAAAAUUUGUUCCAUUCCCAAAAUUUUUGCAAAUAAAAUUUUAAAGUAAUAAAUUAACACCAUGACUCUUUUCACAUCUUAUUCUCCUUUCUAUCAAAGAAAUGAUAGUAAUAAUCUUAUCUAUAAAUUUUAAAUGAGGCAAGAUCAUUGAAUUUUUAUUUUCUUUUAUUUUCUUGUUAUGUAAUUAUCAAACACAUUUUUUUUUUAAGACAAAAAAAAAUUAGACUGAAGAAAUAUAUUUUUGCCCUGAUUUAGUCACUUGGAUUGCAAUUCGAAGGAUGGAAAUAAAAGUGUAUUCUUGGAGUUAAAGAUCAAUUGAAAGCUUAAAGCGGCUUGUUCUCGAAUGAAUUUAAUGAAUGACGAAGAAUACAUGUGUUGUAAUUUUUUGGAUUUGUAGGGGAAUUUUAUGAAGCUCUUUUCUCUUUGUCAGGCUUCUUUUUUUGUAUGAUUUUUUUUCUUCAUCAUUUUCAUUCAAGGAAGUCGCAUAUAUUUAGAGAUGAAAUUAAAAAAUUAAAUUUAGAAUUCCUAAGAUUUGAUUACUUAAUUAAAAAAAAUUGGUUUCUUGAUUUUAGCAACUUGUCUCCUCUAUUAAGGAAGUUUGCUAAUAAGAGAAUAUUUAAUUAUCAUUUUCUUUUGACUUCAAUUAGAAGAUUUGAUUCGUUUGUUCAUAAAAUUUGAAAACAAAAAAAAAAAUUAUUUCUAUUUUUUUAUUUCAAUUGUUUAAUUUAAUUUGAUUUUGGAAGACUUUAUUUUAUAGUUUUCCAAAUUUUGUUACAUGUCAUUUUUUGAAUUGCAUGUUACAUAUUCAAUAUACAUGACCCAUCACUUAUUAAGCAUAAAUUUCGUUGAGCUAAGGAGUUACAAUUUUGAAGACUAAUUUGAUAGUAUUUUAAUCCACUAAAAUUUUUUAUGUCUACAAAUGCCCCGUCUUCAAGACAAACACACACAUGCAUUGUCAUGUAUAAAAGAUGAGUCUUGAAGUUAGCAUUUUGAAUCUUUAAUAUCCUUCUUUGAUAUUUUUUUUUUCAAAGAAAUAUUUUAAUAGGAAAUUUCCUAUUUCAAAAUACCUUUCUUCAACUUUUUCCAAAAACGACUUUAUUUUCUUCCUUUUUUUCUACCUGGUAUCAAGGAAAGACUUUGUGUUAAUGGGAAAGUUUCUUAUUUGAACAUAUAUUUGCUUUUCUCAUGGUAUUUUCACUUCCAAUUUAUCAUCCUACAAGAAGUCCUUCACCCUUGGUCGAUUGUAUCUUAGACUUGAUCACAUGCCUUUAACUUGUAAUUCUUGCUCCACUUUAUUUAUUUUAUUUUAUUUUAUUUUAUUUUUAAAAAAGAAUACAAUGUAUAUGAGCAAGACCUUGAGCAAGAGGAGCAAGGUGGAGGGUGGAGCAUGAGCUAGCCUUAGGGUAAGACCUUGAGCAAGAGAAGUAAUGUGGAGUGUAGAUCACAAACUUCUCUGGAGCAUGGUAGGCAUACCGUCACAGAAUUGUCUUCCACAUGGAGCAUGGUAGGGUUUAUACAUAUGAUAGGGUGUGCCAUCAUGUAACAAUGAAGAACAACAAUCCAUGGUGUACAAUUGGGAACAACAAUUCAUGCUAUCAAGCUUCAACAUUUUUUUUUACCCCCAUCUCCAUUUUUUCAACUUCUUUUUUUUUUUUUUGUCCUUUUUUUUUCCCUUUUUUUAAGCAUUGUUUUUAAGGAAGAAAUAGGUUUGCCAUCCCUUACUAUGAGGUCAAUAUCCAUCACUUGCAAAGACAAAUUUGCUUUUUGAUAUUUUUUCUUCUUCAAUAAUUAACUUAACAUUUUAAUAUAUAUAUAUAUAUUUUAACAAACUUGAAUAUUCAUAAUAAAAUAAAUAUUUAAUGUCUUUACUCAUCCAAAUUAGCUUGACUUGAAUACUUAGUAGAUCCAUACUUAACACCCAUGUAGACGAGCUGUAACCUUGAUGGCAGGUUGUGUUGUAUUUUCGACACUUAAUGUGCCUUAAGAGUUAAAGUCUUCUCUCAUACAAAUUAGCUUGGUUUGGAUGCACAAUGGUGUGUAACUUUUUAACACUUUAUUAAACUUGGAACCAUAUUUAACACCCACGUAGACAAGUCAUAAUCAUGACAUGGAUCACUGUUUUAUUUUUAGCUCUUAAUGUGGCUUAAAUAUUAAAUUCUUCACUCAUACAAAUUAAAUUGGGUUAGAUGCACAAUGGUGUUCAACUUGUUAACAGUUAAUUAAAAUUAGAACCAUAUUUAACACCCAUACAAACAAGUCAUAACUUUGACGUGGAGCAGUGUUGUAUCUUUGGCUUAAUGCCGCUUAAGUGUUAAAGUCUUCACUCAUAUGAAUUAGCUUCACUUAGAUGCAUAGUUGUAUUAUACUUUUUAACACUUAAUUUAAAUUUGGACCAUAUUGAAAACCCAUGUGAACAAGACAUAACCUUGUAGUGGUGUUAUAUUUUUGACACUUAAUGUAGCUUAAAUGCUAAAGUCUUCACUUCUAUGAAUUGGUUCACCUUGGAUGAAUAGUGAUGUCUAAAUUGUAAUAAUUAAAAUUGAAACCAUAUUUAACACUCAUGUAGAUAAUCAUAACUUUGACGUAAUGGCAUUGUAUUUUUGACACUUAAUGCAGCUUAGGUGCUAAAGUUUUCACUCAUGAGAAUUGGUAUGAGUUAGAUGCAUUGUGGUGUCCAACUUUUUAACACUCAAUUAAAAUUGGAACCAUAUUUAACACCAAUGUAGAUAAGUCAUAACCUUGACGUGAAGCGAUAUUGUAUUUUUGACACUAAAUGCAACUUAGGUGCUAAAGUCUUCACCCACGCAAAUUGGUUCAUCUUGGAUGCACAAUGGUGUCGAAUUUUUUUAACAUAUAAUUAAAAUUUGAACCAUAUUUGACACUCAUGUAGACAAGUCAUAACCAUGAUGUAGAGUAGUGUUGUAUUUUUAACACUUAAUAUGACUUUACUGGUAAAUUCUUUACUCAUGUGAAUUGCCUUGAUUUGGAUGCACAACUAACUUUUUAACAUUUUAUUAAAUUGGGUAUCAUAUGUGUUGUUUUUUUAACACUUAAUACGACUUUAGUGGUAAAUUCUUUACUCAUGUGAAUUGUCUUGAUUUGGAUGCACAAUGAUGCCUAACUUUUUAACAUUUUAUUAAAUUGGUAUCAUAUUUAACACCAAUGUAGACAAGUCAUAACUUUAAUGUAGAUGCGGUGUAGUAUUUUUGGCACUUAAUAUUGUUUAAGUGCUAAAGUCUUCACUCAUGUGAAUUUUCUUGGUUGAGAUGCACAAUGGUGUGUAACAUUUUAACAUUUAAUUAAAAUUGGAACCAUAUUUAACACUCGUGUAGAGAAGUCAUAACCUUGACAUGGAGUAAUAUGCAAUUUUUUUAUAUUUAAUAUGACUUAAGUGCUAAAGUUUUCACUCAUGCGAAUUGACUUGACUUGGAUGCAUAGUGAUGUCUAACAUUUUAACACUUAAUUAAAAUUAGAGCUAUAUUUAAUAAUCAUGUGGACAAGAAAUAACUUUGACGUGAAACAAUAUUGUAAUUUUGACACUUAAUGUUGCUUAAAUGCCAAAGUCUUCACUCAUACAUAUUGACUUAGCUUGGAUGAAAAGUGGUAUCCAACUUUUUGACACUUUCUUAAAUUUGGAAUUAUGUUUAACAUCAAUAUAGACAAGUAAUAACCUUGACGCAGAGUGAUGUUAUAUUUUUAGCACUUAAUAUAGCUUAAGUGCUAAAAUAUCCACUUCUAAGAAUUGACUUGGCUUGGAUGCAUAAUGGUGUCCUACUUUUUAACACUUAAUUGAAAGUGAAAUCAUAUUUAACACCCAUUGUAUGCUAGUCGUAAACUUGAUAUAGAGCAUUGUGCAACUUUUUAACACUUAAUGCGACUUAAAGUGCUAAAGCCUUUACUCAUAUGAAUUAAUUGAACUUAGAUGCACAUUUGUUUCCAACUUUUUAAUACAUAAUUAAAAUUAAAACCAUAUUUAAAAACCAUGUAGACAAAGACAUAAUCUUAACAUGGAGCUAUGUAUAACUCUUAACACUUAAUUAAAAUUGAGAUUACACUUAACAACCACAUAUUCCUCCUAUUUUUCAAUUUUUUCUUGUGGUGAUGAUUGAACUUAACUAGUUUGUCCAAGUUGCCUAUAUACCCUUAACAGAGAGGGAAUCAAGUCAAACUUAGUUCAAAGUAUUUCUUUUAAUCUCUAACUUUUGCCAAGGCUAAUGAUUUUAAUCUUACAAGCUUGUCUUAACUUUUGACCAUAUAUGUAGUCUUUUUAGGUUUCAAUUUAACGGCCUAUAUAUGACUUGUACAAAUUGAAAAUGACUUCAAUCAUGUGUAAAAAAUAAUAAAAGAUAUUCAUUCCUAGUUUUAGGGCAACGAAAAAUAGUUGAUCCUUUUUUAUAUUAUUAUUAUUGUUGUUGUUAUUAUAAUUAUUAUUUCACCUUACAAAAAGACCUUCUGCAAUUAAUAUUUUAUACAUAUAUAUAUAUAUAUAUUUUAUCUUUUAUAUAUUUAGUUUUCAUAGUAUUUUUUAAUUCAAUAUAUAUAUUUUUUAAAUAUCUAUACUUUCGGUCAAUGUCUCAAAUUUAAAGCACGUGCAUGCUCUAGAAAUUCUCAAGUUGUAGGCUUGUGGCCUACAAUGUCAACUUAGAGUUUGAUGAAAAAGCGCAUAAACAAAGACAAAAAAAUUAAUCUACAAGUACUUGGAUUCUAUUUGAAUAAAAAAGAGCCACCCACAUGCAUGGAAUAAAUAUAUAUCCCAUGGAUUAGUUGUAUUUAGCCACGGCUGAAGCUUUCCACUAUGACUUAAAAAAAAAAAAAAAGAGGAUAAUGCCAUUAAAAAACUGAUUGCUACGUGGGUAUGCCUGCCAGUAGAUGGCUGAAAACUAAGUUCUAUUCUUUUCAAUAGUUGAGAGAUUCAAUGGCAACUAUCGUAUAAACAAUGUUUCAUAAAUUACUUUUAAAUUUUGACAGCAAAGACUAAAAAUGUAAAACCAUAAAAAAUUUGUUCCAUUCCCAAAUUUUUAAAAAUAAAAUUGAAAAUAAUAUAUUAACGCCCAUGACUGUUUUCACAUCUUAUUCUCAUUUCUAUCAAUGCAAUCAUCGUAAGCAUCUUAUCUAGAAAUAUGGCCUAGAGCCAUAGAGCUGCCUUUUCUUUAGUCCUAGAGCCAUUUCAUGAGCUAAUAGUAGUCUUUCCUUAGCAUUUCCAGCCCAAAGCUCCCAUUUCCUUAGGCCUAGAGACGUUUUCAGCCCAGAGCCGCUGUUUCUUUCGGCCUAUAACCAUUUUCAGCCUGAAGCUGCCUUUCUCUAGCAUUUUCAGCCCAAAGCUUCCUUUCCUUGGCAUAUUAGCCCGAAGCUUCUAUUUCUUUAGGCCUGGAGCCAUUUCAACCCAGAACUGUCAUUUCUUCUAAAUAGCUUCUCUUUUAAAAGACUUCAGUUUGUCUUUCUAGUCACAAAAUUUAAGGCUUUGUUCCAGGUUUGAAGAAGCUGGUAAAAAUCUGGCUGUUGACUAAGCUCAACUAAAAAACAGUAAAGCUUGCUGACCUGGGUAAUAAAUAACAGCUAUCUUGGCAGUAUUGUUAGUUAGUUAGAGGUUUUUUUUUUACUAUUAUAAAAGGUGCAGACUUGGGAAAACUGAAAUAAGGUAUUCAAUUGUACAGAAUAGAGAGCAAGAAAAGCAGAGAGCUUUGAAAUCCAUAACCACAGGUCUGUUUCGGUUUUCCUAUAGAGAAAAGAAAGAAACAGAGGUGAGGAGGGUUCUUGGGGAAAGCCUAUAAGUUCUUUGUUUUUUAUUCUUGUGUAAAUUCUGGUUGGUACAAUUUAAUAAAGGCUUCAGGAAAUCAGUGUGAAUGUAGAUCAAGUUGAUCGAACCACGAUAAUUCUCUUGUGUUCUUGAUCUUGGUUGAUUGUCUACAAGCUGUUUGAUUUUAUUCCUAAGAGAAGUUCUUGCAAACUGGUUGUCUUUUUCUGGUUUAGUUUCUGCUCUAAUAGUCCCUAAUUCAAGACUGGCUUUUCUCAACAGCAUGGUUUGAAACACAUAAUUUUCACCAUUCAAAUGCAAAACAAUUAACUAAUUUCAAAUGCUAUGUGUUGUUUCCUUCUAAUUUCCCCUUUAUUUUUUUUUCUCUCCUAUUUUCCUUCAAAUUUUUGGAAAACCAAACAGAGCCUAAAAGAAAAGAUAAUUUUACUUAUUUUGAAAGUUGUUUCAUGUUAAUUUAAUGAAGCAUUUAUAAUAUUAAGAUCGCCCUUUCAUAAUCAUGAGGUAACCUUAGUUUCAACUUCUACAAGAGGCUAAAUGAAAAAAGCUAUCACAGAGAAGAAGGCCUCAGCCAAUGAGUGGAAAAUACAAUUUUAUUAAUACUUGAUAUCAAAAAAAAGAAAAAAAAAAAAAAGGAUGAUUUUACUUUCAAACCAAGGAUUUAUUUAUGUUGAAGUGCAGUCUCCAUAUGCACAUGUGACUGCAUUUACAGGAUAAAGAAAGACAAGGAAAUUAACAAUGUUGGACUUACUGGAAAAUCAUACAAAUUAUUGAAGGAGGACCUUAGCUAGGCUAACUGUCUCCUAAAUUGCCCAUCUUUUAUAUAUCUUUGCAAUCAUCCAUCUCAUCAUCAGCUUUGAUUUUAGAUGGUGAGGAUGUGAAAGUAACAGGAAGCAGUGGACGAUUGUUCACAGUGAGGCUUAGCACAUCAGCUCUCGAAUAAUGUCCUACCACAUCGAACUGGAACUUUGCUUUAGGAAUCUCUCCACGAACAUCUGCAUAUCAAGUGAUCAUCAAAAUAUUUGAUCAGCCCGUGAUAAAUAUCAUAGAGUAUCAAGUCUUCCAUGAAACCAUGUUUGCAGUCCUUUUAAACCUAAAGAAUUGACUCAUUUGCCUUAUCUGCAUACUGAAAUAUUUGGAUAUACAAUUGGAGAAGUUAGGGCCAUACCAAGAUCAGCUGUGAAGAGGCCUUCUCCUUCAUAAUUUGGUCCUGCUAGAAUUUCGCCAUGGGGCGAAAUGAUGACACUACCUCCAGCCCAAACAAUAGAAUCUGGAGUGACAUCUUCUUCUGUAGGACUGUAAAGAUACUCAGGUGGAGGUGGGUAAUCUUUCCUCCGACAGAACUGGAUGGGUGAAAGAACAUAGCAUCCACCCUCAAUAGCGAUGUGUCUCAUUGUGGCUACCCAUUUAUCCCCGGAAUCGGCAGUAGGAGCACAAUAUAUCUCAAUACCUAUAUAUAUGAACAUUGGUAUUCUGUGAUCAAUCAAUCCCAUAUCAAAGCCACAAUGUAUUUCAAGACUGCUUAGAUUAAAACCCUAAUAAUGUAAAAGGGUGCUGGAGGUCCUAUUUGGUAAUUGUCUUCGGAACAGUUUUGAGAAAUAGUUUUUGAAAGUUGUUCUUUAAUAGUUUAUAAAACAUAAGAAUAUUUGAAACCUAAAAUAUAUUCAACUUAUUAAAAAUAAUUUUUAUAUUUAAUACUUUAUUUUUAAAUAUUCUUCAUAUUUAUAUAAUUAUUUUUUAAAACAACCUUAAAAACAAAUGAAAACAAUGAAGAAAAAAGUUUAAAAAAUAUUAUCUGAAAACAUUUUGUUUUAUGUUUCUAAGAAAAAACAAAAAGCGGUAUUCUAAUUGUCAAUUGUGUUUUCCUAAAUUUUUUUUGGAUAACAAAAGAUUCCUCUAAAAUAUAAUUGUGAAACAAAGCCAAACUAUUUCAAGCCAAACCAUACUAGUUAAUGAAGAAAAAAAAAUGGUAAAAGAUGUACCUUUGCCAUACAUUGAUGUCCUGAAAAGAGGCAUUCUAUUUUCCCAACAAAUGACCGAACCAAGUUUUCCAUAUGGAGUGUCAUAAAUUGGAGUUGUCGAGCAAUCUCCGAAACCCCAGAAGAGCCGCUCCCAAUAUGUUGGCAUGAGUUUCCUAUGUUUUCCAAGGUAAUUGCCUUCAGGAUCAAAGAAGAGAACAGUGCAAUACAAUGUGUAUCCAUCUCUCUCAACAACACCUGUCACUAAGUAGACUUUGUAUUUCGCAGCCAUUGAUGCCAAUCUAUCAACUUCAGGUCCUGAAAAUACAUUAAUAUGAG